AAUAAUUUGAUUUCAAGUAAUAGGGAUGGUGUGGGGUUGAAUAAGUUUAGAGGAAGCGAUGCGGUAACCCCUUAUUCUAGAGCUGGUAUACUUAGCAUAGUUACUUUCUCUUGGAUGAGUCCUCUUAUUUCCAUUGGGAAUAAGAAAACCUUGGACCUUGAGGAUGUUCCUCAACUUGAUUCUGGCAAUAGUGUGGUAGGGGCUUGUCAACACUUCAGAAGUAAGCUUCGGUUCAAUGGUGAGGCUAGCGAUAAAGUGACUACGUGGAGGCUGGUGAAGGCAUUGUUCUUGUCUGUGUGGAGACAAAUUCUUUCGACAGCAGUUUUUGUGCUUCUUUAUGUGUUGGCUUCUUAUGUUGGUCCAUACCUCAUUGAUACCCUUGUUCAAUUUCUUAAUGGGCGACGCCAAUACAAAAAUGAAGGCUAUUCGCUAGUUUCAGCCUUUUUAGUGGCGAAGCUCGUUGAGUGCCUGUCACAGAGGCAACGGUUCUUCAGGUUACAGCAGGUUGGGAUUAGGAUGCGAGCAGUGGUCGUUGCCAUGAUGUAUGACAAGGCAUUGACCCUUUCGUGCCAGUCAAAACAGGGCCAUACUAGUGGAGAGAUCAUCAAUUUCAUAUCUGUUGAUGCCGAGAGGGUGGGUGACUUUGCUUGGUACAUCAACGACCCAUGGAUGGUGCUUUUGCAAGUAGCUUUGGCUUUGGGGAUCUUGUAUAAAAAUCUCGGACUCGCCAGUAUUGCAGCUUUCGUGGCCACUGUGCUUGUUAUGUUAGCAAAUGUUCCCUUAGCUAAGUUGCAGGAGAAGUAUCAGGACGGAAUGAUGAAAUCGAAAGAUAAAAGGAUGAAGGCAACUUCAGAGAUUCUCCGGAACAUGAGAAUUCUGAAGCUUCAGGGAUGGGAGAUGAAAUUCUUGUCGAAGAUUUUUGAGCUUCGAAAUGCCGAGAUAGGAUGGUUGAAGAAGUUCGUUUACACUCAAGCAAUGACCUCUUUCGUUUUCUGGGGCGCACCCACCUUUGUUUCCGUCGUCACUUUCAGCGCAUGUAUGUUGAUGGGGAUCCCGCUUUCUUCUGGAAAAAUCUUAUCAUCCCUCGCAACGUUUAGGAUCCUCCAAGGGCCCAUCUACUUUCUUCCUGACUUGAUAUCAAUGAUAGCUCAGACAAAGGUCUCACUCGACAGAAUAGCAUCUUUCUUGUGUCUUGAUGAUUUGCCGAAUGAUGUUGUCGAGAGGAUUCCUCAGGGAAUUACUGACACAGCAGUUGAGAUAAUUGGUGGGAAUUUUUCCUGGGACUUGGCUUCGUCUAAUCCCACACUUAAGGACAUAAAUUUGAAGGCACAAAGGGGCAUGAAGAUCGCUGUUUGUGGUACUGUCGGCUCAGGAAAAUCAAGCUUGCUUUCCUGCAUUCUGGGAGAAAUGCCAAAGAUAUCUGGGACCCUCAGGCUGUGUGGAACUAAGGCUUAUGUCGCUCAAUCUCCAUGGAUUCAGAGUGGCAAGAUCAUCGACAACAUCUUAUUUGGUAAGGAGAUGGACAAAGAGAGAUAUGAAAGGGUCCUUGAAGCAUGCUCCUUGAAGAAGGAUUUGGAAAUUCUAUCACACGGCGAUCAAACAGUCAUCGGAGAGAGAGGAAUAAAUCUGAGUGGUGGACAAAAGCAAAGAAUUCAGAUUGCUCGUGCGGUCUACCAAGAUGCGGACAUUUACUUAUUCGACGACCCUUUUAGUGCUGUGGAUGCUCAUACAGGAUCUCAUCUCUUUAAGGUAACCUGCAUGUACCUGCUAAUUCCGAGUUGUUGGCACUUGGUAGAAUUGCAAUACGCAUGCAGCCUCACACUCAUAGAAGCACAUAUUUGUAGAUGGGCUAAUUUUUUGUCUUUCUUUUUGGUUCUUGGAGGCAGGGUAGUUCUUUUAAGGGCCUCCCUCCUCACUCUCUCUGCCGAGAUUUGCCAAACUUUGUUUCAUUGCUGCAUGCAUUGUGUUUGUGUUGAAUUAUCCUGAUUUUUAGGAGCUGAUUAUUAGGAAUAUUCAAUUCUGAUUUUUUGGGUCCUAAUUAUUAGGAAAUUGCUGUAAAUAAUUAGUUAGGAAAUGCUUUAUUAGUAUCCCUUGAUUUGUGGGAUUAUAGCUGUAUUAUUUAGAUCUAUUUUUUCCUAGUUUUUUUUUUCCUUUGGUUCUGUUUUUUCCUAGUUAGUACUUGUAGAAGUCCUAUAAAUAGCUUUGUAAUCCUAGUACAAAAAUAUAGAGAAUUAUCACAAUUAUUUUCUCUAAAUUCUUCAUGGUAUCAGAGCAUUAGGCUCACUUUUCUAGGAUAGUGUUGCAGUGCAUCCUUCAUUGAUGCAAUAAUCUUCCAAUCACAGCCUUCAUUGCUGGAUUUGUCUUUGUCCUUAACAAUCUGAUCGCAAAUGUCAUUGUUGUGAUCCCUUGAGCUAUAUUUUUCCCUCUUGGCUUCUAAACUUGUCCCUUUUUUUCUUUUUUGCCCUAAAAACCUUAUUCACUUGUAGCCUUUACUACUUCUGUUUUUUUUUUUUUUUUGCUCUUCCUUUCCAAGUACUUUCUUUGUGCCUGGAAUUAUCCAUGUCUGAGACAAAAUUGAUUGGAGAUACUUUGGGUCAAAAUGAGGAGGCCAACACCAACCAUAUGACUGGAGAUCUACAAAAUGUGGGAGCAACUUAUAGGCUGAAUGAAAAGAAUGAUCUCAAAUGGUCACAAUUUGUCAAGACCUAUUUGAAGGGUAAAGGAAGACUCAGCCAUUUUCUCGGAACAAGUCCAACACCAGAAGAUCCCACGUUCAACACAUGGGAUGAGGCAGAUUCAAUGAUCAUGUUAUGGCUUUGGGAUUCAAUGGAUCCGGCCAUAAGUGAUACAUGUAUGUUUCUCAAAACUGCAAAGGAGAUUUGGGAUUCUAUUCGCAGGACUUAUUCAAAGGCUUGAGAUGCAGCACAAGUAUAUGAAAUCAAGGUAAAGACAAGUGCAACAAAACAAGGGAGCAAAACAAUGACGGAAUAUGCCAAUUCCCUUCAAAAUCUAUGGGAAGAACUCAAUCAUUAUCGAGUAUUUGAGAUGAAGUGUGCAAAUGAUGCUGUAACUCUAAAAACCUUCAUUGAAAAGGAUCAAGUAUAUGAUUUCUUGGCAGGUCUUAAUUUUGAAUUUGACCAAGUCAGGAUUCGGAUACUUGGAAAGGAAGAAAUCCCUUCUUUGGAAGAGACGAUUUCUCUAAUCAGGGCAGAAGAAAGUCGAAGGGGAAUAAUGCUAGAGCCUUAAGCUAUGGAAGGCUUAGCAUUAGUAACUCGCAAUGCGUCAACACAAGAAAGAGGAAAGGUGGAUGCUUCGAGGCCUACAUGGAGGGAUAAUCGAGACGGUUUGUGGUGUACCUACUGUAAGAAGCCAAGGCAUACAAAGGAACGUUGCUGGAAACUGAAUGGCAAACCAACAACCUCAAGCUGAGAGUGGGGAAACAAAGGAGGACAGCCAAGGCCCUAGGCUCAUCUAAUUGAACAAACCAGCCAGCAAAUCAAUCACAGUGAAGGACAAGUGAAAGAAUCCUUUAGUAGUGAGGAAAUAGAAAGAAUUAAAGGGCUUUUAGGGUCUCUUGAUAAACCCUCCGGUGCAUGUUCCUUAGCACGCUCAAGUACGUCUCCAUUCUUUUUUUUGUCUAAAUGCCUCAGAAAAACUUUCAAGUGAAGCUUGGAUAAUAGACUUAGGUGCCACUGAUCACAUGACUCGCACUUCACAUUUUUUUAGUACCUACACCCUAUGUCCAAGCAAUAGGAAAAUAGUGGUGGCAGAUCGUUCUCUAGCCACUGUUGCAGGAGUUGGUGAUAUCUAUAUUACACUUGUUCUCACUCUAAAAGAUGUCCUCCAUGUGCCAAAACUAUUAGGUAGCAUAGUCUCCAUACAAAGGCUCACCAAUGACCUCAAAUGUUAUGCAAUUUUUUACCCUAUUCGGAGAGGAAGAUUGGACUUGCUAAGGAAAAGAAUGGGUUGUACUAUCUUGAGACGCCGAGGAUUUCGAAGAAAGUCAUAAACAAUUCUCCCUUAUCAUUUCUUAGUGCUUCAAAUAAGGAUGUCAUUUGGCUUUACCAUUUUCGUUUUGGUCAUCCAUCUUUUCGUGUCUUAAAUAUCAUGUUUCCAUCCUUGUUUAAAGGAUUAGAUAUGAGUCAAUUCCAAUGUGAUACUUGUGAAUUUGCUAAGCACAUCCGUGUAUCUUUUCCUAUAAACAACAAAAGAAGUUCUCAUCCUUUUGAUUUGAUUCACUGUGACAUUUGAGGACCUUCCACAAGGCUUGAUGGUUUGUUUCUCUAAUCGAUGAUUGCACUAAGGUCACAUGGAUAUUCUUACUCAAACACAAAUUUGAUGUAAGUAGUAUUAUUCCUAAUUUUAAUUCUAUGGUUCAAAAUCAAUUUAGAGUUAAAAUUAAGAGAAAUAAUGCUAGAGACUACUUUAAUCGGAUCUUGUCAACCUAUUUCCAAAAGGAAGGGAUCAUCCAUGAGUCAUCGUGUGUAAACACACCACAACAAAAUUGGGUGGUUGAAAGGAAAAAUGGUCAUUUGCUCAACACUACUCGAGCAUUGUCGUUUCAUGGAAAUGUCCCUAAGUCUUAUUGGGGGGAAGCCGUCCUUACAUCUACAUACAUGAUUAAUAGAUUGCCAUCAAGAGUAUUAGAUUUCAAAACUCCUAUGGCAAUUUUUUCUAGUUUUUAUCCCCAUCUCAGGACAACAAAUAAUCUCACACCUAGAGUCUUCGGUUGCACCUCAUUUGUACAUGUUCAUAAUCAGCAAAGGGGAAAACUAGAUCCUAGAGCAAUCAAGUGUGUCUUUCUUGGUUACUCCUCUACACAAAAGGGGUAUAAAUGUUAUCAUCCUCCUUCUCAAAAGACCUAUAUAUUAGUCGAUGUUACAUUUGUAGAAAACAAACCUUACUUUCCACAGUCUUAUCUUUAGGGGGAGAAGUCAUUAGUUGAAGAUAAAGACUUUGACGGUCUUAAUCUUGACUUACCUCCUAAUAAUCUUCCAAUCUGAGCUCCCACUUUUGAUCAACCAAUCCCUGAUCAAUGGACUCCUAACCAAUCAGCCUCCAGCUCUGAUUAACAGGCUCCUCAUGAAUCAGUUCGUGCUACUUCAAUUCCAGAACAAGAGUCCACUCCCGUAUCUCCCUGUAUUUAUGACUCUAUGAGAUUUCCUCUGGUAUACUUAAGAAAGACAGCUCUUCCAGACCAAACACAAGUUCAAGAUUCCCAUCCGAAUUUUGCAAAUGAAUUUCCGGUAAGUUCCAACUCUCCUAUGCAUAAACAGUCAAUUGAUAUGCCAGAAAAUGACUCACAUCUUCCCAUUGCUGUUAGAAAAGGUACUAGGGAGUGCACAAAGCGACCCUUAUAUCCACUAUCUCAUUAUGUGUCACUUGACCACCUAUCACUAUCUCAUAAAAAUUUCAUUGUAAGUCUAAACACCAUUUCUAUUCCAAAUACUUUACCUAAGGCAUUGUCUAAAGAAGAAUGGAGGAAUGCAAUGAGAGAAUAAAUUGAUGCACUAGAAAAAAAAAAUUAGACUUGGGAGAUCGUUGAAAAACCUAAGAGAAAGAAUCUUGUGGACUGCAAAUAGGUUUUUACCUUGAAAUACAAAACUGAUGGUUCUCUUGAGAGAUAUAAAGCACGAUUGGUGGCAAAGGGUUAUACUCAGACCUAUGGAGUACAUUAUUAGGAGACAUUCGCUUCGGUGGCAAAGAUGAACACCGUGAGAAUUCUACUCUCUUUGGCGGCUCACUUUAAUUGGCAACUUCAAUAGUAUGAUGUGAAGAAUGCAUUCUUACAUGGAGACCUAGAAGAGGAGAUUUACAUGAGUAUUCCACCGGGAUUUGCAAGAGAAAAGACAACAAACAAAGCAUGUAGCACUAUAUGGGCUCAAGUAAUCACCUAGAGCCUAGUUUGGGAGAUUUUCCAGAGUUAUGAAAGCUUCAUGCUACAAAUAAAGCCAAGGUGAUCAUACUCUUUUCAUUAAGCAUUCGGCAAGAGGGAGAGUGACAGCACUUCUAGUGUACGUCGAUGGUAUUAUUGUCACAAGUGACAAUGAUGAGGAGAAAUAGCAGCUAAAGCGGUGUUUGAUUAAAGAGUUUGAAAUAAAAGAACUAGGAAGACUCAAAUACUUUCUUGGCAUUGAAGUUUCUUACUCUAGACAAGGAAUUUUUGUCUCACAACAGAAGUAUGUGACUGAUCUCUUAAAGGAAACUGGAAAACUUGGUUGUAAACCAGUAGCUACACCUAUUGAGCCUAAUAAAAGGCUCGGGGAUGCAAAGGAAGAACUUGUUGUAGAUCGAGAAAUGUAUCAAAAAUUGGUCGGGAAACUCAUUUAUUUGGCUCAUACUAGACCUAAUAUUACCUAUUCAGUAAGUGUGAUUAGUCAAUUUAUGUAUGACCCAAGAGAAUCACACUUACAAGUUGUCCAUCAAGUGCUACAUUACUUAAAAGGAAGUCCUGGAAAAGGAGUCAUAUUCAGAAGAAAUCAAAAACUGGUAUUGCAAGCUUAUACCGAUGCUAACCAUGCAGGAUCCAUGGUGGAUAGAAGGUCAACAUCUGGUUAUUGCACAUUUCUUGGCGGAAAUUUAGUGACUUGGCAGAGUAAAAAAUAGAAUGUAGUUGCAAGAUCAAAUGCUGAAUCAGAAUUUCGAGCAAUGGCCCAAGGAAUAUGUGAGCUAUUAUGGCUUAAAAUCAUCCUAGAAAACUUGAAAAUCAAGUGGGAGGGUCCUAUGAAGCUGUAUUGUGACAAUAAAUCAGCAAUUAAUAUUGCUCAUAAUCUCGUACAGCAUGAUAGGACGAAGCAUAUUGAAAUUGACAGGCAUUUCAUCAAAGAAAAGAUAGAAGAGGGGUUGAUCUGCAUGUCCUACAUACCUCUCGGAGAUCAACUGGCUAAUGUGCUAACCAAAGGACUUAAUGGUGGGAUCAUUCACGAAAUUAUCUCCAAGCUGGGAAUGGAAGACAUCUAUUCCUCAGCUUGAGGGAGAGUGUUGAAUUAUCCUAAUUUUUAGAAGCUGAUUAUUAGGAAUAUUCAAUCUUGAUUUUUUGGGUCCUAAUUAUUAGGAAAUAGCUGUAAAUAAUUCGUUAGGAAAUGAUUUAUUAGUAUCCCUUAAUUUGUGGGAUUAUAGCUGUAUUAUUCAGAUCUGUUUUUUCCUAGUUAGUACUUGUAGAAGUCCUAUAAAUAGCUUUGUAAUCUUGGUACAAAAAUAUAGAGAAUUAUCACAAUUCUUUUCUCUAAUUUCUUCGAUUUGUGCUUUGGGAAUUGACUACUAAUUGAAUUUGUAUUUGAUAGGAAUGCUUGUUGGGCUUUUUACGUACCAAAACUGUGAUUUACGUAACUCAUCAAGUGGAAUUCUUGCCCGCGGCUGAUUUCAUACUGGUGAGCAAUUCACAAAUUACAGAACCUGUUUUUCAUUCUUUCUAGUUGUAGAGUCAGGAUACAAGGCAUUGUUCUUAUUUUUCAUCAGGUUAUGAAGGAUGGACGGAUUACGGAAGCAGGAAAAUACAACGAUAUACUUCAUGCAGGGACAAAUUUCAUGGAACUUGUAGGUGCACAUGAGAAAGCUUUGUCAGAGGUAGAUUCCAUACAAGACACACCGGCAAAUCGAGGAUCUAGUAGCAGUGUUCAAAAUGGCAGUGCGGAUGCUAAUGGGAAGAUUCCCGAGGAGGACGAAAGCAAAGCUUCUCAGAAAGGUGAAGUCAUCGACGAUGUUGGGACCAAAGGGCAGCUUGUUCAAGAUGAAGAAAGAGAGAAAGGUAGAGUCGGAUUUACAGUGUACUGGAAAUACAUCACAAUGGCAUAUGGAGGAGCUCUUGUGCCUGUCAUAUUGCUGGCACAUAUUCUUUUUCAGCUUCUUCAAAUAGGAAGUAAUUAUUGGAUGGCCUGGGCGACUCCAGUGUCCGAGGAUGUCAAACCUGCCGUUACAGGAUCAACUCUAAUAGCAGUCUAUGUAGCUUUGGCUGCUGGCAGUUCUCUAUGUGUUCUUGCAAGAGCUACUGCUCUUGCAAUUGCUGGGUUCAAGACAGCAACCGAGCUCUUCAAUAGGAUGCACUUUUGUAUUUUCCGUGCUCCAAUGUCCUUCUUCGAUUCUACUCCAAGCGGAAGAAUCCUCAAUAGGGUAUGUAUAAUAUGCUCGUUAUGAUAUUGUUACAGGGGUAUGUAUUUCUUCGAUUUAAGCUUGCAGAGGUCUGUCUUUUAUCCAAUCGCUUGUAUUUUCGUUUGUGUUGACUACGAUUAUCCAUGCGCAACUGCAUCUAUUAUGGCGUCUUUUCUUUGCUUUUGUAGGCUUCUGCAGACCAGAGUACCGUGGAUACAAGCAUGCAAUAUUUAGUUGCAGCAUUUUGUUUCACGAUGAUCCAGCUCCUUGGAAUUAUCGCUGUGAUGUCUCAGGUUGCAUGGCAGGUUUUCAUAAUUUUUAUCCCUGUCAUUGCAAUCUGUGUGUGGUAUCAGGUAAUCAUCCGAGCUCUUCCGAUCUUUUUCUAACUGUCAAGAAGAGCAAAGAGGACUUGGCUUUCUUUCUUUUCAGGAGGAUUGUUCUGGUUUUAGAUGUAUUCCGCUAGUUAUUUUGUUUCCUCACUCAUGGAAGGAGUGAAAUGGUGACACUCCCAUCCCAACCGUCUUCUCAUAAAAGCCUUGAAAUUGUGUGCUUGUUCGUCAAAGUCCUUUCACUUUUUUUCUCAUGAGUGACAAACUGUUGGCACAUCGUGAGCUUGAACGAGUAUCUGUAUACAUUGGGUCUAUGUAGAUACUUUUGAAUUUGCGAAAAUAUACACUGACUGAAUUAUUUUUCGCAUCCACAGCAAUAUUACAUAUCUUCUGCACGAGAAUUGUCAAGGUUGGUUGGGGUGUGCAAAGCUCCGGUAAUACAGCACUUUGCUGAGACAAUUUCAGGAGCCACCACUAUUAGAAGCUUUGAUCAAGAAUCACGGUUCCAAGAUACAAAUAUGAAACUUGCCGAUAGAUACUCACGGCCCAAGUUUCAUAUUGCUGGGGCAAUGGAAUGGUUGUGUUUUCGCCUAGACAUGCUAUCCUCGAUUAUUUUCGGCUUUUCUUUGAUUUUCCUAGUCUCUGUUCCUGAGGGAUUUAUCGAUCCAGGUAAGAACUUUCUUUUAGAUUUUCAAAUGCUGUUGUAUCUAUUUAAUUGUUUCUGGAACUUUUAACAUUUAAAUUGCUUCUUUCCUGAUGUCUGAAGCCAUUGCGGGGUUGGCCGUGACCUAUGGGCUUAACCUAAACAUGUUACAAGCUUGGGUGAUUCGGAAUCUCUGCAAUAUGGAGAACAGAAUCAUAUCAGUUGAGAGGAUACUGCAGUACACCAGCAUUCCGAGUGAGCCCCCUCUUAUAUUAGAGGAAAAUCACCCGUCAAUCUCUUGGCCAUCACACGGAGAGAUCAACAUUUGCCAUCUGCAGGUACAUGAAGCUUCUGUAUCAUCUCAUAUUACAGCUUUUACAAUUCACGAUUGACCUAUUUUUGUGACAACCAUGUGGAACGUAGGUCCAAUAUGCUUCACACUUACCCCUUGUUCUGCGGGGAAUUACAUGCACUUUGCCUGGUGGAAUGAAAACCGGGAUCGUGGGGAGAACUGGAAGCGGUAAAUCAACCCUUAUACAAGCACUCUUCAGGAUUGUGGAACCUGCAGCUGGUCAAAUCAUGAUCGACAAUGUCAAUAUUUCCUUGAUUGGACUGCACGAUUUGAGGUCUAGACUGAGCAUAAUCCCUCAGGACCCAACCAUGUUUGAAGGGACCAUAAGAAGCAACUUGGACCCUCUGGAGGAGUACACAGAUGACCAGAUUUGGGAGGUUUGUUCAUUUCCUUGCACAAGUUAAAAUAACAUAAUAGGCAGAUUUAUCAAUGAUGUCGGUUAACGAGGUUUCUGCAAAUUUUAGGCCCUGCAUAAGUGCCAACUUGCAGAGGAGGUCCAGAAGAAGGAAGGAAAAUUAGAUUCUGCUGGUAAAUUUUAUUCCCUUUUCCUCCUGUGACUGCUCUUUUGUGGUUCUCCUAGAUGCAUUUAUAUGAAGAGGCAUUUUAAUACAAUUCCUGGAAGUUUAACUGAUCAUGUAGUUUUUUUUUGUCAGAACUGAUCAUGUAGUUUGCAAUAUCCUUUACAUCGUACAUUAAUCAAUCUUCUCAUUAUCUCAAGAUUUUUGGACAGGCAUCAAAAGCACUAAAACAUAAGUUUGAUGUUUCCAAAAACACAAAACAAUAUCUUUGAUAACCUUUUCCACCCUCUCUUUUUCAUAGCUGUUAUCUAUAUUUGUCAUUAUGCAGUUAUUGAGAAUGGAGAGAACUGGAGCAUGGGUCAGAGGCAGCUCGUGUGUCUUGGGCGCGUGCUGCUCAAGAAAAGCAAGAUCCUAGUGCUCGAUGAAGCUACCGCAUCCGUCGACACAGCUACUGAUAAUCUGAUACAGCAAACUCUGAGGCAGCACUUUGCUGACUGUACAGUUAUAACUAUUGCACAUCGUAUCACUUCUGUUCUUGAUAGUGACAUGGUUCUUUUUUUAGAUCAUGGUCAGUAUCUUUUAACGAUUUCUCCUUGCUCUUGCUGUCGCAUUCUGCAUUAAUCUUUUCUUAAGUGAAAUGAUACGAGCUCUCUUGAUCCACUGUGCAGGGCUGGUGGAAGAAUAUGAUUCUCCGAAGAGAUUACUGGACAACAAGUCAUCGUCCUUUGCGCUGCUGGUGGCGGAAUACACAAUGAGAGCAACCUCCACUUACGGGAAUUAACUGGAAUGCAGUAUGAUUGCAUUGGAAUAGUUCCUCUGAUGAUAAUGAAAAGUGUGACUGGCCUUCUAUGUCAUUGUCAUGUUCUUGUUUUAUUAUAGGCAAGUCAUUCUUGAUUGGUUGCUGUAGUGUAUGAGGCUACUAUGAGAGAGUAGGCAUAAAUUAAGCCCGAGGAAGGCUUAAAUUACGCUAAUGUUGUCAUGCAUGCAAUCUUAAAUGUACUAUAAUUGCGGGCUUUAGAUUGCUUAGGAGAAAACUCACUAAUGCAUUUGAUAUACUUUUUGAUGGAACCGGCAUUCAAUAAAUCGUCUACUUGGUAUUUUGCUUCUGUUUUCAUGGGUAACAUCAUUAGUUAAUCAAUCUUGGAAUGAGCUGAUUCUUGUUCCACCACCUACCAGGUAGCGUCGGCGAUGCUAAGAGAUCAGUCGUUGAUGGAAGAAGAGAACCGACUCUCGAGAAUAAGAUUAUAAAUGUCUUCAUUUAGUUGUAGACUCUCGGGACGGAUCCCCAUAGCGCUUGGAAAUCUUGUGCAUUCGAAUCUCGACCUUUUCCAUAAUAGAUAGAUACACAGUUCACUUCAUGUGGCCAAACUACUAGGUCUCAAAAAUCUCCAGGUCCUCAAGCUUUCCCAGGCACUUAAUCUGGGCAACUGAUCAAAGUACCUGCUCGAAAUGCUGGCAUUCUUGCAACUUCGUCCAACUUUGCCUGAGUUGCCUUAUUUCUCGUUUCUUAGAAAGAUUAAUGUUCUUGACCUCUCCGGAAGAUAGUAGCAUGUCCCAUCCUGCUGUUAUUUUGCCGUUCCAAUCAUCCGUAAAUGAAUAUUAUUAUGACCAAAGGAUCUGAUAACUUCUAUCGUAAUACCAACAGCGAAAAAAAUACAAGUAAACAGAGUACUAUCAUCUUCAUAUACAUACAUACAUACAUACAUACAUACAUACAUACAUACAUACAUACAUACAUACAUAUACAUAUAUAUAUAAGUACUGAAAGGUAACAGUGAGACCUUAUAAGAUUCUAGCACCAUUAAAAGAUAAAAGCCCCCCAGUCAGUAAAUAGAUUGAAUAGCCAUCAUCAAGUGAAGUAAUUCUACUAUCCACUGAACUUCUCCAACAGUUUAUUAAGACUGCCCAUUCAAGGUUCCAAUCGAAUAACUAUCUCUCGUAAAGAGCAAAAUCUAACAAAGAAGCAAGCUCAAUGAGUGAUGUGUUUCCGACUCUCAAAUAAUAGAAUUGAUGGUACUGUCUAUCUUUGCUUAAAAGCAUCAUUCCUGCCAUGAAAAGCAGAUAUUUUGCUUAUGAGGACUGGAACAGACAUUUCACUCAGAUUUUAAAGAAUGCUCUACUUUACAAGAUUCUAAUUUUCAAGCCUUCAAACUAGAAUUUGGAGCCAUGACGUAAUUACUGUUUCGACACUUCGUGAUGCAUACGUGUGCGACAUAACUUGCUGAUUGACUUAUUGAGCCUCAAAAUCAGAAAUAAUUGAACUCAUGCUUUUAGUAUAUUAAACCUGUAAGGCAAGUAGACUAUUCUUCCCUUUCUCUCUCUCACUAUGUAGAGCCGUUCUCUCUCGCAAUGUAGAGCUUUUCUCUACCCUAAUGGUAGUUCAACAAAUCAAACCCUAAUUACACCAUCACCCAUCCACUCUCGUAUCUUUCCAUGUUUCUCUCUCCCGCUUUUCCUCUUCAGCUUCUUCCACAAUUGCGGUCUCCGUUUGCCCGGAAUUGUGAUAUUUUGAUGAAUCAGUCUGUUUCCCUCACCAUUUUCACCCCCCGACAAUCCAUACCCAAGUUAUCGUCUUCCUUCACUGUUUGAUGGAAUUUCGUAUUUCUCUGUCUUAUCUCAACCCUCGUUGAUGGUUUAUCUUCAAUUGUUCUCCUUCAUUUUCACAGUCACUGGCCAAUCUUUUCUAUUCAAAGUCCACGAAACCUUUUGCAUGUACCUUCCCCUUCCUCGAUAGCCCUCUGGUGCUUUGCUCUAUCAUCUGCCUUUAUGGAUGAUCACGAUUACGAUGAAGCAUCUCGCCUAGCUGCUCUCUGUUCCCGGCUGGGUCGCCUAUGGCCGGAGCAACAGAUUGUGAUUCGGGAUGAGCCGCCACCUGUGGAGAAAGUCGAAGAAUGCAAAUUAAUGCUGGUAGGCAAAAUCUUAUCUAAUCCUUCCAUCAAUUUUCAGGCCUUUCAAAGUACAUUGAGGCGUGCAUGGAAAACAGACCAGGUUGAAAUAUCUGCAAGGGAAGCUGGUUUAUAUGUUGCAAAAUCUGAUUCAGACAAAUAGCGAGUUUUGGAUGGUGGUCCGUGGUUAUUCUCUAGUCACUUAGUGAUCUUUAAACCUUGGGUUCCCAACACGCCGUUGCACUGUUAUGAUUUCUCCACUUGCGCUUUUUGGGUGCAAGUCUUUGGUCUACCAUUGGAGUGGUGUACUAAGCAAAUAAUAGAAAAUGCGGUUAGAAACAUAGGCACAGUUCUGGAGGUUCAGAUUGAAAAUAAGGAGGGAACAUCUCUGCGGGCUGGGAAAGCUAGGGUUGAACUUAAGGUACAGGAAUCUUUAAAGACAGGCUAGCUUAUCAGAAUCAAUGAUAAAACCUUAUGGCUUGACUUUUGUUAUGAGCGAUUGUCAUACUUUUGCUAUUCCUGUGGCCAACUCAGACACUAUGCAACAUACUGUAAGGACUUUCCAUGCAAUGACGCGAAGAUGGAGGGAAAAGAAAAGAUGGCGUAUGGCCAAUGGUUAAGAGCGGAAGUGAGGGAGCAUAGCCCAUAUUGGCAAAUAUUCUACGAACCACAAGACAAACCUGUUUCGCUAGAAGAAGUGGUACCUGAGACUCCUCCAGCAGCACCCCUCUUGGGACCAGUACAGCCUCCUAGCAAUGAUAUAAACAGGGGAAUGCAUCAAAUGACAACUAUGCUACUUCCCCUAGGUACAGCUGAUAUUCCUCAGCAGCAGCAUUCUGCAGGUCAGCCAACAAAGACUCCAAUCUCAGCAGGGACAGAUAUAGCACUUACACCAAUGAAAACUACUUAUGACCUAGGAGUGGGCUCUUCUAACUCUAAGAGACUAAAAGCACACCAGAUUCAAUACGAAAGUAGGCACAACUAAAAAGUUGAAGCUUAUACCCCUUAUGAAUCACGACUACAUCAGUAUGAAGAUAUUGACGAAACACAACUGAUGGACACUCCCAUUUUCAAAACUGAUGAAGCUGGAAAAUGGGCUAUGGUGGCUUGCCCAAAAAAGCCACCAAUUGACAAAUGAAACUCUUGAGUUGGAACUGUUAGGGGUUGGGCAAUCCCAUGACAGUCCGGUCCCUUACGGCCCUAGUGGCUAAGGAGAGGCCCAAUGUUAUCUUUUUGAUGGAAACCAAAAACUAGCAGGUCUUACUUUAACGUUUGCAAAAAUGUCUCAAGUAUCCUAACUCCUUUAUUCUUAAUCCUAUUGGUUUAGCUGGUGGGUUGGCUCUUUUUUGGAAUGACCAGCUAGACAUUACUUUGGAAAGCUCUUCCUCCGAGGUUUAUGAUGUAUUAUGUACUGAUCUUAUAAGUGGUGUUAGGAUGUGACUCACCUGUCUUCACACUCCGACCACUUUUCAGCAGCGUCUUCAAUUUUGGGCAACCUUAUGACUCAUCAGCGCCUCCAAUGACUUGCCAUGGCUUUGUGUUGGGGACUUUAACGAAAUGCUCUAUCAUUGGGAGAAAGUUGGUAAGCAUUUGGCUAACUCACAGCUAAUGCAAUCUUUCAGAGAUGUUUUGCAUGAUUGUUCACUCAUGGACAUUGAGAGUAAAGGAUGUUCAUUUACCUGGAUGAAUCAUAGGACUGGUGAUGAAUUUGUUAAGGAAAGAUUGGAUAGGGUUCUCUGCACAUUGUACUGGCGUCUUACCUUUCCUAGGGCUGAAGUGUUUGCUUUAUUGGUUGUGGGGUCAAAUCACAGCCCCUUGCUCUUAACCACUGAAGUCUUAUCUCAUCGGAGGCCUCGGCCCUUUGUAUUCGAAGCCUUUUGGACCCAAGACCUAGAAUGUCGAGACAUUAUAACUCGAUCAUGGAGCUCCAACCGUCCAGCAACCUCCUCACUUGUAUCUAAACUGAAGGUGGUUUCCCAUGCUCUAGCUAAAUGGAGUAGAUCAAAGUUCUCCAAGGGUCAUCAACAAAUUGCAGCGUUACAACAGCAACUUCAGCAACAUGUGAAUCACACCCGUCACCAUUCUGAUGCACCAUUGAUAUCUGACCUGAAACAACAAAUACAACAAUUAUGGCAAUAAGAAGAACAAUAUUGGGCAAUGCGGUCUAGGAUAAAUUGGCUACAAUGGGGGGAUAAGAAUACUAGAUUCUUCCAUGCAACUACUAUUCAAAGGAGACAACGCAACAGGAUUAGUAUGCUACAAGAUGACAACCAGGUAUGGGUGCGUGACCCUCAGUAUUUAAAACAAAUGACAACUGAUUACUUCUCUAAUCUAUAUCGGACAGUGGAACACCGCGACUAUGGCCCUAUUUUGAACCAAUGUCCUUGUAUAAUCACUGAGGAAAUGAACUUGUCCCUGACAGCUCCGGUCACUAAGGAGGAAAUCCAAUAUGCUACUUUCCAGUUGGGAGUUACUAAAGCAUCGGGCCCCGACGGUUUAAAUGGUUUGUUCUUUCAAAACCAUUGGGAUAUUCUUCAGGAUGACCUAGUGUUAUUGGUGUGGGAAUUCUUCCUAUCUGGAGUCAUGCCACUUGAUCUAAAUCGGACUAUCAUCUCUCUAAUCCCGAGGUACCUCACCCUGAAAGGCUUGAUCAAUACCGCCCAAUCAGCUUAUGCAAUUAUGCCUACAAAAUCAUUUCUAAGGUGAUUGCAAACCCUACCUGUCUAAACUAAUAUCCAGGGAACAGAGUGCCUUUGUGAGUGGACGACAAAUACAAGAUAAUAUCUUAAUAGUGCAGGAGGUACUUCAUCAGAUUAAGACUAGAAAAUGCAAGCGCCAAUUUCGAGCUAUUCUAAAGAUGGAUAUGCAAAAAGCAUAUGACUAGGUUGAGUGGGAUUUCCUGCAAGAUUAUCUCCUCAAGAUAGGCUUUCGUGCUACAUGGGUACAUUGAGUCAUGCAAUGUAUAACGACAGUAUCUUUUAGUGUUAAAUUCAAUGGUGAACAUCUUCCAUUUUUCCAACCACCCUGAGGUCUUAGACAGGGAGAUCCUCUCUCCCCCUAUCUAUUUAUCCUUUUGGAGAAUGUUCCCUCUCAUCUUAUCAAUCAAGUUUUAUCCUUUUGGAGAAUGUUCUCUCUCAUCUUAUCAAUCAAGUAGUUACCAUGGGGCUUCUCAGAGGCAUCAAAUUGAACAGGUGGUGUCCUACUCUAUCUCACCUGUUUUUUGCGGAUGAUGUAAUUUUCUUUUUAGAUGGAAAAUUACUUGAAUGUCAGAAUUUGGCCAACAUUAUCAAUCAGUACUGCUUUGCUACUGGCCAGGCUGUUAAUAGGAAUAAAUCUGUAAUCUUUUUUUAGUAAAGAUUGUCCUUUUACCCUAAAGGAAAAUCUUGCUCGGGAACUCCGAAUACCUGUGAUUGAUAAGUCUUGUAAAUAUCUUGGUAUACCAUCCGACUGGGGCAGAUCUAAGAGGGAGAUGUUUGCUUGGAUAUUAGGAAGAGUGAUUCCAAAUUAGAAGGGUGGAAAGAAAACUUGAUUUCGAAUGGUGGUAAGGAAAUUUUACUAAAGACUAUCGUACAAGCAAUACCUCAGUAUGCCAUGUCCAUUUUUAAGAUACCUGUGUCAAUUUGCAAGUCCAUUGAACAAAAAAUUGCUAGGUUUUGAUGGCAAAGUGACGGAAAAAUCAAGCAUACAUUGGAAGAAUUGGGAAGCUCUUAAAAGUAGCAAGAAUAGUGGGGGUCUCGGCUUUCGUGAUCUUAUUGACUUCAACAAAGCCAUGCUUGGUAAGCAAGCAUGAAGACUUCUACAGCAUCCAACUUCCUUAUGGAGCACCCUUCUUAAAGGGCUUUAUUUCCACUCGCAGGAAUUUCUACAAACGGAUCAGGGUUCCAAACCAUCAUGGGGAUGGUGGAGUAUUCUUCUUGGAAGGGAUGUUAUUUUACCUCACCUGCAAUGGUCUGUUGGUAGUGGACAAGCUACUAAAAUUUGGGAAAAUCGUUGGCUCCCUAGAGGGGUUAUAGGAGGCCCUAUACCUCGCAAUGCUUUGUAGAUGGUAGCUGAUCUAUUCGACUCAGAUAACAGCAACUGGAACACCCCCCUUCUUAAUCAGAACUUUGAUGCACCAACAAUUGCUGAAAUUCUUCCCAUACAAGUAAGCCCUCAUUAUACUAUUGAUCAUAUUAUUUGGUUAAAGACUCAAAAUGGCAACUAUACUGUCAAAAGCACUUACCAUACCAUCAGACAAUACACUUCCAGCAACCAACAGAACCAAGCAUCAUCAUCAUACAAACCCCCCAAGCUUCUUUGGAAAUCCAUAUGGACUGUCAACUUACCCCCCAAAAUUCGGCCUUUCUUAUGGUCAGUUUGUCAUAAUGCCCUAGCUACAAAAGACAAUCUUUUUUCAAUGGCACAUCACAACAAAACCAACAUGUCCUAUAUGUAAUCAAAACAAACCAAAAACCACAAAACAUCAUUUUCUUUUAUGUCCAUGGACGCGUCAUAUUUGGUCACAUCCACAUAUCGGCAUUCACACUACAUCACAUCACAAUUAGUCAAACGAAUGGAUGAAUGGUUAGCAACACAGUUUGAAUGCUAGAGUAACUUACUUGGUAUGGAGAUCAUCGCUACCCUAUUAUGGCAGAUCUGGAAAUCUCGCAAUGGGUUUAUCUUCCGCCGACAACGGCCUAAGUCAUCAAGGGUAGUCAAGGAGGCCCUCGCCCAGGUACGAAUCGCAUCGCUUUCAUCCCAAUUGUUGGUGCGUACAGCCCGAUCUACUUCACAUUCCGAUCUGCUGUGGUGACCACCAGAUCCUAGCGAGGUAAAAAUCAAUAUUGAUGGAGCAUAUCAACAAAUGAGUUCUAAAAGAGCAAUGGCGAGUAUAUUCAGAGACCACACAAGAACUCUCCUCCAUGGCUUUACCUAUGAUUUCUCAACAACUUCGGCUCUGCACAGCGAGAUCUAGGCGUUCCUCACCACUAUUGAUUUUCUGUUGCAGCACGGCAAGAAUCGAGACCGGCUUGUGCUUGAAUCUCAUUGUCUUGUUUUGACAGAUGUGGUUCGCCAUCCAUCAUCAACGCCAUGGGAGAUGCGCCCUUUAUUUGUAGAAGCGGCAGCCAAACUCCACCUUUUCCCUACCCUAAAGAUUCGUCACUGUAGAUGCGAAGCCAACUUUGUGGCUGAUUGGGCCGCUAAGGCCCAUUUUCAUGGCAACUUAUUACCAAACUGGGCUUUGUUUCCCCCUUUGCUUUCGGAUCUUCUGUACUCGGACGCCCAAGCUUCGGGCUGUUGUCCUCCUUUACAUUAGUGUUAUAAUACUUCCUAUUUCGAUCAAAAAAAAAAAACCCUAUAAGGCAUGUGAUAAAAUAAACUAGUAAGCAAGAAACCAUUCGUAGGGAAAGCAGUACCGCAUCACUUUCAACAAUACCCUUAUCAAUCUGCAUUUUUAAGAAACUCGAAAAGUCAUGUUGUAUACAGAUUCAACUGAAUCACAGAGCUUCCUCCUAUGAGGCGCUCACUAUUUCUCCAACAAAAUUUCUGCAAUAUCCUCGAAAGGUAGAAGAAGUGAUCGGUCAUUCCCAGUGUUAAAAAAAUCAUUUAUGAUAUUUUGAAGAUGACAAAAUAAAUCAAAGGCUACUAACGUGUUUAAUGGUUAAGUAACAAACUAUGCAGAUGAUAGAAUGUAUGAAUGAUAUUGUCAAAGGUCUAUAUUUGGAAGAUUCAGAAGACAGGCUCUAUGCUAAAGCUAAACUUAUUCAAAUUGUGUCCAGACCUCAAGGCUAAAUCUGUUCAGAAGCAGAAUAUGUUCAGACUUACGUUCAGAUUGUAAAGUCUAUUUUAGUCUGAAGACACUCGGACUCUACUUCAGUUUGAAGACUCGUAGACUUUACAUCCAGAAUGAGACACAAGUUCAAAACGUAGCAGAUUCAGAACGAAAUAACUUGAUAGAACGUAACACAAGCCCCAAACAUAUAACGGUUAGUAAUCUGGUUUGGAUUCCACAUCAAGAUAGAUUUGAUUAACUUAAUCUAAUUUAUUGACAAUUGGAUAUUGAAGACAAGAAAUUUCUAAACGAAGAAGCUUUACUUAUGGAAACCAAGAUUUUGUUUUGUACGGGUGAUCAAAAUCAAUAUGGAAUUCUACUUCUAUCACUCAACGACUACUAAAUCUUCUAGAUACAGAUAUGUCCAAUGGGUAGAUCUGAAGACAAUCCUUUAGAUACUAUCCAACGGCUAGUUUGGAAGUGGAGGAAUAUUUAAGGAGAUCAAAGACCGAUGAGCAAGAAAGAGACGAAGCGUAGAAUUUAUAAUUCCAAAGUCUAAGUGACCUUUGUUCAUACACUUGUCUUUGGUGAGCUUAAAAGUUUGUGAUCGUGAGAUAAAUACUAAAAGAGUGAUUUAGUAAGAUAGUGUGAUCUACCACUAAAUGUUUGCACUCAAAGUUGUAAUCUCUUGUUGAUCACAUAGUGGAAUCCAACUAAAAGGCUAUUAGUGUGACAUCCUGAUUUUUAGAUUCUGAUUUCAUUGACGCGACUAUAAUGUUUUUCUCUGAAAUGACCACUCAUGAGAUAACUAGCCUAUCAGGUGAAGUCAUUAAGGGAUUUUAACGCAAUAGACUUGAGAAUUUGACCAUAAAUCGACCGCUCAAUCGUGCUAGUCUGCAAGGGUCAUUACAGCAUUAUCAAAAUUGAUCAGAAACCGGAGAUAUGUCGAUUUGACUAAGAUGUGUGAUCAAGUGUGGGUGAUUCCACCUGAUUGCAAAAUUCUUGUCGAUCGACACUAAACCGAUUUUCUAUCGUUUUGGGUACUAUGUGUCCAUAUUUGAAACCUCGAUAUUUUCACGAUCACCAAGAGUUGCCAAUGUGUUCAAGAGGUAUGUUGUGGUUUGAAUAAAAUUGACCACGGGUCAAUUGCACCAAAAAUUCCUAAAAGCUACCCGGUAGGCUAGGUUACGCUAAAAUCGCGCCAAAUUGAAAUUAAUCGCGAAUUUGAACCCGAUUUCAAAAAUUGAAAGUUCUAUCAUGUCACGAGUAAUUUUAGGAACGUUGACUAAUCUUUCGAGGAAUUUUCAAUGAGUUCGGGAUUUUUACGGAAAAUCGAUUCGGACGAUUCGGAAAUCGACGGAAAUUUGGAUAGGUCAAUUUGAAGGGAUUUUUGGCCUCCAGUGUGAGUUACUUGGUGAAAUGAGAUUUUGUGGGCUUUUUCUUUAACAAAAUUGGACAUCAAUCGGGGAGAUUUGUUAAGAAAUUGGAUUAUGGGAAAAAGGAAAUAGAAUUCGAGAUUGAGAGAAAUUCGUAGACUUGAGAGACUGUCACAUUUUGAUCUUUAUUUGGAUUUCAAUUGGGACAAUUUGGUGUUGAAAUUGGCCUUGGAUGACCAAUUAUUAAUGUUGUGGGAAGUUGUGCUAAAGUUAUUUGUGUUUAAUUUUUUUCAUUCCCCUCCAUCGGACCCCCCUUCACGCCCACGUCUGCCCCCUCCUCCGUUCGACCGUCCGCCUCUACUGUAGUCUUCAUUUGCUUUUAAACUUCUUUGACUUUUGAAACACCAGUUGGCUUCCCCUUCGAUCUCUCUCUUUCUCUCUCCCUUAGUCACACGUUUCUUUUUCCUUCCCCCUCACAGCCGACAAGCUCCAUUGCCUUAUCUCUUCUCUUUCUCCUUUGAUCCUUUUCUCUCUAGCCUCGACAGCUUCGUCGAUGCCCCAUCUGCUUCUACCUCUCCUUCACUUUCAAUUUUCCUCGCAUGUCCUCUGCCCCAUAGAUGCCCCCACCUCCAUUGAAGUUUGUAGCCCCACGUUUGCCCCCAUCGAAUUUCCUUGCAGCACCACACGUGUUCCACUAGCCCACAUCAACCCUCACAUCUUCCACUUUCGGCUGUUUCCCUCCUCUCACGAAGCUAGCCCAUACUCCAUUUGAACACCAAAGCAGCCCAUGAUCUUUUCUCCAUAGAUCUCAGCCCAACAGCAGCUCCAUUUUCAGCGUUCCGUGACCGCCAAAACCAUCCCGAGCUACGUCCGUUCAGCCACCAUCCUUGUCUUCACAGAACUGAAGUAGCAAGACUAGCCCAUCCGCGGACUUGCAUUGCCGAUUUCGGCCCGAUUCGGGCCCCCGUUAGUGCCACCGCUUUGGAGUUUAUCGGCCGCCGUUGCGUCACCGUCAUUAAUCUAGUGAGUUUAAUUCACUAAUCCUUGCUUAGUAAGUUAAUGGCGUUUAAGGGUUGAUUAGUUUAGACUAAAUAUGGAUUAGGUGGAUAGUUAGAUUAGAUUAGCAAUUUAAUUAAUUGUUAUUGCAUGUUAGGUGGUUAGAGUAGUAUAACUAGAGCCUAGAUAAGCUCUAGUAUUUAUUUAGAGUGGUUCGAAAAUUUUCCGAACUCGAAUCAACUUUUAAUUAGGCUUUACAAGCCUAAGUGUGCAUUUUUACUAUUUAAUAAUUAAUUUCCUUAAUUAUUUAAUUAAUUAUUAUUUUCCGAAAAUUAGACCGGGAUAAUCGAUGAUCAGAAUUUUAUGCUGAUUACAAUGGUGUGAUCUGUUUAUUUAAUUGACUGUUAUUUUGUGCAAAUUAAGUGUGAUUUGUGAUUGUGGGUAAUUAUCUCAAAAUUAAUUAAUUUCAGUAAUUGAUUAGAAAAUCACCGAGCAUCGGUUUACAACGCCAAAAAGGAAUUUGUGGACUGAUGAAAUUAGUGGGAUUUUCAAGUGAGAAAAUAUUAUAUUUUGGCUAAGGCCGACCGUGUACCCACACAUGAGUAUUUUUAUUGAGUAUGAUAAAAAUGACAAAAUUGUUAAAUGAUCAGGAUGGUAUAUUAUCAGCCUACGGGCGAUAUGGCAACUUCUGGUGAGCAAUAUACCUGGUAGCUUCUGGUGAGCAGUAUACCUAGUAGUUUAUAGCGAACAUUAUUAUUAUACUAUAUCAGUAUACCUAGCAUCUUCUGGUGAGUAUUAUUAGUAUAUUAUAUCAGUAUACCUAGCAGUUUCUAGUGAACAUUAUUAGCAUACUAUAUCAGUAUAUAUGAUAGCUUCUGGUGAGUUAUACUAUCUACUAUCAGCUUAGAGUGAGCAGUCCUGAUUAUGAUUGGACUUUAUAGAUAGUAUUGAUUAAGAUGACCGAGAGAUGGUUGUGAUGACAUGUAAUCAACUGAGUCGAUUAAUUGAUGAUUCAAUCAAAUUGGUUGAAAUGAUUGGAUGGUUAUUCAAAUUGUAUUGACUUGUACGAAAAGACUGAGGCUAAAGUAAGUUAUCUGACUUGUGUUUGUGCUUAAGCAGCCCUCAAGGCAUAUUUUCUUCCUAAUCGGGUUUUAUGAGGUUGAACUCACUGAGACGUUGUCUCACUCUGUUGUGAGAUAACAUUUUCAGGAUCUUAGAUGGCGUACCCCCCGAAGCAUCAUAGCCAUCCCAUGAGGGUUACUGAGUGAAUUUCUAGUUACCUCGAUCUCGGAGGUUUUAGGGUUUACGAGCUAGUUGUAACCACUGUCUAGGUCGAAGAGUUUCCACAUUAGGAGAUACCUAAUCGAUUCAAAGCAUGGUUCCGCAUUGCUCCCUAUGGCGUCAGACUAGGUCCCCUUAGGACUUUCGAUAUCGCCUCUAUGGUGAUUGAUGGUGUCCAACUUACCCUCUUGAUGGGGUCGUGGAGGACCUGCCAUCUUGCCCUGACCCUGUGGACUCUGCCGAAUAAGAGAACGAGUCGGACUAGCUGAUCAUAGGACAACUUGUUUUGGAGAGUCGACCUUUUUGUAGAUUUUGUAAAUAUCGGCUAGUAAUGUAUAUAAAUUAGUCUGAUAUGUAUAAAUGUGUGAUUUGCUUUUCAAAAAAAAUGUGGUCCUGCUUUUCUAUCCCACCUUGUUGUUGUUUGGGGAUUAAUCUAUUUGCUUCCGCAUGUGCAUUAAAAAGAAUGGGUUGGCGACAUGUCUUAGGACGUUGCUAGUUAAACAACCGCAUAGGUAUGGGCACGCGCUCGGAGGAUCGGGGCGUGACAGUUAACGUGGGAGAGUAGAUGUAGGCUUGAUCUAAAAUGAACCACUAUAAAUUAUGUGUUCUUAUUCUCUUCCCUGAACUCAUUUAUUCUAUUUGUAGUUCUAUUUAACUGUUAAAGUCUGAACUCACUCAAAGUCUGUUGUUUUUCAGACACAAUUUCAAAAGUUUGUUAUUCUUCAGACUCAGUUUCGAAAGAAAAAUAUUUCUACUAUUCUUUUGCGAAAAUUUUUGUUCACCUAUUCACCUAUUCACCCCCCUCUAGGUGUUCAUACUAGCCCAUUUAAUCUUGAAAGAUAUUAUUGCAUAUUCAUGGAUACUCUUGCUAUAUUUUUAGAAGAUAUCUUAUAUCUAGCAAGUUUGAUCCGCAAAUGAGAUGAAGGAAUUAUAUGAUAUUUUUGCAAGGAUUGUUAUCUAUUAUACAAGAAUUUGCAGGUAGCAAAAGAAUCUUCCGUAUGGAUUUUGGAAAGCUCAAUCUAAAAGUUAUGGAGAUUCUAUACUAUUUUCUGGAGGCUCAAAGAUUCUCUUCCUCGUGCAAAAUUUUUGCAAAUUAUUGAGGAAAUCCCUUAUGUGACGUACGAAAGGGAGAAAGUGAAUCCAAAAGAAAUGGAAAGAGUCGUGAUCACCUCUAAAAGGCAACUAAUUGAGGGGGAGCAUUGAUCAAUUAUGGAAAAAUCUUUUUAAUUCGAUCGUGAUCUUGAUUAUUAUGAAAUGAAGGAAAAGAUAAAUGUGUUAGAACUUACCAAGUUCUACGAAAUCCGGUUAGUGCAUUUUUUAUUACAUUUUGUCAUUAACAAAUCUCUUAUUGAUAUUAUCAUUUUAUUAUGACAAAAUGGGUGAAGUGAAUUUUAUAAUGCAUCCGUGAUUUUUAUUGGAUAUUUGCUGAUAUAUAUGAUCGAAGUGAGCUACAUUGCAUAUCUUUAAUAUUUGACUUACUUUGUAAAUGUUGAUUUUUUUUAAAAUAGUGUUUCAUGCAAGAUAUUUUUCAUCAUUUUUUAUUCUCUACACGAUACUUUUUAUCGCUUUUUGAUUAUGAGAAAAAGGGGGAGAGAAUAUAUAUAUGCACAUGUGUUGAUUGGUUGAUAUUAUUUAUUGCAUAAUAUUGAGCUGCGAUUAUUUUUCUAUAUAUUGUUAUGCUCAAUCUAUUUAUCUUCUGCUAUCUUUUGAUUUGAAUUAUAUUUUAGAAAAGUGUGAUUACACAUCUACAUAUUCAGAGAUUUUUUUGUCAUCAUAAAAAAUAGGGAGAUUGUUAGGGAAUUCAUUUAUGAUGUUUUGAAGAUGACAAAAUAAAUUAAAGGCACCAUCGGCCGUGGUGGCUCCGCUGGAUAAGAGCUCCAUUGAUCCUUCCCCAAAGGUGAGGGGUUCGAAACCUAGUGGAGGCACUUGGUGUCUUAAGUGUGAUGCCGGGGUGGUGGGUCCUCCGCUAGCGUCACCCUAGGUUGCUUGGCCGGCUGUCGGCUGUACGAGGUUCCUAGGUCAUCAAAAAUAAAGAAAUAAAUAAAUAAAUAAAUUAAAGGCUACUAAUGUGUUUAAUGGUUGAGUAACAAACUAUGUAGAUGAUAGAAUGUAUAAAUGAUAUUGUCAAAGUCUAUACUUGGAAGAUUCAGAAAACAGACUCUAUGCUGAAACUGAACUUAUUCAGACUGUGUCCAAACUUUAAAGCUAAAUCUGUUCAAAAGCAGAAUAUGUUCAGACUUACAUCCAGAUUGUAAAUUCUAUUUCAGUUUAAAGACACUCAGACUCUACUUCAGUCUGAAGAUUCUCAGACUUUACAUCCAGAACGAGACACAAGUUCAGAACAUAGUAGAUUCAAAACGAAACAACUUGACAGAAAGUAACACAAACCCCAAACAUAUAAUGGCUAGUAAUUUAGUUUGGAUUCCACAUCAAAAUAGAUUUGAUUAACUCAAUCUAAUUGAUUAACAAUUGGAUAUUGAAGACAAGAACUUUCUAAACGAAGAAGCUCUAUUAUGAAAACCAAGAUUCUGUCUGUAUGGGUGAUCAUAAUCAAUUUGGGAUUAUACUUCUAUCACUCAGUGGCUACUAAAUCUUCUAGAUACAGAUCUGUCCAAUGGGUAGAAUGGAAGAUGAUUCUUUAGAUACUAUCCAACGGCUAGUUUGGAAGUGGAGAAAUAUUUAAGGAGAUCAAGGACUGAUAAGCAAGAAAGAGACGAAGCAUUGAAUUUAUAAUUCUAAAGUCUGAGCGACCUUUGUUUAUACACUUGUCUUUAGUGAGCUUAAACACUUGUGAUCGUGAGAGAAAUACCAAAAGAGUGACUUAGUGAGAUAGUAUGAUCUACCAUUGAGUGUUUGCAUUCAAAGUUGUAAUCUCUUGUUGAUUGCAUAGUCGAAUCCAGAUAAAAGGCUGUUAACGUGGGAGAGUGGAUGUAGGCUUGAUCUAAGCCGAACCACUAUAAAUUAUAUGUUCUUAUUCUCUUCCCUGAACUCCUUUAUUCUAUUCAUAGCUCUAUUUAACUACUAAAGUCUGAACUCGCUCAAAGUCUGUUGUUCUUCAGACUCAAUUUUAAAAGUUUGUUGUUCUUCAGAGUCAAUUUCAAAAGAAAAAUAUUUCUACUAUUCUUUUACGAAAAUUUUUGUUCACACCUAUUCACCCCCCUCUAGGUGUUCAUACUAGCCCCUUUCACCCAUCUUGUUCUACAUAUUGCAAACCAAGCACAACAAAGCUAAUCAUUGCAGACAAAACAUUGCUCAUGUUAUAAACUCCUCUGCUCCUCGCCUCAAAAUCCCCAUCCAAAUAGAGAAGCAUAGAUUCUCAAAUACAUCGGUAAGAAGGAACAACUUAUUCCCACCAAAAAUUGACAAGAUAAAAAGGAAAAAGGAGCAACCGAUACAUCUAGUACCAUAAAAUUCAAGUAACUACAAUAUUUAUUGAUAAGUUGGAGCUCAGCAAGGGAAAAAAAGAGAAGAAUUAGCGACCUUAUAACUACAGGAACACAGUAAUUUAAGUGCAGUGUCUAAGCUUGCUUUAGUUAAGCAGGAAACAAAGGUAACAACACUAAAAUCAGAGGACUGAAGCAGAAAAAGUCUUCUUUCAAGGAUUGGAGUAGAGUAACGAAAGUAAGAUUAAUAAGAGGAUAGAAGGCAAUUUGACUUGUGAUAAUAGUGCCUUCAGCCAAAUUGAACAAAGAUAUUUGUAUCUGAAACUAGAAAUUCAGGGAACAAAACAUAUUUAGAUCAGAUAGAUUUACUUCAAAAGUACAUCAAGGUAACCAUUGAUUUAUCUACGCGAUGAAAGAUGCAAACCUUAAAGUGCACCAACUAUUGAACCUAGCUUAUGUGUCCUAUCAAUGAAUGGUUAAAAGACAACAGACUGCUCCCAAUUACUAGAUGUACAUUGGGAAUUCAGAAGAGAUUGAAAGCUUGAUAUGGAAUAGAACUUAAAUCCUAAAAAAGGAAUCCUUGACAAACUCAGUUUGCUAUAUAACAUUUUAUCAUCAGUAAUCCAGUUCACUUGUUAAGGAUUGGAUUCCAAAAAGCAAUACAUCCAUCAUCACCAACAAAAGAAAAACAAAUUCAUCGAGGGAACUCCACAAGCACUCAGCAUACAGUAAACUAAACAACAAAGUAAAUAUCUAAUGUACCCAAAAAAAAACUACCAAUGGCAAAUUUAAGUGCACCUGAGAUGGAACAUCUUCCUUCAACAUCCACAAAAUCUUAAGCCAUGAGGUAGACGGCUACACCAAGCUCUAACAGUCACACUAAAUGUACCAUAUAAUCAUCCUACAGUAGAAGCGUUUGUAACAUGCAUUUGAGUGAUAGCGACAGAAAUCCAAAUAAUUUAGCAGGAGGUUCUGCAGAAAAUCUUACAUGGCCGUGUCACGGUCCGUGAAUCAUUCCGUACUCGUGACACUUGUGAGUGGGGCUUGGGAUUAUCUGGUGAAGAGUGUGGGCAGAAGGGUAGAACACAACUGGUCCGUGGGAGUGGCGUCAGGACGGUUCGUGCUAAGAGUUCUAGGAUAGAAGGAUUACAUCACUUAGGAGCUCUGAAGACGGGGUAGGCCUCCCGUGCACAAACUGGUUGGGAGCUGAUGCCGCUCUCCUGACGAGGCCAUGGUAGGCCGAAACCAGUUGUUGUGCCUAAAGAGAACUGUUGUAUUAAUCGAUGGACUAGACGCCCAAGCGAAGCUAGGCGUGGUAGGAUCUUGUACGAAGAAUCAUUCACCGUAUCGUUCAUGGAACAGCUAAGAAGGAAGGCUAUCUUAGCGAAUCCCGCUCGCUAGGUGCCCGCGGGUCGUUCCGAGGCCAAGGAAACUCUCGGCCCGUGACAAGUGGUAUCCGAGCAAGAAUCCCUCCAGUAAGCAAGUGAGCAAGUCGGAGAAUCAGACUCCUCGCUCAAGUGCGGGUCAAACAGACAAGUCCUAGUGGAUGGGUGCUAGGACAAGUUGGCUUCUCGCCGAGCGGAAUGCGAGUUAGAGAAGAACCGAACCCUUGUUGAAUGGGGAUAACGUUCCUAGAUCGAUCGGUGAAUACGAAGAAGAGGUCUACUGCUGCGUUUUCAACAAGAAAAGAACCUCCAUUGGUUUGCUGGGGUCAAGAUGCUGGUUAGGCUGAAAUGGUGCUGCCAAAAGAUGCGGUUGGCGAAAGAUGCCACACUUGCUGGAAAGCGCAGGUGACCGAAUGGUCGAGCGGUUGAGAUCAAAAGAGGCCACCAAUGAAGCAAAAGCUGUUUUGUUGGGCGGGCGUGAUCGUUCGAUGUGAAUUCCCAAAAGUGGCACAUCAAUGGUUAAUUGACGCGAGGAAGCGACAGAGCAGAUCGCAACGAGGGCGUUGCGAAUUGAGUGGGGGAGAAUGUCACGGUCCAUGAAUCCUCCCAUACUCGUGACACUUGUGAGUGGGGCUUGGGGUUAUCUGGUGAAGAGUGUGAGGCAGAAGGGUAGAAUACAACUGGUCCGUGGCAGUGGCGUCAGGACGAUUAGUGCUAGGAGUUCUAGAAUAGAAGGAUUACAUCACUUAGGAGCUCUGAAGACGGGGUAGGCCUCCCGUGCACAAACUGGUCGGGAGCUGAUGCCGCUCUCCUGACGAGGCCAUGGCAGGCCAAAACCAGUUGUUGUGCCUAAAGAGAACUGUUGUAUUACUCGAUGGACUAGAUGCCCAAGCGAAGCUGGGUGUGGUAGGAUCUCGUACGUGAAAUAGCUAGUACGAGUACCUAGAGGGGGGUGAAUAGGUAUAUAAAAAAAAUUUCUCGAAGCUUGCACGAUAUUUAAACAAUUAAAGAAUUUGCAACAGUUAAAAAUUCAAUCGCAAGACUGAGUAAGGGAAAGAGAGAAUUGAACACUCAGUUUAUAGUGGUUCGGCUUGAUUCAAGCCUACGUCCACUCUUCUGCACUGACAGCCGAUUGGCUGGAUUCCACUAUGAUCAAAGAGUUGUUACAGUGUUGAUCUUCCUUGAUUUCUAGGUGUAGAUGAUCUACCACACUCGCUCAAGGCGUUACCAAGUAUAAACACUCUCUGUGUACAAUUUCGCUCAGUCUCGACUAACAAUCAAGGAUCUUCAGACUCUGGAAUUUUUCUAUCGAUCACACUCUUAAAACAACUAGAACAUCUUCCUUUUAUAUUCCUUCAUGCCAUCAUAGCCGUUGGCACUUACCAAAGGAAUUCCUCCAAUCUACCCGUUGGACGGAAUCAAUCAAGAAGAUCAUCCGAGCUAUUUAAGGAAUCUGAUGAUAGCCCAUCAAUCAUGUUCGCCUAUACAAUCAGGAUCUCGGUUUCCAAGAAUAGAAUAAUCCAAGAUUAUUUUGUCGACCAUCGGAUCUUCAAUUGAUCUUAGAUAAGAAUUAAAGAAUCCGAAAUGAUUAUCCAACCAAAGAAUCUAUUCCAGAGGAUAGAAUCAAAUCCUCAACCAUAAACCUCGACUUUGGAUUUUCUUCAACACUGGAUUAGAAAGACUGUCAGUGAGAAUAAUUUUGAGUCUUGAGUCUUGAGUCUUGAGUCUUGAGUCUUGAGAUAACAAAGUCUUGAGACUAUAAAUUCUUGAGACUUUAACUAUCGAUAUCCAGACUUAGACUGAUAGAAAUGUUUUGUCAGCUUCAAAAUAUUCUGGAAAGAUUUCUCCAACAAUCUCCCCCUUUUUGAUGGUGACAAAACUUUCUUGAAGAUUUGAACAACUUUGACCUGCAAAAACAUUUCUCAAGCAAUAUGGCUAACUCAUAAAGAUUAAUAAACAACCAGACUCUGCAUCCACAGCAAAUUGGUUAGUCUUUCAUGAGUAAUACCAUGUAACAAUACUUGAUAUUAAUGCAACCAGUCAAGCAUCAAAAUCCACAACCAAUUCAGUCUAACACUCAAGUUCAAGUUCUCAAGUCAUACUCAAAAAUAAACAUAAACACAAAAGUCACUUCACAAAAGUCUUAAAAUAAUGUUUGUUCAAAUUGGUUCUCCCCCUUUUUGUCAUCAUUAAAAAGAGGGUGAGAAAGGAGUCAUGUCUGCUUGGGAAUGCGCACGAUCUGGAAAUCCCCAAUUGACUGGACUACUCCUUCGAGCUUCUUCAGAUCUUCUCGCAGAUGAGCUACCUCUUCUCUCUUCGCAUUGGCUUGAAGUUGCAGAGCAAGGUCUUUGUAUUUAUCUUCCAGAGAGACUGAAGAUGCUUGUCCAGCAUGCUUCAAAGCUUGGAUUUCACAGUCCAGAAUAUAUAUCUGGUUACGCAUUUCCAGAAGAAUAUUCAUGAUACUACGAAGAUCUACAGAAUCAUCCGUCUGUGUACUGGCAUUGGCUUUCUCAGAUGGUGUGUGUGCAGACGAUGGCGCUUCUGAACGGUCUGGCAGAUUUGGAAUCGUCGUAUCAUCUUCUUCAGGCAAUUGAGAGACCUGAACGUCUUCUGGGUCUUCUGGAGAUUGUCUUAGAUCUUCAGCAGCAUGAGGUGGAGACCUCUCUUGCUCGCUAACUCCCCCUGUCUCUAGGACAUCGAAAGGGGAAGAGUGAUGAUCAUGCUCUUGAUUUCCCUUCUCUCCAGAUUUAUCAGCAGACUGUUCUUUUUCUUCUUCCUCAACUUCUUUCUCCUUCUCUCUCUGUUCUUCUUCUUCUCUGCUCUGCUGAAGUUCUGUCGGAUAAGACACAGAACGUCUUGUUCUUGUCAGUGCUGGAAUAGUGGGAUCUUCAUCAUCUUCAUCCUCAUCCUCAUCCUCCAGAAUAAGAGUUCUUUUCCUCUUUUUCGAAGAAGCACCAAUGGCCUUCUUUCCUUUCCCUUUUGAAGCAGACUGGACUGGAGAUUUCACUUUGAAUUUCUCCAUUGCCUUAGAGAGUUCUUGCAGACGCAUCUUCAUUAACAUUUUCAGCCCUACCACCAUUUUAUCACACGGUCGAACACAAAAAGUAUGUGGCAGUUCAAUAUUCAGAUGUCUGAAGAUCUUGGUCACCAGACCAGGAUAAGGCAAUUGUCCUUUGUCUUUUGACACUGCUCUGUACAUAUGGAAAAGAAUAGUGUGCGGGAGAGAGAACUUUCGUCCUGAGUUGAUCGCAUACAUCAACUUUGCUUCAGAAAGAGACACAGAAGUCUUUGAAGUAGACUUAGGUCUGAGACAAUUGAUCACAAUCUUGUGAAGCACAAUGUUGAUGGCAUUCAUCCUGGAAUAGAUAAUUUUCUUAUCUACAUCCCUAUCUUUGACAAGAUCCAGAGUAGUUCGAGCAGGUGAGACUUUGAUUGGGAGAUAGCGUCCCCGUUCAACUCCAACUAUGUCCGCCAACAUAUUCACAUCUACCACAUAGACUUUGUCUCGAACACUGAAUGAAAUUCUAUUCGCAUCCAAAAAGCUAAGAUUUGAAUAGAAAUAAGCGGUCAGAUGAUCAUACCCGUCUGUAGAGUCAGAGCAGAAAGUCUCAAGUUGAAGCAAAUUCAACUUCUCUCUUAGGUUCAAGUUGAUGGAAUCCAGGAAGUCAAAAUCGACACUUCUAGGGUUGAUUACCCCUCUUUUCAACAGACUGUAAUACACUUUUUCCUGAUCCUUGGAUUUAAACAAAUCCAUCCGAUUUCCUUUCACCUUUGCCGCCACACCCAUUUUAGGUUUAAAUUCAAGGAACAUUUUGUCAUCAUCGUUCCCGUCAAUCAGAUUUUGUCCUGGCAUACGAGGAUCUCUUGGAAUGUUCGCAAGUGCUUCUUCUGCUUUUCCUUUCGGGGCAAUUCCCCAUUCCUCCAUUUUCUUCAGAAAAAGAUACUCAUUCCCAUAAUUUUUGUCCUUAAGGAAGUCAUCUAUAUAGUUCAAUGGAGUACCUGUGCUUUUCAAUGCACGAUAAAGAUUAUACAAAAAGGAGGGCUUUUGAACUCUUACUGGGUCGGCAUCCUCGAUUAUCUCUUCUUCCAGAUUAUGACUUGCACUAUGUGGGGCAGGAGAUGCUGAAUGACGUGGAGGAGAGCGAAUCGGACUCUGUCGCUGACUUGGUAAGUCUUCUUCCUCAGUGAGAUCGAAAUGUGUCGGUCCCUUCUUCAUUCUUUGUGGUCCCCUGUUUGCGAUUCUUGAUGAUUUCCUCGAAGACGACAUCUUUCUUUGUCUAUUGGAGGAUUCCUUCACUUGCUUUCCCAAGAAAAAUGACCACUUUCUCGACGAUGAACAAAGAGUAGAAACAGUAUCGAGAGGAGAGUGCUUUUUAGGGUUUUGAAAAUUGGGGAAAGGAAAAAACUGUAUAUAUAUAACUCAGUUUUUGAAAAAGGAAGUUCAAUCGGUGCAAGGAAAGUGAACGAUUACUUCUUUUCAAAAUCGAUAACUGCCAAAAUUAUUAAACAAAAGAUCGUACCUUUUCGAGUUAAUUAUGAUAAUUAGUACCUUUUAGAUGAAAUACAACUUACAGUCUUUAGCCAUGAAUGUCUGAGUCUCAGGACUUAGAGUCUAAGAGAUCAGAGUCUUAGAGUUGGUGAGUCUCUAGACUUUAACUUCUUCAAGCUUCAAAAUGUUGAGUCUCGAGCGGAUAAAGUCAAACUGAUUCUUCUCCAAAGGCUUUGUGAAUAUGUCCGCUAGUUGACUUUUUGAAUCAACAAAUUGAAUCGAGAUUUCUCCAUUUUGAAUAUGAUCUCUAAUAAAGUGAUGUCGAAUCUCAAUAUGCUUUGCUCUUGAAUGAAGGAUUGGAUUUUUGGUGAGAUUUAUCGCACUUGUGUUGUCACAUCUGAUUUCUGUGCAUGAGUCUUCAAUGCCAAAGUCUUGUAGCUGUUGUUUUAUCCAUAGAAUUUGCGAACAGCAGCUUCCAAGAGCUACAUACUCUGCUUCUGUCGUUGAAAGAGCUACAGUGCUUUGCUUCCUCGAAAACCAAGACACCGUUCUGUUUCCAAGUAGUUGACAAGUUCCAGAAGUGCUCUUUCUAUCGACUCUGCAACCGGCCAGAUCUGCAUCUGAGUAUCCUAAAAGAUUAAAGUCUCCCCUCUUUGGAUACCAAAGACCGAUGCUUGAAGAUGAAGCAACGUAUUUGAUAAUUCGUUUCACGGCAAUGAGAUGUGAUUCUCUAGGAUCUGAUUGAAACCUAGCACAGAUACAAACACUAAACAAAAUAUCAGGUCUAGAAGCAGUAAGAUAAAGAAGUGAACCGAUCAUGCUCCUGUACAGCUUUUGAUCUACUUUCUUCCCUUCUUCAUCCUUGUCUAUCUUCUGAGAACAUGACAUUGGUAUGUCGAUCUUUUUGCAUUUUUCCAAUCCAAACCUUUUGACAAGAUCAUUCGCAUAUUUUUCUUGAUGGAUGAAAGUUCCUUCCUUCAUUUGUUUCACUUGGAGUCCAAGAAAGAAUGUUAACCCUCCCAUCAUACUCAUUUCAAAUUCAUCCUGCAUAGACUUAGAAAAUUUCUUGCAAAGACUUUCAUUAGAGGAUCCAAAAAUAAUGUCAUCAACAUAUAUUUGAACAAGUAAAAAGUUUUUGUUUUCCUUUUUGAUAAACAAAGUAGUAUCUACUUUACCUUUGACAAAACCAUUUUGUAAUAAAAACUUACUUAAUCUGUCGUACCAAGCUCGAGGUGCUUGCUUUAGACCAUACAGAGCCUUUUUCAGUCUGAAGACUGAGUCUGGCUUCUUUGGGUCUUCAAAUUCAGGCGGUUGUUCCACAUAAACUUCCUCAUGGAUAAAUCCAUUUAGGAAAGCACUUUUGACGUCCAUUUGGAAUAACCUGAAAUUUUUGUAACAAGCAAACGCAAGUAAUAGACGAAUAGCUUCUAACCUUGCAACGGGUGCGUAAGUCUCGUCAUAGUCUAUUCCUUCUUCUUGCGUAUACCCUUUGGCCACGAGUCUCGCUUUGUUUCAUACGACUUUUCCUUUUUCGUUCAUUUUGUUCCUGAAUACCCAUUUGGUUCCAAUAACAGUUUUACCUUUUGGUUUAGAUGUCAAUUCCCAGACAUCAUUGAUUUUGAACUGUCUUAGCUCUUCUUGCAUAGCUUCGAUCCAGCUUUCAUCAGAUAAAGCUUCUUCUAUGCUUUUUGGUUCAAUUUCAGAGAUGAGAGCCACAUCACUAGAUUCUUCAUGCCUUUUUGAUCUGGUGCGGAUUCCUUCAUUAAGUUCGCCAAUAAUAAGAUCUUUGGGAUGACUGGAUUUGUGCUUCCAGUUACCAGGUUGAUGAUCUCUUUCUUUAUUUGAUUCUCCAUGAGCGUCUUGAUGAUGGACUUCCAGAAUCUGAGAUGCUUCUUGAGAUGUAGACAUUUGAAGAUCUAGAGCGGAUUCAGUCUCUUCAUACUGAGUCUGGCCGGAUUCAUCUUGCACUGAGUCUUGGAAUUUGACAUUCAUUGAUUCUUCCACAGACUGGCUUUUUUUUUGUUGUAGACUCUGUAGGCUUUGCUUGAUGUAGAAUAUCCAAGGAAGAUGCCUUCAUCUGAUCUUUCUUCAAACUUACCAACUCGAUCAUUUGCAUUUUUCAAAAUAAAGCAUUUGCAACCGAACACAUGAAAGUAUGAAACAAUAGGCUUCUUACCUUUGAACAAUUCAUAGGGGGUUUUGUCAAGAAUAGGUCUUAGAAAGACUCUAUUUAUAAUAUAGCAAGCAGUUGAAACAGCUUCAGCCCAAAAUCGUGAAGAAAUUUUACUUUCAAUUAAAAGUGUUCUAGCCAUUUCUUGAAGAGAUCUAUUCUUUCUUUCCACAACUCCAUUUUGCUCUGGAGUAUACGGAGAGGAAAAUAUGUGAUUAACACCAGAUUUAUCACAGAAUCUCGUAAAAUCUUGAUUUUCAAAUUCACUUCCAUGAUCUGUUCUUAUACUAGAAAUAGCACAUCCUUUUUCAUUUUGAACCUUUUUAGCAAACUUUUCAAAGUACGAAAAGGUUUCUGAUUUAUUUGCAAGAAAAUAUACCCAGGUAAAACGAGAGUAAUCAUCUACAAUUACUAGACAAUAUUUCUUACCUCCAAUGCUCUGGGUUCUUGUUGGUCCGAAGAGAUCUAUAUGAAGCAACUGUAUUACAUGAUUAGUAGAUACAUGAUUUAUUUGCUUAAAUGAAUUUCUUACCUGCUUUCCCAGAAUGCAUGGAGUGCAUAAGUCAGACUUUUGGUAUGGCAGUUUAGGUAGACCUCGAACAAGCUGUUUUGAAGAGAUUUUGGCUAAUUGCUUCUUGUUGAUAUGGCCAAGUUUUCUGUGCCAUAGAAUUGCUUCAUCUUGAAUUGAGAUUAAGCAUUGUUCUUCAUUUGGCUUUACAUCAAGGAGGUAGAUGUUUCCAUGCCUUCGACCCAUGAAAGACUGAGUCGAAUCUUUGCUAAUUCCAGAACAUAUGCCUUCUUGAAAGAAGAUCUUGUAACCAAUAUCACACAAUUGGCUAAUGCUGAGUAGAUUGUAGUUGAGUCCUUCCACUAGAGAGACAUUGCUUAUUGUGAGAUUUCCAAUUUUCGCAAUUCCGAAUCCCACAAUACUUCCUUUGCUAUUUCCUCCGAAUGAAACUUUUCCACCAUUUACUUUAAUAAGCUUUAUGAAACAUUUUGAGUCUCCUGUCAUGUGUCUUGAGCAUCCGCUGUCAAGAUACCACUUUACCUUCUUUUUGACAGAGACCUGCAUUCAAAAAAGAGUCUCAAGCUUUCUUUGGUACCCAAAUUUUCUUGGGUCCUUUCGUGUUAGUAGGAUGAGCAUUAUUAGGCCAUACUCUCUUAAUAGGCUUCCAAACCAUAGGUUCGGCUUUAAGAGCUUUUCGAAAUUUCUCAGCUUUUCCUCUUUUCUUUUUCAGAAGAGGACAGUUGGGUCUGAUGUGUCCCUUCUUUUUACAUUCGAAGCAAACUACUUCUUUGUUUGGUUCCUCAUCAUCAACAGACUUGGUCUGCUGUCUCUGAGAACUUUGUUUCUUUGGGAUGAACCUUCUGCCUUUUCUAUUCAGUUUUCUGAAUCUUCUUAUCAUGAGGGCGAGCUCCUCAUCAUCCAUAUCAUCUUCAGAAUCUGCAUCAUCAGAAUCAUCAUUUGAUUUUAGUGCAAUAGAUUUCUUACCUCUUGGAUCUUCGUCUUCAUUAAUUCGUUCCACUUCGUAAGACUGAAGAGUUCCAAUCAGUUCGUCUACAGAUAAUGGCAUGAUUCUUUGCGUCUCUCUUAUUGAAGUCUUUAUAUGAUUCCAAUCCUUGGAGAGUCCACGUAGAAGCUUGUUCACCUUCAUGGGAUCAGAAAUUUUUUGUCCUUGGUUCUCAAGACCAUUGACAAUAUCUGUAAAACGACUAAACAUGUCAGUUAUUGAUUCUCCUGGUUUCAUUUUGAAGGAUUCAUAUUGACCAAGAAGAAUGUUAAUUCUGGUCUCCUUCACUCGAUCUGUCCCUUCAUAAGUGAUAUGUAACCUGUCCCAGACUUCUUUUGCUGUGACACAAGAAGAUAUUCUGUUAUAUUCAGUUGGUGACAAAGCACAAUAUAAAGAAUAAAUUGCUUUAGCAUCGAGUGCUUGUCUCUUGUUUAUUUCUUCUUGAGACAUUCCGCUGGUUUCAACGGUUUCUUUUCCUCUUUCAGUGAUUGAUGCAGCAGCAGGAGUGAUUCCUUUUUCCACUACGUCCCAUUCCAGAGGAUCCUUUGAUCGUAGGAAAGCUUUCAUCUUGUUUUUCCAGAUGUUGUAAUCCUUUCCAUCGAAGUAGGGAGGUCUGGUAUUGCUUUGCCCCUCCAUCAGCCCCGGUGCUAGCAUACUAGCCAUGGAUCUUUUACUCUGAAGUAAAACACUUCAAACAAAGUAAGAACACGGGCUCUGAUACCAAUUGAAAUAGCUAGUACGAGUACCUAGAGGGGGGUGAAUAGGUAUAUAAAAAAAUUUCUCGAAGCUUGCACGAUAUUUAAACAAUUAAAGAAUUUGCAACAGUUAAAAAUUCAAUCGCAAGACUGAGUAAGGGAAAGAGAGAAUUGAACACUCAGUUUAUAGUGGUUCGGCUUGAUUCAAGCCUACGUCCACUCUUCUGCACUGACAGCCGAUUGGCUGGAUUCCACUAUGAUCAAAGAGUUGUUACAGUGUUGAUCUUCCUUGAUUUCUAGGUGUAGAUGAUCUACCACACUCGCUCAAGGCGUUACCAAGUACAAACACUCUCUGUGUACAAUUUCGCUCAGUCUCGACUAACAAUCAAGGAUCUUCAGACUCUGGAAUUUUUCUAUCGAUCACACACUUAAAACAACUAGAACAUCUUCCUUUUAUACUCCUUCAUGCCAUCAUAGCCGUUGGCACUUACCAAAGGAAUUCCUCCAAUCUACCCGUUGGACGGAAUCAAUCAAGAAGAUCAUCCGAGCUAUUUAAGGAAUCUGAUGAUAGCCCAUCAAUCCUGUUCGCCCAUACAAUCAGGAUCUCGGUUUCCAAGAAUAGAAUAAUCCAAGAUUAUUUCGUCGACCAUCGGAUCUUCAAUUGAUCUUAGAUAAGAAUUAAAGAAUCCGAAAUGAUUAUCCAACCAAAGAAUCUAUUCCAGAGGAUAGAAUCAAAUCCUCAACCAUAAACCUCGACUUUGGAUUUUCUUCAACACUGGAUUAGAAAGACUGUCAGUGAGAAUAAUUUUGAGUCUUGAGUCUUGAGUCUUGAGUCUUGAGUCUUGAGAUAACAAAGUCUUGAGACUAUAAAAGCUUGAGUCUUUAACUAUCGAUAUCCAGACUUAGACUGAUAGAAAUGUUUUGUCAGCUUCAAAAUAUUCUGGAAAGAUUUCUCCAACAGUACGAAGAAUCAUUCACCGUAUCGUUCGUGGAACAGCUAAGGAGGAAGGUUGGCCUGGCGAAUUCUACUCGCUAGGUGCCUGUGGGUCAUUCCGAGGCCAAGGAAACUCUCGGCUUAUGAUAGCCGACUAUUAAUUCUGGUUCUACAGACGCUGGCAAAAAUCUGGUUUUCAUUUCAAUAACCGAAAGAAGAAAUGGCAUUGCUUGGAAAGAGCGAGCAUAUGGCUGGACUACUCUAUCAUUUGCCCAGCUUACAAUACAUAAGUAAACCAUCAAUGUAUCUCCCAAUCAAACCUUUUUUGAACACAACUGAAGGAAAUGAAAACACCAGAUAACAAGCUUGUCGAAGCCAAAAGAUUCCUUUUUAUUUAAAAAAACGAUGUCGUCAGAUGAAUGAACAAUCAAGUCUCGACAGAAAUUUCCUCACACGAAUUACUCCUAUUCAGAACCUCGAUAAAAGGACAGAAUAAAGCCACAAUCAUCUUGCCGUAUUUUCCGGUUAUGCUUCAAGAAUCGAGAAUUGAAUCGUAAAAUUCAGGCAAAAUAUGAGUAUUCUUGUGUCACAAAAUACCUAAAUUUACAAAUGAAAAGAAGUAUCAUACAGAAUGAAAUUUUGAGCAAAAUCCAUAUUCCACAGCAAAAAAUCAUUAUUUCGAGUUAAUUUUACCAUCUCUAUAAAUAUGCGUACCCUUUAUUUUAUUAAUAUACGGAUUACACUUAAAAAAACAUGACAAAUCUCUAAAUGUUAUCUCAUUUAUGAAUGGAUUGCAAAGUACAAAAUAUAGUGCUUGCUAUGUAAUCAUCAAAGUAUGAAACACCUCAUAAAUAAGACAAAAAAAAAAAAAAUUUUGAUACAUUGCAUCAAUGGGUAGGUAUUGGAUCCUAUAUCUGCUAGUGGUGAAUUGAUAAAUUCGCUUGUACUUCAGUAUACUAUAGAUUCAUCUGAUAGAUGCAUAUUGUUUAGAUCUAACGAUUUGAAACUUCGAGAAAUUCUGAUAGCUACUUUUAAACAGAUGCAAUUGCUUUCUUGAUAAAAUUCUCAGGACAACAAAAAUUAGGGAUUAUUUGCUUCUCUAAGGUCCUUGCUACUAUUCUGGGAUCAGUAGCUAGCACCAGAUGAAGUCAGAGUAGGAAAAGCCUACACAGAGCAAACAACUGAUUUUGGGCAAAAGGGUAUCCUUAAGACUCCAGGACAAACAAUAUCUUAAGAGGACCCUUUUGCCCAAAAUCAACUAUCAGUCGCAUCUGACAUAUUUGGACACUUGAGAAAACAGGUUCAAGCGCGAAUCAACAAGAAAUUAACGAGGUGAGAAGCUGUUAAGGAGGGCUGUUGAGACUUGCUUGAGAUGGAUCUGGAAGAAUCUGACGAAGGGCUCACAGAGAAGAUGCAAUUUUUGAGGUAUUCGAGCAAUCAUUCAAAAAAGAUUCUUACCUGAAAUUGAGGUUUUGGCGAAGGAAUGAAACGUGCACUAAAGUUUUUUUUAACAGUGUAUUGAGCAGCUAAUGAAUUUAACAUGAAAAUCCAACUUUUACUCAGAAAAAUCUUCUUCAGACGCCUGAUAUUACCUCGAAGAUGUAGGUCGCUGAGGCGUCUAGCUUGCAUAUGGUUAGAGUGGUAACUUCCAUUUCUAUAUAUUGGCAUGGAUCCAUAGGACUUUGGUUUUAUACAUUGAUGUAGGUGUAUCAUCUGGUUGACAUGUCAUGGGAUGACCUAUUGUCUCAUCUCAAAUGGCAAUAAGUCAUAUAAUAAUAUGUCAUGUCAUGUCGCAUAAUAUCACAUGAUGUUGUGGAGUGUCAUAUGACAACACGUUGUGAUGAAGUAUUUUUGUAUUGGAGAACAUAUCGUGUAAUGAUGUGUCUCAUCAAAUGAAAAAAGUUCAUGAUGUGAUGUGCAUGCAGAAUCCAAGUUCGAUGUGUAAACAUUUGCAUUGGAUGUUUUAAUUUGCAUUGAUGUAUAUACAGCAUCUUGGAUUUUACUAAUUAGGCUUGCUAGCUACAUGGCAUUUAGUUCCCAAGAUCUUCUCAAAUUUUAGGUUCAGGGAUCUCGCAAUAUGAAACCCAUUAAACUCGUAAAAUCAUAUUAGAGUUGGCAACAAUCCAUUUAGGGAAAAACUGAGUCGACUAAAAAGUAGUGUCAAAGAAGUCAAGCUAUCUAGGUGCACACGUAAAGAAUUUGGUCUAAUGAAUCCUAGAGAUCUUAACAUCCCAUACGCCCUUUUCAGUAGCGCAACCCCAGUUGAAAGGCACGGGCCAGUCUUGCUCCAUCUCUAUCUUUCUUCCGUCAAAUGCAAAAUAAAGCAUAGCAGAGCUGAUAGCUGCAGAAAAAUCAUUGGUCAUCGGAUAAACUCCUCUGCUCUUCACCUUGAAGCUGCCAUUCAAACGGAGACGCCAGUAGAUUUUGAUAUACGUUGGCAAGGAAGAACCACCUAUUCCCACCAAAAUCAACAACAAAAGAACACAAUAAAUGCAUACAGCAGGGUAAAAAUCAAGAAACCACGAGGAUGAUUGAUAAGCUGGAGCUCAGUAAGGGGAGAAGAGGAAAAAUCAGUGAGUUACCGUGCAGAGUUAAAGCUUGCUUCAAUUAAUCGCUGGAAACAAACUAACAACACUAAAAUCAGAGAACUGAAGCAAAAUAUGUCUUCUUGGAAGGGUUGGAGUAGAAUGACAGAAGUAAGAUUAAUAGGAGGAUAGAAGGCAUUGGACUUAAGGUAACACAAUGCCUUCAACCAGAUUAAACAAAGAUAUUUGCAGUUCAAAGGAGAAAUUUGACGAACAAAACAUGCAGAUCAAGCUCGAAAGCACAUCAAGGUAAAUCUAGAUGUGUAUCAAGUGUCGUGUCCCUAACUUAUGUGUCCUAUCGCUGAAAUGGUUAAAAGUCGAUCGACUGCAAUCCCGAGAUAUUUGGGUACCGAGUGCCGUAUCCCCAGCUUGUGUGUCCUGUCCCCUACAAGAAACCGUAGACGGAAGGCAUUUGCUAGAACUAGCAGUUGAGCCUUCCUAACGGAAUAAUUUUUUACUCGAUCAGAGACUAUCCGUGGACGGAGCAAAAUAGCUAAAUGUGUCAUCACGUCCACAGCGCAAAAGCUUGGCUACUUGCUUCUUUAAGAAAUCCAGUUUCUUUCUGGGGUAAGCGCCCAAGUUCAAGAUUUGAGAGUCAAGCCGAUGAUAAUGCGGUGCUUCCCAAAAGAUGCAGAUUCAAAGCAGGAAAGAUACGAGGCAGGUUGACGCUGGGUAGCAAAAAUCAGAGAGGCAGCCUAUGCGCAGAGGUCGUCACCGAAACUUUUGUUUUAAAGGCUUACGCCCAUAAGCAAAAAUUGUAGUGAAUCUCGUAGAAAGGAUCGCGUGCAUUCUUGACGAUGGGAUGACACCGCACUGAGAUAGCUAGUAUAAUCACCUAGAGGGGGGUGAAUAGGUGCACAAACAAAUUUUCGAGAUACAGAAGCGAUUUUAGGCAAUCGAUAGAAAAGAAAAUACGAUCAAAGUAAAGUAAAGGUUAGGGAAGAGAGAAAUGAACACAAGAUUUAUAGUGGUUCGGCUUAUUCCAAGCCUACGUCCACUCUUCUGCACUGACAGCCCACCGGCUAGAUUUCACUAUGAACAAAAGAGAAGUUACAGCACAGCUUUUCCUUGAUUCCACAGUGUAGAUGUUCUACCACACUUUCUCAAGGUUUCUCACGAAUAUAGACUCUCUUUUGUUUACACGAUUUUGCUCAACAAAUGAAUUGACGAGGAACAAGGAGCUUCAAAUUUUGGAAUUCUUCUAUCGUGCACUCCCUUCAAACAAUUAGAACGUCUUCCUUAUAUACUCCUUCAUGCCAUCAUACCCGUUGGCACUUACCAAAGGAAUUCCUCCAAUCUACCCAUUGGAUGGAAUCAAUUAGGAAGAUCAUUUGAGCUAUUAAAGGAACAUGUCGAUAGCCCAGCAAUCCUGUUCGCCCAUACAAUCAGGAUCUCGGUUUCCAUAAGUAGAACCUUCCUAGUAUACUUUGCCAAUCAUCGGAUCCUUAAUCUUCGAAUCAAUUAUGAUCAAAUAAAGAAUUCCGUUAUGUCAUAUCCAGCCAAGAGAUCUUCUCCAGUCGAUAAGGUCACAUCCUUAAUGAAACAUCCAGUUCUGGAUCGCCUUUCUUCAACAGAUUAAAAACUGUCAAUGAGGAUAGACUUUGAGUCUUGAGUUUGGCUAUCUGGAGGUCUUCAGACUUUAAAUAGCAGAGUCUGCAAGCCUUCAGACUAGACUGAUGGAAACGUUUUGUCAACUUCAAAACACCUCAAGAGGAUUUCUUCAACAAUCUCCCCCUUUUUGAUGGUGACGAAACUUUCCUGCAGAUUUGGAAAACUUUGACCUGCAAAACAUUUCUCAAACACAUAUGCAUAUCUUAUAGAUAAAUGGCUAAAUGAAUAACACUAGAAUCUGCAACCACAGAAAAUAGGUUAGUCCAGUAUGUAAUAAAGCCAUCCAUAAGAUAUCAAUAGUAGUUAAUAAUAAGCAGUCAAAUCCAAAUAGCAGAUUUAGUCCACAUCCAGACACAAGUCAAGUCAAAACAAACCACAAACCAAAUAACAAGCUCGACAAAUUUAAGUUCAAAGUUUUUCAAGUCUCGCAACUCUCCCCCUUUUUGUCAGCAUAAAAAAGAUUGAGAUGAAAAUGAAGUCAAGGAUUCUUGGGAACACGAACAAGCUGAAAAUCUCCCAUUGACUGAACGAUGCCUUCCAGCCUUUUCAAGUCUUCCUUCAGCUGAGCAACAUCCUCACCCUUAGCAUUAGCCUUAAUCUGAAGAGAAAGGGCUUGGAUUUGAUCAUUUAACGAACCCAAAGAGACUUGUCCUGCAUUCUGCAAGUUCUGAACUUCACAUCCCAAUGCAUAUAUCUGACCUUGCAUCUCCAAGAGAAUAUCCAUCACUCUGCGAAAGUCUACUGUAUUUUCGGUCUGCGUACUGGCAUUAGCAUGAUCUGAUGGAGUAAAUGCAGACGAUGGAAGAUCAGCAUAAUCACGCAGAUUGGUGAGGAAACAUCAUGACCUUCCUCAGGAAAUUGAGAGACAAAAACCUCCUAUGGAUCUGCUGGGGAUCGACUGACUCCCUCGCUGGUUGCAGGAUUUGAGGACAUUCCUAUUUUCUCUUGGUCUCCCCCUGUGUUCAUGCCUUCAGGUGGAGAGUGCUCAUCAUGUUCUCCUUCUUCUUGAACUCUUUUCUCUUCUUCUUCUUUUUCAACUCUCUCUUGCUCAGCAUCUCUUCUUCUUCUUCUUCUUCUCUUUCCUCUGCCUCUUUCUUUGGCUCUUUCUUCUGUUUGCUGUUCUGACUCUUUCUCUGGAACAGAUUGACUGAGAUUCUUCAAAGCAGAAAUAGUGAUGUUAUCCUCAUCAUCUUCAUCCUCAACGAGGAGAGCUCUUCUUCUCUUGGAUGGAGCAUCCAUGGGCUCCUUCCCUUUCCUUUUUCCUGCAGAAGAGAAUUGAUGAGAUUUGACUGAAGUCUUCUCCUUAAAUUUCUCCAAUGCCUUGCUUAGUUCCUUCAGACGCAUCUUGGUCACCAUUUUCAGUCCUACCACCAUAUGAUCGCACAAUCGAGCACAAAGGAUUUGCGGAGGCUGAAUGUUCAGAUGUCUGAAUAACUUCGUCACAAGACCUGGAUAAGGAAGUUGUCCUCUGUCCUUCAUCACAGCUCUAUACAUAUGGAACAUAACAGUGUGAGGAAGUGAAAACCUUUUCCCAGUGAUGAUUGCAUACAUUAGCUUUGCCUCUGAACUCGAGACAUCAGUCUUGGAAGUUGAUUUCGGUCUGAGGCAAUUGAUUACAAUUUUGUGCAGCAAGAUGUUAAAUUCACUCAUCCUUGAAUAGGAAAUCUUUCCCUCUGUUCUCCUAUCCUUAACAAGUUCCAGAGUAGUACGAGCAAUAGAAACUUUGAUCCGUUGAUACCUUCCUCUCUCAACUCCUAACACAUCUGCCAGCAUAUCCAUAUCCACAACAAAGUCUUGAUCUUUGACACUGAAGGAGAAUCUAUUUGCAUCCAAGAAACUAAGAUUUGAAUAGAAAUAAGUAGUUAGUUGAGGAUAUGCCUCUGUGGAGUCAGAGCAGAAUUUCUCAAGUUGAAGAUGACCAAACUUUUCCCUUAAGUUCACAUUUACAGCAUCCAGAAAAUCAAAAUCCACACUCCUAGGGUUUAUCACCCCACGCUUCAGUAAUUUUGAGUAUAGAUCCAUCUGUUCCUUCGAUCUAAACAACUCUCCCAUUUUUCCUCUAUUUUCCGCCACAAUUCCCAUUCUUGGCUGAAAUUCGCUGUAUAAUUUGUCAUCAUCAUUUCCAUCCACUGGAUUAACUCCCCAAUCACGAGGGUCACUUGGGAUAUUCGCAAGGGAUUCUUCUGCCACACCCUUACGAGCAAUUCCCAAACUUUCCAUUCUUCGCAAAAAGAUAUAUUCAUUUCUAUAUCCUUUGUCCUUAAGAAAAUCAUCCACAUAGUUCAAUGGAGUACCGGUCCCUUUUAAGGCACGAUACAGCUUAUAAAUAAAAGAGGGCCUUUGAAUUCUUACAGGGUCUGCAUCUUCAAUGAUUUCUUCAUUUUGAUGAUGAUCAACAUCUUGAGGACUAGAUGGAGGAGAAUGACGCUGCUGAGAAUGUUGUGGGCUCUGCUGCUGAUUUGGAGACACUUCUUCUUCAAUGAGAUCAAAGUGCGUAAGCCCCUCACUUAUUCGCCGUGGUCCCCUACUUGCGAUCCUCGAAGACUUUCUUGAAGACGACAUCCUUCUUAGUCUUUGAAAGAUUCCUUGCUUGACUUUCCCAAGAAAGAUGACAACUUUUUCGAAGAUUAAACAAGAGAAGAAAACAGGAAUGGAAGAUUGGUGCUUUUUAGGGUUUUGGAGUUAAGCGAGGAGAAAACAACUGUAUAUAAGACAGUCGUAAGGAGAGGAUAUCAACCGUCGUAAUGGUAAGUGAAAAGAUGCAUUUUUUAAAAAAUAACUGCCUUUUUCGAAAGAUGGUCACAUCAAAAUAACUUCUUUUUAUAAAAGAAACGAUGCAAUAAUUUCGUCAAUUAAAGAUAGUGAUUGAGAUAACAAUAAUCAACACGGUUGAUGAACGUACCUUUUCAAAAUGAGAUUAGAGAGAGAGAUAAUAACUUACAGUCAAAGUCUUGCAGUCAAAGUAUUAUUUGUCUGAGUCUGAGAGUCUCUAGACUUUAACUUCUUCUAAUUCAAAAUGUUGAGUCUUGAACGGAUAAUUUCAAAUUGAUUUUUCUCCAAAGGCUUUGUAAAUAUAUCCGCCAGUUGAUUCUUUGAGUCAACAAACUGAAUCGUAAUUUCUCCAUUUUGAACAUGAUCUCUAAUGAAGUGAUGUCAAAUCUCUAUAGGCUUUGCUCUUGAGUGAAGAAUUGGAUUUUUGGUGAGAUUGAUUGCGCUGGUGUUAUCACAUUUAAUCUCCGUGCAUGAAUCUUCAAUUCCAAUGUCUCUUAGCUGUUGUUUUAUCCACAGAAUUUGUGAACAACAACUUUCAAGAGCUACAUAUUCUGGUUCUGCUGUAGAGAGAGCUACUGUACUUUGCUUUCUUGAAAACCAAGACACUGUCCUACCUCCAAGUAGUUGACAAGUACCUGAGGUGCUCUUUCUAUCAACUCUGCAUCCAGCUAAGUCUGCGUCUGAGUACCCAAGAAGAGUAAAGUCUCCCCUUUUAGGAUACCAGAGACUGAAGCUUGAAGUUGAUGCUAUAUAUUUGAUAAUACGCUUUGCAGCAUUUAAAUGUGAUUCUUUAGGGUCUGCUUGAAAUCUGGCACAAAUGCAAACACUAAACAAAAUAUCAGGUCUAGAAGCAGUAAGAUAAAGAAGUGAACCGAUGAUACUCCUAUAUAACUUUUGGUCGACUUUCUUUCCUUCUUCAUCUUUAUCUAUCUUCACGGAGCUUGACAUUGGUAUAUCAGCCUUUUUGCAAUUAUCCAGUCCAAACUUCUUCACAAUAUCAUUAGCAUAUUUUUCUUGAUGAAUAAAAGUUCCUUCCUUCAAUUGUUUUACUUGAAGUCCAAGAAAGAAGGUUAACUCACCCAUCAUGCUCAUUUCAAAUUCAUCCUACAUAGUCUUAGAGAAUUUCUUGCACAGACUUUCAUUAGAGGAUCCAAAAAUAAUAUCAUCGACAUAUAUUUGAACAAGUAGAAAACUCUUGCUUUCUCUUUUAAUGAAAAGAGUAGUGUCUACUUUACCUUUAACAAAUCCAUUUUCAAUUAAAAACUUACUCAGUCUGUCGUACCAAGCUCGAGGAGCUUGUUUCAAGCCGUAUAAAGCCUUUUUGAGUCUGAAUACUGAGUCUGGUUUCCUUGGGUCUUCAAACCCAGGAGGUUGUUCCACAUAGACUUCCUCUUGGAUGCAUCCAUUUAGGAAGGCACUUUUGACAUCCAUUUGGAAUAACCUGAAAUUUUUAUAACAAGCAAAAGCAAGUAAUAAUCGAAUUGCUUCUAACCUUGCUACUGGUGAGUAAGUCUCGUCAUAGUCUAUCCCUUCUUCUUGUGUGUAUCCCUUGGCCACGAGUCUUGCCUUGUUUCUUAUGACUUUUCCUUUCUCGUUCAUCUUGUUCCUGAAAACCCAUUUAGCUCCAAUAACAGAUUUACCUUUUGGUUUAGGAGUCAAUUCCCAGACAUCAUUAAUGCUGAAUUGCCUGAGCUCUUCUUGCAUAGCUUCAAUCCAGCUUUCAUUAGAUAAAGCUUCUUCUAUGCUUUUGGGUUCUAUUUCAGAAACAAGUGCCACAGCACUAAAUUCUUCGCGCCUUUUGGAUCUAGUGCGAAUUCCUUCAUUGAUGUCGCCAAUAAUAAGAUCUUUGGGAUGAUUGGACUUAUGUUUCCAGUUGCUGGUUAACUUGUCAGAUUGAUGGUCACUUCCUUCACUUGAUUCUUGAAUAGUCACUUGUUGUUGAUCCUUCAAAGUCUGAGCUAUUUUAGACUUUGUAGAGUCUGGAGCAGGUUCAGAUUCUUCAAGAUGAGUCUGAAUGAAUUCAUUUUGCAUAGAGUCUUGGAAUUUAACAUUAAUUGAUUCUUCCACUGUUUGAGUAUUCUUGUUGUAGACUCUGUACGCUUUGCUUGAGGUUGAAUAUCCAAAGAAGAUGCCUUCAUCUGACUUUUCUUCAAACUUACCAACUCGAUCAUUUGCAUUUUUCAGUAUAAAACAUUUGCAUCCAAAUACAUGAAAAUAUGAAACAAUAGGCUUCUUUUCUUUGAAUAGUUCACAGGGGGUUUUUUCCAGAAUAGGCCUUAGAAAAACUCUAUUUAUUAUGUAACAUGCUGUAGAAACUACUUCGGCCCAAAAACGUGAAGAGAUGUUACUUUCAAUUAAAAGAGUUCUAGCCAUUUCUUGAAGAGAUCUAUUCUUUCUUUCCACAACUCCAUUUUGCUCUGGAGUAUAUGGAGAAGAGAAUUUAUGCUGAAAACCAGAUUCAUCACAGAAUUUUGUAAAAUCAUGAUUUUCAAACUCACCUCCAUGAUCUGUUCUUAUACUCGAGAUAACAUACCAUUUUUCAUUUUGAACCUUGUUAGCAAAUUUUUCAAAGAGAAGGUUUCAGACAUACUUGCCAAGAAAUAUACCCAAGUGAAUCGUGAGUAAUCAUCCACAAUUACCAGGCAGUAUUUCUUACCUCCAAUGCUUUGCAUUCUGGUUGGUUCAAAAAGAUCCAUAUGCAGAAGCUGCAGUAUACGGUUAGUGGAAACUUGAUUUAUUGGCUUAAAGGAAUUUCUUACAUGUUUUCCCAAUAUACAUGGUGUAUAUAGAUCAGACUUUUGAUACGAUAAAUUAGGUAGAUCACGAACAAGUUUCUUUGCUGAGAUUUUGGCUAUUUGCUUCAUAUUGACGUGCCCAAGCUUUCUGUGCCAUAAGUUUGCUUCGUUUUGGAUUGAGAUUAGACAUUGUGAUUCAUCUGGUUUCACAUCCAAGAGGUAGAUAUUUCCAUAUCUUCGACCCAUGAAUGACUGAGUAGAAUCUUUACUAAUUCCAGAACAUAUUCCCUCUUGAAAGUUGAUUUUGAAACCAGUAUCACAUAGCUGACUAAUACUGAGCAAAUUGUAAUUGAGCCCUUCCACUAAAGAAACAUUGCUGAUUUUGAGAUUUCCAAUCUUUACAGUUCCAAAUCCCACAAUUUUUCAUUUGUUGUUUCCUCCAAAAGAAACUUUUCCACCAUUUACUCGAACAAGCUUUAUGAAGUAAUUUGAGUCUCCCGUCAUGUGUCUUGAGCAUCCACUAUCCAAAUACCAUUUUACCUUUUUCUUGAUAGUGACCUGCAUUUAAAAAAGAAACUCAAGCCUUCUUUGGUACCCAUAUUUUCUUGGGUCCAUUGGUGUUAGUAUGAUAUGCGGUUUUUGCCCAUACCUUUUUAAUAGGUUUCCAAAUCAUAGGACAUUCUUUUUCAAAAUGAUCUGCACUAUUGCACUUUGAGCAUCUGAGAGCAUUGCGACCUACUGGUUUUACAAAGAUUCUUAUAAAAUGAUUUUUGUAAGCAUCUCUUGUGGGUCUUUGUUUGAUUAUUUCCUUCACCUUAGGAAAAUCAAUUAAAGGAAUGGUUUCAUCAGUCAUUCCCAAACCAGAUUUAUUAAAAUAAGGUCUUUGAACAGAAAGAAUUUUUUCUAGUUUCUCAGAUCCUAUAGAAAAUCUUUUGGAAAUAUUUGAGAUAUCUCUUUUCAAGAAUGCAUUUUCUUUUAAUAAAUUAUCUUCACUUUCUUUAAGAGAAGAAACAUUCUUGUCUAAACUUUUCACUUUUUCUUUCAAAAUAUUUUCCCGUUGUUUUAGAGCAGAAUUUUCUUUCUUGAGUUCGGAAAUUCUUUUAAGAGAAGUCUUAAGACUGAAACACAAUUCAUCAAUAUACUUUGAAACCUUAAUAGGGAUUUUGAAGUUACUUACCUCAAAUUCGCUUUCUGAGUCUGAAUCUAUCUCGGAAUUUGAAUCUGAAUCCGAUUGUGCCAUCAGACAUAUAUUGGCAUAAUCAUCAUCACUUUCUUCACACUCUGUAUCACUCCAUGUUUCAGCUUUAAGAGCUUUUUGGUACUUUUCAGUUUUUCCUUUCUUCUUCCUCAGAAAAGGACAGUUGGGUCUGAUGUGUCCCUGUUGCUUACAUUCAAAGUAGACUACAUCUUUGUUUGAUUCAUCAUCUUCAACAGACUUAGUCUGUUGCUUUUGAAAACUUUGUUUCUUUGGAUUGAAUCUUCUUCCUUUUCUGUUCAGCUUUAUGAAUCUUCUUAUCAUGAGAGCAAGUUCCUCAUCAUCCAUAUCGUCUUCAGAAUUUGUAACAUUAGAAUCAUCAUUAGAUUUUAAUGCAAUGGAUUUCUUACCUUUUGGGUCUUCGUCUUCAUUAAUUCGUUCCACUUCAUAAGACUGAAGAGUCCCAACCAACUCAUCGACAGAUAGAUGCAUGAUUCUUUGGGUCUCUCUGAUUGAGGUCUUUAUGUGAUUCCAAUUCUUGGAGAGUCCACGCAGUAGCUUGUUUACUUUCAUGGGAUCAGAAAUUGGUUGACCUUGAUUUUCAAGACCGUUCACAAUAUCUGUAAAACGACUAAACAUAUCAAUUAUAGAUUCUCCUGGUUUCAUUUUGAAGGCUUCAUAUUGACCGAGGAGAAUGUUGAUUCUGGUCUCUUUCACUCGAUCGGUUCCUUCAUAGGUAAUAUAUAAUCUAUCCCAGACUUCUUUAGCUGUAACACACGAAGAUAUUCUGUUAUAUUCAGUAGGGGAUAAAGCACAAUAUAAAGAAUAAAUUGCUUUUGCAUCAAGAGCUUGUCUCUUGAUUUUCUCUUCCUAAGUCAUUUCGCUAGACUCAACAGCAUCUUUUCCCCUUUCUGAGACAGAGGCAGCUUUAGGAAUGAUUCCUUUUUCUACAACGUCCCAUUCCAGAGGAUCCUUUGAUCUUAGGAAUGCUUUCAGCUUGUUUUUCCAUAUGUUGUAAUCAUUUCCAUCAAAGUAAGGUGGUCUGGUAUUGCUUUGCCCUUCUACCAGCCCUGGAGCCAACAUACUAGCCAUGGAUCUUUAACUCUGAAGUAAAACACUUCAAACAAAGUGAGUACACAGGCUCUGAUACCAAUUGAGAUAGCUAGUAUAAUCACCUAGAGGGGGGUGAAUAGGUGCACAAUUUUUUUUUCGAGAUACAGAAGCCAUUUUAGGCAAUCGAUAGAAAAGAAAAUACGAUCAAAGUAAAGUAAAGGUUAGGGAAGAGAGAAAUGAACACAAGAUUUAUAGUGGUUCGGCUUAUUCCAAGCCUACGUCCACUCUUCCGUACUGACAACCCACCGGCUGGAUUUCACUAUGAACAAAAGAGAAGUUACAGCACAGCUUUUCCUUGAUUCCACAGUGUAGAUGUUCUACCACACUUUCUCAAGGUUUCUCACGAAUAUAGACUCUCUUUUGUUUACACGAUUUUGCUCAACAAAUGAAUUGACUAGGAACAAGGAGCUUCAGACUUUGGAAUUCUUCUAUCGUGCACUCCCUUCAAACAAUUAGAAUGUCUUCCUUAUAUACUCCUUCAUGCCAUCAUACCCGUUGGCACUUACCAAAGGAAUUCCUCCAAUCUACCCGUUGGAUGGAAUCAAUUAGGAAGAUCAUUUGAGCUAUUAAAGGAACAUGUCGAUAGCCCAGCAAUCCUGUUCGCCCAUACAAUCAGGAUCUCGGUUUCCAUAAGUAGAACCUUCCUAGUAUACUUUGCCAAUCAUCGGAUCCUUAAUCUUCGAAUCAAUUAUGAUCAAAUAAAGAAUUCCGUUAUGUCAUAUCCAGCCAAGAGAUCUUCUCCAGUCGAUAAGGUCACAUCCUUAAUGAAACAUCCAGUUCUGGAUCGCCUUUCUUCAACAGAUUAAAAACUGUCAAUGAGGAUAGACUUUGAGUCUUGAGUUUGGCUAUCCGGAGGUCUUCAGACUUUAAAUAGCAGAGUCUGCAAGCCUUCAGACUAGACUGAUGGAAACGUUUUGUCAACUUCAAAACACUUCAAGAGGAUUUCUCCAACACGCACAACAUGGCAUUGAAGACAAGGAGACUUGCUACGAUUAUGGAGAGAGUAUGCAAAUGUCCAUUGCUCGAACCUAACAUCGCCAGUCCUGCUUAUCAUCAAUGCCUUCCUCAACAAAGAACCAGCGAGCACAAAAGAACAUCAACAGAAUUGUUUUGAGGGAAAAAAUGGAACACACAACUAUCAGAGAGGACAAUAUUAGAAAGAAAAAAAAAAGUCAUUUCCCUCAUAAUAGCAUUUCCAAAAUGUUGAAAUCCCCUACUUGCCUUGGGCUUUUAGCUUUUCCAAUGUUAGCAUUUUGCCAAUGGGAUUCCAAAAAUACUUAUUAAACACCUCAUAUAUUUCCCACGGCCAAAAUCUGAACGCAACAGGACCUUAGACCAAUUACCUUGCACAUGCCAUCUACUUGGUUUUUUUGCCCUGAAACUACAUAGACAUUCUAGGUGUCCAAUCAUCCUAACUUAGAUAAAUCGAUUAGAGACGACUCAUUUUUUUUUUAAUUUACAUAAUAGGUGUGAUAACCAAAUUAAACCAAGGAUUUGGGAAGGUCCCCUAAAUCGGGGGUGCUAUGGACCGGUGGCUCCUGGUUGCAAGAUUCAAGGUGCUAUAAAUGACGUAUGGCAUUUUCAUUUCUCUAUCUCAAAUAGAAAAAAAUGACUUUAGUCAAGCCCAUUUGGGGUUGAGUGUUUCCUUUAUGUAUACCUAGUCAAUGACUAUCCCCCACACCGGGCAGGGGCAUGACGAUCUUUGCCGAAGGAGCGAUCAUUAAAUUCGAAAUAUCUUGCAACUAUUUGUAUUCUAGUUUGUUGGACAUCUAGUCCCUGAUCAAUGUAAAAAGUGUGGUUUUCAGACAUCCUCCAGAAAAUCAGAGCAAAAGGAUAAAACGAGAAUUGAGUCAUGACGCGAAAAAGAAGCACCGCGACCACAUAAAAGCAACGGCUAGUGUCGGAGGCCUUCAAAAUCUGCAAAGUUGCUGGACCCAAGGUGGAUUGAACAUAGAAGAUCAUCCAAAAAGCCAAGACAGGGAUUUGAUCUCUUACUGACAUCAUGGGUGCAUGUGAUUUGGGCCGUGUUGAAUCUCACGGCCCAAAUGAAGGUCCAACCAAAGUAAGAAAUCUGUCUGAUAUAUAAAAAUUCUCGAUUAUGAAUUUAUACAGGAGAAGUACAAGGAGAUACAAGAAGAUUGGUGGUGAAAUGAUCAACAUCACGUUUCGUUUGAGCCUACUUGAUCUUUCCCGCAAAGGAUCAAUCCUUAUCAUUUCUCGUCCUAACUUUACCCGCUUUAUGUUUAGAAAUUUAUCCACAUAGUCUCAAACCAAUUAUAUAGCAGUCAAUUUGAUCAUAAACUUUUUAAUUUUACUAAUUUAAUUCUAAAGCCAAUUUAGUAAUAAGCCUUUUAAUUGUGUCAAUUUAGCCUAGCCCUAAACAUUUUGAUGAUUUGUUAAUCAAUCAUAAACUUUUUAACGAUUUGUCAAUUUAGUUUUUUCGAUCAAUUUUAACCGAAAAUCACUGACAUAAUGGUCUAGUCAGCACUAGCCAUUCAAUGUGACUCCGCCAACACUAAGUUGGACAAUUUUUGUAAUGUCUUUAAUUUUUCCUUUUUUCUUUUAUUUUUUGUCCUUUUUUUUCCCUCCAACGACCAUUGCCAAACCACAUUGAUGGUUAGCAACUUGCUGGCCUCAAGUGAGAGACACCCACACUUGGGCUAGCAAGGGCUACCCUUGCGUGAGGUUGCCAUCGGGAAAAGAAAAAAAAAAGGACAAUGAAAAAAAAAAGAAAUCAUAAAAUUACAAAAAGUGUUCAUAUCAACACUAGUCAUAUCUUCAACCAAAAAAAAAAAAAAAAUGGGAUAGUCAUAUUAGUGAUUUCUCAUCAAAAUUGAUCGGAAUGAUUGAAUUAGCAAAUCAUUAAAAAGUAUAGGACUAAAUUAACAAAUCGUUAGUUGGCUUAGAACUAAAUCAACAUAGAUGAUAAAUUUAAGACUAAAUUGGUAAAUUGUCAAAAAGUGUAAGACUAAAUUAAUGUAAUUAAAAUGCUUAAGACUGAAUUGGUCAUCAUAUAACAAUUUUCCCACUUUAUGACCUAGGCAAGAGAGUUCAUUAUUUUCAUUUUUGUGUGGAAAAUAUAGUUUCUUAGACAAAAGAGUCUUUUGAGUGAAAGCUACCUUCCCUUGGUCUAAAUUAGAAAUCAUAAGUACCACUUUUUUUAUUAAAAAAAAAAGGGAUAAUGAUUCAAAUGUUCACUAAACUUUAAUCAAAUAUGAAAUGUUAUCCAUAAAUUUUAGCCUAAUGAGCAAUAUCAUCCUGAACCUUCAACUUAUUCAAUUUGGUCCAUAAACUUUUGGUAUAUUUUCAAUUUACCUUAAAUUGUAUGAAAUAUUCAAUAUUAUCCUCAACAGUGGGUAUUUUCAUACAGUCCAAGAAUUAAGUUGAACAUAUGCCAAAAGUUCGAGGACCAUAUUGAACAAUUAAAAAAUUCAGUGACGAAGUGUGACAUCCUGGAUUUUUACAUAUGCUUUCAAUUAAAUUAAUCGAGCUUUUCAUCGAUGCGCCUAUAGUAAUAUUCUCAAAGCUGAUCACUCCUAAGAUAACUAGACUAUCUAGGGAAGUCAAUAAGAGAUUUUAAUGCAUUAGACUUGAGAAUUCGACUAGAAUCGACUACUCAACCGUGCUCAUUCGCAGAGAUCAUUACGACACAAUAAGAUCGAUUAGAAAUCAAAUAUAGGUCGGUUCGACUGAGAUGUGUGGCUAAACGUGGAUGAUUCCACUAAAUUGCAAAAUUCUCAUUAAUCAGCUCUAGAUUGGUUUUUCUGUCGUUUUGGUAUCCUGUAUCCGUAUUUGAAACCUCGAGAUUUUCACGACAACAGAGAGUUGCCAAUGUGUCGAACAGGUUCAUUGUGACUUGAAGAAAAUCGACCACUAGUCAUUUGUACUAAAAAUUUCUGAACAUUACCUAGUCACCUAAGUCACGCUAAAAUCGCACCAGAUCAAAAUUAAUUGCGAAAGUUUUGUCAUGUCACAAGUCAUUUUAGAAACGUCAACUCGCCUUCCGAGGGUUACUCUGCAAAUCGAGACUUUUUGGGAAAAAGUCGAGGUAUUGCCGUUUUUGUCUAGAAAAUUCAGAAGACCAUUUUUUAUUGCGAAAUUAGGAUGCAAGUAGGAUCAAUUGGCGAUGAAAAAUGCCAAUUUGAUCGAGGGUGUGAUGGUUGAAUUUAUGGAAGUCGUUUUGGGUUGAUUCAAUGAGGAAUUGAAGUCUAUUUAGGGGAAAUCAAAUGAAAUUUGUAUGCCCCCCAGGACCUAACUUUUGGACCACUUCAAGCUUCUAGAAGAUGGCUUUUUUGUCUAGAAAUUCACCGUGGAGGAUAGCUUGCUUGGUGGGCCAUGUUGGGGAGACAAAGUGAUGAGAGAGAGAGAGACCAAAGGUGUUCCCCCCUUGGCAGCCGAUUGCCUCUCCCUUUCCUUCCUCAUUUCUGUCGAGCCCUCCCUCCAUUUGCAGACCAAAGAAGUUCCAGCAAACCUAGAAAAUCAUGCAGAAACCGAGCCUCCCUCCUCCAUCGACUAUCAAGCAAUGGUCGCAUGCUCGGAGCUCCACCAUGUUGCCAUCGCGCCUCACUCAUGAGCCGCGCAUCCUCCGUGCAAGCUAGCAUCCUAGCCACUUUGUCCCUGCCUGUCCAUGCAUCCAAAGGUCCCGACCUGCUCCGCCAGCCACCAUGCGCCGCCGUUUUGCCGCCGUGAGGCUCCUCCUGUCCACCGCCAGUCCUUGCUAGCUCAGCCAGCCGAUCGAUCCACCUCUCUCGACCUCAACCAGCACCAAGCAGAAGCUGGGCCAAGUGGGUCUCUAGGCCACUGUUUGGGCCGUUUUCGAGCCGUUCCCGACCCCGUUUGACGGUCCCGCUUUGGAGUUUCUCGUCCCUCGCCACUUCCUCGUCAUUUUGAUCCGAGUGUAUCACUUAACAAGUGAGUUUAACUCACUAAUCUCUACUUAGUAAGUUAAUGAUGUUUAAGGGUUGUUUAGUUUAAACUAAGUAUGGAUUAUGUUGAUAGUUAGAUUAGAUUAGCCAUUUAAUUAAUUGUUAUUGCAUGUUAGGUGGUUAGAGUAGUGUAAUUAGAGUCUAGACAUACUCUAGAUAAAUAGACAUGCUCUAGUAUUUAUCUAGAGCAGUUCAAAAAAAUUUUGGGCCCCUCUUGGCUUUUAAUUAGGUUUUUCCGGCCUAAGUUGCUAUUUUUGGUAUUUAACAAUUAAUUUCCUUAAUUAUUUAAUUAAUUAAUUAUUUUCCGGAAAUUAGAUCAUGAUAGUCGGUGACCGAAAUUUAUUGCUGAUUGUAGUGGUGUGAUCUGUUUAUUUAAUUGACUGUUAUUUUGCACAAAUUGAGUGUGAUUGGUGAUUAUGGGUAUUUAUCUCAAAAAUUGAUAAUUUUGAUAAUUAAUUAGAAAAUUACCGAGCGUCGGUCUACAGAGCUAAAAAUCUAUUUUGGGACUACUGAAACUGGUGGGAUGUUUAAAAGUGAAAAUAUUAUAUUUUAGCUAAGGCCUAUUGUGUACCCAUACACGAUUAUUUUUAUUGGGUAUGAUAAAAAUGGUCAAUUUGUUAGAUGGUCAGAGUGGUAUACUAUAUCAACCUACGAGCUUUGAUAUGUCAGCUUAGCGCGAGUAGUAUACCUUAUCAGCUUAGAGUGAGCAAUAUUACUUAUCAGCUUAGAGUGGGCAGCGUUAGUAUACUAUAUUAGCCUGAGGGCCUUGAUAUGUCAGCUUAGAUAGAGAGCAAUAUAUUAUUUAUCAGUUUAGUGCGGGCUAUAUUAUCUAUUUAUCAGCUUAGAGGGAGCAGUUUUGAUAUGAUCAAACUUCAUAGAUAGUAUUGAUUUGGCUGACCGAGAGAAGGUCGUGAUGAUAUGUAAUCGACUGAGUUGAUUGAUUGAUAGUUCAAUGUGAUUGAUUGAAUUGUUUGAGUAAAUUGAUUGGAUGAUUAUUCAAAUUGUAUUGACUUGUAGGAAGAGACUGAGACCAAGAUAAGUCCCCCAACUCGUGUUUGUACUUAGGCAGCCUUAGGGUGUAUUUUCUUCCUAGUCAGGUCUUAAGGGGUUGGACUCGCUGAGACGUCAUCUCACCCCGUUGUGAGAUAACAUUUCAGGUCCUUAGAUGGUAGCUCCUCUAGAGCAUUUUGGUCAGCCGAGGAAAGUUACAAAACAGACGUCUUACAUUCCGUUGCAUGGGAGCCCUAGGAGCUGGACUUAUGAGUUGGUAAGGUCCAUAGUCUGGGUUGAUGCAGGCCUAUCCAAAAAGAUACCCCAUCGAUAUAAAUCCUAGUACCGCCAGGUUCAGGAUGGCCAGAGAGAGGGUCUCAUACCGGAAUCGGAGAUACCUCUGUAUGUGAUGGAGGUUGCUUUUGAAAAGGGCACUGCAGACCCUCUAGAUGGUUCGAUGGACCUUGACCUUGAAGAUCCAGGAUCUCUUGCGUAUUCAACAGUAGGCUUUAGUUAGAGUGUGGAGGGAGAUGACGAGGAGGAUGAGGACCUAUAGUUGUUUGGAAACCCCCCUAUUUUGUGGACAUAUAAAUAGAUCGGCUGGUAUGUAUAUAUAACGUGGGUUGUUAUAUGCAUAUAUUGUGAAUGUUGGUUUUAAAAUUAUGGCCAUACUUUCCUAUCCCAUUGUGUUGUUGUCUGGGGAUUAUAUUUUUGCUUCCGCAUGUGUAUUUAAAAUGAAUGGGUCGGCGAUGGGUCCUAGAACAUCACUAUUUAAUCGACUGUAGAGGGAUGGAUACGCGCUCGGAGGAUCGGGGCGUGACACGAAGUUACAUAUUGAGUUAAAGUUUAAGGAUUACAUCGAGCAAAUUUAAAAUUCAUGAAUCACAUUGCAAAUUAAAUCAAAUUCAAAGAAUCAAUUAUUUCAUUUAGCUUUUUUUAAAAUGAAAAAUUGAUUGUUUUUGCUUUCAAAAUGAAUUCGGCAAAAGAGUAGUAUAUCUCCAGGGAGAAGAGAAUCUUCUAAGCAAUUCCAGUAAAAAGGCCCUCAAAGGAGGCACUGAGAUAAUUGUACUUCUGACUAAACAAGAAAACAGAAGUACAAUUAUCUCAUAAUACUUCACAGUUUUAUUCUCCAUACCAAACGUAGCUAUGAGAGACUAUCAUAAAGUACACACCCUAGGCCCCAAACAGCACCUUAAAAAAGUCUCAGAAUGAGGAUACAUGCAAGUCAAAUGUGCUAAAUACGAGUGAUGUGCAACUUCACACGUCUAUUCAAACAAUCAAAUAGGUGCAAACCAUGUCAUACUUUGUCAAUCAAAACAAAGAAGACUAACUAAUCAGAAACAAGCGCAAGUAGAUACAGUAAGUCAAAAGCAACCUAUUAAAAUGAUACAGGCUAGCAGGAUUCAACUCCACCAGUUGAACUUUUCAGAACUACAAUAUUGACAUAACAGAAUAUCUGUGGUCCCCGUUUGAUCUUAUUUCCCAUUUCAACCAAUAAAAAACAGGGAAGUCCAUAAACAGCGAGCCUAGUUGCCGUUCUUGCCUUUCGCAGAGAAGAAUGUGCUGAAUCCCCUCAUUUGCUUCUCCGGCAUUGGAGAAGAAGAAGACGAAGAACCUGAUGAGGUGGCUCUGUGUUUCGGAUGCUUGGAAUUGACAGAUGUGCUACCUGGGGAAUCACACAAGGCUAGUGCAGAUUCGGAACUCUCUCUCUGCAAAUUAUAUGAAGUGACACUGUCCACCUCAGCACAAUUGACACUUUGCAAUUGCGUGCUAGUACUUGUUGGUUCUUCCUUAACAGUUCCUUCAGCGUCUUGACUGAAUUCAUCUGUUGGCACAGUGUAGAGCUCUGUUUGGGGACAUAAAGCUUGCAACUGUUUGCCGAGAAGAAAUAUGGUCACUUGGCACUCUGCUAGCUUCUCUGCUGCUGCUCAUAAUUCUUUCUCCUGUGAGAAUGAAAAGAAGUUUUAAAUUCUGCACUCAACAAUCAUUCAGUGUGUAAGGAGUCCCCAACCCCCCCCCCCCCCCCCCUCCCCCUUUCCUNNNNNNNNNNNNNNNNNNNNNNNNNNNNNNNNNNNNNNNNNNNNNNNNNNNNNNNNNNNNNNNNNNNNNNNNNNNNNNNNNNNNNNNNNNNNNNNNNNNNCAUCAUGAUGGGGAUGAUACGACCCUCCUUCCACUCAAAGGACGCAGCCUCAAAGCUCCCAAAAUCCAACCACAUCCAUAUCGCUCUUGUACCUACUCAUCGUUAGUCAAGGAACCUGAAAAAGAUUAGAAAAUAGAGAGAUGAGCAACCACAGCUCAUUGAGUAGUGCAUUUCUUUUAAGCGGAUCGAGCACCCACUAUGCAUAUUUACAAAACCAAACUACAACUCUUUUAACUCAAAUCCAGGAUAUAACAAACAUACAGUAAAAUAAUAAGUACAUACGCUUCAACACAACUAUAUUUAUAAUAGAAAUAAUCAUUUCACAAUAAUAUCAAAAUAAACAUCAAUGAUCUAAUUCAUUGAUCAAUCCCAUUAAUUAACACACCAAUGGUCUAUUCCAUUAGUUAAUCUCAUACCACAUAUUAAUGGUCUAAUGAAAUUAUAUGUCGAUGGUCCAUUCCAACGACUAAUCUUAAAUUACACGUUGAUAGCCCAUUCUAUCGACCAAACUCAUAUCACAUGUCAAUUGUCUACUCCAUUGACCAAUCCGUUGCUCAAUAUCAAACCAUGGUCACGAUACAACACCUGGUGACGAGGCGACCAAGAUUCCCCCUUUAACAAGGUCUCCACCUAUUAUUAGCCAGUGACUCUGUGACAUCCCGGAUUUUCGCUUCUGUUUUCUACUGAAUAAAUUGGGCAUUUCAUCGACGCGCCUAUAGGGCUGUUCUCAGAACCGAUCACUCUUGAGGUAACUAGACUAUGUGGGGGAAGCCAUUAGGGAAUUUUAAGGCAAUAGACUUGAGAAUUUAGCCAGGAAUCGACUUCUCAACCGUGCUCAUAUUUAGAGGCCGUUACAGUAUAGUUAAAAAUUGAUUUGAGAUUAGAGAUAGGUCUGUUCGACUAAGAUAUGUGGCUAAUCAUGGGUGACACCACUCAAUUAGAAAAUUCUCAUCAACCGGCCUUAGAUUGAUUCUUCCGUCGUUUUGGUACUUGGGGUGGUGUAUUUGAAUCCUCGAGAUUUUCAUGACAACCAAGAGUCGCCAGUGAGUCGAGUGGGUUCAUUGUGGUUCAAAGAAAAUUGACCACGGGUCAUUUGCACUAAAAAUUUCUGAAAGUUAACCAGUAGCCUAGGUCACGCUAAAAACGCACCAAGUUAAAAUUUACUAUGAACUCAAUUCCGAUUUCAUAAAUUGAAGAUCCUAUCAUAUCACAAUAAAUUCUAAGAGUGUCAACUCAGUCUCAAAAGAUUUUUUUGAAACCCUAAACUUUUUGGGAAAAAGUUAGCAUAUGACCGUUUUUGUGCAGAAAAAGCCGAUAAUCGUUUUUUAUUUCAAAUUUGGGAAGCAUGAUGGAUGUAUGGGUGGGGAAAAAUAUUGAGAUGACCGAUGGUAGGUGGAUUGAAUUUUAUGAGAGCCAAUUGAGAGUGACUCAGAGAGAAUUGAUGUCCAAUUGAAGCCAUCAUCUCCCAAUUUCGUAACUCCCCCCAUCNNNNNNNNNNNNNNNNNNNNNNNNNNNNNNNNNNNNNNNNNNNNNNNNNNNNNNNNNNNNNNNNNNNNNNNNNNNNNNNNNNNNNNNNNNNNNNNNNNNNUUUCAUAAGUUGUUGGGUAGGCAUUGGUGGCUCAAUAGCAGCCAAGGAUCCAUGCAUGGCCAAGAAAGGUCAAGGGGAACAAACCCUUGGAAAAUUUGGCUUGGGGGAGCCCUUGUUCCCCCUUAUCUCUAUCCUCUCCCCCUCUCUCUUCCUUAGCCGGCCAAACCCUCACCACCUCCUCUCCAUUUUUGAAAAAUCCUCAAGCCAGCAAGAAGCUAGUGGAAGGAGCAUGCCAUCCACCGUCGUAUGCCCAUGCCGCCGUGGCCAUUCACGCACGCUACCUUGCCGCUCGCUGCCCUGCACCGGCCCGUUGCUGCUCCACCUCCACCGUGCGACUCACGCCGUCCCAACCCCUUACCGUGUGUCCCAGGAGUCCCUCCAAGCAACCCAAGCCACCACUGAAGCUCCCAUCACCAUCGGUUUGCCCCGAUUUGACCUCCUCAACUCAUUUCGAUCCAUUGCCGCCCCAAACCAACCUUAUUUCCUUAUGUUUUGCAACUAGAACAAAGAGUUGAGAAGUGGGUUUCACAACCACUUGUAGGCCUGUUUUUGAGGUGAUUAUAGGUCCCGAACCUUAGGCUCGCUUUGGAGUAAAACGUCCCCUGCGACAUUCCUGACGUUUCAAUCUAAGCAGAUUGUUAAACGGGUGAGUUUUGCUCACUAAUCUCUCAUUAGUAUGCUAAUGAUGCUUAGGGGUUGAUUAGAUUUAAUUAAGUGCAAUUAGGUGAAUAGAUUAGAUUAGAAUAGUUAAAUUAUGGAUUUACCUAUGUAUGUUAGGCAAAUGGUUAGUGUAAUUAGCAAGUAAACAAGCCCUAUUAUUUAUUGAACGAACCUUGAAAACUUUCCGAGUCUGUCUUGGCUUCCAAUUAGGCAUUACGGGCCUAAAUUGGAUUUAUUGUAUUUAUUUAAUAAUUUUCGUAUUUAUUUAUUUAUUUAUUUAUGUUUUGGAAAUUAAGCAAGUAUAGCCAACGACCAGAAUUUUAUGUUGAUUAUCGUGGUGCAGUCUGUUUAUUUGUUGAGCGUUAAUUUGUGCUGAAUUAAAUUAAAUAUAAUUUUGGGAUUUUAAUUCUAAGUUAUUCAAUUUCAAGAAUUGAUUGGAAAUGACCGAGCAUGGGUCUAUAGCGCCAAUAAUGUUUUGAUGAGCUAUAUAUAAAGUGAUAGAAAAGAAAAUCGUAUCACGUGGCUCGGAGACCAAGAAGGUCAUCCUGGAGAAUGCACAUGACUCGCAGAUUAAAUAAAUCACCUAUGGAUAGCAUGUGGCUUGGUGAUUAGUACCUUGCCUUGGCGUAUAUGUCGCCUUAGAGAAUGCACGUGGCUCAGUGAUUUGAUAUAUCGCCUUAGAGAAUACACAUGACUCGGUGAUUAGUACAUCGCCUUAGCGUAUAAGUCACCUUAGAGAAUGCACGGGGCUUGGUGAUUAGACAUGUCGCAUUUGAGAUUGCACGUGGCUCGGUGACGAAGCAUGUCACCUUAAAGAAUGCAAAUGGCUCGGUGACUAGAUAUAUACCAUCUGGGAAAAUAAUUAGUAUGAAUUGAAAUGACCGAGAAAUGGAUUGAAUGACAUGUAAUCGACUAGGUCGAUUGAUCAAUGAUUCGACAAUGUGAUGUGAUAGUGUAUAUUUAAUAUAUAUACCAACUUGCAUGAAUGGAACUGAGACCAAGGUAAAUCCUUUGACUCAGGUUUAAAAACUAUUCUCAUUUUGCUCGUCCGCUUUUGGAGUGAUUAUAGAGUCUCCUGAUAAUGAGCAAUUCUCCUUCGUUUGGCUGCUCUCGAUGAUUACAUCUUUCUCCUUAGAUUCGAGUCAAUUUGUUCAUUGCCUUGCAUAGCUUCUUGAAGCCCCAUGUCAAUCUACUUGAUUUCUUAGAGAGUCACAACUCUUCAAUUAGGACAAUUGGCUUUGAAGUGUCCAUAGCCAUGACACUUAAAGUGCUUUUGAAUACUACUAUUAUUGGUCUUUUUGGGGAGUUCUUUGGUGGGCUCUAUGGCUUUCUCCUUGCCUUAUGUAUUCUUGGCCUUGCUAGAAGGAAAAUGUCCCCCUUGUUGAUGAGUUAGUUGACAAACUUUUGCCACACUUUAGUUGUUUCUUCACUUUCAUGGCUGGCUUACAAACAUUUUCGAAAGACCAAUAUGGUUGAAAUUCAACCAAAUCGAUAAAUGUCUCUUUUCAAGCCACAAGGAGUUGUUCAAACUCUCUAAUGUAUUCUUCAAUGCUCAUUAUGCACUGCUAGAGGGAAUUUAUUUUAAGGAAAAGGUCUUGUUUGUAGUUGUCAUAACAAAACCUCUUCUUCAUAAGUUUCUUGAGUGUUUCCCAAGAUUUGAUUCGGCUUUUUCCAUCAUGGACUCUCUAGUUCUUAAAGUCUUCCCACCAAAAUGAAGCAUAUAUAUUCAACUUGAGAACAACAAUCUCGUGACACUUCAUUUGAUUAUUUGUGGAAGUCAAAUACUUAUUAGAUAUCAUGAAGUCAACUGACAAUAUCAUAUAGGUUUUCUAGCACCUCCACUUUUAUUUCAUGAUCAUUGUCCUCAAGCCUUCCUCUUUUACUCUAAACUUGGUAAUCCAAAUCAUUAGAGUUGCUUCCAGUGUCCUUGAAUUUAUUGCCUGAGUUUUGAUGGGGAUGUGGAUUGACAUGGUGUGGUCGCUUAGUAGGGCAAAUUGAUGGUGCCUCCUACCUCGCUCAAUUCUCCAGGAGAUUGAGGACAUGCCUCAUUUGUUGUUGAAGCUCCAAUAUGGCAUGGUCAUGCCUUUCAUUGUGUACUUGUUCCAAAAUCAAACCUUUUGAAACUGGAUCACCCUUUUUUUAAGGAAAAAAUAUGAACCAGGGGAAUAGAAAGAAUCAUUCAAAAUGGGUUCAACCUUGAACCCUAAUGUGAGAUUGAUGCAGUUGCGAGGGCAUGCAAUUGAUGUUUUGAAUGAUGUCGAGAUAAUCAAUGACAUAUCAAAGUGUAUAGGGAUGUAAAUGCAAAUGCAGGAUAGAAGAUUCUGAUUCAUCAAUGUUGAAAAGAAUUGCUCUUGCAAAAGUAGACUUUUCAAUACUAUUACAUUCCUUAGAAGCAUUGGUACCAAAAAAGUCUUAAACAUAUUAUAUUGGUACCAAUUCUGUUAUAAACCUUUGGCAUUUAUGUUAAUGGAGUCCAUUGAUCAAUUUUGCUAGAAAAUCGCUAACAUGAAUGCCAAUUGUUUUAUAUGAUAUAUGAUACAAUCAACACUAACAUGGACAAUUUUACAAUCUUUAAUAUAUAUAUAUACCUUCAUUAUGGUUGGCAAGGGUCACCAACAACUAUCACUGGCCACCAGGCGAGGGCCUACAAGCCCUUACCAACCGCUGGUGAGUGCUAAGACCGUCGCCCAAGCCACAAGUGUCAAGCCCUUGCCAAAUCUCUGUCAAGUCAAUCAACAUUGUUGCUUACUUGAUUGUGCCAUCGGUUUCAUCUCUACGAUUACAACCCAAAGAAGAAAUCAUUGUGAUUCAUAGCUGAGUGAAAACAAUAGAUGGAAUUUGGCGGCAAGGAAGCAGUAAAGGCAGCUCCCGAACCAACAAAAGUAGGCCCAUUUCAUGGUCGACAAGGGUCACUUUCAUCGGAUUUGGCGAGGGCUCAACCCUUAAAGCUUGGGUGAGGGCUAGUAGACCACAAAGAAUAAGAGAAAAAAUAAAAAUAAAAAUAAAAAUAAAAAUAAUAAAAAUUUGUAAAAUUUAUCCAUGCCAGCGUCAAUUAUGCUAUAUAAGAUGGCUGAUAUCCAUGUCAAUAAUUUUUCGAUCACAAUUCACCAAUGGACUCAAUUUGUACAGAUGUAAUAUAUUUAAGAUUAAAUUUAUAUAAUUAAAAGGUUUAGGACUGAUUUGGUAUCAACGCAAUAGGUUUAUUAUGAUUCUUUGAUACUUAGGUUUCUAAGGCUGUAAAGAAAUUUGGGACAACAUUUUUUUUUUCUGAUCUUGUAUUUACGGAAGAUAAGAGGUAGCGUGGGAAUUAUGUGUUUUUGGAUCACAACAUAAUCGUUGUUAACUAAAUCUAACAUGACUAACAUCAAUGCUGAAGCAAUCCUAUAAUCUAAUUCUUAAUGGUGAUCGAACUUAAAACAUAGGAAGUAAGAACACUCCUUGUUCGUGCACAACCAAGAAAAAGCGGAAACAAAAAAAAAGAUUUGUUCUUGAUUGUGGGUCUUGUUGAAUGGCCGAGGCAUGUUAAUGUCUUUGGCUAUUAGGAAAAACCUUCGCAGUCUUUUCUGAAGUUUUCAGUGACGAGAGAACUUUCCAUCCAAUUAUAUCAUGGCUUUUCUCCCUUUUUCUCGCUUUCCUUUCAUGGAAAAAAGAACAUAAAUCUUCGGAGCACUUAUGGUCCACUUCGAGGUUUGAGCAUCGAUUCAUGUUCAUGUGUUGUUUUGUAAUUCGUGUCAAUUUAUAUCCAUCUAAUAAAAUAUAUUGAUUUGGAUUCCACACGCUAAAUGCAAGAAUUAUGAUGAAAUCGAGUUAAUUCAUAUUAAUUAGUGCCCUCAUAUAGGAUUCAGACAUGUCAUAUCAUGUUACAUUCAAUUUUUACUUCGUAAGUAGUAUUAAUCUCGUUUCUGAAAAUGGGUCUCCAAUAUUGCCAAUCUUACUUGGAGACAAAUUCCUCCCUCCCCCUUUUUUCCGUUGAUAUCAUACUUAGUUAACAAUAAAAGGAAUGUACAGACUAUAGUUCAAAGUAUCACAUUUACGAGAUGCUGCGAUUGUCGUCUUUCGGUCUCUCUCUUCCGCCAUGGAAGGAUUCCCCCUCACCUGGGUGAGCUAUUUCCCUAUCCCCAUGGUGAUAUUCAGCGCACAAAAUCCCUUCCCUUAAAACCCUAAUCCAAAGCUCUUCGUCACUUCGCCUCUUCCACCCACGAAUUUCAAGGCGCAUUAACCCCCAUCAAGACGAACAUCUAGGUAUCUUAGGUAUAAAACCCUAGAAACCCAACACCACUUCAUUACUACAUAAUGUAAUUGUCGUAGCCUCUGGUAAGAGCUCCCUUCAUUCCCAGAAACUUGAAGAUUCGAUGUUCCCCUAUCACGCCAGGUGGAAGGACCCAUAUCCCAGCAGCUCUUGGAAACCUCUCUAAUAAGAACCCCUCUCCUAGNNNNNNNNNNNNNNNNNNNNNNNNNNNNNNNNNNNNNNNNNNNNNNNNNNNNNNNNNNNNNNNNNNNNNNNNNNNNNNNNNNNNNNNNNNNNNNNNNNNNNNNNNNNNNNNNNNNNNNNNNNNNNNNNNNNNNNNNNNNNNNNNNNNNNNNNNNNNNNNNNNNNNNNNNNNNNNNNNNNNNNNNNNNNNNNNNNNNNNNNNNNNNNNNNNNNNNNNNNNNNNNNNNNNNNNNNNNNNNNNNNNNNNNNNNNNNNNNNNNNNNNNNNNNNNNNNNNNNNNNNNNNNNNNNNNNNNNNNNNNNNNNNNNNNNNNNNNNNNNNNNNNNNNNNNNNNNNNNNNNNNNNNNNNNNNNNNNNNNNNNNNNNNNNNNNNNNNNNNNNNNNNNNNNNNNNNNNNNNNNNNNNNNNNNNNNNNNNNNNNNNNNNNNNNNNNNNNNNNNNNNNNNNNNNNNNNNNNNNNNNNNNNNNNNNNNNNNNNNNNNNNNNNNNNNNNNNNNNNNNNNNNNNNNNNNNNNNNNNNNNNNNNNNNNNNNNNNNNNNNNNNNNNNNNNNNNNNNNNNNNNNNNNNNNNNNNNNNNNNNNNNNNNNNNNNNNNNNNNNNNNNNNNNNNNNNNNNNNNNNNNNNNNNNNNNNNNNNNNNNNNNNNNNNNNNNNNNNNNNNNNNNNNNNNNNNNNNNNNNNNNNNNNNNNNNNNNNNNNNNNNNNNNNNNNNNNNNNNNNNNNNNNNNNNNNNNNNNNNNNNNNNNNNNNNNNNNNNNNNNNNNNNNNNNNNNNNNNNNNNNNNNNNNNNNNNNNNNNNNNNNNNNNNNNNNNNNNNNNNNNNNNNNNNNNNNNNNNNNNNNNNNNNNNNNNNNNNNNNNNNNNNNNNNNNNNNNNNNNNNNNNNNNNNNNNNNNNNNNNNNNNNNNNNNNNNNNNNNNNNNNNNNNNNNNNNNNNNNNNNNNNNNNNNNNNNNNNNNNNNNNNNNNNNNNNNNNNNNNNNNNNNNNNNNNNNNNNNNNNNNNNNNNNNNNNNNNNNNNNNNNNNNNNNNNNNNNNNNNNNNNNNNNNNNNNNNNNNNNNNNNNNNNNNNNNNNNNNNNNNNNNNNNNNNNNNNNNNNNNNNNNNNNNNNNNNNNNNNNNNNNNNNNNNNNNNNNNNNNNNNNNNNNNNNNNNNNNNNNNNNNNNNNNNNNNNNNNNNNNNNNNNNNNNNNNNNNNNNNNNNNNNNNNNNNNNNNNNNNNNNNNNNNNNNNNNNNNNNNNNNNNNNNNNNNNNNNNNUGGCUGGCAGCCCUCUGUAGAAGUUUGGGAGAGUUGUGGUCUGAGGAGGAUGUGCUCACAAUUAAGGGAGAUGUACCUGUAGAAAAAAAAAACAUGAGUGUGAAUUAACCCUUAUAGGCAAACUUUAUUCCAAGCCAAAUGUGAAUCUACAGGCUUUCUUCAGCACAAUGGAAAGGGCGUGGAAAACAUAAUUGGUGUCGUGUGAUCUAAUAGCACUAGGGCUAUUUUCAUUCACUUCUAUGACUAUAGCUGGUAAGAACAGAUCUCUAACUUCAGGCCCUUGGUCAUUCUCUAGUAAUCUGCUAAUUUUACAGCAAUGUGAUCUUGAUACCCCGGACCAUUCUUAUGUUUUCACACAUUGUGACUUCUGGGUACAUAUCUUGGGGCUCCCGAGAGAUAUAAUUACUAAAAAAACAGUCUCUGAUAUUGCUACAAAAAUAGGAAAAGUGCAGGAAGUGAAGCUAGAAAAUAAAAGCUUUGGUAAGUCAAAUGUGGGGAAAGCAAAGGUGAACCUAGACCUAUCUAAACUCCUAAGGUUUGGGACUAUUGUUGACCUGGACAACAAGAAAAUUUGGGUGGAUUUUAUAUUUGAAAGACUUCCACACUUUUGCUACUAUUGUGAACGUAUAGGGCACUAUACGACCUACUGCAAGAUUAUCCCUUACGAACAAUAUGGGCUAGAAGAAAAUAGAGUGGGCAAGUUUGGUAGCUGGAUUAAAAUAGAAGCAAGAGAAAACAGCCCUUACUAGAAAAUUUUCAAUGGAGAGAUGACUCCAGAACUAGAAACUGAUGAAAUAAUACCAAAAACUCCAAUUCAGAGCAACAUAGAGGCCACUUUUCAGCAAACAAAAUAGGAGAACAUAAACCCACUAGCUAUGGUCAUAGUGCCGGAGAAAAUGCCCUAAAACAGAAGAGGGUCAGCAACUUGGACCCAGAUUUUCUUGGUGUUGAACUCACACAUAAGGAGAAACAUCUUAUGUUAAAUGAGGCAUCCAUUCCCAUGGCACUUGCUACAUUUCUAACGAAAGGAAAGAGUGGGAAGAAAACUCACACGGCAAAGAAAUUGAAACAAUUUAGCCCCUAUGAACAGCAAGGCUCCCUCUCUCAAUCCAUCGAUGAGGGGACCCUUCUAGACACACCAAUCAAAGAAGCGAAAGAAAUGGAGGAGUGGGCUUUGGUGGCUAGCCCUAACAAGCUACUGGGGUUUAAAUGAAAAUUUUGAGCUUGAAUUGUCAAGAUUUGGGCUCUCCUCUGACUUUCCAGAACCUUAAAGCCCUAGUGGCGCAAGAAAAGCCUAGUUUAGUAUUUCUCAUGGAAACAAAAAAUAAGGAACUCGAAGUGGAAAGGGUAAAAAAGCGCUUGCAAUUUCAGCAUUUGAUGGUAGUUGACCCAAUCAGAAUCGUUGGGGGGUUGGCUUUGAUGUGGAACAAUAUCAUGGCGGUGGAACUUGUAUCAAGCUCGGGAGAGAUGCUCGAAGUAAAAUGUAAAGAGUUGAACAACAAUAUCAAAAUGAGGGUUUCCUUUCUACAUGCCCCUACGAACUGCCAGAAAAGACUCCAAUUAUGGAAGAAACUCAUAAUGAUUCAUGCGAGAAAUGAUCUACCCUGGAUAUGCAUUGGAGACUUCAAUGAAACUUUGUAUCAUUGGGAGAAAUAUGGUAAGAGGGAGACAGACUAUUAUCAAGUGGUGGCUUUCCGGGAACUGUUAAAUGAUUGUGCACUCAUGGACGUCGAAAGCAAAGGAUGCGCCUUUACUUGGGCAAAUAACUGAGAUGGGAAGGAGUUGGUUAAAAAGAGGUUAGAUCAGGUUCUCUGUAACAUAGAGGGCAAGUUAGGUUCUUACAUGCAGAAGCCUAUGCUUUACCGGCCAUUGGCUCAAACCAUAGUCCCAUAUUAUUGUCAUUACUUCCGCCAUUGAUGAAAAGGAAAAAAGAAUUCAGAUUUGAAGCUUACUGGAUGGAGGAUGUUGAAUGUUGAGAGAUAGUACAGUCCGUGUGGAAAGAUCAAAGAAAUUCACAGUUGAAUUUGCCUAACAAACUAAAAGAAGUUGCUGCAACUUUAGCCAAGUGGAUCAAGGAGAAUUUUCUAAUGCAUUUAGAAGGAUAGAGGACCUCAAAAAAGAGAUAACUAGGAUAACUAAUGAAAAUGAAAGGGGAUUGAGAAAGGAAGAAACUCGGCAAAUAAAGAUGCAAAUUGAACAACUAUGGAGACAGGAAAAUAUGUAUUGGGGAAUGAGAUCGAGGAUUGAGUGGCUAAAAUAGGGAGAUAAAAACAUGAAGUUUUUUCACACUACAAUGGUGCAAAGAAGGCAACGAAAUAGAAUAACCAUGCUGAAACUUGAAGACCAAAACUAGUGCAGGGACCUAGAGCUAAUUAAAGAACACAUUGUGAACUUUUAUCAAGAUCUUAAUGGCACGGUUGGCCCAAGGAAUUUUCAGCCGGUGCUAGAUCAAUGCUCUUGCAUAGUAGGAGAUGAAAUGAAUGAAUCUUUAACAAGGAAAAUCACAAUGGAGGAAGUGAAGGCAACGGUGUUUCAAUUGAGGGCCACUAAGGGCGCGCAUGAUAAAAUUUCUACUUCUUUAUUUCUCUAUUUCUAUGUUCCCUAGAACAGGUUUGGAACAGAAAUCCAUUUGGUAACGCAAUUUGAUAUUUCUAUUUCUGAAACAAAUUUCUAUUCCAGAAAUAGAUUUGAAGAAGAAAUCAUAAGCUAAAAUUUGUAACUUCUCAAUUUCUGGCCAGAAAUCAAUUUAUGUUCCAAAAAUUUUGUCAUGUGCACCCUAAGGCCUAGGUCCAAAUGGGUUUAAUGGAAAGUUUUUUCAAAAUCACUGGGAGAUAAUUCAAAGAGAAGUGCACAAAAUGGUUGAAGACUUCUUUGUGUCAGGUACUCUAGACCCCUCCAUUAACAAUACUCAUAUCACCCUUAUUCCAAAAGUGGCUAUCCCUAAAUCUAUAGCACAAUAUAGGCCCAUCAAUUUAUGUAAUUACAGCUAUAAGAUUAUCUCCAAAGUAAUGGCAAACAUGUUGAAACCAUGGUUGUCCAAUCUGAUUGAAAUGGAGCAAAGCGCCUUUAUCGAUGGACGACAAAUUCAAGAUAACAUAUUAAUUGUCCAAGAAGUGCUGCACCAACUCAAAAUCAGGGAAAGAAAAAGGAAGUUUUAGGCGUACUCAAACUCAAUAUGCAAAAAGCAUACAAUUGUGUGGAAUGGGUUUCUUGUGUGAGUGCAUGACUAAGAUGGGCUUCAGUGAUUGCUGGGUUUCUUUGGUCAAAACAUGCAUUUCGACUGUCACAUUCAACAUCAAAGUCAAUGGAGAACCUCUCCAACCUUUCAGACCAACUAGAGGCUUAAGGCAAGGGGACCCCCUCUCUCCCUACUUAUUCAUUAUUAUGACUAAUGUGCUAUCUCCGCUUAUACAUAGAGCACUAAGGGAUGGAAGUGUGAAAGGAAUUAAACUGAACAGAAGCUGUCCAACACUAACGCACCUAUUAUUUGUGGAUGAUGCGAUAUUCUUUUUGGAUGGAACAGUUAAGGAAUGCCAAAACUUGGCAAACCUUUUGAACCAAUAUUGUUACGCAUCAGGUCAAGCAAUCAACCUCAAUAUUUCCGGCAUUUUUUUCAGCAAAAGCAACCCACAAUGAUUAAGGAGGAAUAUGGCACAAGAACUUAGAGUGCCUAUCAUCGAAAAAAUAGGGAAAUAUCUUGGCAUUCCAUCGGAUUGGGGACAAACAAAGAAAGAAAUUUUUGUGUGGAUUCUAUCGAGGGUCAACAUGAAAUUAGAGGGAUGGAAGGAAAACAUUAUAUCUAAAGCAAGGAAGGAAAUCAUCAUUAAAAUAGUUGUACAAGCAUUGGCGCAAUAUGCUAUGUCCAUUUUCAAAAUCCCAAUAUCCAUUUGUAAAGCAAUUGAACAAAAGAUUGCUACUUUCUGGUGGAAAAAGAACAGUGCAAAAAAAGGUAUACAUUGGAAGAAAUGAGAGGUGCUAAAAACUUGAAAAGACUGUGUGGGCUUGGGUUUCAAAGACCUUAUUGCUUUUAAUAAGGCCAUGCUGGGAAAACAGGCUUGGAGACUUAUACAAACCCCUUCAGCCUUAUGGAGUCAAUUGUUAAAAGGCCUAUACUUCUCGUCGGGAGAUUUCGUGAGGGAAAAUAAGGGAGCUAGAUCAUCCUGGGGAUGGCAAAGCUUAAUGCAAGGAAGAGAGGUAUUAGGAGGGCAAAUUAGAUGGAUAGUCGGGGACGGAUCGCAGAUCAGGGUGAAAGAAGAUAGAUGGUUAGCUCAUGGAUGCAUUAGAGGACCUACAAACCAAGGCGAACCCCAAUGUUUGGUUGAGCUAAUUGACCAAGGGUCCAAGCAGUGGGAUGAGCAUAAACUAAAGAAAUUAUUUGAUGAAGAUUUAGUUAAGGAAAUCCUUGCAACCCCACUAAGUCUUACUAUGGAGAAAGACAAAAUCGUAUGGAUGAAAAACAGUUCCGGCACCUACUCAGUCAAGAGCGGAUACAACAGUAUACAAACAGUUGCCAACCACAACAAUUCUCAGGCAUCCUCAUCUUAUUAGCCCCCCAAAAAACUAUGGAACUUGAUCUGGGAUCUCGUGGAACUUAAUCUGGGAUCUCCACACCCAUCCAAAAAUCAAGUUUUUUAUAUAGAGUAUAUGUGCUAAUGCGCUACCAACGAAGGAAAACCUCUUUAGGAGAGAAAUGAUACCUGAUCAAAGUUUCCCGGUCUGCCAUCAAAUGCCAGAGACGCCAGAACACAUUUUCCUCCUCUGUCCAUGGACGAAUGAAAUUUGGUCAAACCCAAAAUUGAGACUACAUCUUUCCCCAAAAUGUAUCACAAGAAUAGAUAAACAGUUUUUCGAAACCCUUACCUCUUGUAACAGGCCUCUGUCGAAGGAGUUAGUAGCUAGUGUCCUUUGGCAGAUCUGGAAAAGAAGAAACUCCAUGGUCUUCAAAGGCGAACCCCCGAACCCAAGCGAAGCUGUGAACCAAGCAACCAUAGAUCUAUAACUUUAUAACCAGUGGAACCCAAGAAAUCGAAACCGACACCAAGAUCCCACAGACUCACCUACGGAGUGGGUCUCUCAUUGAAGGGUUCUCUAAAAUAUAAUGUUGACGGCUCAUGGAAGGAAGAGCGGCGAGAAGGAGUGAUGGUCAAGAUUUGUAGGAAUGAACAAGGGAUCCUCAUAGACGGUUUUGCAGAGAAAAUCGUUAUUGAUUUAGCCCUAAAAACGGAGGCUUUGGCCCUUCGUGCAGCUUUGUUGAAGUUAAUGGAGGCAAGAAAGAGAAAUGAGUCUUUAGCAGGAACAGGGAAAAGUCUUCAACUUCGCCUAAACUAACCUACAAGUGUGAAGUACACUCUGAUAGCAAAGUUGCAAUGGAAAGUUUAAUGGGCUUAAUUCCGAGCCCAUGGACGGUGCAAGCAAUUAUAGAAGAUACCAAAGUGUUGCUGGCCCAACUUCAAGGAGUCCAAGUAUCUUAUGUGCCAAGAGAAGCUAACAAGCUUGCCGACUGGGUAGCAAAAGCCUAUCGAGACAACCGCCUUCCUCAGAAUUGGGUUUUAUAUCCCCCCCUAUCCACUUUCAGUUUUAUUAUGUAACGAUCUCGAACUUAGUCGCAGUUCAGCAAUAAAUUAGUAAUGGUAAGUGCUUAAUCGACCAAAAAAAAAAAAAAACACAAUAAAAGGAAUAGCAUAAAAAGAUUCUCGAGAAUUUCUAUGCUCCAGCAUCCAAUCCCGAAGCCAAUACGACCAUUGGAUAAAAAAGGAAUAAAUUCAAAAUGGUAACAACUCGCCAGAGUAUAAGGAAAUUCAACGACUAUAAAAUUGUCAAAGCUAUAAUUGAGGUACAAAAAUUACGACGUACAAGAACAAUUACUUGUUGAUAAGUUCUUUAGAUUCGAUGGACUGUAGAAGGAGUUUUACAAUCAUUAGGGAAAUUCAAUAAGAACAUGAAAAAGAGAUAGAGAUUUCAAUAAGUACCAACAAUUCUCAUGUCAAUGAACUCAAAAAUCAAAUUAUUGCCAAGGGAAAUACGUUAGUAAUUGUAGAUGCAAUCGAGAUUUCGACAGCUUCAAAUAAAUUACCAAAAAUUGAAGAGUUCCAAAGGGAAAAAGCUAUUAAAAAAAAAAAACCAAUAUAUACCUUGAACUUUAUAUUUACUGCAAUACAUUUAUCCUAAACUUUUUCUUGUGACAACAAAAAAAAUUCCAAACUUAUACAACAUAAUACUUUUACUACUUCAAGGUCGGUAGAUAUUUCAGCUAAUACGUGUUUUUAUUUNNNNNNNNNNNNNNNNNNNNNNNNNNNNNNNNNNNNNNNNNNNNNNNNNNNNNNNNNNNNNNNNNNNNNNNNNNNNNNNNNNNNNNNNNNNNNNNNNNNNUCAGUACUUUCCAGGCAUGAAGGCCGAAACUUUGCUCCUCUCUGUCUUUUUUAUUUUAUAUUCUUGUCCGCCUCUCCUUCAAUGGCCAACCAAAAAUGGUGGCUGUCUCCGUCUGCUGAGGCUUGCGCCCCACGUUAACCCUUGCCCAAGGCAAAACCCCAUUUUUGACCACUUUUCAACACGCGAGUGCACGAAUGGCAACACAUCGGUAGUGAGUUGGAGCUUCGAGUGAAAAUUUCGAGACCUCGGAGGUAUAGAAAUUGAGACUAUAAGUAAGGCCGUAGUUCCUAAAAUUGGUGACUUGUGAAGUGGAUUCUUAGAUAUCUAAAAAGGACAACUUUGUAGUGUAUCGAAUGAAUAGCAAUAGCAAUAAGACCGCUGGCUAUGUUGAUUCAAAUUGCACUAGUGACUUGGAUGGGUGCAGGUCUUUUGUAAGAUACAUAAGUGGUGGUGUUAAUUGGAAAGCCUAGGUUGUCUUCGAUUGAACUCGGUCCUUGCGCGAUGUGUCGACAAAACCAAGGACGUCACGCAUGUUCAAUCCCGCCCUUGCGCGAUGCGUCGUGAUCAUUUUGGAUGGUGUUCUGGUUAAAGUAACGCCAGAAAGGGGUUGGCUUUUCACUUGCUUCUGCUGCCAACUCGUGUUCGAGCCCUACUUGAACGAUCGUUUUAUCAGCGCGUAAUGUUCUCGUGUUUACAAUAUCCGGUGACGUGUGUUCGUUUGGUUUGUGGAUAACGAAAAGACGGGAAAGAAUGUUAGCAGGGGAAAAUCCCGAAAAAUAUGAUCUUUUUCGAAAUCGUGCAUGCAGUUUUGAACCUCUACAGUCAAAUGUGUUGAGGGGGUGAUGGUUUCCUCUGCUUUCUUUUACUCGUGCUUUUUCAACCCGUGUGAUCUUUGUUACCGCUCUUCUUUGCAUGACAGGUUUCGGGCUGGCUAAGGAUGGAGCUAAGCUUGACUUGCGGGAGCAUCAGGAAGAGGCCUGCAGAUCAGGCGAUGAAUGAUGGUGAUAUCGACAGGAUAUAUAGAUUCGCCAUAUUGUUGCCUAAUGGGACUACCGUGGGAAUCGCAUUAAGGGAACCCAACCCGACCAUGGCCUUCCGAGGUUUCAUGCUAAUGGCCAAAGAAAGGUACAAUCGAGCCAAAGCGCAAGAUCCAUCACUAAGGUCGAAGCGUCCCAUCUAAUGGGAGAGUAAUGAGUUGCAUCUCGAAGAUGCAAAUGACAACCAGAUCAAAAGUCGAAUUAUUUUCGACAACUUUAAGCCUCACAAGCGCCACAUCUUGCGUCUUUGCAUGAGUAUUGGGCAAAAGUCAUAUGUUGUUCGCUUGUUGUGUCUUCUUUUAAUUUACUGAGAGCGUGCAUAUUCACUUUAAUGGCUGUACUUAUUUUACUGUUUGUUUGUAUGUAAUAUCUUUUUCCAAUUAGGAUGGCUCUGGCAACACAACUGAUACUUUUGAGGUUAGUAUUUUAUUCAUUUUCGCACCGUACCCAGCUGUCGAUAUAUUCUCAAGAAUGAGUAUCACUUGCCUUUUAGGAGUUCUCUUGAUGUCCUCGCCAACCGACUCCAGCUCCGACGAUGGCAGGUCUUUUAGAUUGAACACCAUCCAAAACGAUCACCCCUUUCUGGUUAUGUUGAUUCGAAUUGCUGACUAAACUCAGUCCUUCAAUUGGCGUGUGUAAAGAGUGAGUGUCCAUUAGGAUAUUGGGAGAAUAAUAUAGAUGAUGAGCAUUGUGACCUGAUUUUAAAAGUCGAGUCAAGGUCAAUUGUUAAAUUACAUCUUGAAUUUGGCUUGGUUUACGGAACCCGAUUAGAUUAAACUGAAAGGGAAGAACUCUCGGUCACUACAUGGCAAAAUAAGGGGCUCAUGUAUUUAUGAAAAAUUAUUUAUUUAUGGGGUAGGAAAUAAGUCUUUGGCUAAGAGGAAAUAAAGAAGCGGACGUCGCUUCUUUUUUGAGUAGUGAUCGGUCAAUAAGGGUUUGAGGAGAGGGACCCACAUACAUAUAUUAUAUAUAUGGCCUGCGGUGGCAGCAUACGUUGUUUUCCUUAAUCGAAGAGCUGCGCGGUGAAAACGUUAGAGCCGCUGUACGAGAAACGAAAAACAUCGUUCAGGAGUCCUUGUUUAUCCGCCGUACGUAAAGCUUUUUCUUUAAGCUUGAAAACCGGAGAUUUUGUUUGGUAAGUUUACACCUAAUUAAAUUAGUUAUUUGUAAAUAUUUUGGAUUUAAACUUAAAUUUAGGUGGGUGAAAUAUUCGAACAUAUCCAAGAUUAUAAUUCUGAUUUUUCAAUUGUAUUGAAUUAUUUAUUGCCGACCCUCUUCUUAACUACAUAAAUCUCUAAUGUCAUUUAUUUCUUUAGUUCUCUUGCAUUAACUUAACAAGAAAAGUGAGUAUAAACUAGAUAUAUGGUUCUCAAUCAACUAAAGUGGCUUGUUGAUAAAGCAUAAAUAUCAACACGUUAAUUCAUACAUAGUUUCUACUUAAUUAGUUGAAAUUUGAAUAAUUUUUUUAAAAACUUUUACGUAAAUGUAAAAAGUUGCUUUUUGCUUUCCUAUUUUAAAUAAAAACCAAUCAUUUUAUAUAUGUAUGACAAUUGUCUGCCAAUGUAUGUUACAAUGACCCUUCGAAUGCAAGAGAGCAAAGGAAAGGUACACCAUAAAGUUUUUGGGCCUUGGACUCAAUUAGACCUUCGGCGAAUGGGAAUGAUGAAUCUCGGGUCAAAAUUGCUCAAAUAAUUUAAUUUGUUAAAGAUAUCUUAUAAUUCUGUUGGUUCUGGAUGUAUAUUUUUUUUUUAUUGUGUAUAUAUUAAUUGAUAAAUAUUACGUUAGAUUGCCAUAUCAUAUGGCAGUGUACUUCUAUUGUUACAUGUCGAAAUAUUCUGAAAUUUUUCAAUUAUGUUUUAACCCUGUUCAUGGGCAUUUUUAGCUGACCUUUGCCACUAUGUCCGUUCUUCGCCGCUCCCGUACUCCCGUAUUAUAUAGCCUCCCUUCUCUCCUUCAUGGAAGAAGGCGCAUGAAAACACAGAACGUAGACAUCCAGUGAUUCCCCCGAAAAAAAAUGGAUCCUUUCGAUUCAUCAAAGCAGGUGCUUCAAAACUUCCUCUCGCACUCCUCCACUCUGAUGUAUUCAGGGGGCGAUUUUCUGCUCAACACCACGUUUUUACGUGGCUUCUCUGGUUCUCUUCAUUUGGUUUUGUUACUUGGAAUCCUGGUUUCAUGGGCGGGCAAGAAAAUAUGGGCACAACGAAAUGGUGUAGGCUCCGAACAAAGCCGCAGAAGAAGCAGAAUUUGGUACUAUAAGCCCACUCUGUUUUGCUGUUUAGGCUUAUCUGUGUUUAAUAUGGUUUUGUGUGCGGCGAACUACUUUUAUUGGUAUGCAAAUGAUUGGUCGGAAGAGAAACUGGUUUCUCUUUUGGAUUUAGCACUGAAGUCUCUCGCUUGGGGAGCUCUAGGUGUUCGUUUGUACGGCCAAAGCUCAUAUUUUGGAGUAUCAAAGCUCCCUCUUUCGUUGAGAGUCUGGUGGGGUUCCUACUUGUCCAUUGCAUGUUAUUGCCUCGUCAUUGACGUUGUUCUGUAUGGAAAGUGUGUUCCGGUGCGAACCCUGUAUUCCAUUUCUGACGUUGUCUCUGUUGUCACCGGUUUCUUCUGCUGUUAUGUGGGGUUCUUUGGUAAGAUUGAGAUUGAUGAUUGUCUGCUCGAAGCGCUUUUAAAUGGUAACUCGGUUACAAGCAAUGCCAAAUUAAGCAGAAGUCCAGGAGGUGAAACUGUGACCCCGUAUUCUAAAGCGGGAUUACUGAGUAUAAUUAGUUUCUCGUGGCUGAGUCCUUUAAUGGCUGUCGGGAAUGAGAAAACACUGGACCUAGAGGAUGUCCCUCAACUUGCUCCACGGGAUAGGAUAGCAGGGGCAACGCUAGGUUUCAAGGAAAAGCUCAAGCCAGAUGCUGGUUCCAGUAAUGGAGUGACAGCGUUUAGGCUGGUGAAGGCUUUGAUCAUGUCCGAAUGGAAAGAAGUAAUUUCCACUGCUGUGUUUGAGCUUCUUAUAACCCUAGCUUCUUAGGUUGGUCCAUACCUUAUGGAAACUUUUGUUCAAUUCCUAAACGGGCAACGCAAAUUUGAAAGUAAAGGCUACCUUCUUGUUUCAGCGUUUUUGGUUGCACAGCUUGUCGAGUGCCUUUCCUUUCGGCAGAUGAUAUUUAGGCUAGAUCUUGUUGGGAUUAGGACUCGCUCAUUGCUGGUUGCACUAAUAUAUGACAAGGGAUUAAACCUUUCAUGCCAGUCUAAACAGGGGCAUACUAGUGGGGAAAUCAUUAAUAUCAUGUCUGUAGAUGCCGAGAGAAUUGGUGAUUCUUGCUGGUGCAUGCACGAUCCUUGGCUAGUACUUGUACAAGUUGGGUUAGCCUUAGCGAUUCUGUAUAAAAAUCUUGGGCUUGCGGCUAUUGCAGCUUUUGUGGCCUCUGUGCUUGUUAUGUUAGCUAAUAUUCCUUUGAGCAAGCUCCAGGAGAAAAUUGAUGAAAAGUUUAUGGAAUCAAAGGACAAAAGGAUGAAGGCAACUUCCGAGAUCUUGCGAAACAUGAAGAUUUUAAAGCUUCAGGCAUGGGAGAUGACGUUUUUGUCCAAGAUUAAUGAACUGAGGAAUAUUGAGACGGGGUGGUUGAAAUUUUUUUUUUACACUGAAGCAAUGACCUCUUUUGUCUUCUGGGGUGCCCCGACAUUUGUUUCCGUGACUACAUUUGGUACAUGCAUGUUAUUGGGGAUCCCACUAUCGUCAGGGAAGAUCUUAUCUGCGAUCGCAACAUUCAGCGUCCUCCAAGAUCCCAUCUAUGAAUUACCAGUUGUAUUAUCCGUGAUAGCUCAGACUAAGGUCUCACUUGACAGAGUAGCAUCAUUCCUGCGCCUUGAGGAUCUCCAGAAUGACGUCAUUGAAAAGCUUCCUCAGGGCACAACUGAUACGGCAGUCGAGAUCAUUGAGGGGAAUUUCACGUGGGACUUGUCUUCCUCUGAACCCACAUUAAAGGACAUAAACUUGAAGGUCAUCAAUGGCAUGAAAGUUGCAGUCUGCGGUACUGUGGGUUCAGGAAAAUCGAGCUUACUUUCUUGCCUCCUGGGAGAAUUGUCGAAGAUAUCGGGAGCCCUCAAAUUAUGUGGCAGUAAGGCUUAUGUGCUCAGGUACCNNNNNNNNNNNNNNNNNNNNNNNNNNNNNNNNNNNNNNNNNNNNNNNNNNNNNNNNNNNNNNNNNNNNNNNNNNNNNNNNNNNNNNNNNNNNNNNNNNNNNNNNNNNNNNNNNNNNNNNNNNNNNNNNNNNNNNNNNNNNNNNNNNNNNNNNNNNNNNNNNNNNNNNNNNNNNNNNNNNNNNNNNNNNNNNNNNNNNNNNNNNNNNNNNNNNNNNNNNNNNNNNNNNNNNNNNNNNNNNNNNNNNNNNNNNNNNNNNNNNNNNNNNNNNNNNNNNNNNNNNNNNNNNNNNNNNNNNNNNNNNNNNNNNNNNNNNNNNNNNNNNNNNNNNNNNNNNNNNNNNNNNNNNNNNNNNNNNNNNNNNNNNNNNNNNNNNNNNNNNNNNNNNNNNNNNNNNNNNNNNNNNNNNNNNNNNNNNNNNNNNNNNNNNNNNNNNNNNNNNNNNNNNNNNNNNNNNNNNNNNNNNNNNNNNNNNNNNNNNNNNNNNNNNNNNNNNNNNNNNNNNNNNNNNNNNNNNNNNNNNNNNNNNNNNNNNNNNNNNNNNNNNNNNNNNNNNNNNNNNNNNNNNNNNNNNNNNNNNNNNNNNNNNNNNNNNNNNNNNNNNNNNNNNNNNNNNNNNNNNNNNNNNNNNNNNNNNNNNNNNNNNNNNNNNNNNNNNNNNNNNNNNNNNNNNNNNNNNNNNNNNNNNNNNNNNNNNNNNNNNNNNNNNNNNNNNNNNNNNNNNNNNNNNNNNNNNNNNNNNNNNNNNNNNNNNNNNNNNNNNNNNNNNNNNNNNNNNNNNNNNNNNNNNNNNNNNNNNNNNNNNNNNNNNNNNNNNNNNNNNNNNNNNNNNNNNNNNNNNNNNNNNNNNNNNNNNNNNNNNNNNNNNNNNNNNNNNNNNNNNNNNNNNNNNNNNNNNNNNNNNNNNNNNNNNNNNNNNNNNNNNNNNNNNNNNNNNNNNNNNNNNNNNNNNNNNNNNNNNNNNNNNNNNNNNNNNNNNNNNNNNNNNNNNNNNNNNNNNNNNNNNNNNNNNNNNNNNNNNNNNNNNNNNNNNNNNNNNNNNNNNNNNNNNNNNNNNNNNNNNNNNNNNNNNNNNNNNNNNNNNNNNNNNNNNNNNNNNNNNNNNNNNNNNNNNNNNNNNNNNNNNNNNNNNNNNNNNNNNNNNNNNNNNNNNNNNNNNNNNNNNNNNNNNNNNNNNNNNNNNNNNNNNNNNNNNNNNNNNNNNNNNNNNNNNNNNNNNNNNNNNNNNNNNNNNNNNNNNNNNNNNNNNNNNNNNNNNNNNNNNNNNNNNNNNNNNNNNNNNNNNNNNNNNNNNNNNNNNNNNNNNNNNNNNNNNNNNNNNNNNNNNNNNNNNNNNNNNNNNNNNNNNNNNNNNNNNNNNNNNNNNNNNNNNNNNNNNNNNNNNNNNNNNNNNNNNNNNNNNNNNNNNNNNNNNNNNNNNNNNNNNNNNNNNNNNNNNNNNNNNNNNNNNNNNNNNNNNNNNNNNNNNNNNNNNNNNNNNNNNNNNNNNNNNNNNNNNNNNNNNNNNNNNNNNNNNNNNNNNNNNNNNNNNNNNNNNNNNNNNNNNNNNNNNNNNNNNNNNNNNNNNNNNNNNNNNNNNNNNNNNNNNNNNNNNNNNNNNNNNNNNNNNNNNNNNNNNNNNNNNNNNNNNNNNNNNNNNNNNNNNNNNNNNNNNNNNNNNNNNNNNNNNNNNNNNNNNNNNNNNNNNNNNNNNNNNNNNNNNNNNNNNNNNNNNNNNNNNNNNNNNNNNNNNNNNNNNNNNNNNNNNNNNNNNNNNNNNNNNNNNNNNNNNNNNNNNNNNNNNNNNNNNNNNNNNNNNNNNNNNNNNNNNNNNNNNNNNNNNNNNNNNNNNNNNNNNNNNNNNNNNNNNNNNNNNNNNNNNNNNNNNNNNNNNNNNNNNNNNNNNNNNNNNNNNNNNNNNNNNNNNNNNNNNNNNNNNNNNNNNNNNNNNNNNNNNNNNNNNNNNNNNNNNNNNNNNNNNNNNNNNNNNNNNNNNNNNNNNNNNNNNNNNNNNNNNNNNNNNNNNNNNNNNNNNNNNNNNNNNNNNNNNNNNNNNNNNNNNNNNNNNNNNNNNNNNNNNNNNNNNNNNNNNNNNNNNNNNNNNNNNNNNNNNNNNNNNNNNNNNNNNNNNNNNNNNNNNNNNNNNNNNNNNNNNNNNNNNNNNNNNNNNNNNNNNNNNNNNNNNNNNNNNNNNNNNNNNNNNNNNNNNNNNNNNNNNNNNNNNNNNNNNNNNNNNNNNNNNNNNNNNNNNNNNNNNNNNNNNNNNNNNNNNNNNNNNNNNNNNNNNNNNNNNNNNNNNNNNNNNNNNNNNNNNNNNNNNNNNNNNNNNNNNNNNNNNNNNNNNNNNNNNNNNNNNNNNNNNNNNNNNNNNNNNNNNNNNNNNNNNNNNNNNNNNNNNNNNNNNNNNNNNNNNNNNNNNNNNNNNNNNNNNNNNNNNNNNNNNNNNNNNNNNNNNNNNNNNNNNNNNNNNNNNNNNNNNNNNNNNNNNNNNNNNNNNNNNNNNNNNNNNNNNNNNNNNNNNNNNNNNNNNNNNNNNNNNNNNNNNNNNNNNNNNNNNNNNNNNNNNNNNNNNNNNNNNNNNNNNNNNNNNNNNNNNNNNNNNNNNNNNNNNNNNNNNNNNNNNNNNNNNNNNNNNNNNNNNNNNNNNNNNNNNNNNNNNNNNNNNNNNNNNNNNNNNNNNNNNNNNNNNNNNNNNNNNNNNNNNNNNNNNNNNNNNNNNNNNNNNNNNNNNNNNNNNNNNNNNNNNNNNNNNNNNNNNNNNNNNNNNNNNNNNNNNNNNNNNNNNNNNNNNNNNNNNNNNNNNNNNNNNNNNNNNNNNNNNNNNNNNNNNNNNNNNNNNNNNNNNNNNNNNNNNNNNNNNNNNNNNNNNNNNNNNNNNNNNNNNNNNNNNNNNNNNNNNNNNNNNNNNNNNNNNNNNNNNNNNNNNNNNNNNNNNNNNNNNNNNNNNNNNNNNNNNNNNNNNNNNNNNNNNNNNNNNNNNNNNNNNNNNNNNNNNNNNNNNNNNNNNNNNNNNNNNNNNNNNNNNNNNNNNNNNNNNNNNNNNNNNNNNNNNNNNNNNNNNNNNNNNNNNNNNNNNNNNNNNNNNNNNNNNNNNNNNNNNNNNNNNNNNNNNNNNNNNNNNNNNNNNNNNNNNNNNNNNNNNNNNNNNNNNNNNNNNNNNNNNNNNNNNNNNNNNNNNNNNNNNNNNNNNNNNNNNNNNNNNNNNNNNNNNNNNNNNNNNNNNNNNNNNNNNNNNNNNNNNNNNNNNNNNNNNNNNNNNNNNNNNNNNNNNNNNNNNNNNNNNNNNNNNNNNNNNNNNNNNNNNNNNNNNNNNNNNNNNNNNNNNNNNNNNNNNNNNNNNNNNNNNNNNNNNNNNNNNNNNNNNNNNNNNNNNNNNNNNNNNNNNNNNNNNNNNNNNNNNNNNNNNNNNNNNNNNNNNNNNNNNNNNNNNNNNNNNNNNNNNNNNNNNNNNNNNNNNNNNNNNNNNNNNNNNNNNNNNNNNNNNNNNNNNNNNNNNNNNNNNNNNNNNNNNNNNNNNNNNNNNNNNNNNNNNNNNNNNNNNNNNNNNNNNNNNNNNNNNNNNNNNNNNNNNNNNNNNNNNNNNNNNNNNNNNNNNNNNNNNNNNNNNNNNNNNNNNNNNNNNNNNNNNNNNNNNNNNNNNNNNNNNNNNNNNNNNNNNNNNNNNNNNNNNNNNNNNNNNNNNNNNNAUCGACCCAGGUAACAACCGUCCUGCCUGAGAUCUUCUAAAUGGUGCCCUCUCUGUAUCGAUGAAUAUGUUAGUCAUCUACCUCCUGUUCUUCUCUCUGAAGCAAUCGCGGGCUUAGCUGUGACGUACGUACUUAAUUUGAACACGAUACAAGAAAUAGUUAUUUUUAGUUUGUGUAAUAUGGAGAACAUAAUUAUAUCGGUUGAAAGGAUAAUUCAAUACGCUGGCAUCUCAAGUGAGCCCCCUCUUACAAUAGAGGAUGAUUGCCCCUGUCCUUCAUGGCCAACAUGUGGAGAGAUCGCCAUUUCCGAUCUGCAGGUGCUAGGAAAACUUUAUGUUAUGCCGAAACAAUGUGUCAGCAUGUUUUGUCCAGUCAUUAGGACAUAAUUGACCUUUCUGACAAUUUGGGCGGAAUGCCAGGUCCAGUAUGCUCCACACUUGCCGCUUGUUCUGCGAGGCAUCACGUGCACUUUUCCUGGAGGGAUGAAAACAGGCAUCGUGGGGAGAACGGGCAGUGGCAAAUCGACUCUCAUGCAAGCACUUUUCCGCAUAGUAGAACCUUGUGCAGGUCAAAUCCUGAUAGAUGGCAUUAAUAUCUCCUCAAUUGGGCUGCACGAUCUGAGGUCGAGAUUAAGCAUCAUCCCUCAAGAUCCAACCAUGUUUGAGGGUACCGUGCGAAGCAAUCUAGACCCUCUUGAGGAGUACUCUGAUGAGCAGAUUUGGGAGGUGCAUUCAUUUCUUUUCACGAUUGAAGUUCCUUCUCUAGCUUAUAUAAUGUGGAACUAUAAUCAGCUGAUCCAUCCUGCAAUUGUAGGCAUUGGAUGAGUGCCAACUGGGGGAUGAAGUCAGGAAGAAAGAAGGGAAACUGGAUGCAGCAGGUUAUCUUCUGUACCCUUUCACUUGACCAUCCAAGAAGUGUUUUAACACAUUCUAGGACGGAAUUUGUCUCAUCUCUUGCUCUAUUAUCUUUGACCUGCAGUUACUGAGAAUGGUGAGAACUGGAGCAUGGGACAGAGGCAGCUUGUGUGCCUCGGUCGUGUGCUGCUCAAGAAAAGCAAGAUCUCGGUACUUGACGAAGCUACUGCGUCCGUUGACACAGCCACUGAUAAUCUGAUUCAGCAAACGCUGAGGCAUCACUUCUCGGACUGUACUGUUAUGACCUUUGCACAUCGGAUCACCUCAGUUCUUGAUAGCAACAUGGUUCUUCUUCUAGAUCACGGUAUGUAGUUUUCAACACGAUCUCAUCUCAGCCUUCUCAUUCAGCUUAUGCUUCAUCAUUCUCUUUUUUUUUUUUUUUUCACCACUCUCUCUCUCUCUCUCUCUCUCUCUCUCUCAAAUCAUGUCCAGGCCUUGUUGCUGAAUGUGAUUCUCCAAGAAGAUUGCUGGACAACAAAUCCUCAUCGUUCACGCAGCUUGUAGCAGAGUAUGCAACGAGGUCUAAGUACGGUUUUGGAAAUUGAUGAACCACCUACUUCAAGUUGAUCAAGAACUGCUACUUCUAAAGAUGAGAGGAGGUGUCAGAGUAAUUCGUCCAGCCACGUCAUUGCCAGUAGCUCCAUAUUGGCUUAAACAUAAUCUGAUGCAAUUAAACAUGGACCACAAAGUUGAUAACUCUUUCUUCAGAAAACGAAACAUAUUGUUGCAAUACUUAUCAUCCAAAUGCUGGAAAAUUCUCAUCUAUAGGAAUUAACAUGCUUUGCGCAUUCCGUUUGCAUCAUUCUACUUUGAACAUCAUAUGGCAUAUGCAGCGCAUAACGUCGUCAUCCCUCACUUCCACCCAAAUUGCCUUCAAUCGGCCUUAUCCAGAUUCAUGUAAUUCAAUCCUACAGAACACAUAUGUCCAUUAGGUCCCCCAAACUCCCCAUAACUACCAACCCUUCCAUGAUCACCCACUAUAGUUUUGCAAGAAUAUAAUGUUAGUAAAAAGCUCAAGGUUAAGAUUCUAAAAAUUGUUUUAUUCUGACAGAGAAGCAGUUGUUUGUUAAAAAAAAAAAAAAAAAACAAACUCACUCCCUUAAACUGCUCCGCAUUCACCGUUAUCAUUAUUGGGCCGCCAUCAUCGAUUGGAGAUCGCUCAUUGAUCAACAGUAGUGCAGCUGGUCACUGAAGCUGCCCAUGGCCGCCGCCCAACGCAGCGCCUCGAAACACCUGUUGCUAGACUCGAAAAACAUCCCACCUACCGCCUGCCGAUUACCGCCGCGCUUGAAGACAACCACCAUGGAAUCAAGCACCACCUUCACCACAAUCAGAUUCGGCCCCCACAGCCAACUUCACAGUUGACUGCCACCGAACUCAUCCUACCACCACAGCUAGCACCAUAAGACGCGGCCGCCAUCGCCAAACUCCCCCACCACCAUCACCAGAUCGGGUCGCCACCGCCACCACCAUGCUCGCGGCCACGGCAGCUGGAGCUUCGUUGAGCUAGUGGCCACGGCUGCUCAAGCUUCGUCGAGCUUGGGACCAGGGUCGCUUGAGCUUCGUCGAAUUCGAUAAAUCACGAACCAAGCAAUGGCCAGUAUCAGAAAAUCGAGCGCAUCUUCUCCUACAUAUAUCACAUAUCUAUCCAGUAAUGGAAGAAUCAACAAAUAACAGGUUAGAGAAAGUUACUGGAGACGGACGCAAGCAAGAUUUGUUCCCCCUGUUCUUCGUGUCCCUUUCUCUUCCCAUUUUCUUUUUUUUCUUAUUUUCUUUUUUCUUUUUUCAGUUUUCAGCUUCCUAUUUUUUUAAAUUUUUGAGCUAUUUUUUAAUGCAAUGCCUCGUGGGCGCCAUGUGUCUCCAAAUUAUAAUAAAUUCCGGGUCAUCUUUUUUCUGUCCAUCAAUUUUGCCGGAGUUAAAAGAGGAACUCAAUUGCCUUUUUUUUUCAAAAUAUACUACUUAAUUGCACUUUCACUACAAAUUAAAUGUAUUAGAGAAAUCUCGCAUUGAAUAGUUUGUGUGGUUUGAAGCCGCUAAUGUGUAUUAGUUGAUCCAUAAGUCAUUGGCUUUAGUGUUGAAGUAAAGAUUAGUCCAAUUGAAUAUGUAUGUAUUUUUUUAUUAUUAAUAAUUGGAUAUGUUUGUUGAUUGGUUCAGAUUUUGACUCUCUCUUGAAUAUCUCCCCAACUAAAGAUAUUGGACUUCUAAUUAUCGGCCCAACAUUUUCCUUGCGAAUGCUUUAUCUAACUCAUAGAACGUUGAUCAGCUUGCCUAUACUUAUAGGAAAACUCUUGUACAAUCACAAGGCACCUUUCCCUAUGGACGGUUAAGAGAAGGAAACUGUCUUAUGGGCAAUUUAGCAGGACCCUGAACUCCCAAUUCACCACUUAUUCCCACCGAUCAUAUAGUCAACGGUCAACUCAAGAAACCUCCUUUCUCUCAUCCAUGGGAGGCGUAUAGCUCCCACCCACUUGACAGAAAUCCCAAGGAGCUUACCGAGAAUGGAGCUUUUCGAUUCACCAAAGCAGGUUCUAGAAAUCUUUUUCUCGAACUUCUCCACUCUGAUGUCUUCAGGUGGCGGUUUUCUGCUCAAGACCACGUUUUUAGGGGGUUCUCCUGGUUCUUUGCACUUGAUUUUGUUGCUUGGGCUCUUGAUUUUAUGGGCGUGCAAGAGGCUUGUCCGUAUUUAGUCUGGUCUUGUGUGUGACAAAUUACUUUUACUGGUAUAGAAAUGAUUGGUUGGAAGAGAAAUUGGUGUGUCUGUUGGAUUUAGCGCUGAAAACUAUUGCUUGGGGAGCUCGGAUGUUUAUUUAUAUGGCCAAAGCUCCAAUUUUGGACAAGUUUCCCUCUUCUAUUGAGAGUUUGGUGGGGUUUCUACUUAUCUAUCUCGUGUUAUAUCCUAGUCAUAGACAUUGUUCUGUCUGCCAAGCAUGCUCCAGUGCAAACUUGGUAUAUUAUUUCUGAUAUAGUUACUGUUGUCACCAGUUUAUUCUGUUGUUAUGUGGGGUUCUUCGGUAAAAUUGAGAUCGAUGACAAUCUCCUCAAAGAACCCCCUUUAAAUGGUGAUCCAGUUACAGUUGGUGCAGAACUGAAUAAGUGCCGAGGAGGUGAAACUGCGAGCCCUUACUCAAAAGCGGGUUUGUUUAACAUUAUAACCUUCUCGUGGCCGAGUCCUCUAAUUGCUUUAGGGAAUAAGAAAGCAUUGGACCUGGAGGAUAUUCCUCAACUUUAUUCUCGAGACAGUUUAGUUGGCACGCUACCUGAUUUCAAGAAAAGGCUUCAGCCGGCUGUUGGUUCAAGCACUGGAAUGACUUCAUUUGGGCUGGCGAAGGCUUUGAUUUUUUCUGGAUCCAACCAUGUUUGAGGGUACCGUGCAAAGCAACCUUGACCCUCUUGAGGAAUACACUGAAGAUCAGAUUUGGGAGGUCGGUUCAUUUUCUUCCCCAGUUUGAUUACAAAAUUUCUGUGAAUAGAAGUUCUUUUGUAGCUCAUGCAACAUAAACCAUAGUCAGCAAAAGCUAAUCCAUCCUGAAAUUCUAGGCAUUGGAUAAGUGCCAACUCGGGGAGGAAGUGAGGAAGAAAGAAGGGAAACUGGAUUCGCAAGGUUCUUUCAGGACCUUUUCUUCAACUGUACUUGUUUGUGCUUCUAUUACCGGCAGAAAUUCUGCAGCAAUUCAGAAUUCAAAUUGUAGAAAAUUAAAAUUGAAAUUUCUUUUCUGCCAUAUUCCAGAAUUGUACUUGUUUUUAGCUCGCUCAUGAGACGCUUGACCUACAGUUGCAGAGAAUGGAGAGAACUGGAGCAUAGGACAGAGGCAGCUCGUGUGUCUCGGUCGUGUCCUGCUCAAGAAAAGCAAGAUUUUGGUACUAGAUGAAGCCACUGCUUCCAUCGAUACAGCCACCAAUAAUGUGAUUCAGCAAACUUUGAGGCAUCACUUCGCCGACUGUACGGUUAAUACCAUUGCACAUCGGAUCACUUCUGUUCUCGACAGCGACAUCAUUUUUCUUCUAGACCAUGGUUAGUAUUUCAUGACACGAUCUCAUCUCGGCCUUGCAUGUUUGGCUCAUGCUUCAUCAAUAUCUCUCUCUCACUUUGAAUCUGUGUCCAGGCCUUGUUGCUGAAUAUGACUCUCUGAAAAGAUUGCUAGACAAGGAAUCCUCGUUCGCGCAGCUCGCAGCAGAGCACGCAACGAGGUAGCGUUCAGUUUCAGCAGCUAAAACGAUGUGAAUUUUGUAUUUCUCCAGACAAAGAUGAGAUUUCAAAAAACUAAGUUGUAUUGAAUAGACAUUUCGAUAUCUGUAAGUAUGUUUCUUUUGAUUAACUAAUUAAAAGUUUCACUACAACAAACUGAAUCAACUGAAUAUUUCCAAUUAAGUCAUACUAGUUAUUGCUCCAAAAUAAGUAUAUGUCUUGCAUCACGAAAGAUAGAAUGAGUGCAUCUUAAAAGCAGAAAAUUAGAUUAAAUGAAUAUAAAUACUUUAUGUUUUGAAUAAGGUAUUAUCUUAAAUUUUUAUAUGAAGGUAUACUGCAAGUUUAAGAUAAAUAUUAACUCCUUCAACUAAAAAAUACAGCAGUCUAAAUUAACUAAAAAGAAUUCAAUUUAUAAAUCAUCUUAAUUAUUGAUCCAAAGUAAGUGGAUUUGUUGCAUCACAAUAGAUAUACUUAAAAUAAGUGCAUUUGAAAAGCAGAAAAUUAAACUAAAUAAAAUGUAAGUAUGUUAUUUUUUCAAUAAAGUAUUACCUUAAUUUUCGUUAUUUUAAAGAUGUAAUGCCAGUUUAAGAUACAUAGUGUUUCGAUUGUAAGCUUGAGGUGACGGGGUUCUUGUUCUGUUUAAUUGAUAAAGUAUAUCUCAAUAAGCUAUCCUUAUUAAAAUUUUAUUAUUUUUUAUUCAAGUAGCAAUAAAAAUAAUUUAUGUGUCAACUUAUAGAAUUUAACUACUCGAAUAAAGCAACUAUAUCUGUGACAUCCUGAUUUCAACCAUGUCUCGAUAAUGUGAAUUGAGAUUUUCAUCGACACACUUAUAGUCUUUUUCUCUGAGCUGAUCACUCACGAGAUAACUAAUAUAUCAGGUGAAGCUGUUAAGGAAUAUAAACGUGACUAACUUGAAAAUUCGAUCAGAAACCAACUGCUCAACCGUACUAAUCUGCAAGAGUUAAUACGGCAUCAUUAAAAUCAAUUAGAGACUGGAAAUAUGUCAAUUCGACAGAGGCAUGUAAUUAAAUUGUGGGUGAUUCCACCUGAUUGCAAAAUUUAUGUCGAACAGCACUAAAUCGAUUUUUCUGCCGAUUUUGUACCCUAUGCCCGUAAUUGAAAUUUUGAGAUUUUUACAACAACCAAGAGUUACUUAUGAGUCGGAGAUGCACGAUGUGAAUCGAAAAUAAUCGAUCACGGGUCAAACACGUUAAAAAUUCCUAAAAGCUACCCGAUAGGUUAGGUCACGCUAAAAUCACGUACGUUUGAAAUUAACCACGAAAUCGAAUCCGGUUUCAGGAAUCGAAAGUUCUGGCAUGUCACGAUUUAUUUUUAAGAUGUCGACUCAUCCUUUGAAGAAAUUUCGACAAGCUUGGAAUGUUUGGCGAAAAAUCAAAAUUCAGCAAAAUUGAUUCAAGAAAUUCGGAGGGCCACCUUGGUGUGAAUUUGGCAUUCAAGUUGGAUUGUUUGGUGAUGGAAAAGGUGGAAAUUCGUUUGGGCUUCCUCCUCAGCAACUUGACCAUCAAUUGGAGGUUAUUUGGAGUUAAAUUGAAUUGAAUUGGUGAGGGAAAUACUUGAAAUUUGUAGGCUAGGGGGCUGCAACAUUUGGCCAUCACCUUGGCUUGUUGGAGAAGUUUGAGAAGGGAAAUGGCUGCUGGAUAGGGGCUAAAGACUUUGGGGGCUAAUACUCAAGUGUUUUGAGAUAUUUUGGGUGGACUUUGGAAGCCCUUUGUCCCCUCCUUCCCUAGUAGUAGCUUCUUCUUCUUAUUCCUCAGUUUCUUCUUCAUUUCCUCCAGCUGAAACAUUCAUUUCCAAAGCAGCAAGACAACCACCGGCCCCUCCAUCCUUACUGCUUCGUCCGCCAGCCACUACACCACUGUUCGAGCCUGCCGUCACCCUAGUAGCCAAUCGCCAGUCGUCCCGAGCCCGUGUGUCCAAAAGGCCAGUGAUGUCGUUCGGCUCGCUAGCCGUCUAUGUGCCAUCCCUGCUGUUCCGUCGACCAAGCUGCCCGUUCGCCUACAAGCCACCGGCGUCGCUCCAACUUGUUCCCGUUGCCACCUGGUCCUGUCACGCCCCGAACCUUGAGCACAUGCCCAUCCCUCUCUAAUCGAUAAAAUUUUGCGACUUCCCAAGACGAGUCGCUGACCCUUUCAUUUUAUUGUGCAUGCGUAAGUGAAAAUAAAUCCCCUAACAGUAAUUAUCUCGAGAUAGAAAAGCAGGACAACAUAUUCACAAACAAACAUGCUUUUAUAUAUAUACUGAGUCAUGUACAAAAGGCUAAGGUCAAAAGACUACAAAAGACUAGUCUUCCAAAAAGAAGCGAUCCUAACUAACCUACGAUUCCGUUCACCUCCUCUCAGCUCUAAGUCCUCCACUCGACAACCCUGAAAAUGGUUAUAUAAUAACCAGUGAGACAAUGUCUCAAUAAGUCCAUGCUCUAAACCCCGAUUAGGAGGGAAAUACACCUAGAAGCACCCUAAUCAUGCAACCAUACAAUCACAGAGCCUUACCAUGGCCUCAGAUCCACCUUGCAAGUCAGUACAAUUUAUAACUCAGACAACAUGAAAGCAUGAACAACAACCAAGCUUAAUUAACUAGAACGUCAUAUUGAAAUUCUCAAGUAAGCACAGGAAUCCUGAUUAUAGGGCCAAAUAUUCAACUCAAUUAAACAUGCAUUCCUAGUUUUGAUCUCGGCAUAUAGCACGGCCUACUCUCUGUUUGACGGUCUUCUAGCAUUGCCAAGCAUCGUCUCACCCCAUUGAACACGGCACGUCUUUUUAUCAAAUGGCUUUCUCGAAAGAGCAUAGGGUCCAGAAUCUACUGCGACCGGCUUCCCGUUUUUCAGGGGGUAUCCCAAAUAAGGAUAACAUCCAGCUUAACAGCCCCGGACGAUUUCUCUUAACCAUCACACAAUCACUCAAAUAUGGCCUAGGGUACCGUGCAUUGCACUCAAAUACUUUAAUUAAAAUGGUGAACCUAGCAUUUUUCUUCGUAUUAGAAAUACGCUUGAAAAUAUUCGUGUGUGGGUACACGAUCAACUUGACCCAGAAAAAUUGACAUUCUUUCUUUUUAAAAUCCCACUAUUUUAUAUAGUACUUAAAGCCAUUUUCGAUGUCAAAAUCCAACACCUAGGAUUUUCUGAACAAAUACUGGAAAUUCACAAAUUUUUUGAAUUAAAUACCAAAAAUCAAAUUAGCAUUCAAUUUGCAUAAUUAGCACUCAAUUGUAGAAAUUAACCACACCAUUGAAAGUAGCACAAAAUUCCGGUCACCGACUAUCCCAGCCUAAUUUUUGGAAAAAUAAUUAAUAAAUAAUUAAAUUCGAAAUUUAAUUAAUUAAUUCAAUUUGAUUUCUAAAAAUACUAACCUAGGCCAAAAUUAUUAAAUUAAAUAUCAAUACAGACUCGGAAAAUUCCCAAACCCUUCUAGAAAAAUAAUGCAAUUUAUCUAGGCCUUGUCUAAACCAUGCUAACCGUCUAACAUGCUUAAUUAAAUAAUUAAAUUUCUAAUUUAAUCUAACUAACCACCUAAUUCCUAAUUACUAAAUCUAAACACCCCUUAAACGCCAUUAGCCUACUAAGAAGAGUUUAGAGUAUAAACUCACCGGUUAAUUGCGGAAACCGAUUCACCUCGACAACGGUGCGACGGCGGCCAAAUUUUGAAUUUUCGGCGACGUCGGCAGACACUCGGACUGGGCCUAAACGGGCCCAACAAAUCUCAGCCCAACCUAAGAUUUCCUUUUGAAUUGGACCAGGCCCGAAGCGAGCUAACUUCGCGGGCUUGGGCUGCUGAACUAGGCUUGGCUUCACGGGCUUCGAAUGGGCUGAGCUUGAUGGACUUUAUGUGGCACCCCGAACCCUUCGUAGGUCGCCACAAGCGCCAAUGUUACACCUUAUUACCUUUCUUCUUAGAAGAAGAAGCGUCGUAAUUCAUAGACACAUUUUUUUUUAAACGGUCCCAGCGUGACUCAUUAGCGGAAGCAAAUUAAAUCAUCACCAUCUCUCCCCCUACCAACCAUGAUACAAAUACACACCACUAAUCAUCAUGAUUUUAUAGACAAGCCAUGACACUUUAUUUACAUAUAUUUUCAAGAUGGGACUUCUUUGGGUCAAUACAUCAAAAGGAAAAACCAGGACUCAGCCACGUCCGGCCUAAAACCCCAAAAAGAACCCUCGACCCUCUACAUCUCACGUGCACAACUCCCAUCAUCAGUGUCAGCUAACUAUCCCAAAAAGAUCCAACUCCUACUCGUCACGCACGAACCUCACACCCAAUCCGGUGCAUCAGGGUGGUGGUGGCAACAUCCCUCUCAUCACCCCGUCGCGACGAAUGUGGACAAAGACAAACUCCUGGAUAAUCGGGCCCCUAGCUAGGCCUAUGCCGUACAUGACAAAACAACGCACUCAUAUAUACAUCAAUCCAGGCACAGAAGGACAGCUAAACUCCUCGCACUCAACCUCGACAUCGGAUGGUAGACUGUAAAAUACACCCUGCAUGACGGCAGGGAGCGGCAUGCUGCUAAUCUAAAAUGUUGGUCCCCAAAAGGGGUGAGUACAACCACUCAGCAGGUAAAUGAAUCCAAUAACCACUCAAUGCAUCAUACAAGUCAUACAUGCAUUUUAGGCAUUACUUACCUUGAAGCCAUGCGCAUACUAUCAUGCAUCAUCAUCACAAUCAUAACACAUACAUGUGUAUCAUCAUGUCAUACUCAUAUAGUUGUCAUCAUGACAUUAUUAUAUUACACAUAUGUCAUCAUCAUCAUACCAUACAUGUCAUCAUCAUCAUAUCAUACACAUAUCGUCGUCAUCAUGACAUCAUGACAUCACACAUGUCAUCAUGCCUUAUCAUAUAUCAUCAUCAUCAUCAUCAUCAUCAUGCAAAUCAUCAUGCCAUAUCAUAUAUCAUCAUCAUCAUCAUCAUCAUGCAUAUCAUCAUGCCAUAUCAUAUAUCAUCAUCAUCAUCAUCAUCAUGCCAUAUCAUAUAUCAUCAUCAUCAUCAUCAUCAUGCAUAUCAUCAUGCCAUGUCAUAUAUCAUCAUCAUCAUCAUCAUCAUCAUCAUCAUCAUCAUCAUCAUCAUCAUCAUCAUCAUCAAGACCUCAUCACACAUACUACAUGGUGCAAUUAUUUAUAAAAUAAAAUUCAUGGAAUUUAUGCCAAUUAAAAUAAUCCAUUUAUCAUGCCCCUUUUUAUUUUUUAUUUAUUUAAAUUCCAGCUUGUGCCAUUUUCAAAAAUAUUAAAUUUAAUUAUUUAUAUAAUCUCAAAAAUCAUAAAAUUAAGGCAAGUGAUAAACAAGACAAUAGGAUGAUGACUUCAUGUAAAAUACAUGGCCAAAUAAAAUUACACAUAAUUCCAUAAAUCACACAAAACAGCAUAUAAUUUUCGGAUGAAAUCAGAAUGCACAGUUUCCGAAGAAAUUCGAUUAAAAUAUCCAUAAGACCUCCAAAAAUUACGAAAUUUUACCAAGUUAUAGUCAAGACAUUAAAGUACAUUUUUCAUGAAGACUUCCAAGUCAGAUUCUUUUUAGAUAAAUUUCUACAGUCUCACGAAGCUUCUGGAUCCAACACCGAAUCGUCCAGUACAUGCUUCUCCGAAAUACUGCGUUUUCACCUACCUAUUCUUCUUCUUUUACUCUGAAAUUUGGAUAUGUUCUACAUCAAGAUGUUCUCUACAAGUUUCGUGAAGAGAUCCAAGUCAUAUAUCCAGAGUACAGUCGACAUUUAGGUCCAUGAAGUCUCGGGUGUCCUGUAAUACAUCUCCAGAAUUACCGUCUUCAAGAUCUAGUCGAUUUACUAGGUUAUACUUGUUCAUUUCACUUUAAAUUUGAGUAUGUUUUAAUUUAAUAUGUCCCCUACAACUUUCAUGAAGAAAUCUAAGAGAUAUUCUUAGCACAAAUCAACAUGCAACCACAAAUCCAUCAAAAGGUCAAUGAAAUCUUUCCAGAUCUGAGGUCUCCGUAGGAUGAGAGUUUAAGCCCUCAAAUCUCCAUCAUUUUCCACCAAAUUUUAGUAUGUUGUAUUUUAAGAUGUUAGCUACAACUUUCAUGAAUAUAUCAAAGCCAAAAUCGGACUUUAAACAUGCAUGCAAGCUCACACAACAUUCUGACUCGAGCGGAUUCAAACGAAAACAGCAACCUUGCUCAAGAACAAGUCAUCCAAGCUUCGGUUUUUCCUCUCCUAAUCACCCAAAAUUCGACGUACAUGUAACACACACACAUGCAAGAGCAGCUAGAGGACCCCAACUUGCCUCUAGACCGGACGGACGACGGCACACAGCGGCGAGCACGGCGGCACACGGCGGACAGACGACGAGCGACAGCGACUCCCUCCUCUCGGCUUCUCCUCUCUCGGCCACUCUCUCCCUCUCUCUCUCGCACAAUCUCUCUCUCUCUUUGGGCGAAUGGCUAACCGGCCACCUCUCUCUCUCUUCUUCCCUUUUAUUCCCCCCUAAACCUCAUCAUUAGUAAUCAUCACAUGCCACUUAAAUGAACCAAUGCAUAGAGGCUCUUCUUGCCACUUGGCAAGACCCAUGCAUGGCCCGACCACCUUCUUCUUGGGCCUCAAUGGGCCGGCGACAGCCCCUUCGUGGGCUCCUAUUGGGCCGACUAGCUUGGCCCACUAAAGCUUAGGCCAAUGGGCCUAAGGCCCAUCCUAAUAAAAUUUAAAUUUUCCCCUUUUCAUAAUUUCUUCUAUAAAUUUUAAAUUUUAAAUUCCACAUGGCUUAAGUCUUGUGACAUUUUAUUUAAUUCAUAAGGUGCAUGGCCAAGCAUAGAUUAUCAUUAUUAAUCUAUCAAAUUUAAAAUCUCAUGAACAUAAGCACAAAUCACCUAAUCUUAAAAAGAGACUAAUGGCUAAAGCAUAAACCAUAGGUAAUUUCAUUACCUAAUUAGAGGCUUUAACACACCUUAUAACUUGACUUUGAAUUUUUGGGAUGCCACACUUUACUAGGGUGAAUUCUUGGGUUGAAACUUACGGUCACAGCUGGGCUUGAAGAUGAAUUCGUGGGCCUGCGGUUGUGGGCCAAAGACUAAAGCUCACGGAAAAAUUCAUGGAGAUGCUGGACUUCGGCUUCGUUGGUGUGUGGACGACACUGCUGGCAGGAGCUUCUUCGGUUGAUGCUGCUGCUUCGCUGGCAGCUGAAGAAGACCAAAGCUGCUGGAGGUGGGCCAAACGUUGGGCCGAGCUGCUACAAACUGAAGUUACAACGGAGGAGAUGGCGAGACAUGGACGAAGAUGCUGGACAAGGAAGCAGUCAUUGUUCGUGGUGUGAAAGCUAGUAUGAGCACCUAGAGGGGGUGAAUAGGUGCAGAAACAAUUUUGCGAGAUAUGUGCAGUGCUAAUCAACAAUAGAUUAUGAAAAGGAAAUUCUCUCUUGUAAACAAAACGAGUUACGAUCAAAGUAAAAGAGUGUAAAGAAGAGAAUAUGAACACAGAGAUUAUAGUGGCUCGGCUUAAUUCAAGCCUACGUCCACUCUUCCGCACUGACAGCCCACUAGCUGGAUUUCACUAUGAACAAAAGAGUUGUUAUAGUUAGGCUCUUCCUUGAUUCCACAGUGUAGAGACUCUACUACACUUCCUCAAGGUCUCUCAAUGAUAUAAACUAUCUUUUGUGUACAAGAUUUCGCUCAACAGUUUAAUUGACUAAGAACAAGGAGCUUCAGACUUUGGAAUUCUUCUAUCGCGCACACACUUGAACAAUUGGAACGUCUUCCUUAUAUACUCCUUUAUGCCAUCAUACCCAUUGGCACUUACCAAAGGAAUUCUUCCAAUCUACCCGUUGGACAGAAUCAAUUAGGAAGAUCUUUGAGCUAUUUAAGGAACAUGACGAUAGCCCAUCAAUCCUGCUCGCCCAUACAAUCAAGAUCUUGAUUUUCAUAAGUAGAACAUUCCAAGUAUACUUCGCCAAUUAACGGAUCCACGAUUCCCAAAUCAAUCUUGAUUAGAAUAAAGGAUUCCAACAUGCUAUAUCCAGCCAAGAGAUCUUCUCCAGUCGAUAAAGUCAAAUCCUUGACGAAACAACUAGUUCUGGAUAAGUCUUCUUCGACGGACUAGAAACUGUUAAUGAGGAUAGACUUUGAGUCUUGAGUCUGGCAGUCCGGAGGUCUUCAGACUUUAAUGGAAGAGUCUCCAAGUCUUUAGACUAGACUGAUGGAAACGUUUUGUCAGCUUUAAAACACUCAAGGAAGUUUUCUCCAACAAUCUCCCCAUUUUUUAUGGUGACAAAACUUUCCUACAGAUUUGGAUAACUUUGACCUGCAAAACAUUACUCAAGCAAGUAUAGAUAUCUCACAAAGAUAAAUGGCUUAGUAAUAACACUAGAAUCUGCAUCCACAAAAAGUAGGUUAGUCUAAUGAACAAGGCCAUGAGAUAUCAAUAAUACUUAAGAUAAACAUAUGUUCAAACAGUCAAUUCCAAAUCCAGUCCAAAUCCAAAUAGCCAAACACAAACAUCGAGUCGAUCAAAAAAGCUUUAAAUCCAAACAGUCAAAUCUGCACAUCUCUCCCCCUUUUUGUCAUCAUUAAAAAGGUAGAGAUGAAAAGAGAAUGAAAUUAAGAUGGCUUGGGAACACGAACAAGCUGGAAAUCUCCCAUUGACUGGACAAUGCCUUCUAGCUUUUUCAAGUCCUCAUUCAGUUGCGCUACUUCUUCACCCUUAGCAUUUGCCUGAACUUGAAGAGCAAGGGCUUGGAGUUGAUCAUUCAAAGAAACUGAAGAAGCUUGUCUUGCAUUCUGCAUAUUCUGAAGUUCGCAUCCCAGAGCAUAGAUUUGACCUUUCAUCUCCAAAAAACAUCAAGAAUUCUGUGAAAGUCUGCUGAAUUAUCAGUCUGAGUACUUGCUUCUGCACGAUCAGAUGGUGUAUAAGCAGAUGAUGGCAAAUCAACAUUGUCACGCAGAUUGGGCAAUGAAACAUCGUGUCCCUCCUCAGGAAAUUGUGAGGCAUAGAUGUCCUCUGGAUCUGCUGGAGAGCGACUUACUCCUUCACUGGUGGCAGGGAUUGAGGAUGUUUCUCUUUUCUCAGGAUCUCCCCCUGUUUCCAUGCCUUCAGGUGGAGAAGAGUGUUUUUCAUGUUCUUUUUCUACUCUCUCUCUCUCUCUGCUUCUUCUUCUUCUUCUUCUUCUUCUUCUUCAAUUCUUUCCUCCUCUGCAUCUCUCUCCUCUGCUUCUUUCUCAAAAUCUUUACUUUCUCCAGUCCUCUGUUCUGUUUCAGCCAUGUCUUUUUCCUGUCUCUCCGUUGAUUCUGGUGUAGAACGACUCAAGUUCUUCACUCAUCCUCUUCAUCCUCAAUGAUGAGAGCUCUUCUUUUCUUGGAUGGAGCAACCAUGGGCUCCUUCCCUUUCCUUUUUGUAGUUGAAGAUAUUUAAAGAGAUUUGACAGGGGUUUUCUCCUUGAACUUCUCCAACUCCUUAUUGAGUUCCUUCAGACGCAUUUUAGAGACCAUUUUUAGUCCCACCACCAUUUGAUCACACGCUUGACCAUAAAGAAAUCGGGGAGGCUGAAUAUUCAAGUGUCUGAAUAACUUGGUCACAAGAGCUGGAUAAGGAAGUUGACCCUUGUCCUUCACCACUGCCCUGUACAUGUGGAACAUAAUAGUGUGUGAAAGAGAGAAUUUUUUCCCAGCAUUGAUGGCAUAUAUCAGCUUUGCCUCCGAGUUUGAAACAUCAGUCUUUGAAGUAGAUUUUGGUCUGAGGCAGUUAAUCACAAUCUUGUGAAGCAGAAUGUUGGUUGCAUUCAUCCUUGAAUAGGAAAUCUUUUCUUCCAUUCUUCGAUCUUUAACAAGUUCCAACGUUGCACGAGCAAUAGACACACUGAUAGGUUGAUAUCUCCCUCUUUCAACCCCAACCACAUCAGCCAAUGUAUUCAUGUCAACCACAUAAUCUUGAUCUCGAACAUUAAAAGAGAAUCUAUUCGCAGCCAAGAAACUAAGAUUCGAAUAGAAAUAAGCAGUAAGUUCAGCACAGGCUUCUGUAGAUUCAGAACAAAACUGUUCGAGUUGAAGAAGACUGAAUUUCUCUCGCAAAUUGACAUUCACAGAGCCAAGAAAAUCAAAAUCCACACUUCUAGGGUUUAUCACCUCACGCUUCAGCAACUUAGAGUACAGUUGCUUGUGUUCCUCCGAUCAAAACAAGUCUGUCCUUUUGCUUCGGAUUUUUGCUGCAACACCCAUUCUCGGUUUAAAUUGAUAGUACAUCCUAUCAUCGUCAUUCCCAUCUGGCUGACUCAGUCCUCCAACACGUGGAUCAGUUGGGAUAUUUGCCAAUGCCUCUUCCGCCGAUCCAGCAGGGGCAAUUCCCAAUCGUUCCAUUGUGCGUAGAAAAUAGGUUUCAUUUCAAUACCCUUUUUCUUUCAAAAAUUCGUCAAUGUAGUUCAAAGGAGUACCACCCCUCUUCAAAGCACGGUAAAGCUUAUAAGUAAAGCCAGGCUUAAGAGUUCUUACGAGUUCUGCGUCUUCGACGAUUUCUUCCUCUUCUCGAUGUGCAACAUCCUGAGGUCUAGAUGGAGGAGAUAGACGCUGCUGAGAAUGUUGUGGGCUCUGUUGCAGAUUAGGAGAUUCUUCUUCCUCGGUGAGAUCAAAGUGCGUAGGCCCCUCACGCAUCUGCUGUGGUCCCAUGUUCGCGAUCCUCAAAUACUUUCUUUGGGAAGACAUUUUUCACAGUUUUGGAGGGAUUCCAAGCUUGUUUUCUCAAGAAAGAUGACAACUUUUCGAAGAUUAAACAAGAGAAGAAGACAUAAAUGGAAGAUCGGUGCUCUUUUAGGGUUUUUGUGAGUAAAACGAAGAAGAACCGACAGUAUAUAAGACAAUCGAAGAGAUGCAUACGGAACGUCGUAAAAAGGAAAUAUAAAGAUGCCUUUUUAAAAAAUAACUGCUUUUUCAAAUAUUAGAUAACUGUCAUUUUAAAAAAUUUCUUUUUCAAAAAGGAAAGAUUACAAUAAUCAUGGAAAUUAAAAAUAGCAACAAUCAAUUACGGGUUGAUGAUCGUACCUUUUCGAGAUUUGAUUUGAGAGAUAAUAAAAUAACUUACAAAAAAUCUUGAUCGUCUAAGUCUGAGUGUCUUUAGACUUUUAGUCCUGGGUCUAAACUUCCUCAGACUUUAAGAUAUUGAGUCUAGAACGAAUAGCUUCAAAUUGAUUUUUCUCCAAAGGCUUUGUAAAUAUAUCCGCCAGUUGAUUCUUUGAGUCAAUAAACUAAAUCGAAACUUCUCCAUGUUGAACAUGAUCUCUAAUGAAGUGAUGUCGAAUCUCUAUAUGUUUUGCUCUUGAGUGAAGAAUCGGAUUCUUGGUGAGAUUGAUUGCGCUGGUGUUGUCACAUUUGAUUUCAGUGCAUGAAUAUUCAAUUCCAAAGUCUCUUAAGUAUUGUUUUAUCCACAAAAUUUGUGAACAAUAACUUCCAAGAGCUACAUAUUCUGCUUCUGCUGUAGAAAGAUCUACUGUACUUUGCUUCCUUGAAAACCAAGAUACUGUCCUGCUUCCAAGUAGUUGAUAGGUGCCCGAGGUGCUCUUUCUAUCAACUCUGCAUCCGGCUAGGUCUGCGUCUGAGUAUCCAAGAAGAGUAAAGUCUCCUUCUUUAGGAUACUAGAGACCCAAAGUUGAAGUUGAGGCAAUGUAUUUGAUAAUACGUUUUGCAGCACUUAAAUGAGAUUCUCUAGGGUUUGAUUGAAACCUGGCACAAAUGUAAACACUAAACAAAAUAUCAGGUCUAGAAGCAGUAAGGUAAAGAAGUGAACCAAUGAUGCUCUUGUAUAGCUUCUGGUCGACUUUCUUUCUUCCUUCAUCUUUGUCCAACUUCAAGGAAUUUGACAUUGGUACAUCAGUCUUUUUGCAAUUCUCCAGUCCAAACUUUUUGACAAGAUCUUUAGCAUUCUUUUCUUGAUGAAUAAAGGUUCCUUCCUUCAGUUGUUUUACUUGGAGUCCGAGAAAGAAGGUUAGUUCACCCAUCAUGCUCAUUUCAAAUUCAUCCUGCAUAGACUUAGAGAAUUUAUUGCACAGACUUUCAUUAGAAGAUCCAAAAAAUAAUAUCAUCAACAUAAAUUUGAACUAGUAGAAAACUUUUGCUUUCUCUUUUGAUAAACAAUGUAGUAUCUACUUUACCUUUGACAAAGCCAUUUUGGAUUUAGUCUAUCGUACCAAGCUUGAGGUGCUUGCUUUAGACCAUAUAGAGCUUUUUUCAGUCUGAAAACAGAGUCUGGUUUCCUUGGGUCUUCAAAACCGGAUGGUUGUUCCACAUAGACUUCCUCUUGGAUAAAUCCAUUUAGGAAAGCACUUUUGACAUCCAUUUGGAAUAACCUGAAAUUUUUAUGACAAGCAAAAGCAAGUAAUAAUCUAAUUGCUUCUAACCUUGCUACUGCUGCGUAAGUCUCAUCAUAGUCUAUCCCUUCUUCUUGCAUAUAUCCCUUGGCCACGAGUCUUGCUUUGUUUCUUACAACCUUUCCUUUCUCGUUCAUCUUGUUUCUGAAAACCAAUUUAGCUCCAAUGAUGGAUUUACCUUUCGGUUUAGGAGAUAAUUCCCAUACAUCAUUGAUAUUGAAUUGCCUGAGUUCUUCUUGCAUAGCUUCAAUCCAACUUUCAUCAGUUAGAGCUUCUUCUAUACUUUUGGGUUCUAUUUCAGAAAUAAAAGCUACAGCACUAGACUCUUCGCGCCUUUUGGAUCUUGUGCAAAUUCCUUCAUUAAUAUCGCCAAUAAUGAGAUCUGUGGGAUGACUGGACUUAUGCUUCCAGUUACUGGUUGAUUUGUCAGACUGUUGAUCUUUUUCUUCAUUUGAAUCUUCGACUAUCAUUUAUUGCUGGUCUUUUGAAGUCUGAACUACUUAUGGAGAUUUAGACUUUGUAGAGUCUAAAGCAGAUUCAGAUUCUUCAAGUUGAGUCUGAAUCGAUUCACUUUGCAUAGAGUCUUGAAAUUUGACAUUCAUUGAUUCCUUCAUAGAUUGAGUCUUUUUGUUGUAUACUCUGUAAGCUUUGCUUGUGGUCGAAUAUCCAAGAAAGAUCCCUUCGUCUGAUUUUUCUUCAAACUUCCCAACUCAAUCAUUUGCAUUUUUCAAAAUAAAAAAUUUACAUUCAAACACGUGAAAAUAUGAAACAAUAGGCUUCUUACCUUUGAAUAACUCGUAGGGAGUUUUCUCCAGAAUAGGUCUUAGAAAAACUCUAUUAAUGAUAUAACAUGCUGUAGAAACUGCUUCAGCCCAAAAACAUGAAGAGAUGUUACUUUCAAUUAAAAGAGUUCUAGCCAUUUCCUGAAGCAACCUUUUUUUUCUUUCCAUGACUCCAUUUUGCUCUAGAGUAUAUGGAGAAGAGAACACAUGCUGAAAAACCAGAUUCAUCACAAAAUCUUGUAAAGUCUUGAUUUUCAAAUUCGCCUCCAUGGUCAGUUCGUAUACUUGAAAUAACAUACCAUUUUUCAUUUUGAACCUUUUUAGCAAACUUUUUGAAGUAAGAAAAGGUUUCAGACUUACUUACCAGGAAAUAUACCCAAGUGAAUCGUGAGUAGUCAUCCACAAUUACUAGGCAAUAUUUCUUACCUCCAAUGCUCUGAGUUCUGGUUGGUCCAAAGAGAUCUAUAUGCAAAAGCUGCAGUACACGAUUAGUAGAAACUUGAUUUAUUGGUUUGAAUAAGUUUCUUACCUAUUUUCCCAACACGCAUGGUGUACAUAGAUCAGUCUUUUGAAAUGAAAGAUUGGGUAGACCACGAACAACCUUCUUUGCUGAAAUUUUGGCUAUUUGCUUCAUGUUGAUGUGCCCAAGUUUUCUAUGCCAUAAGUUUGCUUCUUCUUGAAUUGAGAUUAGACAUUGAGCUUCAUCUAGUUUGACAUCCAAGAGGUAGAUAUUUCCAUGUCUUCGACCCAUGAAAGACUGAGAGGAAUCUUUACUAGUUCCUGAACAUAUUCUCUCUUGAAAGUUGACUUUGAAACUGGUGUCGCACAACUGACUGAUACUAAGCAAAUUGUAGUUGAGUCCUUCCACUAAAGAAACAUUACUGAUCAUGAGACUUCCAAUCUUUACAGUUCCGAAUCCCACAAUUCUUCCUUUGAUAUUUCCUCCAAAUGAAACUUUUCCACCAUUAACUUGAACAAGUUUUAUGAAGCAAUUUGAAUCUCCUGUCAUAUGCCUUGAGCAUCCACUAUCCAGGUACCAUUUAAUCUUUCUCUUGAUAGUGACCUGCAUUUAGAAAAGAGACUCAAGCUUUCUUUGGUACCCAUAUUUUCUUGGGUCCAUUGGUGUUAGUAUGAUAUAAUGUCUUUGCCCAUACCUUCUUAACAUGUUUCCAAACCAUAGAACAUUCUUUUUCAAAAUGAUCUGAACUAUUGCACUUAGAACAUUUAAGAGCACUACGACCUACUGGUUUUACAAACACUUUUUGGAAAUGAUUUUUGUAAGCAUUUCUCGUAGGUCUUUGCUUAAUUCUUUCUUUUACUUUAGGAAAAUCAAUUAGAGGAAUGGUUUUAGCAGUCAUUCCUAAACAUGAUUUAUUGAAGUAAGGUCUUUGUGCUGAAAGAAUUUUCUUAAGUUUCUCAGAUCCUAUAGAAAAUCUUUUAGAAAUAUUUGAGAUGUCAUUUUUCAAGAAUGCAUUUUCUUUUGAAAGAUUGUCUUCAUUUUCUUUCAAGGUAGAAACACUUUUGUCUAAACUUUUGACCUUUUCUUUCAAAACAUUUUCCUGUUGUUUUAGUAAAGAAUUUUCUCUUUUAAAUUCGGAAAUCCUUUUAAAAGAAGUCUUGAGACUAAGACACAGUUCAUCAAUGUAUCUAGAUACUUUAGUAGGGAUUUUCAAGUUACUUACCUCGAUUUCACUGUCUGAAUCUAAGUUUGUUUCGGAGUCUGAGUCUAAUUGUGCCAUGAGACAAAUGUUGGCAUAAUCAUCAUCACUUUCUUCACAUUCUGUAUACUCCAAGUUUCUGCUUUGAGUGCCUUUCGAUACUUCUCAGUUUUUCCUUUCUUUUUCCUCAGAAUGGGACAAUUGGGUCUGAUGUGUCCUUUUUUCUUACAUUCAAAACAGACUAUAUCUCUAUUGGAUUCAUCAUCCUCAACAGACUUACUCUGUUGCUUUUGAAAACUCUGUUUCUUUGGAUGAAUAUUCUUCCCUUUCUGUUUAGCUUUCUGAAUCUUCUUAUCAUGAGAGCAAGCUCUUCAUCAUUCAUAUCGUCUUCAGAAUUUGUGACAUCAUAAUUAUUAUUAGAUUUUAAUGUAAUGGAUUUCUUACCUUUAGGAUCUUCAUCUUCGUUGAUUCGCUCCACUUCAUAAGACUGAAGAGUCCCAACCAACUCAUCAACAGAGAGUGGCAUAAUUCUUUAUGUCUCCCUUAUUGAGGUCUUUAUGUGAUUCAAUCCUUGGAGAGUCCACGCAAUAGCUUGUUUACUUUCAUGGGAUCAGAAAUUGGUUGACCUUGAUUUUCAAGACCAUUCACUAUCUCUGUAAAACGACUAAACAUGUCAGUGAUAGAUUUUCAUGUUUUUAUUUUGAAUGCUUCGUAUUGUCCGAGCAGAAUGUUGAUACUGGUUUCUUUCACUCGGUCAGUUCCUUCAUAAGUGAUGUGUAAUCUAUCCCAGACUUCUUUAGCUGUAAUACAAGAAGAUAUUCUAUUAUAUUCAGUAGGUGAUAAUGCACAAUAUAAAAAAUAAAUAGCUUUUACAUCAAGAGCUUGUCUCUUGGUUAUCUCUUCUUGAGUCAUUUCGCUAGACUCAAUGGUUUAUUUUCCUCUUUCUGAGAUAGGUGUAGCUUUAGGAAUGAUUCCUCUGUCUACCACAUCCCAUUCUAGAGGAUCCUUUGAUCUUAGAAAUGCUUUCAUCUUGUUUUUCCAUAUGUUGUAUUCCUUUCCAUCAAAAUAAGGCGAUCUGGUAUUGCUUUGCCCUUCAACCAGUCCUGGAGCCAACAUACUAACCAUGGAUCCUUUAACUCUGAAGUAAAAUACUUCAAUUCAAGUGAGUACACAAGCUCUUAUACCAAUUGUGAAAGCUAGUAUGAGCACCCAGAGGGGGGUGAAUAGGUGUAGAAACAAUUUUGCGAGAUAUGUGCAGUGCUAAUCAACAAUAUAUUAUGAAAAGGAAAUUCUCUCUUGUAAACAAAACGAGUUACGAUCAAAGUAAAAGAGUGUAAAGAAGAGAAUAUGAACACAGAGAUUAUAGUGGUUCGGCUUAAUCCAAUCCUACGUCCACUCUUCCGCACUGACAGCCCACUGGUUGGAUUUCACUAUGAACAAAACAGUUGUUACAGUUAGGCUCUUCCUUGAUUCCACAGUGUAGAGACUCUACUACACUUCCUCAAGGUCUCUCAAUGAUAUAGACUCUCUUUUGUAUACAAGAUUUCGCUCAACAGUUUAAUUAACUAAGAACAAGGAGCUUCAGACUUUGGAAGUCUUCUAUCGCGCACACACUUGAACAACUGGAACGUCUUCCUUAUAUACUCCUUUAUGCCAUCAUACCCAUUGGCACUUACCAAAGGAAUUCUUCCAAUCUACCCGUUGGACAGAAUCAAUUAGGAAGAUCUUUGAGCUAUUUAAGGAACAUGAUGAUAGCCCAUCAAUCCUGCUCGCCCAUACAAUCAAGAUCUUGAUUUUCAUAAGUAGAACAUUCCAAGUAUACUUCGCCAAUUAACGGAUCCACGAUUCCCAAAUCAAUCUUGAUUAGAAUAAAGGAUUCCGACAUGCUAUAUCCAGCCAAGAGAUCUUCUCCAGUCGAUAAAGUCAAAUCCUUGACGAAACAUCUAGUUCUGGAUAAGUCUUCUUCGACGGACUAGAAACUGUCAAUGAGGAUAGACUUUGAGUCUUGAGUCUGGCAGUCCGGAGGUCUUUAGACUUUGAUGGAAGAGUCUGCAAGUCUUCAAACUAGACUGAUGGAAACGUUUUGUCGGCUUCAAAAUACUCAAGGAAGUUUUCUCCAACACGUGGCUCCUUGCUGGGCUUGACUCGGUGUCGUUGAACAAGAGGUUGCGUGGAUGGAGUUCGGUGGAAGUGGCAAAGACUGAGGGAAAUGAAAUGGGCGGUGGCAGGGGUUGUCUUCGGUGAGUUGGUAGCUUGAGAUGGAGCACGAUCGCUGGCAGCAAGCGACUAGGUCUCUUCGGUAGUCAACUAAGGAGAAGGGGAAGUUCUUUUGUUGACCGAAGGGACUUGGCUCAUGGACAAGUGUCCAUGGGUGAAGGGAAGAGGAAAAUCUUGGUGAGUGGAGAUGGACGCAGGGGCGGCUUUGAAGGAAAACAAAAAGGGAAAUGAAAGGCAAAGUAAAAGAAAACGUGAGCAUGAGAGGUCGAGAGAGAGAGAGAAGUGCUCGAAGAUGGAGGUGGAGUCGGCGACGCCAACUUGCCCGAGAAGAUUUGUACAAAAAGAAAGGAAAUAGUCAAUAACCCCUAGCCACUCCAUUAAUGGCUUGUCCCCCAAUACUUUCCAACCAAAAUUCCCACAAAUAACCCCAAUUCAAGUCCUAAUUUUUCAGCUUUAUGUUCAAUUUCGAAUUUCACUAUAUUAAAUUCAAUUUCCUUACUCAAUUUCUCAAAUUGAGAUCCAAUUUUGCUGAAGAAAAAUCCCAAACAAUUUUUUGCAAGUCCUCGACAUUCAAAGGCUCGACUCGGAAGUCCAAAUUCCCUUAAAUUCGGCCGUACGAAUUUCCGUUAAUUUUUCCGCAAUGUCCGAAUGAUUUUCUGUAAAAAUACCGGAAUCUCUAAAAAAUCUUUGAAGGAUGAGCCGGCGUUCCUAAAAUAGCUUGUGACACCACAGAACUUUCAAUUUCUGAAAUUGGGUUCAAAUUCACUCCGAUACGUUUUUAGUGUAACCUAGCCUAUUGGGUAGUUUUUAGGAAUUUUUAGUGCAAUUGACCCGUGAUCGAUUUAUCUCGAGUCACAAUGUACAUCUUCAACAUAUUGGCGACUCUCGAUUGUAGUGAAAAUCUCGAGAUUUCAAUUACAGACACUGGAUACUAAAAUGACAGAAAAAUUGGUCUAAUGCCGAUCGACGAGUAUUUUGCAAUCAGGUGGAUUCACCCACACUCCGAUCACAUAUCUCAAUCGAAUCGACCUAUCUUCAAUCUCUGAUCGAUUCUGACAGUAUCAUAAUGACCCUUGCAAAUCAACACGGUCAAACAGUUGAUUCCUGGUCGAAUUCUCAAGUCCAAUUGCUUUUAGAUUCCUUAAUUGCUUCCCCAGAUAAUCUAGUUAUCUUAUGAGUAAUCAGCUCAGAAAAUAACACUAUAGGCGCGUCAAUGAAAGGCCCGAUUUAUUUAAUCGAAAACGAGAUUUGAAAAUUCAGGCUAUCACAACUCUUCCCCUCUUAUAAAAAUUUCUUCCUCGAAAUUUAAACCUUACAAAACUUAAGCAAAAAGAUGGGGGGGGGGUACAAUUCUCUCAUCGACUCCUCAGUUUCCCAAGUUGCUCCUUCAGUGCCGUGGUGUUGCCAGAUCACUUUGACCAACGGGAUGGUCUUGGUGCGCAGGACCUGCUCCUUGCGAUCUACAAUUUGAACCGGGCUUUCAACGUACGAUACUCUGUCGUUCACGUCGAAUUCCUCAAAAUUGAGCACGUGGGUCGGGUCAAGCUUGUACUUCCUCAACAUUGACAUGUGAAAGACGUUAUGCACUUGUGCCAACCUCGGCGGGAAUGCAAGACGAUACGCUAAGGUCCCAAUUCUCUCUAGAAUUUCAAACGGACCUACGCUCAGGCUCAGUUUGCCUUUCUUUCCAAAGUGCGAAGUUUCUCUCAUUAGUGACACCUUCAGAAUAACGUGAUCACAAACUUAGAAUUCCAAUAACUUCCGACGCUUGUCUGCGUAACUUUUCUAUUUGCUCUGUGCGGUCUUUAAUCUACCUCUGAUUACUACCACGGCAUCCACUGACUACUGGACUAACUCUGGGCCUGUAAUCUUUCUUUCCCCAACUUCAUCCCAACACACUGGUAUUCUGCAUGCUCUGCCAUACAACGCUUCAAAAGGAGCCAUCUGAAUGCUCUGUUGGUAACUGUUGUUGUAGGCAAAUUCCACUAGGUGAAGUUGAUCUCCCCAACUUCCUUUGAAGUCUAAUACACAAGCUCUGAGCAUGUCCUCGAGGGUCUGAAUUGUUGUCUCAGACUGACCAUCCAUCUGAGGAUGAUAGUCGGUUGUUAGAAUUUCGUAUUGAUCGUCGUGGUGUAGUUGGUUUAUGCAAUUGAGUACUAAUUUAAGCAAUUGAUUAAUGCUUGAUAAUUUUUUAUUUUUUAUUUCAAAAAUAUGGAAUUUUGGUAUUUAAUUAAAAAAAUAUCGGGUGUCGGUUUUUUACGCCAAAAAUAUUUUUAAGUAUUAUAUAAAAUCGUGGGAUUUUUAAAAGUGAGGAUAUCACAUUUUAUGGUUCAAUCUGAUCAUGUGCCAAUGCACAAUUAUUUUACUGAGUGUUUUUAAUAUGAAGAAAAUAUGCCAAGUACAUUAUUUAAAAUUGAGGCAUUGGAGUGCAAAGCACGAUGUCCUUGGCCGGGAUUGGAUGUGCGUGUGAUCGUUAUGAGAACCCGUCACGAGCUUUUACGCCGAACGAUACUCCUUCAGGAAUGCCCCACGUUAACGGAUGCUGGUUGCAGUGGAGGCUAGGCUGAUGCUCCUUCGGAAUGCCGUCUAAAUGUAAACAUUGCCGUGCUCGAUGGGACAAGACGACGCCUGGCUAUGCCGGAUGACCGCUGACUAUUGAGUCGGCCGUGGCCGUUGGGUCGUAACUAAUUAGAACGCUUGACUGAGUGAUUUGACCGUGCCUGAUUAUUGGAUAAAAUUGUGUGCACGGAAUGUGACGUGUCAUAACGAUUUGGUCUUAUAAUCGGAAUCCCUGUGAUUGAUUGAUAUGUGGAAAGUGAAGCAUUUCAAUUAUCGAAUACAUUUACUGUAUAUGAAUUAUACUAAUGUGCAGGAAGGUGCUGAGGCGAGGUAAGUCUUAUAUGUUGUGUAUUUAGGCUACCUCUAGGUCUAUUACCUUUCUAAUCAGGGUUUAGGGUGUAGACUCGCUGAGAUGUUAUUUCACCCCGUCGUGGUUUACAAUUUUCAAGUCCUUAGAUGGAGGUGCACUCAGUUCGUUUUGGAUGGCUGCGAGAAGCCGAUACCAAGCGUACCAUCUUCCCUGUCCCUGGGAACCCUUAGACCCGCGAACUCGUCGUAACCACGAUCUAGGUUGAUGAGGGCCAACCUUAGUUGGUACCUUAUCGAUUCAAAGCGUGGUUUCGUCACAGGCAUGACGGGGUCCGGGAAGGUCCCGUGAAUGGUUUCGAUGGACCUGCCGUCGAGGGUGAGGGUGAGGUGGUACUCAACCCUGUCAUGGACGCCGAUAUUAUUGCAAAUAUCACGAAGAACCAGUUGCCCAAGGAUGAGCAGGAGCUCGUAGUAGAGGAGGUAGCUGACCCGCUAGACCUCAACAUCCCUGAUGGUGUCAUAGUGGACUCGGAUCCCAAGUAGGAGGGUCCAAGGUAGGGUUAGCUUAGUAGCCUUUUUGGAUCUUGACUUCCUGUAUAUAACUUUAUAGGGCUAGUUUGUUUAUAAAAUAUGUUUUGUUUAAAUUAAUCGUUUUGUUUUUUUUUAUCCCAUAUUUGUUUAUUGUCUGGAGAUUGUUAAUUCGCUUCUGCCUGUGUUUAAAAUGAAUGGGUCGGCGACGAGUCCUAGGAACGUCGCAAUUUAAUCGACCACCAAAAGAUGUACGCGCACUUGAGGUUUGAGGCGUGACAAUAUCCGAACAACUUUCUUCUUGCUAAAACAUAUCAGUAAUGUGUUCUUUAUUUGUUUAAAUUUAAAUUGAGUGAGUUUCUCCCUUUGAUGAAUUGUUUUUUUCAGCCACCAAAUUCGAACAAGAUAAACUAAACCUUAAAUUGACAAAGAUUUAUCUAUAAAUGACAUAAGUUUUUAGAGUGCAACUUGUACACUAAAUGAAAUCGGCUACUUUACUACUUGUACAUAGACGUUGUGGUGAUAAUAUAUGCUCUUAAGUCUUUUUUAGUUUACUAUUAUAAUUUUAUGGGGAUCUGUCGAUAAACUUAUUUUAUCAUUUGCUUAAUUCAAUAAUCCAUGUCUAUCUAAACUUAUUCCGAAAAGAACCUCGGUCUCCCUGAGAAUUGCACGAAUACCCCCUCUCACAAAAUUUCUAUCUGCUUACAAAAAAGAAAGGCUCUUCAGACUAUUUCUUACUUCGGUUAUUUGUCAUCUCUCUUUCAAUUUUCAUUUUACGUUUCAUGAAUCUGAACCCAACUCAUUAAGUUGUUGCUGAAAUUGGUCUUUACUUGCUUAAAUAAUGAGCAGGUUGGUUCGAUCGACAAAACAUGAAUAGAGCUUGAGGGCAGAUCAAUAGAACCCGAUGCUCCCGCAUCAUGUGAUGAAGGCUCCAAAGAAAUCGCUGAAGAAGCAGACUUUGUCACUGCAAGCCAACUUGGAUUUGCUGCUUCGGCAUAUCCGUGUCCAAUCUGGUCUUGUAUGUGACGAACUACUUUUAUUGGUAUGCAGAUACUGGUUUCUCCUUUGGAUUGAGCACUUAUGACUCUCGCUUUGGGAUAUGCUAGUCGUCCAAUUCAUGUUAUUGCCUCGUCGUAGACAUCGUUCUGUCUGUAAAGCAUGUUCCGGUGGUAUUCCGUCUCUGAUGUAGUCUCUGUUAUCACUGGUUUAUUCUGCUGUUAUGUUGGGUUCUUCAGUAACUUGGUUACACGUGAUCCAGAUCUAAGUGAGCGUCACGGGACCGGAUCUUAACCACAUGCUCAAAUGCGAGUAUACUGAGUACAGUUAGUUUCUCGUUGCCGAGCCUUCUAACUGCUGUUGGUGCAUGCAAUAGAGCCACUCCGUAUAGGCAGGUGAAGGGUUUGGCUUUGUCGGAACAGAUAGAAAUUUUUUCCGCUGCAUUAUUUCCAAUUCAUUUCACGGAAACUUCUUCUGUUCAACUCUUUAAUGGGCAACGUGAGUUUAACAGUUCAGGCUGCCAUCUAGUUUUGGGCCUUACUAGUGGCAAAUCUUGUUCGAGUGCGUUCCCCAUAGGCAGUUGAUGUUCAGGCUACACAGCUUGUCCGGACUAGGGCUGGCUCGUUGGGACUAGGGCUCGUUUGUUGCUGGCUGCAAACGGGAGAAGAACGAUGGAAAUGCAAAAUGCUAUGUACAUCACUCACUUUAAUAUGAAAAGUCCCUUUUAGAUUACUUUAAAAGAUAAUUUUUUCAGUGCUAACUUUGAUCUACUUGGCCGAAAAUCCGACGUGACCUUUCUUCUAUUAACUUCUUAAGCUGACAUGGUUUAUCAAAGAUCCAAUUAGCAUUUAAAGCCAUAAAUGACAUUGUAUAGUAUUUUUCCCCCAAAUGAAAACCCUAAAGUGCCAAAUUGAAAGAGAACCCCAAUUUCAAACCCUAGCCAGCCAAUGAAUUGAAAUUCACACCUUAUUUCGAUUUGGUACCAAAAUUAAUAGCACAAUCUUGCAAAUAGAGAGCAGGAGCUUCAACAGCGGCUCACAACCCUGAUUUUCCCCCUCACAAGCCCUAAUUUUCUCUUACAAACCCUAUUUUUUCUGUUUAAUUAAGCAAUGCAAAGAGAAACGCACGUUCUUGCCAUGGACGACAAGCAAGCAACGAUGAGCAAAUGCAAGAGUGCUAUAGCAAGUAAUGGUGAAUGAGUGAUAGGGAGAGAUGCAAUGAGGCUAACUUUUUUACACAAGUUCGAAGACAUCGCUUUUGCCACGGAUGGCGUGCGACGUUGUCUUUUUUAUUACCUAGCCACAUUGGACUGAGCCACAUCAUUUCGCAUGUCCACAUGGAUUAGGAUUUUAAAAAUUAUGACAUAUCACUUAAAAUUUUUAUUUACAAAUGCCAUAAAUCAAUUUGACCGAAAUUUUUCAUCAUUGACGCUUAAAUAAUUAUUUUUCUCCAAUUUGGUAUUUAGUGAGCUAGCAAAAACUUUUUGAACUAAAAUAAGCACCGUAACAACAUUUGACACUUCUAACGUCCUCCCGAUUGCAAAUACAUAUGACAAGGGAUUAAGUUGCAAAGACCGUGUCCCAAGAUUUUUAUAGCUAGAAUGUAGAACACAAUAAUGGAGAAAAAAAUAUUUGCACAUGUAAUUUGGAAUCUAUCAUUCUUGAUCGGAGUAACAACAAUUCAGAGCUCAAGUGUUUUUCCUCAAUUACCUUCUAUAUCACUAGUUCUAUCUAUCCACCCAGGUUGAAUAAGAGACUUGAACACUACUAAUAGAGUUUUCAACCACAGACCUUCUCAGUACAGUCAAGCUUUAUUCAAUACACACAAGCCAACUCCAUAUUAGCCUAAUUAAGAAUAUUUAUAUGUUACCUUAUUAGAUCAAUUAAUGUAGCUCUCAUCAUAAAAACUCUUAUAACUAACCCUUCCAUGCCAGUCUAAGCAAGGACAUGCUGGUGGAGAUGGAGAGAUCGCUAACUCUAUGUCCAUGGAUACAGAGAGAAUUGAUGAUUUCAGGUGGUCCAUGCACGACCCUUGGCAAACAAAAUUCUAAUAAUUUUAGGCAUACUAAAAUCGAUCAAAUAAUGUGAUAAGGCUCUUCUUAGAUGCUUUCUCCAUCUACAACUCCAUGAACCCGGGAACUUGAAACUCCAAAUCUCGCAUCGAGAAUCCAUCCGAUAAUCAUGGGUUUUAUAAUCCCAAUUCUACGAAGCGCCUGUACUUUUGGAAUUCUAGUGGAGUAAAUUUAAUAUCUAAUUACUGUUUUCAUAAUCUGUCUUACCACAUACAUCCAAUGAAAGUGAGUUAAUUCAUUAAGAUUUGCUUUUUAUGUAGCCCAUGCACAAGUGGCUAAUGAAGAGUACCGACAGUCGGAUAUUUUCACAUAGGAAUCGAGGCCUCUUCAAAGGGAUCGAAAAUUAGUCAAGACACGUGCAUGGAAAAUUCCGGCCUGUAGUUUCUUUUCUUUAUUUGCCGAGAUUGAGAUUGAGAGAGACCUUGCAUAAUUGAUUGAAGGAAAUAUCUCUCUUUUUAAUUUUUUUUUUCUUUUGGAUACGCCAUUUUUUGCAGUAUGAGUUAAUUCAUUAAGAUUUGCUUUUUCUGUAGCCCAUGCACAAGUGGCUAAUGAAGAGCACCGACAGUCGGAUAUUUUCACGUAGGAACCGAGGCCUCUUCAAAGGGAUCGAAAAUUAGUCGAGACACGUGCAUGGAAAAUUCCGGCCUGUAGUUUCUUUUCUUUAGUUGCCGAGAUUGAGAUUGAGAGAAACCUUGCAUAAUUGAUUGAAGGAAUAUCUCUUCUUCUUCUUCUUCUUUUCUUUUGGAUACGCCAUUUUUUGCGUGGUUACCAUUUCAAAGAAAUUUUCCCAAUAAAGCUUCUAAUUGGCGAGUGUCAUUUAUAGAUGUUGUUUACACUUAAACUCCAUUCGUUUCGCGAAAAAUAUGACAUUUUUAUAAAAUAUUUUCUAGAAACCAUUUUUCUAAAAAUGACAAUAUUUUCUAAUAUGUAACUGAAACCUGAAAAUAAACUAAAAUUUUCCUCCGUAAGGUAUGGAAAAUUUGGUCUGAUUUUCAUAAAUGCACUCCUUUUAAUAUUUUUAUUUCUUAAUUUUUUUAUUUUUUUUAAAAAUUAAUUUUUUAAUUUUUUCUUUUUCAUUUUAAUUUUUUUCACUUUUUUCUUUUCCUCCUCCUUCUUCUUUAGUCGGUCGCCGACCCCAACAAACAACCAAGGGCAAACUCAAGCCUAUGGUGAGGCUUGCGCUCACCAAUCUUGCAAGUGGCCAGCUUGAGCUCGCCAAUCUAGCGAGCGGCGAGCUCGAGCUCAUUAGAGGCCGACAAGGCUUCAAGCCUCACUUGUGGCUGGCCAAGAAGGAAUGAAAAACGAAGAAUGAAAAAAGGAGAAAGAAAAAAGAAAGAAGAGCAGACUAGCAAGGCUGCGUGAGAGUGUUUGAUAAGAGAGAGUGAGGGAGAAAAAUGAUUUCCUCUACUUGAAAAGCCAAAAACAUUUUCUCCUAUUUUAGAAGACUUUUUCCAUUGACGCCUAACUAAUUCAUUUUCUAUGAAAUAAACGCUGAAAAAUUCAAAAAACGUUUUUUUUAAAGUUAUUUUCUAUAAAAUGAACAAAACCUUAGUUUAAAUUAAGUUUUUUAUGCAAGUGAUAUCCAUGCUCUUACUUAAAUCUAGUCACUGGCAAGGCUCUGGCCCGACCGUGGUAAAGUGCUUCGCCCCGCCAAAGUUCGAGCCCCUGAAAGCAACCCUUUAACAGGACUUUUUAUAUUACCAUAAUUGCAAUGGCUCAAAUAGCCAAAUGUCACAUUUCCAUAUCCACAAAAGUUGUUAUUUCUCAAAUUGAAAGCAAAGCAUUGACUUGAUUACCUCAUAAAACCUAUUUAAAAGCAUUAUUAUUGCGAGAUUUAGCUUUUAAAUUUGCUUUUUUCCACAAAGUUCCUAAAAAUUCUUCCCUAAACUUUGAAACUUCAAAAAUUUUGAGAAAAUUUGGGAGGGGGCGACAAAAUUAAGGAGGCUCUAGUAAUUUAUUUAGAUAAAAUAUUAUAUCUAUCUAUACUGCUAUGAUAUGAGAGAUUUCAGAAACAAGCUCUCACAAAAAUGUUGACUUCUUUAAAUUCUCCUUCCUUCUUAUCUUCCACAUUUUGAUCCGUGCACGUAUUCGUUUACACUUUUUUUUUUUCUCUUCUUAUCUUCCACGUCUUGUUUUGUGCAAUUAUUCUUUUUAUGCUUUUAAGCUCUGAUACAUGCAUGUUUCAUAAAUUAUUAUCGAUAGUAAAAAUAAUUUUUAAUGACUAAUUAUUUUAAGUGAUAUAAAUAAUCAUUUUUAGAAAAAAAUUAUCAAAAUAUUCAUUUUCCACGAAACACAUGAAGUCUUAAGAGAAACGCCAAAUUAUCUCACUUUUUGUGUUUUUUUUUUAUUAUAGCCGUUUAUUUUAUUAACUGUAGAUCAAAGAGGAAAACAAGGGAAAAUUGACCAACAAAAAUGACAAAAAGGCGAAAGUACACAGAAGUUAACUACCCACUUUCUUAAAAUUAAAAAAAAAAUGUGAACUUGGUAACAUUACUUAAUUGUCCCUAUUGUGAAAUCAGCCUCAUCCUUGCACUCUAUGUGAUAAAUUUAAGAAUGCUUCUCUAAUUUCUUAUAUUUUCAGAAAAAUGUGCAGAAUAAAAUGUCAAGUUCUUUUUCUUUUUUUUUUUAAAUUUCUUCAUGCAAAUAAAUUUUAACAUCUAUUAUUAGUUUACAAGCUGCACAAGAAAUGAAAAUUAAUUGCGCAUCACAUAUCACGUGCUUGAAACUAGUUAGUGUAGUAAAGUAGAAUAUGUUUUUAAUUAAUUGUACAUCAUUGACUCCCCAAACCCAAAACCCAUUGAUUUGAGAUAUUUAAAGAAAAUAUCAAAAAAAAUUUCCUUAACUUUUUUUUGACUAUAUUAUUUUGUCCUUAACGAUAAGCAACUGACCUGGACUCGUGGUUUUCACCCGAGGUGGAUCGGUGGUUUCGUGAUUGCCUUUUCCUUUUCAAAUGUCACAACGACUCUUGGUACAAUGAAUCCUUUCCCAAAGAACUCCAAUGACUAUCGCUCCAUGAAUGGCCCAAAGAUAGAAAAAAAUGUGAGUGCUUUGAGUUUGAGAGUUUGAGGUAUCUGUUUAGAUUCCUAACUUUUGGAACCGGACAAGAUUUUGAUGAUCAAUGUUGAAAAUAAUUGCUCUUGCAGUACUAUUACAUUCCUUAGAACCAUAGGCACCAAAGAAAUCUUAAUCAUAUCGCAUUGAUACUGAUUCAGUUCUAAACCUUUUAAUUAGACUAAUUUAAUCCUAAAUCUUUUGUAUUUUUGUUAAUUGAGUCUAUCCAAUCGAUUUUGCCAGGAAAUCACUAAUAUGAAUGACAACCGCUUUACGUGAUACGAUCAACACUGACAUUGACAAGUUUACAAUCUUUUAAUAUUUUCUGAACUUUUUUUAUUUUUUUUCUUCGUUAUGGCUGGCAAGGGUCACUAGCAACUCAAGGGCCUGCAAGCCCUCACCGACCACUAGUGAGUGUCAUGACUAUUGCCCAGGCCAUAAGUCGAGUCCUCGCUAAAUCUCCUUCGAUUCAAUGAACAUUGUCACUCACUUGAUUGUGUUGUCAGUUUCAUCUCCGCAACUAUGACCCAAAGAAGAAAUCGUUUUGAUUUAUAGGUGAGCAAAAAUAAUAGAGGGAAUUUGACGGCAAAGCAACAAUCCUAAACCAGCACAAGCAGUUGGCGAGGGCUCAACCCUCUCGGCUUGGGCAAGGGCUUGUAGGCCACAAAGAAUAAAAAGAAAAGAAUAAUUAAAAUUUAUAAAAUUUAUCCACAUCAACACCGGUUGUGCCAUGUAGGAUGGUUAGUGUCCAUGUUAAUAAUUUUCCAGUCACAAUUUGCUAGAUGGACUCAUUAUGUAAAGAUGCAAAAUGUUUAAAAUUGAAUUUGUUCAAUUGAAAGGUUUGAGUACCAAUUUAAAAGGUUUAGGAUUUUUUUGAUACUUAAAUUUCAAAGGCAGUAAAGAAAUUCAACAUUUUUUUUUUUUGGAUUUGAUCUCGUAUUUAUAGAAGACUAGAGGUGGCGUCAGAAUUAUGUGUUUUCGGAUCACAACAUAUUCGUUAUUAACUUAAUCUAACUUGAUUAACAUCAAUGCUAAAGCGAUCCUAUAAUCUAUUUCCAUGGAGAAAUUUUUAAUGGUGAUCGAACUUAAAACAUAGGAAGUAAGAACACUCCUCGUUCUUGCACAACCAAGAGAAAGAUGGACAGGAAAAAGACCUUUGAUUUUGAUUGUGGGUCUUGUUGAAUGGCAGAGGCAUGUUAAUGUCUUGAAUGUUAGGAAAAACUUUCGCAGUCUUCUUCAAGGUGUUCAGCCGACGAGAGAACUUUCCAUCCAAUUACAUCAUGGCCUUUCCCACUUUUUUUCGCUUUCCUUUCGUGGAAAAAUGGGUAUAAAUCUCCGGAUCAUUUAUGGUCCACGUGGAGGUUGACCAUCGCUUAAUGUUCACGUACCGUUUUUGUAACAUCCCGGGCCCCACUGUGUAAUAUUGUCCGCUUUGGGUCACCCGCCCUGGCGUGGACGCACCACCAUCCCAGCCACGGUCUUUUCCCUCACGGCUUUAAAACGCGUUACACAGAUUAGAUGGACCAAAGCCUUAUAAGCUCACCAAGACCUCCCUCCCUAGGCAAUGUGGGACAAGAGAGGAGGUUGUUACACUCUCCACCUCUUAACUGAAUAGCGUCCUCGUUAUGGCCCCACGCCGAAUAGCAUUCGAGCUGUGGUCCCACACGCGGUCGGGAGUCGGCUCUGAUACCACUUGUAACAUCCCGGGCCCCACUGUGUAAUAUUGUCUGCUUUGGGUCACCCGCCUUGGCGCGGACGAACCGCCAUCCCAGCCACGGUCUUUUCCCUCCCGGCUUUAAAACGCGUUACCCAGAUUAGAGGGACCAAAGCCUUAUAAGCUCACCAAGACCUCCCUCCCUAGGCAAUGUGGGACAAGAGAGGAGGUUGUUACAGUUUUAUAGUUCAUGUCAAUUCAUAUCCAUUUAUAAAAUAUCUUGGUUUUGAUUCUACACGCUGAACGUGGGAAUUAUGAUGAAAUCAAGUUAAUUCGUAUUAAUUAGUGUCCUCAUAUAGAAUUUAGACAUAUCGUGUCUGUCUUAUAUUCGAUUUUUUCUUUGUAAGUUGUGUUUAAUCUCGUUUUUGAAAAUGGGUCUCCAAUAUUUGCCGAUCUAACUUGUAGGCAAAUCCCCGACCCCCCUCUUUUCCUUUAGUCGAUAUCAUACUCAAGUCGAACAAUAAAAGGAAUAGCAUAAAAAGAUUCUCAAGAAAUUCUAUGUUCCAGCAUCUGGUCAUGAAUGAGGCCAAUAUGACCAUUGGAUAAAAAAGGAAUAAAUUCAAAAAAACAGCAACUCACUGGAGUAUAAGGAAAGUCGACGACUAUAGGAUUGUCAAAGUUAUAAUUAAGUUAAAAAAAUUACAACAACUAGAACAAUUACUCAUUAAUAAGCUCUUUAGAUUGGAUGGAUUGUAAAAGGUUUUACAAUCGUUGAGGAAAGUUUAUAAGAACAGGAAAAAAGAAGAAAAGAGAGAGAGAGAGAUUUUAAUAAGUAUCAAUAGUUAUCAUGCUAACAAACUCUAUAAUCAAAUUAUUGCUCAGGGAAACACGUUAGUCAUUGUUGAUGCAAUCGAGGUUAGGACGACUUCACCUAAAUUAUCAAAAAUUGAGGAAAUCUUAAGUGAUAAUUUCUUUGUUCCAAAGGGAAAAAGUUACCAAAAAAAAAAAAAAAAACUCAAUCUAUACCUACCAUAAUACAUUUAUCCCGAAUUUUAUGCCCACUGCAACACAGUUAUCCUCAAUUUUUUCUUUUGACAUAAAAAACCCAAACUUAUACAUACAUAAUACUUUUACCUACUUCAAGAUUCCGCUAAAUAAUUUUUCAGCUAAAACAAGUCGUUUUUAUUUCACUUAAAUCGCAUGGGUGCCACGCUAUAUUCUUUCAACGUCCAUUUAGAUGAAUUUUUAAUGGUUCUUACUAAUGGAACUUGAAUGGAAGGUAAAUAUAUCACAUAAAUUUAAAUUUGAAAUUUUUUGUAUCACAAACAAAAAUAGUUAUAAGUGUCAAAAUGAAUAAAAUUCAAAAUUUUCUUUUUGUGGCUUUUGUAAUUUCCAAAUGGGAUACAUCCCGUCUUAGGCAAAACGGGAUCGACCCUGCACAUCUUCAAAUUUUCAACAUCGGCCUAGCAAAAGCUUCUCCGGAAAGACAGAAAAAGCAUGGGAGGUUCGCGUGAUUCGUGAACUUCGUCGCUGAAAAUCGUCUCCUUUUCUUGGAAUUGUUUUGGAUAAAAAUGUUGGGGGUUUGCUGAUCUAUGUAGCCACGUGCCAACGUUAGUUUUGUUUAUUCCGACGUUGAUUUAAAAAAGACGAGCUCAGCUCAGUACUUUCCAGGAAAUGAAGGUCUCCUCGUCUCCGACUUUUUGUUUUAUGUCCUUGUCCGCCUCUGCUUCAAUGGCCAACCAAGAAUGGCGGCUAUCUUCGUGUGGUGAGGCUUGCGCCCCACGUUAUCCCUUUGCCCAAGGCAAAACCCCACUUUCGACCUCCUCUUGCGUUAGUGGACCAGCAGGCGCGAGCGCAAAUGGCGACGAAUGGCGCACAAAUUUCCGCUGACUCACGUGUGUAUAAAAACAACGCCAAUCCUCCUCGUUUCUCCCGCACAACAUUAUUGUUUCAGAGACUCUUCUCCCGAAGCACCAGGGCCCCCCCGCACUCCCAGGUCGCAGAAACCCCCCACCAAUCCCCCGAAAUAUUGGGACCUUUUGAUUCACGAGAACAGGUCACCCUGACCCUCUUCUCUCCCUCCUCUGCUCUCAUGUCCUCAGGUAGCGAUUUCCUCGUCCAACCCAUCUUUGUUCAUGGCUUUUCUGGUUCUCUGCACCUGGUGCUGUUGCUUGCCCUGCUCGUCUCGUGGGUUUACAAGAAAAUAAGGGCAGGGCAUGGUGAGGGUCCAAAGGGGAGUCGCGGGAGGGGGAGAGGUGUCUUGUAUAAGCUGACUCUUUGUUGGGCCCUGGGCGUGUCUCUGUUCAAUCUCGCCUUGUGUGUGCUGAACUAUUUUUAUUGGUAUAGAAAUGGCUGGUCGGACGUGAGACUGGUCUCCCUUGUGGAUUCAGCUGUCACGACUCUUGCUUGGGGGCUGAUGUGUGUUUACCUGCACGGUCGCAACUCUGAUUCUGGCGAAUCCAAGUUCCCUUUCCUGUUAAGAGUUUGGUGGGGCUUCUACUUCUCUAUUUCCUGUUAUUCCCUUGUUUUAGACGUCAUUCGAUAUGAGAAACACGUUGGCUUGUUGCCGGUUCGGGAUUUUGUAUCCGACGUAAUCUCUGUCUUGACCGGUUCGUACUUCUGUUAUGUGGGGUUCUUCGGGAAAAAUGAGGUUGAAGAGAACCUCCUUGAAGAGCCCCUUUUAAAUGGGAAUAAUUUGAUUUCAAGUAAUAGGGAUGGUGUGGGGUUGAAUAAGUUUAGAGGGAGCGAUGCGGUAACCCCUUAUUCUAGAGCUGGUAUACUUAGCAUAGUUACUUUCUCUUGGAUGAGUCCUCUUAUUUCCAUUGGGAAUAAGAAAACCUUGGACCUUGAGGAUGUUCCUCAACUUGAUUCUGGCGAUAGUGUGGUAGGGGCUUCUCAACACUUCAGAAGCAAGCUUCGGUUCAAUGGUGAGGCUAGCGAUAAAGUGACUACGUGGAGGCUGGUGAAGGCAUUGUUCUUGUCUGUGUGGAGACAAAUUCUUUCGACAGCAGUUUUUGCGCUUCUUUAUGUGUUGGCUUCUUAUGUUGGCCCAUACCUCAUUGAUACCCUUGUUCAAUUUCUUAAUGGGCGACGCCAAUACAAAAAUGAAGGCUAUUUGCUAGUUUCAGCCUUUUUAGUGGCGAAGCUUGUUGAGUGCCUGUCACAGAGGCAAUGGUUCUUCAGGUUACAGCAGGUUGGGAUUAGGAUGCGAGCAGUGGUCGUUGCCAUGAUGUAUGACAAGGCAUUGACCCUUUCGUGCCAGUCAAAACAGGGCCAUACUAGUGGAGAGAUCAUCAAUUUCAUGUCUGUUGAUGCCGAGAGGGUGGGUGACUUUGCUUGGUACAUCAACGACCCAUGGAUGGUGCUUUUGCAAGUAGCUUUGGCUUUGGGGAUCUUGUACAAAAAUCUCGGACUCGCCAGUAUUGCAGCUUUCGUGGCCACUGUGCUUGUUAUGUUAGCAAAUGUUCCCUUAGCUAAGUUGCAGGAGAAGUAUCAGGACGGAAUGAUGAAAUCGAAAGAUAAAAGGAUGAAGGCAACUUCAGAGAUUCUCCGGAACAUGAGAAUUCUGAAGCUUCAGGGAUGGGAGAUGAAAUUCUUGUCGAAGAUUUUUGAGCUUCGAAAUGCCGAGAUAGGAUGGUUGAAGAAGUUCGUUUACACUCAAGCAAUGACCUCUUUCGUUUUCUGGGGCGCACCCACCUUUGUUUCCGUCGUCACUUUCAGCGCAUGUAUGUUGAUGGGGAUCCCGCUUUCUUCUGGAAAAAUCUUAUCAUCCCUCGCAACGUUUAGGAUCCUCGAAGAGCCCAUCUACUGUCUUCCUGACUUGAUAUCAAUGAUAGCUCAGACAAAGGUCUCACUCGACAGAAUAGCAUCUUUCUUGUGUCUUGAUGAUUUGCAGAAUGAUGUUGUCGAGAGGAUUCCUCAGGGAAUUACUGACACAGCAGUUGAGAUAAUUGGUGGGAAUUUUUCCUGGGACUUGGCUUCGUCUAAUCCCACACUUAAGGACAUAAAUUUGAAGGCACAAAGGGGCAUGAAGAUCGCUGUUUCUGGUACUGUCGGCUCAGGAAAAUCAAGCUUGCUUUCCUGCAUUCUGGGAGAAAUGCCAAAGAUAUCUGGGACCCUCAGGCUGUGUGGAACUAAGGCUUAUGUCGCUCAAUCUCCAUGGAUUCAGAGUGGCAAGAUCAUCGACAACAUCUUAUUUGGUAAGGAGAUGGACAAAGAGAGAUAUGAAAGGGUCCUUGAAGCAUGCUCCUUGAAGAAGGAUUUGGAAAUUCUAUCACACGGCGAUCAAACAGUCAUUGGAGAGAGAGGAAUAAAUCUGAGUGGUGGACAAAAGCAAAGAAUUCAGAUUGCUCGUGCGGUCUACCAAGAUGCGGACAUUUACUUAUUCGACGACCCUUUUAGUGCUGUGGAUGCUCAUACAGGAUCUCAUCUCUAUAAGGUAACCUGCAUGUACCUGCUAAUUCCGAGUUGUUGGCACUUGGUAGAAUUGCAAUACGCAUGCAGCCUCACACUCAUAGAAGCACAUAUUUGUAGAUGGGCUAAUUUUUUGUCUUUCUUUUUGGUUCUUGGAGGCAGGGUAGUUCUUUUAAGGGCCUCCCUCCUCACUCUCUCUCGCGAGAUUUGCCAAACUUUGUUUCGUUGCUGCAUGCAUUGUGUUUGUGUUGAAUUAUCCUGAUUUUUAGGAGCUGAUUAUUAGGAAUAUUCAAUCCUGAUUUUUUGGGUCCUAAUUAUUAGGAAAUUGCUGUAAAUAAUUAGUUAGGAAAUGCUUUAUUAGUAUCCCUUGAUUUGUGGGAUUAUAGCUGUAUUAUUUAGAUAUAUUUUUUCCUAGUUUUUGGUUCUGUUUUUUCCUAGUUAGUACUUGUAGAAGUCCUAUAAAUAGCUUUGUAAUCUUUGUAAUCCUAGUACAAAAAUAUAGAGAAUUAUCACAAUUAUUUUCUCUAAAUUCUUCAUGGUAUCAGAGCAUUAGGCUCACUUUUCUAGGAUAGUGUUGCAGUGCAUCCUUCAUUGAUGCAAUAAUCUUCCAAUCACAGCCUUCAUUGCUGGAUUUGUCUGUCCUUAACAAUCUGAUCGCAAAUGUCAUUGUUGUGAUCCCUUGAGCUAUAUUUUUCCCUCUUCGCUUCUAAACUUGUCCCUUUUUUUUUUGCCCUAAAAACCUUAUUCACCUGCAGCCUUUACUACUUCUGUUUUUUUUUUUUUUUUUUGUUCUUCCUUUCCAAGUACUUUCUUUGUGCCUAGAAUUAUCCAUGUCUGAGACAAAAUUGAUUGGAGAUACUUUGGGUCAAAAUGAGGAGGCCAACACCAACCAUAUGACUGGAGAUCUACAAAAUGUGGAGCAACUUAUAGGCUGAAUGAAAAGAAUUAUCUCAAAUAGUCACAAUUCGUCAUGACCUAUUUGAAGGGUAAAGGAAGACUCAGCCAUUUUCUUGGAACAAGUCCAACAGCAGAAGAUCUCACGUUCAACGCAUGUGAUGAGGCAGAUUCAAUGAUCAUGUCAUGGCUUUGGGAUUCAAUGGAUCCGGACAUAAGUGAUACAUGUAUGUUUCUCAAAACUGCAAAGGAGAUUUGGGAUUCUAUUCGCAAGACUUAUUAAAAGGCUUGAGAUGCAGCACAAGUAUAUGAAAUCAAGGUAAAGACAAGUGCAAAAAAACAAGGGAGCAAAACAAUGACGAAAUAUGCCUAUUCCCUUCAAAAUCUAUGGCAAGAACUCAAUCAUUAUCGAGUAUUUGAGAUGAAGUGUGCAAAUGAUGCUGUAACUCUAAAAACCUUCAUUGAAAAGGAUCAAGUAUAUGAUUUCCUGGCAGGUCUUAAUUUUGAAUUUGACCAAGUCAAGAUUCGGAUACUUGGAAAGGAAGAAAUCCCUUCUUUGGAAGAGACGAUCUCUCUAAUCCGGGCAGAAGAAAGUGGAAUGGGAAUAAUGCUAGAGCCUUAAGCUAUGGAAAGCUUAGCAUUAGUAACUCGUAAUGCGUCAACACAAGAAAGAGGAAAGGUGGAUGCUUCGAGGCCAACGUGGAGGGAUAAUCGAGAUAGUUUGUGGUGUACCUACUGUAAGAAGCCAAGGCAUACAAAGGAACGCUGCUGAAAACUGAAUGGCAAACCCACAACCUCAAGCCGAGAGUGGGGAAACAAAGGAGGACAACCAAGGCCCCAAGCUCAUCUAAUUGAACAAACCAGCCAGCAAAUCAGUCACAAUGAAGGACAGGUGAAAGAAUCAUUUAGUAGUAAGGAAAUAGAAAGAAUUAAAGGGCUUUUAGGGUCUCUUGAUAAACCCUCCGGUUAAUGUUCCUUAGCACGCUCAGGUAAGUCUCCAUUCUUUUUUUGUCUAAAUGCCUCAGAAAAACUUUCAAGUGAAGCUUGGAUAAUAACUGACCCAAAAAAAAAAAAAAAGCUUGGAUAAUAGACUUAGGUGCCACUGAUCACAUGACUCACACUUCACAUUUUUUUAGUACCUACACCCUAUGUCCAAGCAAUAGGAAAAUAAUGGUGGCAGAUGGUUCUCUAGCCACUGUUGCAGGAGUUGGUGAUAUCUAUAUUACACCUGUUCUCACUCUAAAAGAUGUCCUUCAUGUGCCAAAACUAUCAGCUAGCAUAGUCUCCAUACAAAGGCUCACCAAUGACCUCAAAUGUUAUGCAAUUUUUUACCCUACCUACUAAGUUUUUAGGAACAACAUUCAGAGAGGAAGAUUGGACUUGCUAAGGAAAAGAAUGGGUUGUACUAUCUUGAGACGCCAAGGAUUUCGAAGAAAGUCAUAAACAAUUCUCCCUUAUCAUUUCUUAGUGCUUCAAAUAAGGAUGUCAUUUGGCUUUACCAUUUUCGUUUUGGUAAUCCAUCUUUUCGUGUCUUAAAUAUCAUGUUUCCAUCCUUGUUUAAAGGAUUAGAUAUGAGUCAAUUCCAAUGUGAUACUUGUGAAUUUGCUAAGCACAUCCGUGUAUCUUUUCCUAUAAACAACAAAAGAAGUUCUCAUCCUUUUGAUUUGAUUCACAAUGACAUUUGAGGACCUUCCACAAGGCUCGAUGGUUUGUUUCUCUAAUCGAUGAUUGCACUAGGGUCACAUGGAUAUUCUUACUCAAACACAAAUCUGAUGUAAGUAGUAUUAUUCCUAAUUUUAAUUCUAUAGUUCAAAAUCAAUUUGGAGUUAAAAUUAAGAGCUUUAGAUCAAAUAAUGCUAGAGACUACUUUAAUAAGAUCUUGUCAACCUAUUUCCAAAAGGAAGGGAUCAUCCAUGAGAGUCAUCGUGUGUAAACACACCACAACAAAAUGGGGGUGGUUGAAAGGAAAAUGGUCAUUUGCUCAACACUACUCGAGCAUUGUCGUUUCAUGGAAAUGUCCCUACGUCUUAUUGGGGGGAAGCUGUCCUUACAUCUACAUACAUGAUUAAUAGAUUGCCAUCAAGAGUAUUAGAUUUCAAAACUCCUAUGGCAAUUUUUUCUAGUUUUUAUCCCCAUUUCAGGACAACAAAUAAUCUCACACCUAGAGUCUUCGGUUGCACCUCAUUUGUACAUGCUCAUAAUCAGCAAAGGGGAAAACUAGAUCCUAGAGCAAUCAAGUGUGUCUUUCUUGGUUACUCCUCUACACAAAAGGGGUAUAAAUGUUAUCAUCCUCCUUCUCAAAAGACCUAUAUAUUAGUCGAUGUUACAUUUGUAGAAAACAAACCUUACUUUCCACAGUCUUAUCUUUAGGGGGAGAAGUCAUUAGUUGAAGAUAAAGACUUUGACGAUCUUAAUCUUGACUUACCUCCUAAUAAUCUUCCAAUCUGAGCUCCCACUUUUGGUCAACCAAUCCCUAAUCAAUCGACUCCUAACCAAUCAGCCUCCAGCUCUGAUUAACAGGCUCCUCAUGAGUCAGUUCGUGCUACUUCAAUUCCAGAACAAGAGUCCACUCCCAUAUUUCCCCGUAUUUAUGACUCUAUGAGAUUUCCUCAGGUAUACUUAAGAAAGAUAGCUGUUCCAGACCAAACACAAGUUCAAGAUUCCCAUCCGAAUUUUGCAAAUGAAUUUCCGGUAAGUUCCAAAUCUCCUUUGCAUAAAUAGUCAAUUGAUAUGCCAUAAAAUGACUCGCGUCUUCCCAUUGCUGUUAGAAAAUGUACUAGGGAGUGCACAAAGCGACCCUUAUAUCCACUAUCUCAUUAUGUGUCACUUGACCACCUAUCACUAUCUCAUAAAAAUUUCAUUGUAAGUCUAAACACCAUUUUUAUUCCAAAUACUUUAUCUGAGGCAUUGUCUAAAGAAGAAUGAAGGAAUGCAAUGAGAGGAAAUUGAUGCCCUAAAAAAAAAAAAAAAACCAAACUUGGGAGAUUGUUAAAAAAACCUAAGAGAAAGAAUCUUGUGGACUGCAAAUGGGUUUUUACCUUGAAAUACAAAACUGAUGGUUCUCUUGAGAUAUAUAAAGCACGAUUGGUGGCAAAGGGUUAUACUAAGACCUAUGGAGUAGAUUAUUAGACAUUCGCUCCAGUGGCAAAGAUGAACACCAUGAGAAUUCUACUCUCUUUGGCGGCUCACUUUAAUUGGCAACUUCAAUAGUAUGAUGUGAAGAAUGCAUUCUUACAUGGAGACCUAGAAGAGGAGAUCUACAUGAGUAUUCCACCGGGAUUUGAAAGAGAAAAGACAAGAAACAAAACAUGUAGCACUAUAUGGGCUCAAGUAAUCACCUAGAGCCUAGUUUGGGAGAUUUUCCAGAGUUAUGAAAGCUUCAGGCCACAAGCCAAGGUGAUCAUACUCUUUUCAUUAAGCAUUCAACAAGAGGGAGAGUGACAUCACUUCUAGUGUACGUCGAUGAUAUUAUUGUCACAAGUGACAAUGAUGAGGAGAAACAGCAGCUAAAGCAGUGUUUGAUUAAAGAGUUUGAAAUAAAAGAUCUAGAAAGACUCAAAUACUUUCUUGGCAUUGAAGUUUCUUACUCUAGACAAGGAAUUUUUGUCUCACAACAGAAGUAUGUGACUUCUCUUGAAGGAAACUAGAAAACUAGGUUGUAAACCAGUAGCUACACCUAUUGAGCCUAAUAAAAGGCUUGGGGAUGCAAAGGAGACUUGUGUAGAUCGAGAAAUGUAUCAAAAAUNNNNNNNNNNNNNNNNNNNNNNNNNNNNNNNNNNNNNNNNNNNNNNNNNNNNNNNNNNNNNNNNNNNNNNNNNNNNNNNNNNNNNNNNNNNNNNNNNNNNNNNNNNNNNNNNNNNNNNNNNNNNNNNNNNNNNNNNNNNNNNNNNNNNNNNNNNNNNNNNNNNNNNNNNNNNNNNNNNNNNNNNNNNNNNNNNNNNNNNNNNNNNNNNNNNNNNNNNCAUGGUGGAUAGAAGGUCCACAUCUGGUUAUUGCACAUUUCUUGGCGGAAAUUUAGUGACUUGGCAGAGUAAAAAAUAGAAUGUAGUUGCAAGAUCAAGUGCUGAAUCAGAAUUUCAAGCAAUGGCCCAAGGAAUAUGUGAGCUAUUAUGGCUUAAAAUCAUCCUAGAAAACUUGAAAAUCGAGUGGGAGGGUCCUAUGAAGCUGUAUUGUGACAAUAAAUCAGCAAUUAAUAUUGCUCAUAAUCUCGUACAACAUGAUAGGACAAAGCAUAUUGAAAUUGACAGGCAUUUCAUCAAAGAAAAGAUAGAAGAGGGGUUGAUCUGCAUGUCCUACAUACCUCUCGGAGAUCAACUAGCUAAUGUGCUAACCAAAGGACUUAAUGGUGGGAUCAUUCACGAAAUUAUCUCCAAGCUGGGAAUGGAAGACAUCUAUUCCUCAGCUUGAGGGGGAGUGUUGAAUUAUCCUAAUUUUUAGAAGCUGAUUAUUAGGAAUAUUCAAUCUUGAUUUUUUGGGUCCUAAUUACUAGGAAAUAGCUGUAAAUAAUUAGUUAGGAAAUGAUUUAUUAGUAUCCCUUGAUUUGUGGGAUUAUAGCUGUAUUAUUCAGAUCUGUUUUUUCCUAGUUAGUACUUGUAGAAGUCCUAUAAAUAGCUUUGUAAUCCUGGUACAAAAAUAUAGAGAAUUAUCACAAUUCUUUUCUCUAAAUUCUUCGGUUUGUGCUUUGGGAAUUGACUACUAAUUGAAUUUGUAUUUGAUAGGAAUGCUUGUUGGGCCUUUUACGUACCAAAACUGUGAUUUACGUAACUCAUCAAGUGGAAUUCUUGCCCGCGGCUGAUUUCAUACUGGUGAGCAAUUCACAAAUUACAGAACCUGUUUUUCAUUCAUUCUAGUUGUAGAGUCACGAUACAAGGCAUUGUUCUUAUUUUUCAUCAGGUUAUGAAGGAUGGAAGGAUUACGGAAGCAGGAAAAUACAACGAUAUACUUCAUGCAGGGACAAAUUUCAUGGAACUUGUAGGUGCACAUGAGAAAGCUUUGUCAGAGGUAGAUUCCAUACAAGACACACCGGCAAAUCGAGGAUCUAGUAGCAGUGUUCAAAAUGGCAGUGCGGAUGCUAAUGGGAAGAUUCCCGAGGAGGACGAAAGCAAAGCUUCUCAGAAAGGUGAAGUCAUCGACGAUGUUGGGACCAAAGGGCAGCUUGUUCAAGAUGAAGAAAGAGAGAAAGGUAGAGUCGGAUUUACAGUGUACUGGAAAUACAUCACAAUGGCAUAUGGAGGAGCUCUUGUGCCUGUCAUAUUGCUGGCACAUAUUCUUUUUCAGCUUCUUCAAAUAGGAAGUAAUUAUUGGAUGGCCUGGGCGACUCCAGUGUCCGAGGAUGUCAAACCUGCCGUUACAGGAUCAACUCUAAUAGCAGUCUAUGUAGCUUUGGCUGCUGGCAGUUCUCUAUGUGUUCUUGCAAGAGCUACUGCUCUUGCAAUUGCUGGGUUCAAGACAGCAACCGAGCUCUUCAAUAGGAUGCACUUUUGUAUUUUCCGUGCUCCAAUGUCCUUCUUCGAUUCUACUCCAAGCGGAAGAAUCCUCAAUAGGGUAUGUAUAAUAUGCUCGUUAUGAUAUUGUUACAGGGGUAUGUAUUUCUUCGAUUUAAGCUUGCAGAGGUCUCUCUUUUAUCCAAUCGCUUGUAUUUUCGUUUGUGUUGACUACGAUUAUCCAUGCGCAACUGCAUCUAUUAUGGCGUCUUUUCUUUGCUUUUGUAGGCUUCUACAGACCAGAGUGCCGUGGAUACAAGCAUGCAAUAUUUAGUUGCAGCAUUUUGUUUCACGAUGAUCCAGCUCCUUGGAAUUAUCGCUGUGAUGUCUCAGGUUGCAUGGCAGGUUUUCAUAAUUUUUAUCCCUGUUAUUGCAAUCUGUGUGUGGUAUCAGGUAAUCAUCCGAGCUCUUCCGAUCUUUUUCUAACUGUCAAGAAGAGCAAAGAGGACUUGGCUUUCUUUCUUUUCAGGAGGAUUGUUCUGGUUUUAGAUGUAUUCCGCUAGUUAUUUUGUUUCCUCACUCAUGGAAGGAGUGAAAUGGUGACACUCCCAUCCCAACCGUCUUCUCAUAAAAGCCUUGAAAUUUUGUGCUUGUUCGUCAAAGUCCUUUCACUUUUUUUCUCAUGAGUGACAAACUGUUGGCACAUCGUGAGCUUGAACGAGUAUCUGUAUACAUUGGGUCUAUGUAGAUACUUUUGAAUUUGCGAAAAUAUACACUGACUGAAUUAUUUUCGCAUCCACAGCAAUAUUACAUAUCUUCUGCACGAGAAUUGUCAAGGUUGGUUGGGGUGUGCAAAGCUCCAGUAAUACAGCACUUUGCUGAGACAAUUUCAGGAGCCACCACUAUUAGAAGCUUUGAUCAAGAAUCACGGUUCCAAGAUACAAAUAUGAAACUUGCCGAUGGAUACUCACGGCCCAAGUUUCAUAUUGCUGGGGCAAUGGAAUGGUUGUGUUUUCGCCUAGACAUGCUAUCCUCGAUUAUUUUUGGCUUUUCUUUGAUUUUCCUAGUCUCUGUUCCUGAGGGAUUUAUCGAUCCAGGUAAGAACUUUCUUUUAGAUUUUCAAAUGCUGUUGUAUCUAUUUAAUUGUUUCUGGAACUUUUAACAUUUAAAUUGCUUCUUUCCUGAUGUCUGAAGCCAUUGCGGGGUUGGCCGUGACCUAUGGGCUUAACCUAAACAUGUUACAAGCUUGGGUGAUUCGGAAUCUCUGCACUAUGGAGAACAGAAUCAUAUCAGUUGAGAGGAUACUGCAGUACACCAGCAUUCCGAGUGAGCCCCCUCUUAUAUUAGAGGAAAAUCACCCGUCAAUCUCUUGGCCAUCACACGGAGAGAUCAACAUUUGCCAUCUGCAGGUACAUGAAGCUUCUGUAUCAUCUCAUAUUACAGCUUUUACAAUUCACGAUUGACCUAUUUUUGUGACAACCAUGCGAAACGUAGGUCCAAUAUGCUUCACACUUACCCCUUGUUCUGCGGGGAAUUACAUGCACUUUGCCUGGUGGAAUGAAAACCGGGAUCGUGGGGAGAACUGGAAGCGGUAAAUCAACCCUUAUGCAAGCACUCUUCAGGAUUGUGGAACCUGCAGCUGGUCAAAUCAUGAUCGACAAUGUCAAUAUUUCCUUGAUUGGACUGCACGAUUUGAGGUCUAGACUGAGCAUAAUCCCUCAGGACCCAACCAUGUUUGAAGGAACCAUAAGAAGCAACUUGGACCCUCUGGAGGAGUACACAGAUGAGCAGAUUUGGGAGGUUUGUUCAUUUCCUUGCACAAGUUAAAAUAACAUAAGAGGCAGAUUUAUCGAUGAUGUCGGUUAACGAGGUUUCUGCAAAUUUUAGGCCCUGCAUAAGUGCCAACUUGCAGAGGAGGUCCAGAAGAAGGAAGGAAAAUUAGAUUCUGCUGGUAAAUUUUAUUCCCUUUUCCUCCUGUGACUGCUCUUUUGUGGUUCUCCUAGAUGCAUUUAUAUGAAGAGGCAUUUUAAUACAAUUCCUGGAAGUUUAACUGAUCAUGUAGUUUGCAAUAUCCUUUACAUCGUACAUUAAUCAAUCUUCGCAUUAUCUCAAGAUUUUUGGACAGGCAUGAAAAGCACUAAAACAUAAGUUUGAUGUUUCCAAAAACACAAAACAAUAUCUUUGAUAACCUUUUCCACCCUCUCUUUUUCAUAGCUGUUAUCUAUAUUUGUCAUUAUGCAGUUAUUGAGAAUGGAGAGAACUGGAGCAUGGGUCAGAGGCAGCUCGUGUGUCUUGGGCGCGUGCUGCUCAAGAAAAGCAAGAUCCUAGUGCUCGAUGAAGCUACCGCAUCCGUUGACACAGCUACUGAUAAUCUGAUACAGCAAACUCUGAGGCAGCACUUUGCUGACUGUACAGUUAUAACUAUUGCACAUCGUAUCACUUCUGUUCUUGAUAGUGACAUGGUUCUUGUUUUAGAUCAUGGUCAGUAUCUUUUAACGAUUUCUCCUUGCUCUUGCUGUCGCAUUCUGCAUUAAUCUUUUCUUAAGUGAAAUGAUACGAGCUCUCUUGAUCCACUGUGCAGGGCUGGUGGAAGAAUAUGAUUCUCCGAAGAGAUUACUGGACAACAAGUCAUCGUCCUUUGCGCUGCUGGUGGCGGAAUACACAAUGAGAGCAACCUCCAAUUACGGGAAUUAACUGGAAUGCAGUAUGAUUGCAUUGGAAUAGUUCCUCUGAUGAUGAUGAAAAGUGUGACUGGCCUUCUAUGUCAUCUGUCAUGUUCUUGUUUUAUUAUAGGCAAGUCAUUCUUGAUUGGUUGCUGUAGUGUAUGAGGCUACUAUGAGAGAGUAGGCAUAAAUUAAGCUCGAGGAAGGCUUAAAUUACACUAAUGUUGUCAUGCAUGCAAUCUUAAAUGUACUUUAAUUGCGGGCUUCAGAUUGCUUAGGAGAAAACUCACUAAUGCAUUUGAUGUACUUUUUGAUGGAACUGGCAUUCAAUAAAUCGUCUACUUGGUAUUUUGCUUCUGUUUUCAUGGGUAACAUCAUUAGUUAAUCAAUCUUGGAAUGAGCUGAUUCUUGUUCCACCACCUACCAGGUGGCGUCGGCAAUGAUAAGAGAUCAGUCAUCGAUGGAAGAAGAGAACCGACUCUUCGAGAAUAAGAUUAUAAAUGUCUUCAUUUAGUUGUAGACUCUCAGGACGGAUCCCCAUAGCGCUUGCAAAUCUUGUGCAUUCGAAUCUCGACCUUUUCCAUAAUAGAUAGAUAUACAGUUCACUUCAUGUGGCCAAACUACUAGGUCUCAAAAAUCUCCAGGUCCUCAAGCUUUCCCAGGCACUUAAUCUGGGCAACUGAUCAAAGUACCUGCUCGAAAUGCUGGCAUUCUUGCAACUUCGUCCAACUUUGCCUGAGUUGCCUUAUUUCUCGUUUCUUAGAAAGAUUAAUGUUCUUGACCUCUCCGGAAGAUAGUAGCAUGUCCCAUCCUGCUGUUAUUUUGUCGUUCCAAUCAUCCAUAAAUGAAUAUUAUUAUGACCAAAGGAUCUGAUAACUUCUAUCGUAAUACCAACAGCGAGAAAAAUACAAGUAAACAGAGUACUAUCAUCUUCAGAUAUAUAUAUAUAUAUAUAUAUAUAUAUAUGAAGCUGAUAGUGCUGAAGCGAUUAGUACUGUCGCUUCAGUACUAUCAUCUUCAUAUACAUACAUACAUACAUACAUACAUAUAUAUAUAAGUACUGAAAGGUAACAGUGACACCUUAUAAGAUUCUAGCACCAUUAAAAGAUAAAAGCCCACCAGUCAGUAAAUAGAUUGAAUAGCCAUCAUCAAGUGAAGUAAUUCUACUAUCCACUGAACUUCUCCAACAGUUUAUUAAGACUGCCCAUUCAAGGUUCCAAUCGAAUAACUAUCUCUCGUAAAGAGCAAAAUCUAACAAAGAAGCAAGCUCAAUGAGUGAUGUGUUUCCGACUCUCAAAUAAUAUAAUUGAUGGUACUGUCUAUCUUUGCUUAAAAGCAUCAUUCCUGCCAUGAAAAGCAGAUAUUUUGCUUAUGAGGACUGGAACAGACAUUUCACUCAGAUUUUAAAGAAUGCUCUGCUUUACAAGAUUCUAAUUUUCAAGCCUUCAAAUUAGAAUUUGGAGCCAUGACGUAAUUACUGUUUCGACACUUCGUGAUGCAUACGUGUGCAACACAACUUGCUGAUUGACUUAUUGAGCCUCAAAAUCAGAAAUAAUUGAACUCAUGCUUUUAGUAUAUUAAACCUGUAAGGCAAGUAGACUAUUCUUCCCUUUCUCUCUCUCACUAUUUAGAGUUGUUCUCUCUUUUAUGUAGAGCUUUUCUCUACGCUAAUGGUAGUUCAACAAAUCAAACCCUAAUUACACCAUCACCCAUCCACUCUCGUAUCUUUCCAUGUUUCUCUCUCCCGCUUUUCCUCUUCAGCUUCUUCCACAAUUGCAGUCUCCGUUUGCCCGGAAUUGUGAUAUUUUGAUGAAUCAGUCUGUUUCCCUCACCAUUUUCACCCCCCGACAAUCCAUACCCAAGUUAUCGUCUUCCUUCACUGUUUGAUGGAAUUUCGUAUUUCUCUGUCUUAUCUCAACCCUCAUUGAUGGUUUAUCUUCAAUUGUUCGCCUUCAUUUUCACAGUCACUGGCCAAUCUUUUCUAUUCAAAGUCCACGAAACCUUUUGCAUGUACCUUCCCCUUCCGCGAUAGCCCCUCUGGUGCUUUGCUCUAUCAUCUGCCUUUAUGGAUGAUCACGAUUACGAUGAAGCAUCUUGCCUAGCUGCUCUCUGUUCCCGGCUGGGUCGCCUAUGGCCGGAGCAACGGAUUGCGAUUCAGGAUGAGCUGCCACCUGUGGAGAAAGUCGAAGAAUGCAAAUUAAUGCUGCUAGGCAAAAUCUUAUCUAAUCCUUCCAUCAAUUUUCAGGCCUUUCAAAGUACGUUGAGGCGUGCAUGGAAAACAGACCAGGUUGAAUUAUCUGCAAGGGAAGCUGGUUUAUAUGUUGCAAAAUCUGAUUCGGACAAUAGCGAGUUUUGGAUGGUGGUUCGUGGUUAUUCUCUAGUCACUUAGUGAUCUUUAAACCUUGGGUUCCCAACACACCGCUGCACUAUUAUGAUUUCUCCACUUGCGCUUUUUGGGUACAAGUCUUUGGUCUGCCAUUGGAGUGGUGUACUAAGCAAAUAAUAGAAAAGGCUGUUAGAAACAUAGGCACAGUUCUUGAGGUUCAGAUUGAAAAUAAGGAGGGAACAUCUCUGCGGGCUGGGAAAGCUAGGGUCGAACUUAAGGUACAGGAAUCUUUAAAGACAGGCUAGCUUAUCAGAAUCAAUGAUAAAACCUUAUGGCUUGACUUUUGUUAUGAGCGACUGUCACACUUUUGUUAUUCUUGUGGCCAACUCAGACACUAUGCAACAUAUUGUAAGGACUUUCCAUUCAAUGACGCGAAGAUGAAGGGAAAAGAAAAGAUGGCGUAUGGCCAAUGGUUAAGAGCGGAAGUGAGGGAGCAUAGCCCAUAUUGGCAAAUAUUCUACGAACCACAAGACAAGCCUGUUUUGCUAGAAGAAGUGGUACCUGAGACUCCUCUAGCAGCACCCCUCUUAGAACCAGUACAGCCUCCUAGCAAUGAUAUAAACAAGGGAAUGCAUCAACUGACAACUAUGCCACUUCCCCUAGGUACAGCUGAUAUUCCUCAGCAGCAGCAUUAUGCAGGUCAGCCAACAAAGACUCCAAUCUCAGCAAGGACAGAUAUAGCACUUGCACCAAUGAAAACUACUUAUGACCUAAGAGUGGGCUCUUCUAACUCUAAGAGACUAAAGCACACUAGAUUCAAUACGAAAGCAGGCACAACUAAAAAGUUGAAGCGUUGUACCCCUUAUGAAUCACGACUACAUCAGUAUGAAGAUAUUGACGAAACACAACUGAUGGACCCUCCCAUUUUCAAAACUGAUGAAGCUAGAAAAUGGGCUAUGGUGGCUUGCCCAAAAAAGCCACCAAUUGACAAAUGAAACUCUUGAGUUGGAAUUGUCAGGGAUUGGGCAACCCCCUGAUAGUCCGAUCCCUUACAGCCCUAGUGGCUAAGGAGAGGCCCGAUGUUAUCUUUUUGAUGGAAACCAAAAACCAGCAAGUCUUACUUCAACAUUUGCAAAAACGUCUCAAGUAUCCUAAUUCCUUUAUUCUUAAUCAUAUUGGUUUAGCUAGUGGGUUGGCUCUUUAUUGGAAUGACCAGCUAGACAUUACUUUGGAAAGCUCUUCCUUUGAGUUUUAUGAUGUAUUAUGUACUGAUCUUAUAAGUGGUGUUAGGAUGUGACUCACCUGUCUUCACGCUCCGGCCACUUUUUAGCAGCGUCUUCAGUUUUGGGCAACCUUACGACUCAUCAGCGCCUCCAAUGACUUGCCAUGGCUUUGUGUUGGGGACUUUAACGAAAUGCUCUAUCAUUGGGAGAAAGUUGGUAAGCAUUUGGCUAACUCACAGCGAAUGCAAUCUUUUAGAGAUGUUUUGCAUGAUUGUUCACUCAUGGACAUUGAGAGUAAAUGAUGUUCAUUUACCUGGAUGAAUCAUAAGACUGGUGAUGAAUUUGUUAAGGAAAGAUUGGAUAGGGUUCUCUACACAUUGCACCGGCGUCUUACCUUUCCUUGGGCUGAAGUGUUUGCUUUAUCGGUUGUGGGGUCAGAUCACAGCCCCUUGCUCUUAACUACUGAAGUCUUAUCUCAUCGGAGGCCUCAGCCCUUUGUAUUCAAAGCCUUUUGGACCCAAGACCCAGAAUGCCGAGACAUUAUAACUCGAUCAUGGAGCUCCAACUGUCCAGCAACCUCCUCACUUGUAUCUAAACUAAAGGUGGUUUCUCAUGCUCUAGCUAAAUGGAGUAGAUCAAAGUUCUCCAAGGGUCAUCAACAAAUUGCAGCAUUACAACAGCAGCUUCAGCAACAUGUGAAUCACACCCAUCACCAUUCUGAUGCACCAUUGAUGUCUGACCUGAAACAACAAAUACAACAAUUAUGGCAGCAAGAAGAAUAAUAUUGGGCAAUGCGGUCUAGGAUAAACUGGCUGCAAUGGGGGGAUAAGAAUACUAGAUUCUUCCAUGCAACUACUAUUCAAAGGAGACAACGCAACAGGAUUAGUAUGCUGCAAGAUGACAACCAGGUAUGGGUGCGUGACCCUCAGUAUUUAAGACAAAUGACAACUAAUUACUUCUCUAAUCUAUAUCGGACAGUGGAACACCGCGACUAUGGCCCUAUUUUGAACCAAUGUCCUUGUAUAAUCACUGAGGAAAUGAACUUGUCCCUGACAGCUCCGGUCACUAAGGAGGAAAUCCAAUAUGCUACUUUCCAGUUCGGAGUUACUAAAGCGCUAGGCCCCGACGGUUUAAAUGGUUUAUUCGUUCAAAACCAUUGGGAUAUUCUUCAGGAUGACCUAGUGUUAUUGGUGCGACAAUUCUUCCUAUAUGGAGUCAUGCCACUUGAUCUAAAUCGGACUAUCAUCUAUCUAAUCCCCAAGGUACCUCACCCUGAAAGGCUUGAUCAAUACCACCCAAUCAACCUCUGCAAUUAUGCCUACAAAAUCAUUUCUAAGGUGAUUGCAAACCCUACCUGUUUGACCUAAUAUCUAGGGAACAGAGUGCCUUUGUGAGUGGAUGAAAAAUACAAGAUAAUAUCUUAAUAGUGCAGGAGGUACUUCAUCAGAUUAAGACCAGAAAAUGCAAGCGCCAAUUUCAAGCUAUUCUAAAGAUGGAUAUGCAAAAAGCAUAUGACCGGGUUGAGUGGGAUUUCCUGUAAGAUUAUCUCUUCAAGAUAGGCUUUCAUGCUACAUGGGUACAUUGAGUCAUGCAAUGUAUAACGACAGUAUCUUUUAGUGUUAAAUUCAAUGGUGAACAUCUUCCAUUUUUCCAACCACCCUGAGGUCUUAGACAGGGAGAUCCUCUCUCCCCCUAUCUAUUUAUCCUUUUGGAGAAUGUUCUCUCUCAUCUUAUCAAUCAAGUAGUUACCAUGGGGCUUCUCACAUGCAUCAAAUUGAAUAGGUGGUGUCCUACUCUAUCUCACCUGUUUUUUGCGGAUGAUGCAAUUUUCUUUUUAGAUGGAAAAUUACUUGAAUGUCAGAAUUUGACCAACAUUAUCAAUCAGUACUGCUUUGCUACUAGCCAGGCUAUUAAUAGGAAUAAAUAUGUAAUCUUUUUUAGUAAAGAUUGCCCUCUUACCCUAAAGGAAAAUCUUGCUCGGGAACUCCCGAAUACUUGUGAUUGAUAAGUCUGGUAAAUAUCUUGGUAUACCAUCCAACUGGGGCAGAUCUAAGAGGGAGAUGUUUGCUCGGAUAUUGGGAAGAGUGAAUUCCAAAUUAGAAGGGUGGAAAGAAAACUUGAUUUCGAAGGGUGGUAAAGAAAUUUUACUAAAGACUGUCGUACAAGCAAUACCUCGCGGUAUGCCAUGUCCAUUUUUAAGAUACUUGUGUCAAUUUGCAAGUCCAUUGAACAGAAAAUUGCUAGGUUUUGGUGGCAAAGUGACGGAAAGAAAUCGGGCAUACACUGGAAGAAUUGGGAAGCUCUUAAAAGUAGCAAGAACAGUGGGGGUCUCGGCUUUCGUGAUCUUAUUGACUUUAACAAAGCCAUGCUUGGUAAGCAAGCAUGGAGACUUCUACAACAUCCAACUCCCUUAUGGAGCACCCUUCUUAAAGGGCUUUAUUUCCACUCACAGGACUUUCUACAAGCGGAUCAGGGUUCCAAACCAUCAUGGGGAUGGCGGAGUAUUCUUCUUGGAAGGGAUGUUACUUUACCUCACCUGCAAUGGUCUGUUGGUAGUGGACAAGCUAUUAAAAUUUAGGAAGAUCGUUGGCUCCCUAGAGGGGUUAUAGGAGGCCCUAUACCUCGCGAUGCUCCGCAGAUGGUAGCUGAUCUAUUCGACUCAGAUAAAAGCAACUGGAACACCCCUCUUCUUAAUCAGAACUUUGAUGCACCAACAAUUGCUAAAAUUCUUCCCAUACAGGUAAGCCCUCAUUAUACUACUAAUCAUAUUAUUUGGUUAAAGACUCAAAAUGGCAACUAUACUGUCAAAAGCGCUUACCAUACCAUCAAACAAUACACUUCCAGCAACCAACAGAACCAAGCAUCAUCAUCAUACAAACCCCCCAAGCUUCUUUGGAAAUCCAUAUGGACUGUCAACUUACCCCCCAAAAUUCGGCCUUUCUUAUGGUCAGUUUGUCAUAAUGCCCUAGCUACGAAAGACAAUCUUUUUCAACGGCACAUCACAACAAAACCAACAUGUUCUAUAUGUAAUCAAAACAAACCAAAAACCACAUAACAUCUUUUUCUUUUACGUCCAUGGACGCAUUGUAUUUGGUCAUAUCCACAGAUCGGCAUUCACAUUACAUCACAAUUAGUCAAAUGAAUGGAUGAAUGGUUACAACACAGCUUGAACGCCGGAGUAACUUACCUAGUGUGGAGAUCAUCGCUGCCUUAUUAUGGCAGAUCUGGAAAUCUCGCAAUGGGUUUAUCUUCCGCCUACAACGGCCUAAGUCAUCAAGGGUAGUCAAGGAGGCUCUCGCUCAAGUACAAAUCGCAUCGCUUUCAUUCCAAUCAUUGGUGCGUACAACCCGAUCUACUUCACAUUCCGAUCUGCUGUGGCGGCCACCAGAUCCUAGCGAGGUAAAAAUCAAUAUUGAUGGAGCAUCUCAACAAAUGAGUUCUAAAAGAGCAAUGGCAAGUAUAUUCAAAGAUCACACAAGAACUCUCCUCCAUGGCUUUACCUGCGAUUUCUCAGCAACUUCGGCUCUGCACAGCGAGAUCCAGGCGUUCCUCACCACUAUUGAUUUUUAUAGUUGCAGCACGGCAAGAAUCAAGACCAGCUUGUGCUUGAAUCUGACUGUCUUGUUUUGAUAGAUGUGGUUCGCCAUCCAUCAUCAACGCCAUGGGAGAUGCGCCCUUUACUUGCAGAAGCGGCAGCCAAGCUCCACCUUUUCCCUACCCUAAAGAUUCGUCACUAUAGACACGAAGCCAACUUUGUGGCUGAUUGGGCCGCUAAGGCCCAUUUUCAUGGCAACUUAUUACCAAACUGGGCUUUGUCUCCCUCUUUGCUUUCGGAUCUUCUAUACUCGGACGCCCAAGCUUCAGGUCGUUGUCCUCCUUUACAUUAGUGUUAUAAUACUUCAUAUUUCGAUAAAAAAAAAAAACCCUAUAAAGCAUGGGAUAAAAUAAACUAGUAAGCAAGAAACCAUUCGUAGGGAAAGCAAUAUCGCAUCACUUUCAACAGUACCCUUAUCGACAUGCAUUUUUAAGAAACUCGAAAAGUCAUGUCGUAUAUAGAUUCAACUGAAUCAUAGAGCUUCCUCCUAUGAGGCGCUCACUAUUUCUCCAACAAAAUUUCUGCAAUAUCCUCAAAAGGUAUAAGAAGUGAUCGGUCAUUCCUAGUGUUAAAAAAAUCCUUUAUGAUGUUUUGAAGAUGACAAAAUAAAUCAAAGGCUACUAACGUGUUUAAUGGUUAAGUAACAAACUAUGCAGAUGAUAGAAUGUAUAAAUGAUAUUGUCAAAGGUCUAUACUUGGAAGAUUCAGAAGACAGACUCUAUGCUAAAGCUGAACUUAUUUAAAUUGUGUCCAGACCUUAAGGCUAAAUCUAUUCAGAAGUAGAAUAUGUUCAGACUUACGUCCAGAUUGUAAAGUCUAUUUUAGUCUGAAGACACUCAGAAUCUACUUCAGUUUGAAGACUCUUAGACUUUACAUCCAAAACGAGACACAAGUUCAAAACAUAGCAGAUUCAGAUUGAAAUAAGUUGAUAGAACGUAACACAAGCCCCAAACAUAUAACGGUUAGUAAUUUAGUUUGGAUUCCACAUCAAGAUAGAUUUGAUUAACUUAAUCUAAUUUAUUGACAAUUGGAUAUUGAAGACAAGAAAUUUCUAAAGGAAGAAGCUUUAUUUAUGGAAACCAAGAUUUUGUUUUGUAUAGGUGAUCAAAAUCAAUAUGGGAUUCUACUUCUAUCACUCAACAGCUACUAAAUAUUCUAGAUACAGAUCUGUCCAAUGGGUAGAUUAGAAGACAAUCCUCUAAAUACUAUCCAACGGCUAGUUUGGAAGUGGAGGAAUAUUUAAAAAGAUCAAGGAUUGAUGAGCAAGAAAGAGACGAAGCAUAGAAUUUAUAAUUCCAAAGUCUGAGCGACCUUUGUUCAUACACUUGUCUUUGGUGAGCUUAAACGUUUGUGAUCGUGAGAGAAAUACCAAAAGAGUGAUUUAGUAAGAUAGUGUGAUCUACCACUAAGUGUUUGCACUCAAAGUUGUAAUCUCUUGUUGAUCAGAUAGUGGAAUCUAGCUAAAAGGCUAUUAGUGUGACAUCUUGAAUUUUAGGUUCUGAUUUCGAUUGGAUAAGUCGGGCCUUUAAUCGACGUGACUAUAAUGUUUUUCUCUAAAAUGGCCACUCAUGAGAUAACUGGUCUAUCAGGUGAAGCCAUUAAGGGAUUUUAACGCAAUAAACUUGAGAAUUCGACCAUAAAUCGACCGUUCAAUCGUGCUAGUCUCCAAGGGUAAUUACGAUAUUGUCAAAAUUGAUCAGAGACCGGAGAUAUGUCAAUUUGACUAAGAUGUGUGAUCAAGUGUGGGUGAUUCCACCUGAUUGCAAAAUUCUUGUCGAUCGACACUAAACCGAUUUUCUGUCGUUUUGGGUACUAUGUGUCCGUAUUUGAAACCUCGAUAUUUUCACGACCACUGAGAGUUGCCAAUGUGUUGAAGAGGUAUGUUGUGGUUCGAAUAAAAUCGACCACGGGUCAAUUGUACCAAAAAUUCCUAAAAGCUACUCGAUAGACUAAAUUAUGCUAAAAUCGCGCCAAAUUGAAAUUAACUGCGAAUUUGAACCCGAUUUCAAAAAUUGAAAGUUCUAUCAUGUCACGAGUAAUUUUAGGAAUGUUGACUCAUCUUUCGAGGAAUUUUCGAUGAGUUCGGAAUUUUUACGGAAAAUCGAUUCGGACGAUUCGAAAAUCAACGGAAAUUCGGAUUGGUUAAUUUGAAGGGAUUUUUGGCCUCCGGUGUGAGUUACUUGGUGAAAUGAGAUUGUGGGCUUUUUCUUUAACAAAAUUGAACAUCAAUCGGGGAGAUUUGUUAAGAAAUUGGAUUCUGAGAAAAAGGAAAUAGAAUUCGAGAUUGAAAGGAAUUCGUAGACUUGAGAGACUAUGACGUUUUGAUCUUUAUUUGACUUCAAUUGGGACAAUUUGGUGUUGAAAUUGGCCUUGGAUGACCAAUUAUUAAUGUUGUGGGAAGUUGUGCUAAAGUUAUUUGUGUUUAAUUUUUUUCAUUCCCCUCCAUCGAACCCCCUCCUCCGUUCGACCGUCCGCCUCUAUUGCAGUCUGCAUUUGCUUUUAAAAUUCUUUGGCUUUUGAAACACCGACUGGCUUCCCCUUCGAUCUCUCUCUUUCUCUCUCCCUUAGUCACACGUUUCUUUUUCCUUCCCCCUCACAACCGACAAGCUCCUGUUGCCUUAUCUCUUCUCUUUCUCCUUCAAUCCUUUUCUCUCUAGCCUCAACAGCUUCGUCGAUACCCCAUUUGCUUCUACCUCUCCUUCACUUUCAAUUUUCCUCGCAUGUCCUCUACCCCAUAGACUCCCCCACCUCCAUCGAAGUCUGUAGCCCCACGUUUGCCCCCAUCGAAUUUCCUUGCGGCACCACACGUGUUCCACCAGCCCACAUUAACCCUUGCAUCUUUCACUUUCAGUCGUUUUCCUCCUCUCACGAAGCUAGCCCAUACUCCAUUUGAACACUGAAGCAGCCCAUGAUCUUUUCUCCAUAGAUCUCAGCCCAACAGCAGCUCCAUUUUCAGCGUUCCGUGACCACCAAAACCAUCCUGAGUUGCGCCCGUUUAGCCACCAUCCUUGUCUUCACAGAACUGAAGUAGCAAGACCAGCCUAUCCGCGGACUUGCAUGGCCGAUUUCGGCCCGAUUCGGGCCCCCGUUAGUGCCACCGCUUUGGAGUUUAUCGGCCGCCGUUGCGUCACCGUCAUCGUGAUCCAGUAGGAUCGUUAAUCUAGUGAGUUUAAUUCACUAAUCCUUGCUUAGUAAGUUAAUGACGUUUAAGAGUUGAUUAAUUUAGACUAAGUAUGGAUUAGGUAGAUAGUUAGAUUAGAUUAGCAAUUUAAUUAAUUGUUAUUGCAUGUUAGAUGGUUACAGUAGUAUAAUUAAAGCCUAGAUAAGCUCUAGUAUUUAUUUAGAGUGGUUCGGAAAUUUUUCGAACUCGAAUCGGCUUUUAAUUAGUCUUUACAAGCCUAAGUGUGCAUUUUUACUAUUUAAUAAUUAAUUUCAGUAAUUAUUUAAUUAAUUAUUAUUUUCCGAAAAUUAAACCGGGAUAAUCGAUGAUCAAAAUUUUAUGUUGAUUACAUUGGUGUGAUCUGUUUAUUUAAUUGAUUGUUAUUUUGUGCAAAUUGAGUGUGAUUUGUGAUUGUGGGUAAUUAUCUCAAAAUUAAUUAAUUUCAGUAGUUAAUUAAAAAAUCACUGGGCAUCGGUUUACAACGCCAAAAAGGAAUUUGUGGACUAAUGAAAUUAGUGGAAUUUUCAAAUGAGAAAAUAUCAUAUUUUGGCUAAGGCCGACCGUGUACCCAUACACGAGUAUUUUUAUCGAGUAUGAUAAAAAUGACGAAUCGAUAAAAAUGACGAAAUUGUUAGAUGAUGAGGAUGGUAUAUUAUAUCAGCCUACGGGCGAUAUGGUGGCAACUUCUGGUGAGCAGUAUACCUAGUAGCUUCUAGUGAGCAUUAUUAUUAUACUAUAUCAGUAUACCUAGUAGCUUAUGGUGAGUAUUAUUAGUAUACUAUAUUAGUAUAUAUGGCAGUUUCUGGUGAGUUAUACUAUCUACUAUCAGCUUAGAGUGAGCAGUCUUGAUUAUGAUCGGAUUUUAUAUAUAGUAUUGAUUAAGAUGACUAGGAGAUGGUCGUGAUGACAUAUAAUCGAUUGAGUCGAUUGAUUGAUGAUUCAAUCAGAUUGAUUGAAAUGAUUGGAUGGUUAUUCAAAUUGUAUUGACUUGUAGGAAAAGACUGAGGCUAAAGUAAGUUCUCUGACUUGUGUUUGUGCUUAGGCAGCCCUCAAGGCAUAUUUUCUUCCUAAUCGGGUCUUAGGAGGUUGAACUCACUGAGACGUCAUCUCACUCUGUUGUGAGAAAACAUUUUCAGGAUCUUAGAUGGCGUACCCACCCGGAGCAUCACGGCCGUCUCAUGAGGGUUACUAAGCGGAUUUCUAGUUACCUCGAUCUCGGAGGUUUUUGGGUUUACGAGCUAGUUGUAACCACUAUCUAGGUCGAAGAAUUUCCACAUUAGAAGAUACCUAAUCGAUUCAAAGCAUGGUUCCGCAUCGCUCCCUAUGGCGUCAAACUAGGUCCCCUUAGGACUUUUGAUAUUGCCUCUGUGGUGAUUAAUGGUGUCUAGCUUACCCUCUUGAUGGUGUCGUGGAGGACCCACCGUCUUGCCCUAACCCUAUGGACUUUGCCGAAUGAGAGAACGAGUCAGACUAGCUAAUCAUCGGACAACUUGUUUUGGAGAGUCGACCUUUUUGUAGAUUUUGUAAAUAUCGGCUAGUAAUGUAUAUAAAUUAGUCUGAUAUGUAUAAAUGUGUGAUUUGCUUUUCAAAAAAAUGUGGCCCUACUUUUCUAUCCCACCUUGUUGUUGUCUGAGGAUUAAUCUAUUUGCUUCCGCAUGUGCAUUAAAAAGAAUGGGUUGGCGACGUGUCCGAGGAUGUCGCUAGUUAAUCGACCGCAUAGGGAUGGGUACAUGCUCAGAGGAUCGGGGCAUGACAAUUAACGUGGGAGAGUGGAUGUAGGCUUGAUCUAAAACGAACCACUAUAAAUUAUGUGUUCUUAUUCUCUUCCUUGAACUCCUUUAUUCUAUUUGUAGUUCUAUUUACCUGUUAAAGUCCGAACUCGCUCAAACUCUGUUGUUUUUCAGACACAGUUUCAAAAGGCUAUUAUUCUUCAUACUCAGUUUCGAAAGAAAAAUAUUUCUACUGUUCUUUUGUGAAGAUUUUUGUUCACCUAUUCACCCCCCUCCAAGUGUUCAUACUAGCCCCUUUAAUCUUGAAAGAUAUUAUUGCAUAUUCAUGGAUACUCUUGCUAUAUUUUUAGAAGAUAUUUUAUAUCUAGCAAGUUUGAUCCGCAAAUGAGAUGAAGGUAUUAUAUGAUAUUUUUGCAAGGACUGUUAUCUAUUAUACAAGAAUUUGCAGGUAGCAAAAGAAUCUUCCGUAUGGAUUUUGGAAAGCUCGAUCGAAAAAUUAUGGAGAUUCUAUACUAUUUUCUAGAGGCUCAAAGAUUCUCUUCCUCGUGCAAAAUUUUUGCAAAUUAUUGAGAAAAUCCCUUAUGUGACGUACGAAAGGGAGAAAGUGAAUCCAAAAGAAAUGGAAAGAGUCGUGAUCACCUCUAAAAGACAACUAAUUGAGGGGGAGCAUUGAUCAAUUAUGGAAAAAUCUUUUUAAUUCGAUCGUGAUCUUGAUUAUUAUGAAAUGAAGGAAAAGAUAAAUGUGUUAGAACUUACCAAGUUCUACGAAAUCCGGUUAGUGCAUUUUUAUUACCUUUUGUCAUUAACAAAUCUCUUAUUGAUAUUAUCAUUUUAUUAUGACAAAAUGGGUGAAGUGAAUUUUAUAUUACAUCCAUGAUUUUUAUUGGAUAUUUGCUGAUACAUAUGAUCGAAGUGAGCUACAUUGCAUAUCUUUAAUAUUCAACUUACUUUGUAAAUGUUGAUUUUUUUUUAAAUAGUGUCUCAUGCAAGAUAUUUGUCAUCAUUUUAUAUUCUCUACGCGAUACUUUUUAUCGCUUUUUGAUUAUGACAAAAAAUGGGAGAUAAUAUAGAUAUGCACAUGUGUUGAUUGGUUGAUAUUAUUUAUUGCAUAAUACUGAGCUGCGAUUAUUUUUCUAUAUAUUGUUAUGCUCAAUCUAUUUAUCUUCUGCUAUCUUUUGAUUCGAAUUAUAUUUUAGAAAAGUGUGAUUACACAUCUGCAUAUUCAGAGAUUUUUUUGUCAUCAUAAAAAAUGGGGAGAUUGUUUCAUUUAUAAUGUUUUGAAGAUGACAAAAUAAAUUAAAUGCACCAUCGGUCGUGGUGGCUCCACUGGAUAAGAGCUCCAUUGAUCCUUCCCCAAAGGUGAGGGGUUUGAAACCUAGUGGAGGCACUUGGUGUCUUAAGUGUGAUGCCGGGGUGGUGGGUUGUCACGCCCCGAACCCCGAAGGCGCACACAUCCCACUACGGUCAAUCAAAUAUGCGACAUCCUAGGGUAUGUCAUCGACCCAUUCAUUUAUUUACGCAUGCGGAAGUGAAACAAAUCCCCUGACAACAUUUAACUUGGGAUAGAAAAGCAGGCAAUCAAUCACAAUACCAAACACUCAUUUACAAACACAAAGGGUUUAAAUACAACACUAAACUAUCUACAAAAUAGACCAGCUCGACAAAAGGGGAACUAUCCUAAAACCAACUAUCAUGAUACGUUCUCCAAUCCUUAUGACUUCACCUCUGCAACUCCUCAAAGCCAACCAAAGCUAUUUAGCCGCUCCGUCCACCAGGGACCUGAAAUUGUAAUCCCCAAACCGGGAUGAGACAAUGUUUCAGCAUGUUCAACCCCCUAAACCCCUAUUAGAAAGAAAAUACGCCCCAGGUGGCCUAGCCACAUCACACAAAGACUUACCUCGCAUUAGUCUUCAUCUGCAGGUUAGCACGGUUUAUAUAAUUCAACCACGUGCAUUUAUGAUAACCAAACAACUGCGGCACAAUCACAACAUCGGAACAAUUCAACCACUUGAAUCGUCUCAACGAUCAAUCGACUCGGCCGAUUACAUGUCAUUCUAGCAAAUCAAUCAUUGCUCUCAAUCACGGCCCUAUAAAAAGGUUUAACAACCAGUGACAAUCACGGCCCUACUCAGCAGAAUUAGAAUUAAUGGCAUCACGGCCCCACUCGGCAUAACCUUUAAAAGGUGGUAGAUCCCAGCCCGAUGGGCACGACCUCUAAUAGGUGGUAAUUCACGACCCCAUUUAAGCGCGACCUUUAUCAGGUGGCUAAUCACGGCCUCACUGGACAUAACCUUUAAUAGGUGGUCAAUCACGGCCUCACCGGGCACAACCUUUAAUAGGUGGUCAAUCAUGGCCUCACUUGGCAUGACCUCUAAUAUGUAGUUAAUCACGGCCCCACUGGGCACAACCUCUAAUAGGUGGUUAAUUACGGCCAAUUUCCCAUCAAUUUCCACACUUGGGACUUAUAAAAGAAUCCCUAUUUAUCGCACUCACACUCAAUUUGACACAAUCAAUCCCCAAAUUCAAAUUCUAAAUACACAGCAACAAUCGAUACGAAAUUCUGAGAGAAUAAGGUCCCGACGAAAUUUUCGGAAUUUAAUAAAUAAUUAAAUUUAUUCUGAAAAUUAAUUAAAUAAUAAUGUCCAUAUUUUUUCGCAAUCCACACUCAAUUUAUAAUAUCCAAUCAUCAAUUUCAAAAUCUGAUUACACAGCAGCGAUCAACACUAAAUUCUAAGCAAAUAAGGUCCCGAUAUAAUUUUCGGAAUUUAUUAAAUAAUUAAAUUUAUUCCGAAAAUUAAUUAAAUAAUAAUAUCCACAUUCUUCGCAAUCCACACUCAAUUUAUAAUAUCCAAUCAUCAAUUUCAAAAUCUGACUACACAGCAGCGAUCAGCACGAAAUUCUGAGCAAAUAAGGUCCCAAGAUAAUUUUCGAAAUUUAUUAAAUAAUUAAUUUUAUUCCGAAAUUUAUUUAAAUAAUAAUAUUUUAAUAAUUUCGAAUAAAUAUAUAUUAUUAAAUUAUUUAAUAAUUUCGGAAUACUUAAAUAAAUCAAAAAACAAAUUCCUUUAAGUCACAUCAAAGCUUAUAUUAAUAUAAACAUUUAUUUAGCCUUAAAUUAAACCCACUUUAAGUUAAUCAAGCACAUUAAUAUAAUCUACACUUAAACAAAUUAAACUAACCACCUAAUAACACUUAACAUAAACUAAACAUACCUAAAUCAUCAUUAACCCUCUAAUAAAGGUUUAGUGAGCUAAACUCACCCGAUUAACGAACCGAGCAGACCAAAACAACGAGGAUGAUGCGAUGAUCGACUUUCCUCAAGGCAGGCCGAGCAUUUGGGCUCGGGAAGGCGGCCAAAACGAGCCAAAACCGGGCUGGCAUACCCAUUUUCUGCAGCUGCUGCUCACGAGCGGAGGAGGGCCAAACGGCGGCUGGUUCAGGUCAGAAUGGGUGGAGGAGGGCGGCGGCAGCUUGUCGGUGGCUCAGACGGUGGCACACGGUGGCUAGGCGGGCCUCCGGCGGCCUUGACGAUGACAAACGGGCGGCUGGACGGUGGAGGGACGACGGCUGGGUCGCGGAUGAAGCAAGGAUGGGAUGGGCGGAGCAGCUCGCGAGGCUGCGACGGCGAGCGUGAACGGAAGACGGCGGCGAGCGGGCGGAGGCGGUGACUUCUUCGGCUCCGCUGGUCUGCUCGGUUGCGUCAAACAGCAAGAAGAAGAAGAUGGAGGAGGAAACCAACGGGAAAGGGAAAGGAAGAAGAGAGAAGGAGAGAGAGAGAGAUGGGACCAUUCCCUUUUCUUUUUUCUUUUUCUUUAAUCCCACAAAAAUGGCCCACCAUGACCUCAUGGAUGACAUCACACUCCACUAUCUCCCACAACCUUAUUCCAAUGGUUGCAAUUCCAUUUUCCGCCGGGGCAUAAAAUCUUGUACAAUAAUUUCUUCAAUUCCACUUGAUUCUCUUCCAACUGAAUCAAAUUGAAGACCAUAAAAUUAAUCCAAUGUCACCACACUUCAAUUCACAUAAUCACUUGACCAUAGAACCCUCUUAGAUCUCAAAAGUAUAACCAAAAGUGGGCCUACCAAUUUCUCGAGCCAAAUUAGCCAUUCUUUGAUUAAUUUGUCGACAAAACUCAACUUGCAUGAAAAAUCUUCCAAAGACGAGUCAAUAUUCCUAAAAUGAUUUGUGACACACCCAGACUUCUAAUUUUUGAAUUCGAUCUCAAUUCCACGGUUAAUUUCACUUUGGCACGAUACUAGCGCGGCCCAACCUACCGAGUAGCCUUUAGAAAUUUUCAUGCAUUUGACAUGUGGUUGAUCAUCUCAAGCCACAAUGUACAUUUUUGAAACAUUGGCGACUUUCGGUUGUCAGGGUAAUCUCAAGGUUUCAAAUACGAACACAGGGUACCCAAUCGAUAGAAAAGUCGGUCCAGUGCCGAUCGACAAGAAUUAUGCGAUCUGGUGGAAUCACCCACACUCGAUCACAUGCCUCUGUUGAGUCGACCUAUCUCCGAUCUCUAAUCAAUUUUUAAUUGUGCCGUAAUGACCUUUGCAGUUCAGCUCGGUUGAAAGAUCGCUUCCUGGUCAAAUUCUCGAGUCUGAUGCAUUAUAAUUUCUUAAUGGCUUCACCUGAUAGGCUAGUUUUCACAUGAGUGGCCGAUUCAAGGAAAAGAACUAUACGCGUACCAACGAAAUACCCGUCUCAAUUUAUUGAAAAUAGAAUUGGAAAAUCGGGAUGUCACAACUUUUCCCCUUUUAUAAAAAUUUUGUCCUCGAAAUGUAAACAUUUAUCAAUUCUUAAACAAAAAGGUGGGAGUACAAUUGUCUCAUCGAAUCUUCAAUUACCCAAGUUGCUCCUUCAGUACUAGUGCUGCCAAAUCACUGAUAUCUUGCCCAAAGCACUUUGGAUCCAAAAUACUAAACACUUGCCCACUUAAAAUUCCAAAAGUCUUCACUACAAAAUCUGCGAAAUUAAACUGGCGAUUAUGAGCAGUCUCUAAACUGUCUCUAAUAAUUGCAAUCGAAUCACUGAUUUCUGAACCAACUCUGGACCUGCGAUUUUCUGAUCUCUGAUCUCAUCUCAACCGACUUAAGUCCUGUACACUCUGCUCUACACUGACUAAAAAGAAACUAUCUGACUGAUCUGCUGAAACUGGGAACCUCUGGUCAAGAUCUGAUAUAACUCUGACAUUGAUCUCGGCCUGUGAUCUUUUUUUCCCUGACUUCAUCUCAGUAAUUGAAAUUCUGCACUCUCUGCUAUGCGCUACUUAAGAAAGAACCAUCUGAAAGCUCUGCCAACUUGGAUCAUGUGAUCUAGAUUUGAAAUACAAUUCAUCCCUGGCACUCCGUGCAGAUAAAUUAUAUGAUAUACACACUUCGGUAUACCUAUUAUAAUCAAGAUCUUUUCGUGCUACACUAAGGCGAGCUGACUCUGUUCAUCUGUCGACCACAACCCCAAAAGGAAUCAAUACUCUUCCCUACUCCUUAAUAAGCUGUCAUAACAUUCUAUCAUGCUAUACUUUCAUUCCCACACAUGACUCUCUCAAGUGCUUGAAAAAGCUUUCCUGGUUUACAUUACAAAAUUCUCACUUACUGAUACAUCCAACAAUUACAACGUGUUCAGUGAUAUCUAUCUUCAUACCGAUCUACCAAUCCUGAUGAUGUAGAUUCUGACUCAUCUCUGUACUGUCUAGACAACGCUGAAGUUGCUAUGAUGAGCUUCCCAUAAGAUCUCUUCUUUAAUCUCUGUAUCGUCAAUUACACACAAUCGUCCUCGAAACCUUAGCGUUCUGCCUUCAGAUAUCUGAAACUCAACCUCUCUCUCAUCUACAUUCGCUUAUAGAGUCUUCUGAAUUUCUGAAUCUGUCCACUGAAGCGAUUUGAUUCUAAUCUGUACUCUCGGCUCAAUUAUGAGGGUAGUCAUAAGAUUCGAAAGGUGGCCUACCUUAGAUUUGAAAACCGAAUUUCGAGUUUUCUCAAAUAUGCUCCAAUCCUUGAGUACCAACUGUGCAACUAAGGACUCUCGACUCAGUGCAUCUGCGACAUUGCUCACCUUUCCAGAGUGAUAUAAAAUAUCAUAGUCAUAAUCAUUAAUGAGUUCCAUCCAUGAAUGUUGUCUCAUAUUCAACUCCCGAGGUCUCAACUGAUGGGACACAUAUGCAACAACCCUAUCAUGCUGUAUCAACACACCACCCAAUCCUUUAAACGAUGCAUCACUGUAGAUCUCAUCACUUCUAGGACCAGAUGGAAUAGUCAGCACAGGUGCGAUAGUCAACUCUUACUUAAGCUCUUGAAAACUACACUCGCACUUUCUUGUCCAUACGAACUUCUCUUCCUUUCUCAGUAGUCUUGCCAACGGUAACGCUAAUGCUGAAAACCCUUCUACGAACUUUCUGAAAUAUCCUGUCAAUCCUCAGAAACUUCUGAUCUCUAUCACUAUAGUCAAUAUCGGCCAACUGAUCACUGCUUUAAUCUCGAAUGAGGUCUACGUAGCUUCCUUUUCCUGAAAUCACAUGACCUAGGAACACAACACGAGUCAUCCAAAACUUGCAUUUGCUAAACUUAUUGUAAAAUCCAAGAGCAGUCAAGGUCUGAAGUACCCUCUCCAAAUAUCUCUAGUGCUCCUCUGCACUCUUUGGACUCACCAGGAUAACUUCAAUGAAAAUGAUCACAACUGAUUUAAGUACCUUUAAACAUUCUGCUCAUUAGACCCGAACAAAUAGCUAAGGUGUCCAUCAAACCACUCGGUAUUACAAUGAACUCAUAACUGCCAUAUUGAGUGCAAGAUGCUAACUUCGGUAUGUCUUUCUUCCUAAUUCUCAACUAAUGAUACCCUGAUCUCCAGUUGAUCUUGAGGAAUAUCGAUGUACAAACAUAAUGAACCAACUUUCUUCUUCACGAAUAGAACGGGUGUUCCCCAAGGUGAUGCACUGGAACGUAUGAAUCUCCUACCCCACACGUCCUACAUCUGCACCUUCAUUUCUUUUAACUCGGGUAACACCAUCUGGAAAGGAGCCUUAGGGACUGGCUCUGUUCUGGAUGCUAACUCAAUCACGAACUUUAUUCCUCUUUCUGGCAGCAAACCUGACAAUUCUUCAUAAAAUACCUCAGAAAACUUCUGUACCACGGCUAUGUUCUCCAUAUUCGACUCCUCAAUUGACGCAUCCAUUACAAUUGCCAUGUAGAUUUGGCAACCAACAACUAGACCUAAGGUCGUCUUCAGUGACGAAUAACGGGGAUCGAAGGUCCUUUCUGACUUUUAGUAAUUCAAAACUUCCAUACGCUAACUGAACAAACUGAAUCAUAUCACUGCCACGAUUCAUAACAGCAUAAAGCUCCUAAAGCCAAACCUUUUUAUAAAUGACUUCCAAGUCAUACUUAAACAAAACCCCUUCAAGUACCACUAUACUCAGAGAUUCGCAUUUCUAUUACCUUAUUACCACAACGAAAACCCUACAACCCUCACUGAAAAUUCUGCUACAUUACUCUGAUAAAAACAUCUCAAAAACAUUCUUCCCUUGAUCGAUGCUUGGUUGACCCAUUUAUGCUCUUUCAACCAUCCUAGUGCUCGGUCGAAAGAUCGCUUCCUGGUCAAAUUAUCGAGUCUAAUGCAUUAGAAUUUCUUAACGGCUUCACCUGAUAAACUAGUUUUCACAUGAGUGGCCGACUCAAGGAAAAUAACUAUACGCAUGCCAACGAAAUGCCCGUCUCAAUUUAUUGAAAAUAGAAUUGGAAAAUCGGGAUGUCACAUGGGUCCUCCGCUAGCAUCACCCUAGGUUUGCUUGGCCGGCUGUCGGUUGUACGGGGUUCCUAGGUCAUAAAAAAAAAUAAAAAAAAUAAAAGGCUACUAAUGUGUUUAAUGGUUGAGUAACAAACUAUGUAGAUGAUAGAAUAUAUAAAUGAUAUUGUCAAAGUCUAUACUUGGAAGAUUCAGAAGACAGACUCUAUGCUGAAACUGAACUUAUUCAGACUGUGUCUAGACUUUAAGGCUAAAUCUGUUCAGAAGUAGAAUAUAUUCAGACUUACAUCCAGAUUGUAAAUUCUAUUUCAGUUUGAAGACACUCAGACUCUACUUUAGUCUAAAGAUUCUCAGACUUUACAUCUAGAACGAGACAUAAGUUCAGAACGUAGUAAAUUUAAAACGAAACAACUUGACAGAAAGUAACACAAACCCCAAACAUAUAACGUCUAGUAAUCUGGUUUGGAUUCCACAUCAAGAUAGAUUUGAUCGACUCAAUCUAAUUGAUUAACAAUUGGAUAUUGAAGACAAGAACUUUCUAAGCGAAGAAGCUCUAUUUAUGGAAACCAAGAUUCUGUCUGUAUGGAUGAUCAUAAUCAAUUUGGGAUUAUACUUCUAUCACUCAGUGGCUACUAAAUCUUCUAGAUAUAGAUCUAUCCAAUAGGUAGAUUGGAAGAUGAUCCUCUAGAUACUGUCCAACGGCUAGUUUGGAAGUAGAGAAAUAUUUAAGGAGAUCAAGAACUGAUGAGCAAGAAAGAGACGGAGUGUAGAAUUUAUAAUUCUAAAGUCUGAGUGACCUUUGUUCAUACAGUUGUCUUUAGUGAGCUUAAAUAUUUGUGAUCGUGAGAGAAAUACCAAAAGAGUGACUUAGUGAGAUAGUGUGAUCUGCCACUCAAAGUUGCACUCAAAGUUGUAAUCUUUUGUUGAUCACAUAGUCGAAUCCAGAUAAAAGGCUAUUAGUGUGGGAGAGUAGAUGUAGGCUUUGUUGGAGAAAUUCCUCUUGAAGUGUUUUGAAGUUGACAAAACGUUUCCAUCAGUCUAGUCUGAAGGAUUGCAGACUCUACUAUUUAAAGUCUGAAGACCUCCGGACAGCUAGAUUCAAGACUCAAAGUCUAUCCCCAUUGAUAGUCUCUAAUCCGUUGAAGAAAGGCUAUCCAGAACUGGAUGUUUCAUUAAGGAUGUGACCUUAUCGACUGGAGAAGGUCUCUUGGCUGGAUGUGACAUAACGGAAUUCUUUAUUUGAUCACAAUUGAUUCAAAUAUUAAGGAUCCGAUGAUUGGCAAAGUUUACUUGGAAGGUUCUACUUAUGGAAACCGAGAUCCUAAUUGUAUGGGCGAACAGGAUUGAUGGGCUAUCGUCAUGUUCCUUUAAUAGCUCGAAUGAUCUUCCUAAUUGAUUCCGUCCAACGGGUAGAUUGGAGGAAUUCCUUUUGUAAGUGCCAACGGGUAUGAUGGCAUGAAGGAGUAUUUAAGGAAGACAUUCUAGUCGUUCGAGGAGGUGUACGAGAGAAAAAUUCCAAAGUCCGAAACUCCUUGUUUCUAGUCAAUUCAUUUGUUGAGCAUAAUCGUGUAAACAAAAGAAAGUCUAUAUUCGUGAGAAACCUUGAAGAAGUGUGGUAGAACAUCUACACUGUGGAAUCAAGGAAAAGUUAUGCUAUAACUUCUCUUUUGUUCAUAGUGAAAUCCAGCCGGUGGGCUGUCAGUGCGGAAGAGUGGACGUAGGCUUGGAAUAAGCCGAACCACUAUAAAUCUUGUGUUCAUUUCUCUCUUCCCUAUCCUUUACUUUACCUUGAUCGUAUUUUCCUUUCUAUUGAUUGCCUAAAAUCGCUUCCGUAUCUCGAAAAUUUGUUUGUGCACCUAUUCACCCCCCUCUAGGUGAUUAUACUAGCUAUCUCAAGCUUGAUCUAAGCCGAACCACUAUAAAUUAUGUGUUCUUAUUAUCUUCCCUGAACUCCUUUAUUCUAUUCUAUUCAUAGCUCUAUUUAAUUACUAAAGUAUGAACUCGCUCAAAGUCUGUUGUUCUUCAAGCUCAAUUUUAAAAGUUUGUUGUUCUUCAGACUCAAUUUCAAAAGAAAAAUAUUUCUACUAUUCUUUUACGAAAAUUUUUGUUCACACCUAUUCACCCCCCUCUAGGUGUUCAUACUAGCCCCUUGCACCCAUCUUGUUCUACAUAUUGCAAACCAAGCACAACAAAGCUGAUCAUUGCAGACAACACAUUGCUCAUGUUAUAAACUCCUCUGCUCCUCGCCUCAAAAUCCCCAUCCAAACAGAGAAGCAUAGAUUCUCAAAUACAUCGGUAAGAAGGAACAACUUAUUCCCACCAAAAAUUGACAAGAUAAAAAGGAAAAAGGAGCAACCAAUACAUCUAGUACCAUAAAAUUCAAGUAACUAAAAUAUUUAUUGAUAAGUUGGAGCUCAGCAAGGGAAAAAAAAAAGAAUUAGCGACCUUAUAACUACAGGAACACAGUAAUUUAAGUGCACUGUCUAAGCUUGCUUCAGUUAAGCAGGAAACAAAGGUAACAACACUAAAAUCAGAGGACUGAAGCAGAAAAAGUCUUCUUUCAAGGAUUGGAGUAGAGUAACGAAAGUAAGAUUAAUAAGAGGAUAGAAGGCAAUUUGACUUGUGAUAAUAGUGCCUUCAGCCAAAUUGAACAAAGAUAUUCGUAGCUGAAACUAGAAAUUCAGGGAACAAAAUAUAUUUAGAUCAGAUAGAUUUACUUCAAAAGUACAUCAAGGUAACCAUUGAUUUAUCUACGCGAUGAAAGAUGCAAACCUUGAUGUGCACCAACUAUUGAACCUAGCUUAUGUGUCCUAUCAAUGAAUGGUUAAAAGACAACAGACUGCUCCCAAUUACCAGAUGUACAUUGGGAAUUCAGAAGAGAUUGAAAGCUUGAUAUGGAAUAGAACUUAAAUCCUAAAAAAGGAAUCCUUGACAAACUCAGUUUGCUAUAUAUAACAUUUUAUCAUCAGUAAUCCAGUUCACUUGCUAAGGAUUGGAUUCCAAAAAGCAAUACAUCCAUCAUCACCAACAAAAGGAAAACAAAUUCAUCGAGGCAACUCCACAAGCACUCAGCAUACAGUAAAAUAAACAGCAAAGUAAAUAUCUAACGUACCGAAAAAAAAACUACCAAUGGCAAAUUUAAGUGCACCUGAGAUGGAACAUCUUCCUUCAACAUCCACAAAAUCUUAAGCCAUGAGGUAGACGGCUACACCAAGCUCUGACAGUCACACUAAAUGACUAUAUAAUCAUCCUACAGUAGAAGCGUUUGUAACAUGCAUUUGAGUGAUAGCAACAGAAAUCCAAAUAAUUUAGCGGGAGGUUCUGCAGAACAUCUUACAUGGCCGACUAUUAAUUCUGGUUCUACAGACGCUGGCAAAAAUCUGGUUUUCAUUUCAAUAACCGAAAGAAGAAAUGGCAUUGCUUGGAAAGAGCGAGCAUAUGGCUGGACUACUCUCUCAUUUGCCCAGCUUACAAUACAUAAGUAAACCAUCAAUGUAUCUCCCAAUCAAACCUUUUUUGAACAUAACUGGAGGAAAUGAAAACACCAGAUAACAAGCUUGUCGAAGCCACAAGAUUCCUUUUUAUUUAAAAAAACGAUGUUGUCAGAUGAAUGAAGAAUCAAGUCUCGACAGAAAUUUCCUCACACGAAUUACUCCUAUUCAGAACCUCGAUAAAAGGACAGAAUAAAGCCACAAUCAUCUUGCCGUAUUUUCCGGUAAUGCUUCAAGAAUCGAGAAUUGAAUCGUAAAAUUCAGGCAAAAUAUGAGUAUUCUUGUGUCACAAAAUACCUAAAUUUACAAAUGAAAAGAAGUAUCAUACAGAAUGAAAUUUUGAGCAAAAUCCAUAUUCCACAGCAAAAAAUCAUUAUUUCGAGUUCAUUUUACCAUCUCUAUAAAUAUGUGUACCCUUUAUUUUAUUAAUCUACGGAUUACACUUAAAAAAACAUGACAAAUCUUUAAAUGUUAUCUCAUUUAUGAAUGGAUUGCAAAGUACAAAAUAUAUUUGCUUGCUAUGUAAUCAUCAAAGUAUGAAACACCUCUUAAAUAAGACAAAAAAAAAAAAAAAAUUGAUCCAUUGCAUCAAUGGGUAGGUAUUGGAUCCUAUAUCUGCUAGUGGUGAAUUGAUAAAUUCGCUUGUACUUCAGUAUACUAAAGAUUCAUCUGAUAGAUGCAUAUUGUUUAGAUCUGACGAUUUGAAACUUCGAGAAAUUCUGAUAGCUACUUUUAAACAGAUGCAAUUGCUUUCUUGAUAAAAUUCUCAGGACAACAAAAAUUAGGGAUUAUUUGCUUCUCUAAGGUCCUUGCUACUAUUCUGGGAUCAGUAGCUAGCACCAGAUGAAGUCAGAGUAGGAAAAGCCUACACAGAGCAAACAACUGAUUUUGGGCAAAAGGGGACCCUUUUGGACAAACAACUUAAGACUCCAGGACAAACAAUAUCUUAAGAGGACCCUUUUGCCCAAAAUCAACUAUCAGUCGCAUCUGACAUAUUUGGACACUUGAGAAAACAGGUUCAAGCGCGAACCAACAAAAAAAUAACGAGGUGAGAAGCUGUUAAGGAGGGCUGUUGAGACUUGCUCGAGAUGGAUCUGGAAGAAUCUGACGAAGGGUUCACAGAAAAGAUGCAAUUUUUGAGGUAUUCGAGCAAUCAUUCAAAAAGGAUUCUUACCUGAAGUUGAGGUUUUGGCGAAGGAAUGAAACGUGCACUAAAGUUUUUUUUAACAGUGUAUUGAGCAGCUAAUGAAUUUGACAUGAAAAUCCAACUUUUACUCAGAAAAAUCUUCUUCAGACGCCUGAUAUUACCUCGAAGAUGUAGGUCGCUGAGGCGUCUAGCUUGCAUAUGGUUAGAGUGGUGACUUCCAUUUCCAUAUAUUGGCAUGGAUCCAUAGGACUUUGGUUUUAUACAUUGAUGUAGGUGUAUCAUCUGGUUGACAUGUCAUGGGAUGACCUAUUGUCUCAUCUCAAAUGGCAAUAAGUCAUAUAAUAAUAUGUCAUGUCAUGUCGCAUAAUAUCACAUGAUGUUGUGGAGUGUCAUAUGACAACACGUUGUGAUGAAGUAUUUUUGUAUUAGAGAACAUAUUGUGUAAUGAUGUGUCUCAUCAAAUGACAAAAGUUCAUGAUGUGAUGUGCAUGCAGAAUCCAAGUUCGAUGUGUAAACAUUUGCAUUACUUGGAUGUUUUAAUUUGCAUUGAUGUAUAUACAGCAUCUUGGAUUUUACUAAUUAGGCUUGCUAGCUACAUGGCAUUUAGUUCCCAAGAUCUUCUCAAAUUUUAGGUUCAGGGAUCUCGCAAUAUGAGACCCAUUAAACUCGUAAAAUCAUAUUAGAGUUGGCAACAAUCCAUUUAGGGAAAAACCGAGUCGACUAAAAAGUAGUGUCAAAGAAGUCAAGCUAUCUAGGUGCACGCGUAAAGAAUUUGGUCUAAUGAAUCCUAGAGAUCUUAACAUCCCAUACGCCCUUUUCAGUAGCGCAACCCCAGUUGAAAGGCACGGGCCAGUCUUGCUCCAUCUCUAUCUUUCUUCCGUCAAAUGCAAAAUAAAGCAUAGCAGAGCUGAUAGCUGCAGAAAAAUCAUUGGUCGUCGGAUAAACUCCUCUGCUCUUCACCUUGAAGUUGCCAUUCAAACGGAGACGCCAGUAGAUUUUGAUAUACGUUGGCAAGGAAGAACCACCUAUUCCCACCAAAAUCAACAACAAAAGAACACAAUAAAUGCAUCCAGCAGGGUAAAAAUCAAGAAACCACAAGGAUGAUUGAUAAGCUGGAGCUCAGUAAGGGGAGAAGAGGAAAAAUCAGUGAGUUACAGUGCAGAGUUAAAGCUUGCUUCAAUUAAUCGCUGGAAACAAACUAACAACACUAAAAUCAGAGAACUGAAGCAAAAUAUGUCUUCUUGGAAGGGUUGGAGUAGAAUGACAGAAGUAAGAUUAAUAGGAGGAUAGAAGGCAUUGGACUUAAGGUAACACAAUGCCUUCAACCAGAUUAAACAAAGAUAUUUGCAGUUCAAAGGAGAAAUUUGACGAACAAAACAUGCAGAUCAAGCUUGAAAGCACAUCAAGGUAAAUCUAGAUGUGUAUCAAGUGUCGUGUCCCUAACUUAUGUGUCCUAUCGCUGAAAUGGUUAAAAGUCAAUCGACUGCAAUCCUGAGAUAUUUUGGGUACCGAGUGCCGUAUCCCCAGCUUGUGUGUCCUGUCCCCUACAAGAAACCGUAGACGGAAGGCAUUUGCUAGAACUAGCAGUUGAGCCUCCCUAACGGAAUAAUUUUUUACUCGAUCAGAGACUAUCCGUGGACGGAGCAAAGUAGCUAAAUGUGUCAUCACGUCCACAGCGCAAAAGCUUGGCUACUUGCUUCUUUAAGAAAUCCGGUUUCUUUCUGGGGUAAGCGCCCAAGUUCAAGAUUUGAGAGUCAAGCCGAUGAGAAUGCGGUGCUUCCCAAAAGAUGCAGAUUCAAAACAGGGAAGGUACGAGGCAGGUUGACGCUGGGUAGCAAAAAUCAGAGAGGCAGCCUAUGCGCAGAGGUCGUCACCGAAACUUUUGUUCUAAAGACUUACGCCCAGAAGCAAAAAUUGUAGUGAAUCUCGUAGAAAGGAUCGCGUGCAUUCUUGACGAUGGGAUGACACCGCACAACGUGGCGUUGAAGACAAGGAGACUUGCUACGAUUAUGGAGAGAGUAUGCAAAUGUCCAUUGCUCGAACCUAACAUUGCCAGUCCUGCUUAUCAUCAAUGCCUUCCUCAACAAAGAACCAGCGAGCACAAAAGAACAUCAACAGAAUUGUUUUGAGGGCAAAAAUGGAACACACAACUAUCAGAGAGGACAAUAUUAGAAAGAAAAAAAAAAGUCAUUUCCCUCACAAUAGCAUUUCCAAAAUGUUGAAAUUCCCUACUUGCCUUGGGCUUUUAGCUUUUCCAAUGUUAGCAUUUUGCCAAUGGGAUUCCAAAAAUACUUAUUAAACACCUCAUAUAUUUCCCAUGGCCAAAAUCUGAACGCAGCAGGACCUUAGACCAAUUGCCUUGCACAUGCCAUCUAGUUGGUUUAUUUGCCCUAAAACUACAUAGACAUUCUAGGUGUCCAAUCAUCCUAACUUAGAUAAAUCGAUUAGAGAGGACUUUUUUUUUUUUUUAAUUUACAUAAUAGGUGUGAUAACCAAAUUAAACCAAGGAUUUGGGAAGGUCCCCUAAAUCGGGGGUGCUAUGGACUGGCGGCUCCUGAUUGCAAGAUUCAAGGUGCUAUAAAUGACGUAUGGCAUUUUCAUUUCUCUAUCUCAAAUAGAAAAAAAUGACUUUAGUCAAGCCCAUUUGGGGUUGAAUGUUUCCUUUAUGUAUACCUAGUCAAUGACCAUCCCCCACACGGGGCAGGGGCAUGACGAUCUUUGCCGAAGGAGCGAUCAUUAAAUUCAAAAUAUCUUGUAACUAUUUGUAUUCUAGUUUGUUGGACAUCUAGUCCCAGAUCAAUGUAAAAAGUGUGGUUUUCAGACAAAAUCAGAGCAAAAGGAUAAAACGAGAAUUGAGUCAUGACGCGAAAAAGAAGCGCCGCGACCACAUAAAAGCAACGGCUAGUGUCGGAGGCCUUCAAAAUCUGCAAAGUUGCUCAACCCAAGGUGGAUUGAACAUAGAAGAUCAUCCAAAAAGCUAAGACGGGGAUUUGACCUCUUACUGACAUCAUGGGUGCGUGUGAUUUGGGCCGUGUUGAAUCUCACGGCCCAGAUCAAGGUCCAACCAAAGUAAGAAAUCAGUUUGAUAUAUAAAAAUUCUCGAUUAUGAAUUUAUACAGGAGAAGUACAAGGAGAUACAAGAAGAUUGAUGGUGAAAUGAUCACCAUCAUGUUUCGUUUGAGCCUACUUGAUAUUUCCCGCAAAGGAUCAAUCCUUAUCAUUUCUCGUCCUAACUUAACCCGCUUUAUGUUUAGAAAUUUAUCCACAUAGUCUCAAACCAAUUAUAUAGCAGUCAAUUCGAUCAUAAACUUUUUAAUUUUACUAAUUUAGUUCUAAAGCCAAUUUAGUAAUAAGCCUUUUAAUUGUGUCAAUUUAGCCUAGCCCUAAACAUUUUGAUGAUUUGUUAAUCAAUCAUAAACUUUUUAACGAUUUGUCAAUUUAGUUUUUUCGAUCAAUUUUAACCGAAAAUCACUAACAUAAUGGUCUAGUCAGCACUAGGCAUUCUAUGUGACUUUGCCAACACUAAGUUGGAAAAUUUUUGUAAUGUCUUUAAUUUUUCCUUUUUUUCUUUUCUUUUUUGUCCUUUUUUUCCCUCCAACGACCAUUGCCAAACCACAUUGAUGGUUAGCAACUUGCUAGCCUCAAGUGAGAGACACCCGCACUUGGGCUAGCAAGGGCUACCCUUGCGUGAGGUUGCCAUAGGGAAAAGAAAAAAAGAAAAGAAAAGGACAAUGAAAAAAAAAGAAAUCAUAAAAUUACAAAAAGUGUUCAUAUCAACACUAGUCAUAUCUUCGACUAAAAAAAAAAAGGAUACUCAUAUUAGUGAUUUCUCAUCAAAAUUGAUCGGAAUGACUGAAUUAGCAAAUCAUUAAAAAGUAUAAGACUAAAUUAACAAAUCGUUAGUUGGCUUAGAACUAAAUCAACAUAGAUGAGAAAUUUAAGACUAAAUUGGUAAAUUGUCAAAAAGUGUAAGACUAAAUUAAUAUAAUUAAAAUGCUUAAGAUUGAAUUUGUCAUCAUAUAACAAUUUUCCCACUUUAUAACCUAGGCAAGAGAGUUCAUUAUUUUCAUUUUUGUGUGGAAAAUAUAGUUUCUUAGACAAAAGAGUCUUUUGAGUGAAAGCUACCUUCCCUUGGUCUAAAUUAGAAAUCAUAAGUAACGUUUUUUUUAUUUAAAAAAAAGGGAUAAUGAUUCAAAUGUUCACUAAACUUUAAUCAAAUAUGAAAUGUGGUCCAUAAAUUUUAGCCUAAUGAGUAAUAUCAUCCCGAACCUUUAACUUAUUCAAUUUGGUCCAUAAACUUUUGGUAUAUUUUCAAUUUACCUUAAAUUGUAUGAAAUAUUCAAUAUUAUCCUCAACAGUGGGUAUUUUCAUACAGUCCAAGAAUUAAGUUGAACAUAUGCCAAAAGUUUGGGGACCAUUUUGAACAAUUAAAAAAUUUAGUGACGAAGUGUGACAUCCUGGAUUUUUACAUAUGCUUUCAAUUAAAUUAAUCGAGCUUUUCAUCGAUGCGCCUAUAGUGAUAUUCUCAAAGCUGAUCACUCCUAAGAUGACUAGACUAUCUAGGGAAGUCAAUAAGAGAUUUUAAUGCAUUAGACUUGAGAAUUCGACUAGGAAUCGACUACUCGACCGUGCUCAUCUGCAGAGAUCAUUACGACAUAAUAAGAUCGAUUAGAAAUCAAAUAUAGGUCGAUUCGACUGAGAUGUGUGGCUCAACGUGGAUGAUUCCACUAAAUUGCAAAAUUCUCGUCGAUCAGCUCUAGAUUGGUUUUUCUGUCAUUUUGGUAUCCUGUGUCCGUAUUUGAAACCUCGAGAUUUUCACGACAAUAGAGAGUUGCCAAUAUGUCGAAUAGGUUCAUUGUGACUCGAAGAAAAUCGACCACGAGUCAUUUGCACUAAAAAUUUCUGAAAGCUACCUAGUCACCUAAGUCACGCUAAAAUCGCACCAGAUCAAAAUUAAUUGCGAAAGUUUUGUCAUGUCACAAGUCAUUUUAGAAACGUCAACUCGCCUUCCGAGGGUUACUCUGCAAAUCGAGACUUUUUGGGAAAAAGUCGAGGUAUUGCCGUUUUUGUCUAGAAAAUUCAGAAGACCAUUUUUUAUUGCGAAAUUGGGAUGCAAGUAGGAUCAAUUGGCGAUGAAAAAUGCCAAUUUGAUCGAGGGUGUGAUGGUUGAAUUUAUGGAAGUCAUUUUGGGUUGAUUCAAGGAGGAAUUGAAGUCUAUUUAGGGGAAAUCAAAUGAAAUUUGUAUGCCUCCCAUGGACCUAACUUUUGGACCACUUCAAGCUUCUAGAAGAUGGCUUUUUUGUCUAGAAAUUCACCAUGGAGGAUAGCUUGCUUGGUGGGCCAUGUUGGGGAGACAAAGUGAUGAGAGAGAGAGAGAGAGAGAGAGAGAGAGAGAGACCAAAGGUGUUCCCCCCUUGGCAGCCGAUUGCCUCUCCCUUUCCUUCCUCAUUUCCGUCGAGCCCUCCCUCCAUUUGCAUACCAAAGAAGUUCCAGCAAACCUAGAAAAUCCUGCAGAUUCCGAGCCUCCCUCCUCCGUCGACUAUCGAGCAAUGGUCGCAUGCUCGAAGCUCCACCAUGUUGCCAUUGCGCCUCACUCACGAGCCGCGCAUCCUCCGUGCAAGCUAGCAUCCUAGCCGCUUUGUCCCUGCUUGUCCAUGCAUCCAAAGGUCCCGACCUGCUCCACCAGCCACCAUGCGCCGUCGUCUUGCCGCCGUGAGGCUCCUCCUGUCCACCGCCGGUCCUUGCUAGCUCAGCCAGCCGAUCGAUCCACCUCUCUCGACCUCAACCAGCACCAAGCAGAAGUUGGGUCAAGUGGGUCUCUAGGCCACUGUUUGGGCCGUUUUCGAGCCGUUCCUGACCCCGUUUGACAGUCCCGCUUUGGAGUUUCUCGUCCCUCGCCGCUUCCUCGUCAUUUUGAUCCGAGUGUAUCACUUAACAAGUGAGUUUAACUCACUAAUCUCUGCUUAGUAAGUUAAUGAUGUUUAAGGGUUGUUUAGUUUAAACUAAGUAUGGAUUAUGUUUAUAGUUAGAUUAGAUUAGCCAUUUAAUUAAUUAUUAUUGCAUGUUAGGUGGUUAGAGUAGUGUAAUUAGAGCCUAGACAUACUCUAGAUAAAUAGACAUGCUCUAGUCAGGUCUUAAGGGGUUGGACUCGCUGAGAUGUCAUCUCACCCCGUUGUGAGAUAACAUUUCAGGUCCUUAGAUGGUAGCUCCUCUAGAGCAUUUUGGUCAGCCGAGGAAAGUUACAAAACAUACGUCUUACAUUCCGUUGCAUGGGAGCCCUAGGAGCUGGACUUAUGAGUUGGUAAGGUCCAUAGUCUAGGUUGAUGCAGGCCUAUCCAAAAAGAUACACCAUCGAUAUAGAUCCUAGUACCGCCAGGUUCAGGAUGGCCAGAGAGAGGGUCUCAUACCGGAAUCGGAGAUACCUUUGUAUGUGCUGGAGGUUGCUUUUGAAAAUGGCACUGCAGACCCUCUAGAUGGUUCGGUGGACCUUAACCUUGAAGAUCCAGGAUCUCCUGUGUAUUCAACAGUAGGCUUUAGUUAGAGUGUGGAGGGAGAUGACGAGGAGGAUGAGGACCUGUAGUUGUUUGGAAACCCCCCUGUUUUGUGGACAUAUAAAUAGAUCAGCUGGUAUUGUAUAUAUAACUUGGGUUGUUAUAUGCAUAUAUUGUGAAUGUUGGUUUUAAAAUUAUGGCCCUACUUUCCUAUCCCAUGGUGUUGUUGUUUGGGGAUUAUAUUUUUGCUUCCGCAUGUGUAUUUAAAAUGAAUGGGUCGGCGAUGGGUCAUGGAACGUCACUAUCUAAUCGACUGCAAAGGGAUGGAUACGCGCUCGGAGGAUCGGGGCGUAACACGAAGUUACAUAUUGAGUUAAAGUUUAAGGAUUACAUCGAGCAAAUUUAAAAUUCAUGAAUCACAUUGCAAAUUAAAUCAAAUUCAAAGAAUCAAUUAUUUCAUUUGGCCUUUUUAAAAAUGAAAAAUUGAUUGUUUUUGCUUUCAAAAUGAAUUCGGCAAAAGAGUAGUAUAUCUCCAGGGAGAAGAGAAUCUUCUAAGCAAUUCCAGUAAAAAGGCCCUCAAAGGAGGCACUGAGAUAAUUGUACUUCUGACUAAACAAGAAAACAGAAGUACAAUUAUCUCAUAAUACUUCACAGUUUUAUUCUCCAUACCAAACGUAGCUAUGAGAGACUAUCAUAAAGUACACACCCUAGGCCCCAAACAGCACCUUAAAAAAGUCUCAGAAUGAGGAUACAUGCAAGUCAAAUGUGCUAAAUACGAGUGAUGUGCAACUUCACACGUCUAUUCAAACAAUCAAAUAGGUGCAAACCAUGUCAUACUUUGUCAAUCAAAACAAAGAAGACUAACUAAUCAGAAACAAGCGCAAGUAGAUACAGUAAGUCAAAAGCAACCUAUUAAAAUGAUACAGGCUAGCAGGAUUCAACUCCACCAGUUGAACUUUUCAGAACUACAAUAUUGACAUAACAGAAUAUCUGUGGUCCCCGUUUGAUCUUAUUUCCCAUUUCAACCAAUAAAAAACAGGGAAGUCCAUAAACAGCGAGCCUAGUUGCCGUUCUUGCCUUUCGCAGAGAAGAAUGUGCUGAAUCCCCUCAUUUGCUUCUCCGGCAUUGGAGAAGAAGAAGACGAAGAACCUGAUGAGGUGGCUCUGUGUUUCGGAUGCUUGGAAUUGACAGAUGUGCUACCUGGGGAAUCACACAAGGCUAGUGCAGAUUCGGAACUCUCUCUCUGCAAAUUAUAUGAAGUGACACUGUCCACCUCAGCACAAUCGACACUUUGCAAUUGCGUGCUAGUACUUGUUGGUUCUUCCUUAACAGUUCCUUCAGCGUCUUGACUGAAUUCAUCUGUUGGCACAGUGUAGAGCUCUGUUUGGGGACAUAAAGCUUGCAACUGUUUGCCGAGAAGAAAUAUGGUCACUUGGCACUCUGCUAGCUUUUCUGCUGCCGCUCAUAAUUCUUUCUCCUGUGAGAAUGAAAAGAAGUUUUAAAUUCUGCACUCAACAAUCAUUCAGUGUGUAAUGAGUCCCCAACCCCCCCCCCCCCUCUCUCUUUCAUACACACAAAUUGUUUGUGCAAAAACCAAUUCGCGUAUUUCCCCCGCAUACAAAUGUAUUAUUCCGCAAAUGGUGCCAUGCCCCAGCUCCGUGGCGAACACAGAACGAGAUGCUCUUUUGCCUUAAAAGAAUGUAUCGAUGCACAUCCUCAAUUUCAUAGUCCGGGUUGAUUGACUUCAUUUCACGACUCGAAUGAUUUUUGAAGGAUUCUAGGGCAAUUUUUUAUAUAUGAAAUCAUGGCAGUCAUAAACACAUGAAUCGACUGCCGACAUCUCUCCCUGUUAAGGCAAACCUGUAAACAAAUAAGAUCAACUUGGUUACUAAGUUUAGUUUGAAUGAUAAGCGUCUAUUCUUCUCGCAACAUAAGAAGCGCCCCCUUCAUGAAUGGCCUGAAAGCCACUUGGAAUGCUCAAGAAUGUACGGAACCACCAGAGAAAGUGACUUGGACGAGAUGCAUCGACUCCUUUUUUAUCGGUAGAUGAUGGAGCGUCAUAUCCCAUAAUUUAAGGAGCUGUUCUUCCAUUUUCUCUACCUUUUGGACGAUGGGGACAUUGUUUCAGCGCGAGAUGGUCCACUCAACUUUACACAGUGAUAUCAUCUCCACCCCAACUUUUUAUCUAAAUUCUCUCCGUGCUCAAUCCCAAUAUUUCGUAGCCAAAAGAAACUCUCUAAUUCGAGCACCAGGGAAAAAAACUGCCAUAAUCCUCUCAAAUAUAAGGCUCUCGUUUUCCCGAGAAAAUUGUAGUUUCCAUGAGAAGUGUGGUCGUAGCUCCAUCUUCAUCGUGUUUGUAAGGCCUCUCCUGGCUUCUCUCUCAAGACCCAAUUCUCUAUCCACAAUCACCUCCGAUCCUUGCGCGCAUCUCUCCCACUCCCACCAUCAUCAUUGCCAUCACCGUCGUCUUCCUCUCAAACCAAGCCACCCUGGCUUCACCACUCUGACAUGGCCGCCUGUGUCAACGACACGCCAAGAACAGAGAAUCGCAAAUUUCCCCGCAACCCAUGCUUAGGCGAGCGCGGAUACAGCCUCAAGUUCGCGAAUUUGUUCCGGCCCAAAAUUUCUAGCCCCCUUUCGAGCGUACCCGUUUUGCAUAACUGAGGAAAGACCACGCACAUCAGGAAGGUCGUCAACGACUUAGACGAAGACAAACAAGACGUGCGGCUCUGGAUGCGAGAAGAGGCCCGCUCGGAUGUUUCUCAUGAGCCCAUACUGUCCAACUACUAUGAAAGCUCAAUACUUUCUUAGGAUUCGCUCGAGAGCGCGUUGGCUAGUCAUUUGUCGAUCAAGCUAAGCAAUUCGAGCCUUCCCAGGGGGACUCUAUGCGAGCUAUUUCAUGGGGUGCUCGCAGAAGAUCAAAAAAUUGUCAAAUCUGUGAAGGAAGAUUUGAGAGCAGUGCGCAAGAGAGACCCUGCUUGCGUGAGCUAUGUGUCACACCCAAAAACCAUCAUGAAUGGGGAUGAUACGACCCUCCUUCCACUCAAAGGACGCAGCCUCAAAGCUCCCAAAAUCCAACCACAUCCAUAUCUAUCUUGUACCUAUUCAUCGUUAGUCAAGGAACCUGAAAAAGAUUAGAAAAUAGAGAGAUGAGCAACCACAGCUCAUUGAGUAGUGCAUUUCUUUUAAGCGGAUCAAGCACCCACUAUGCAUAUUUACAAAACCAAACUACAACUCUUUUAACUCAAAUCCAGGAUAUAACAAACAUACAAUAAAAUAAUAAGUACAUACGCUUCAACACAACUAUAUUUAUAAUAGAAAUAAUCAUUUCACAAUAAUAUCAAAAUAAACAUCAAUGAUCUAAUUCAUUGAUCAAUCUCAUUAAUUCACACACCAAUGGUCUAUUCCAUUAGUUAAUCUCAUACCACAUAUUAAUGGUCUAAUGAAAUUAUAUGUCGAUGGUCCAUUCCAACGACUAAUCUCAAAUUACACGUUGAUAGCCCAUUCUAUCGACCAAACUCAUAUCACAUGUCAAUGGUCUACUCCAUUGACCAAUCCGUUGCUCAAUAUCAAACCAUGGUCACGAUACAACACCUGGUGACGAGGCGACCAAGAUUCCCCCUUUAGCAAGGUCUCCACCUAUUAUUAGCCAGUGACUCUGUGACAUCCUGGAUUUUCGUUUUUAUUUUCUACUAAAUAAAUCGGGCAUUUCAUCGACGCGCCUAUAGGGCUGUUCUCAGAACCGAUCACUCUUGAGAUAACUAGACUAUGUGGGGGAAGCCAUUAGGGAAUUUUAAGGCAAUAGACUUGAGAAUUUAACUAAGAAUCGACUUCUCAACCGUGCUCAUAUUUAAAGGCCGUUAUAGUAUAGUUAAAAAUUGAUUUGAGAUCAGAGAUAGGUCUGUUCGACUAAGAUGUGUGGCUAAUCAUGGGUGACACCACUCAAUUGGAAAAUUCUCAUCAACCGGCCUUAGAUUGAUUCUUCCGUCGUUUUGGUACUUUGUGUCUGUAUUUGAAUCAUCGAGAUUUUCACGAUAACCAAGAGUCACCAGUGAGUCGAGUGGGUUCAUUGUGGUUCAAAGAAAAUUGACCACGGGUCAUUUGCACUAAAAAUUUCUGAAAGUUAACCAGUAGCCUAGGUCACGCUAAAAACGCACCAAGUUAAAAUUUACUAUGAACUCAAUUCCGAUUUCAUAAAUUGAAGAUCCUAUCAUAUCACAAUAAAUUCUAAGAGUGUCAACUCAGUCUUAGAAGAUUUUUCUGAAACCCUAAACUUUUUGGGAAAAAGUCAACAUAUGACCGUUUUUGUGCAGAAAGAGCCAAUGAUCAUUUUUUAUUUCAAAUUUGGGAAGCAUGAUGGAUGUAUGGGUGGGGAAAAAUAUUGAGAUGACCGAUGGUAGGUGGAUUGAAUUGUAUGAGAGCCAAUUGAGAGUGACUCAAGAGAGAAUUGAUGUCCAAUUGAAGCCAUCCUCUCCCAAAUUCGUAACUCCCCCCAUCCACCACCAUUUUGGACCAUUUCAUAAGUUGUUGGGUAGGCAUUGGUGGCUCAAUAGCAGCCAAGGAUCCAUGCAUGGCCAAGAAAGGUCAAGGGGAACAAACCCUUGGAAAAUUUGGCUUGGUGGAGCCCUUGUUCCCCCUUAUCUCUAUCCUCUCCCCCUCUCUCUUACUUAGCCGGCCAAACCCUCACCACCUCCUCUCCAUUUUUGAAAAAUCCUCAAGCCAGCAAGAAGCUAGCGGAAGGAGCAUGCCGUCCACCAUCGCAUGCCCAUGCCGCCGUGGCCAUUCACGCACGCUGCCUUGCCGCUCGCUGCCCUGCACCGGCCCGUUGCUGCUCCGCCUCCACCGUGUGACUCACGCCGUCGUAGCCCCUUAUCGUGUGUCCCAGGAGUCCCUCCAAGCAACCCAAGCCACCACCGAAGCUCCCAUCACCGUCGGUUUGCCCCGAUUUGACCUCCUCAACUCAUUUUGAUCCAUUGCCGCCCCAAACCAACCUUAUUUCCUUAUGUUUUGCAACUAGAACAAAGAGUUGAGAAGUGGGUUUCACAGCCACUUCUAGGCCUGUUUUGAGGUGGUUAUAGGUCCCGAACCCUAGGCUCGCUUUGGAGUAAAACGUCCCCUGCGAUAUUCCUGACGUUUCAAUCCAAGCGGAUCAUUAAACGGGUGAGUUUUGCUCACUAAUCUCUCAUUAGUAUGCUAAUGAUGCUUAGGGGUUGAUUAGAUUUAAUUAAGUGCAAUUAGGUGAAUAGAUUAGAUUAUAAUAGUUAAAUUAGGGAUUUACCUAUGUAUGUUAGGCAAAUGGUUAGUGCAAUUAGCAAGUAAACAAGCCCUAUUAUUUAUUGAACGAACCUUGAAAACUUUCCGAGUCUGUCUUGGCUUCCAAUUAGGCAUUACGGGCCUAAAUUGGAUUUAUUGUAUUUAUUUAAUAAUUUUCGUAUUUAUUUAUUUAUUUAUUUAUGUUUUGGAAAUUAAGCAAGUAUAGCCAACGACCAGAAUUUUAUGUUGAUUAUCGUGGUGCAGUCUGUUUAUUUGUUGAGCGUUAAUUUGUGCUGAAUUAAAUUAAAUAUAAUUUUGGGAUUUUAAUUCUAAGUUAUUCAAUUUCAGUAAUUGAUUGGAAAUGACCGAGCGUGAGUCUAUAGCGCCAAUAAUGUUUUGAUGAGCUAUAUAUAAAGUGAUAGAAAAGAAAAUCGUAUCACGUGGCUCGGAGACCAAGAAGGUCAUCCUGGAGAAUGCACGUGACUCACAGAUUAAAUAAAUCACCUAUGGAUAGCAUGUGGCUUGGUGAUUAGUACCUCGCCUUGGCGUAUAUGUCGCCUUAGAGAAUGCACGUGGCUCAGUGAUUUGGUAUAUCACCUUAGAGAAUGCACGGGGCUUGGUGAUUAGACAUGUUGCAUUUGAGAUUGCACGUGGCUCGGUGACGAAGCAUGUCACCUUAAAGAAUGCAAAUGGCUCGGUGACUAGAUAUAUACCAUCUGGGAAAAUAAUUAGAAUGAAUUGAAAUGACCGAGAAAUGGUCUGAAUGACAUGUAAUCGACUAGGUUGAUUGAUCAAUGAUUCGAUAAUGUGAUGUGAUAGUGUAUAUUUAAUAUAUAUACCAACUUACAGGAAUGGAACUGAGACCAAGGUAAAUCCUUUGACUCGUGUUAUGCUUAGGCAGCCUCUAGAGUGUAUUAACGUCCUAAUCGGGUCUUAAGGGAUAUAACUCAUUGAGACGUAGUCUCAUCUCGGUUGUGGGAUCACAUUUCAGGUCCCUAGAUGGCAACAUCUCCACCUCAUUGUCCUCCUAUGCAUUUCGGUAUACUCGAAGAAGUUACCAAGAUAGAAACCCACUUUCCGAUACACCUUCAUCCGGAAGGACUAGAGUACGUCCUGGUUAAGUUGACCAUUUGGGUUGAAGUGGGAAAAGAUGACCUGAGGCUCUAUGAAUAUCGGUCGUGGUACCAUGAGUAUCAUGAUGGGCAAAGGGAUGGUCCCAUGCCAGAAGGUGAUGUACCUCUAUUCGUUUUAGAGGAAGCAUUCAGGGAAGGAACGGUAGAUCCCGAGGAUGGAGCAGUGACUGAUGCUAAAGAUCCCAAGCUCGAGAGUGACACCGACUCUCCCAAGCAAUCAGCAGUAGACUGCAGUUGGAGUAUGCCAGAAGAAGAGGUUGAUCAAGAAGAGGUGUGCCCAUAAGAGAAUUGGGAGGAGGAACUCGAGGAGGAGGAACUAGAGGAGGAAGAACCUGAAGAGGAGGACCCUGGUGAGAAUUCGGAGGAGUCUGAAGAAGAUCUUGAGGAUGACCGAAGUACGACUCGAAUAAGGACUGAGAUCCUAUCCUAUUUUGCAAACCUUGAGUUGUGAACCUAUGGGUGAUAGACUAAACUUUUGUGAAUAGUAUUGUGAUAUAUACUAUGUAGUUUGUAUUGUAUAAAAGUGUGGUUACGAUUUUUCAUAUUCAAAAAAUAUAGCCCUACUAUUCUAUUCCAUUGUUUUAUUGUUUGGGAAUUAAUUAUAUGCUUCCGCAUGCAUAUUAAAAUGAAUGGGUCGACGAUGCGUUUUGGGACGUCGCUAUUAUAUCAACCAGAUGAGGGAUGGGUGCGUGCCCAAGGAUUGAGGCGUGAUAGACUAAGCCCACAAGGAUAUCAUAAACUAGUAUACGUAUACCCACAAGCCCCUCACUAGACUCACAAUGAUAUUGAGCAUUAAUAUUAAUCCAGAACAACACCAUCCACAAUUCACAAAACCGAAUCCAUAAAUCAUUUUAUAUAUCACCAAAAGAUUUCGUAACUCAAUUCAUCCGCCAAAACCAUUUUUCAUAAAACAUUCUCAAAUAAUUUCAAGAUUCGCCUCAUAAAUCAAUUUUACAAACCAAAUCAAAUCAAACGUAUUUUAACUUAUCACAAAUUGAUAUCUAUAUAACAUCCCAUAAACCAUCUCAAAGUCGAUCUUUUCGUUAGAAAUGUUUCACAAAUCUAAAACAUGUAAUAUUUCUCAACUUUGUUCAUCAAACAAAGUAUAUAUUUCCACCAAAAAGUUGUCACACUAUUAUCAAAUACGAAAACAUAGUAAUUGCCCAAUCCAAAUUUUAUGCAAUAAAUAUGCUUCUUCAUAUCUCGUAAAAUGUCAAAUAUUUAUCAUUUUGAAGACAUGAGUUUCUAAAUUCUUAGAAGAGAUAGCACCACUCACUUGGGCAAGCCGAAAAUCAACAUACGUGGUUACUUGAGCCAACGCACUCGUAUUCCUAUUAAUAAAUCGAAAACGAUAUUAAAACCAGGUAAUAUGCUAUUCUCCAACUAAUGACUCAACUAAAUUAUGCUUAUUCAUCAAUAAAAUGACACCUACACACUAAUAAAUCGCUCAACCAAAACAAUUACUCAAGGCUGUCCAUAGUGAAGCUUGAGCACAAAACUUCAUCAUGCUAUAAUUUUUUCUACCGAACUCCGUUUCAAGCGUACUUAUAGUCGAUGGAAAGCCCAUCCAACAUACUACAAGAACCCCAAUUUAGCGAACCCAAAAUCAAGCCAAAAAUCAACAAAAUGUGGCCCUAAAGUCCUGGUCGCGCACUGUUCAUCACACACGAUAAAUUUCAAAUUUUUGUUUCGGGCAAACCGUAAGCUCAAAUCACGAUAUGUAAAAUCCUACAGCUCCACAACAUCCCAAGCUAUCAUUUUUACAAAAAUAUGCAGCUCAACAACUCAAAAAUCAUACUUCACUGCUCGAUGUUUUCAAAAUUCCAAAUUUCAAGCCCUAGGUCCGAAAUUACUCCGAUUAAACGAACGGGUGGCACAAGCACUUACCGGGCAUUGCGUUACAUAGUUGAGGUGGCUUGGUGAGGCUCCCAUGAUGAAAACGCACGAAGCCCAUUUUCUUCUUUUCUCUUCUUCUUCUUCUUCUUCCUCUCUUUAUUUUUCUUUCUUUGUGCCCGAGCUCUCUACCAUCCCUCUCUCUCCCCUUCUUUCCUUCUCUCUUUCCCUUUUAUCUCUCCUUUUUCUUUUUUCCUUUCUUUCUUUAUUUCUUUAUUUUCUUCCUCUCUCUCUUUCUCCUCUUUUCCCCCUCUCCUGAAAACUCUCCAUUCCUCUCUCUACUAAAGCUUCUACCUUUUUCCUCUACCUUUGACUUUUCAACCCCUUAUUUUACUUUCUCCCCUCCUUUAAAAAAAAAAUCCGUCCUCGAAAUUUAGACAUACAUUAAUUACCAAACAAAUGAGGAUAUUUGUGUCUUGCCUCCUCCUCGAGCUCCCAAGUGGCCCCUCUCCCGAUAUGAUUUUGCUAUUGAAUCUUCAUAUAUGUCAUCAAUAUUUUCUUGUUGAUGAUGUGUCCUAUCACUAACCUAAAAUUCAUGAAUCACUCCAUUUGCUUUGAUCAUGCUACACUUUGUUGUUUUUGUCAUUAGGUGUUACUCCACAAUUUUUCAUCACUCCAAAUAUGUUUUGUUACCUCAUUAUCAAGCCAUUCAUUGCCAACCCAAGAAUUGUAACAUUCCAAGUGGAGACACAUUUGUCCUCCAUUAACUAGAAAACAUCAAAUGCAUUUUAAACACACCGACACUUCAUGUACAUGUCCAUCAAGGUUGUACCCAGAAUAACAUCAACUUUAGAACAAAUCUUCCUAAUUUUCGCAUUAACCAUUUUCCUUGUUCAAGGGCAACCAAGUUCACCAAAAUGACUUCAUCGUACUACAUCUCAAUAUAUGUGACUAAUUCCAUAUGCCUCAAUGAUGGCAAUCCAGGUCCAAAAACUUAGAUAGGGAUUGAAAUAAAUAUGGAAUUUGCAGUAAGAAGUGACUGACGACUUCCAUACACUUUCAUUAUUUCUAAAGAAACGAAAGGGAUCGCCCCAAUCCCUUUUUUUUUAUGAACUAUAAAAAUAGUUUCUUCAAGUCACUUUGUCUUUAGCAAAUACGCAUGAACCUCUCAACCCAAUCGUCAUACCUAUCAAUAGUAGGAUUUUUGUCAAUAUAAUUGAAUUUGGAGCAAUUCCCCCCCCCCUUUUUUUAUUUCUUCAUCGCAAAAGAACAAACCACAUCUUUCACAUCAGCAAAAUCUACUUUUAAGCUCUCUCCUUAAAAGAAUUUUCUGCACUACCGAAAAAUGUAGCAUUUUUUUUUUUUGUCAAGAGACAUGAACCUGGAAGUGACACCUCCACCAAUGUAACAAUUUGAAUUGCCACAACUAACAAUCUUGUUUUGAAAAUAGGUUGGUUGAACUUGAGAAUUCACUCGUUGAAAUUGAAUAAGUAAACAAAAUCGAAUUGGAUUCAGUUGUGUGGGUCUUUUGUCGAAAUUAAAUAGCCUUCCUUUUGUUCUUUUUAAUUAUUAUUUCUCGUUAUGGAAUAAUUUUUAGAUGUAUUACCGCAUCUCGAAUUACAAAAACGAAACUAUUCAUUUUGAACAGCAAAGAGCGAUUAAUCAAAUCCGACAACGGGUUUUCCAACAAGCAGGACUAAAUUCCUAUACUUCUGCUCUCAGCCAUGAGUCAUAUCUCCCUGGUUUAUCUAGAGGCAGCCCCGAUUCCUCAUAAGGUAUUUCUUGGCAAAAAGUAGCAUAGUGCCCAAUACAACCACAGGAAUAACAAAAAUGUGGUAGCCUUUCAUACUUGAAAUCUAACCAUCAUUUCUUACCACCUAUAUCCACUACAGUACCUAUUUUAAGAGGGCUCAAGAGGUUCAGGUUGACUUUUGCCCUGCUGAUUUUGCGUAAACUGUUAUUUCUGGCCUCUAUUUUCACCUCCUCCACUCUUCCCAUUUUAGAAGCUAUAUUUCGAAUAGAGUCCUCAUUCAUUCUAGCUCUAGGUAACCCCAAGAUAUAGUGUGUGUGUGAACUAGUAACAAUGUUCAGGCACAUUAGGAUCUCCUUCCAACAACAUAAGAAGAUUACUAGCGAAAGACCAUGGACCCGUCUUUAAAACUCUUCUUUUAUCCUCUACUAAUUCAAACAGAAAGGAGAAUAAACCUUGUUCUAUACUCUCGCAUUUGACAAUCUCAACUUUCCAUGCCUUCUUCAUACCACAAAAUGCUUGGAAAUUGACAUUCGGUUUGGCAUAAAGCUUUCCAUAGAGGAUGAGUUCACUUUCCUGUUUUUCUUUCUCAAGAAUAGUUGGCUCGAGCUUCAGCACAUCGUCUUCUAACCAGAGGUCUCCCAUUUUCCUACAUAAUGCCGCCAGUCUGAUUUGGUUUUCUUGGGAUCUCUCCAUUUUCGAACAAGUUCCUCAAAAUUUUGGCUGUUCAAAGGUGUAAUUAAUGUCAUUCAUGAGAUAAUUGAACCAAUUUAAAUCAAUUGAGAUUUGGUAAAAGGUUCAUUGAUUUAAUUAGGGAAAAUUUAGAUUAUUUCUUUUCAACUUAGCCCAUUUCUCUUUUGUUUGAACAAGAAUUCUUUACGAUUAGGCCCUCCAGAAAUCUAAUUUCACACAUUUUUGGCCAAAGAUUGAUCGAAUCGGCAAAACUGAUUCAUAUUGGUCCAACCGACCUCCGGCAGUUUUAGCCAUUUUUCGACCAAGUUUUGACAACUGGCAACUACCAAGCCAGCCUUCUGGCCAACCACCCCAUACUCUUUUUACAUGAAAUUACACAAAUCCCCUAGUGAACUUACAAAAUUUCCCUCGAGAUAGGAAAUUACUAGAAUUCCCCCCGAUUAAUGACUAAUCCAAAAAAUCAAUCUUGACCUUUUGUUGGCAUUUUCAUCCUAGCCAUCCAAUAUGAAAUAUGCUUAAUUUCCCUCUAAUCAUAAGAAAGCUUAGCCAUUAAGCAUUUUUUUAUCUCAUUUUGGGAGAUCAAGCCUUACAUCAAACCAAGGACUAGGAUCUCAUCUUAGGAGGAGUAUAUAUGCAUUUUUUCCUCUGAAAGUUGGGGCUCUUAUUUUCAUAACCAAAUUCUCUCUCUAGCCUUCUCUCUUUCUCUUCAUUUUUCUCUCCCUCUCUUUAAGGUUGGCCAAGCAAAGAAAGGUGGAAAGAAAAAGUGAAGUUAAGAGAACAUUAGAAACAUAGUAAACUAAAUCAAAUCACAUUUUACCACAUUAAUUCUAAAUUUCCCUUUAGUGCGCUUCUUUAGAAUAUGUUUGUAUAUUUCAAUUUGAAAAUAUGCUUGUUUGGGAUAAUCACUACAAUGAGGAUAGCUCAUUAUGGUCAAUCUUCUAAAUUUCCCUCCCAAUUUUUUUGUACAAUUAGCUCUUCCUGGCAAUUGAACAAUACAAACACAUUCUAAAGAAAUGCACCAAAGGGAAAUUUUGAGUUAACAUUGUAAAAUGUGAUUUGAUUUAGUUUACUAUGUUUCUAAUGUUCUCUUAACUUUGUAACUCUCCAACUUUUCAUAGCAAUUAAGAGCUAAAUUUUGUAAAAUCGGAAAGAAAUAUUUAUACCUCAAAAUAAAAGAUCCCACAAAGAAAGUUGGGCUGGAGAUUAAGAAAACAUGUGAGGUGAGGAUGAAAGAGAAAAGGAAAAAUUUCUAAUUUUCCUUUCAAGUGCAACUCAAUGAACAACCUUCCUUUUUUCCUAUUUCAACAAAUCUAAUAGUUAGUUCCAAUUGGAGUGAAAGUGAUAGUUGAAAUUAAACUGCUAUCUUCAAGCAAUGACGGCAUUGUUAUGCUAACAUUGCUCUUUUCUUAAAGUUAGUUUUCCUUUAUCAGAAAUUGAAGAAUUUUUUUUUCUGAUGAGGUCUCUUAUCGGUGGGUACAUACAUGGAAAUUAUCCAUAUUAACUCAAAGUAGAUUUUCAUUUAGGUGAUUUUCAUGCUUAGACGUGACGAUUGGGCAAGAGAGGACACGAUGGUCGAGGCUUGGACCUAAGCAAGCACAUGUCAAGAAAGAUUUUGGGCCCAAGCCUUCUUGUGGAGAGAUUUCCUUGCCUAGAUCCACCCAAAUGAGAUUUUUUUUUUUGCGCCCUUUUGUGUGUGUAAAAUAUGGAUAAUAUUUUAAUAAAAAAUGUGAUUUAAGUUAUUCUAAGAAAUAUGUUGUAUUAAGGUUAACAAUACAACCUAGAGAGGGGAUUGAAUAGGUUGAAUGAAACUACUAUAAACUUUCAUGAACUUUGUCACAAGAAUUAACAAGCUAGAUGAAUGAGACUUUCAUCAGCUUGUGUGAAUAUUAUGAUCAAACAUAGCAAAUAAUGAGCAAUAAGAGUAGAUCACAAAGCAAUUUAUAGUAAUUUGACUUCAUUCCCAAGUCUACAUCCAUUCUCUAGCUAAUAGCUUUAAUAUCAGUCGAAUUCCACUAGUAAUCAACCGUGCAAGUUACAAUCGCGAAGUGUAGUUCCUUUCACACAAUAGAUCACACUAUCAGGACCAACUAUUGCACUUCCACUAGUAUGCAUGAUUAUCUCCUAUUACAAUGCUACACCUUUAUAAAGAGAUAUCAAAUGAAGAACAAAGAAAAUUUCUUGCUCAAAGUACAACGACAAUAUAUUUCAUGUCCAACCUCUUCCAAAUAAUGAGCAAUAAGAGUAGAUCACAAAGCAAUUUAUAGUAAUUUGACUUCAUUCCCAAGUCUACAUCCAUUCUCUAGCUAAUAGCUUUAAUAUCAGUUGAAUUCCACUAGUAAUCAACCGUGCAAGUUACAAUCGCAAAGUGUAGUUCCUUUCACACAAUAGAUCACACUAUCAGGACCAACUAUUGCACUUCCACUAGUAUGCAUGAUUGUCUCCUAUUACAAUGAAGAACAAAGAAAAUUUCUUGCUCAAAGUACAACGACAAUAUAUUUCAUGUCCAACCUCUUCCAAGUUUUGCCAAGUCUUCAAUCUAACCGUUGAAGACCUUUAAGGAGUCCCAGCUAGCUAUUUGAGAGUAGGCAGAGACCUUUGCUAAAAUCAGGAUUGCCCAUACAAUCGUAUCCUUUGACAUUAACAAAUUUCUUAAGAUGAAGUCUGUUGUAGUUGUCACUUCACUAAUGUAGAUACUUGUCAAUUGCUAUUAUGAUAUCUUUCCUAGUUCUUCAGUUAUGAAACCCAAUCUUGCAACAGGUCUUUUUUGUGCUAUCAAUGGUCAGCUUCCUUUGCAUGUCAAUACUUAAUUGUGAUGUUGUUGAUGACUUGGUUAUCGACAUACAUCUUAUAUGGAACCAUCCUUUUUUGGCACAAGUAGGCUGGAACAAAAUAAGGACUCAUACUUCCCAUACAUAUCCUCCUGUAGUAAGCUCAUCGACUUGUUGCUACAACUCCUUUAUUUCUUCUGGAUUGCAUUGAUAAGCAGCUUUGCUUGGUAGAGAAGCACCUGGGAUAGAAUCAAUUUGAUGCUCAACACCUCUUAAGGGAGGUAAUCCAUGUGGUAAUUCCAAUGGAGAAGCAUCUUUAAACUCAUCGAUCAAGGAUUGCAUUUAGGGAUGUAGGGUCCUCUCUAUUUCACUUUUUUCGAUUUUCAACCAUAAGCAAAGUAAAAACAUUCUUUUACUUGCUAAUGGCCAUCUCCACACAUGUCUCACUCUAGAAAAAAAUUUCUUUGCUAGUGUUUCCCUCCCUCAGUUGAUUUUUGUAGAUCAUAAGUGGGCUUAAAGGUGCAAAUAUGAUGAGUUUUUCCUCUUUCUAGAACGAGUAAGUGUUUUUCUAUCCAUCAUAAACAAAUUUCCUAUCAAAUUGCCAAGGCCUUCUCAAUACAGAGAUAUGAUUCCAUCGGAAUAAUAUCACAUAGAACAUGAUCUUUUAAUAGACUCCUAAUUGAAAAAGAAAAUCCAAGCUUGUUUAAGUACCUGAAGAUUGUCCCCUUUUUUUUAAUCCACUUCAAUUAAUAUGUUCAAAAGUGUUUGAAAGUAGGAAGAUCCAAUGUGUUGAUUGGAGUUGUCGAUACUAUGUUGGUGUAGCUUCCACCAUCGAUGAUCAAGUUAGACACCUUCCCAUUACUCAGGUUUAAAAACUAUUCUCAUUUUGCUCGUUCGCUUUUGGAGCGAUUAUAGAGUCUCCUGAUAAUGAGCAAUUCUCCUUCGUUUGGCUGCUCUCGAUGAUUACAUCUUUCUCCUUAGAUUCGACUCAAUUUGUUCAUUGCCUUGCAUAGCUUCUUGAAGCCCCAUGUCAAUCUACUUGAUUUCUUAGAGAGUCACAACUCUUCAAUUAGGACAAUUGGCUUUGAAGUGUCCAUAGCCAUUAAAGUGCUUUUGAAUACUACUAUUAUUGGUCUUUUUGGGGAGUUCUUUGACAGGCUCUGUGGCUUUCUCCUUGCCUUAAUUUUUCAUCUAUGUAUUCUUGGCCUUGCUAGAAGGAAAAUGUCCCCCUUGUUGAUGAUUUAGUUGACAAACUUUUGCCACACUUUAGUUGUUUCUUCACUUUCAUGGCUGGCUUACAAACAUUUUCGAAAGACCAAUAUGGUUGAAAUUCAACCAAAUCGAUAAAUGUCUCUUUUCAAGCCACAAGGAGUUGUUCAAACUCUCUAAUGUAUUCUUCAAUGCUCAUUAUGCACUGCUAGAGGGAAUUUAUUUUAAGGAAAAGGUCUUGUUUGUAGUUGUCAUAACAAAACCUCUUCUUCAUAAGUUUCUUGAGUGUUUCCCAAGAUUUGAUUCGGCUUUUUCCAUCAUGGACUCUCUAGUUCUUAAAGUUUUCGCACCAAAAUGAAGCAUAUAUAUUCAACUUGAGAACAACAAUUUCGUGACACUUCAUUUGAUUAUUUGUGGAAGUCAAAUACUUAUUAGAUAUCAUGAAGUCAACUGACAAUAUCAUCUAGGUUUUCUAGCACCUCCACUUUUAUUUCAUGAUCAUUGUCCUCGAGCCUUCCUCUUUUACUCUAAACUUGGUAAUCCAAAUCAUUAGAGUUGCUUCCAGUGUCCUUGAAUUUAUUGCCUGAGUUUUGAUGGGGAUGUGGAUUGACAUGGUGUGGUCGCUUAGUAGGGUGAAUUGAUGGUGCCUCCUACCUCGCUCAAUUCUCCAAGAGAUUGAGGACAUGCCUCAUUUGUUGUUGAAGCUCCAAUAUGGCAUGGUCAUGCCUUUCAUUAUGUACUUGUUCCAAAAUCAAACCUUUUGAAACUGGAUCACCCUUUUUUUAAGGAAAAAAAAUAUGAACCAGGGGAAUAGAAAGAAUCAUUCAAAAUGGGUUCAACUUUGAACCCUAAUGCGAGAUUGAUGUAGUUGCGAGGGCAUGCAAUUGAUGUUUUGAAUGAUGUCGAGAUAAUCAAUGACAUAUAAAAGUGUAUAGGGAUGUAAAUGCAAAUGCAGGAUAGAAGAUUUUGAUUCAUCAAUGUUGAAAAGAAUUGCUCUUGCAAAAGUAGACUUUUCAAUACUAUUACAUUCCUUAGAAGCAUUGGUACCAAAAAAAUCUUAAACAUAUUAUAUUGGUACCAAUUCUGUUAUAAACCUUUGGCAUUUAUGUUAAUGGAGUCCAUUGAUCAAUUUUUCUAGAAAAUCGCUAACAUGAAUGCCAAUUGUUUUAUAUGAUACGAUCAACACUGACAUGGACAAUUUUACAAUCUUUAAUAUUUUUUCUACUUAUAUAUAUAUAUAUAUAUAUAUAUAUAUAUAUAUAUUACCUUCAUUAUGGUUGGCAAGGGUCACCAGCAACUAUCACUGGCCACCGAGCGAGGGCCUACAAGCCCUUACCAACCGCUGGUGAGUGCUAAGACCGUCGCCCAAGCCACAAGUGUCAAGCCCUUGCCAAAUCUCUGUCAAGUCAAUCAACAUUGUCGCUUACUUGAUUGUGCCAUCGGUUUCAUCUCUACGAUUACAACCCAAAGAAGAAAUCAUUGUGAUUCAUAGCCGAGUGAAAACAAUAGAUGGAAUUUGGCGGCAAGGAAGCAGUAAAGGCAACUCCUGAACCAACAAAAGUAGGCCCAUUUCAUGGUCGACAAGGGUCACUUUCAUCGGAUUUGGCGAGGGCUCAACCCUUAAAGCUUGGGUGAGGGCUAGUAGACCACAAAGAAUAAGAGAACAAAUAAAAAUAAAAAUAAAAAUAAUAAAAAUUUGUAAAAUUUAUCUACGCCAGCGUCAAUUAUGCUAUAUAAGAUGGCUGAUAUCCAUGUCAAUAAUUUUUCGAUCACAAUUCACCAAUGGACUCAAUUUGUACAGAUGUAAUAUAUUUAAGAUUAAAUUUAUAUAAUUAAAAGGUUUUAGGACUGCUUUGGUAUCAACGCAAUAGGUUUAUUAUGAUUUUUUUAUACUUAGGUUUCAAAGGCUGUAAAGAAAUUUGGGAAAGCAUUUUUUUUUUUUUUUUUGAUCUUGUAUUUACGGAAGAUAAGAGGUAGCGUGGGAAUUAUGUGUUUUUGGAUCACAACAUAAUCGUUGUUAACUAAAUCUAACAUGACUAACAUCAAUGCUGAAGCAAUCCUAUAAUCUAAUUCUUAAUGGUGAUCGAACUUAAAACAUAGGAAGUAAGAACGCUCCUUGUUCGUGCACAACCAAGAAAAAGCGGAAACAUAAAAAAGAUUUGAUCUUGAUUGUGGGUCUUGUUGAAUGGCCGAGGCAUGUUAAUGUCUUUGGCUGUUAGGAAAAACCUUCGCAGUCUUUUCCAAAGUUUUCAGUGACGAGAGAACUUUCCAUCCAAUUAUAUCAUGGCUUUUCUCCCUUUUUCUCGCUUUCCUUUCGUGGAAAAAAGAACAUAAAUCUUCGGAGCACUGAUGGUCCACUUGGAGGUUUGAGCGUCGAUUCAUGUUCACGUGUUGUUUUGUAAUUCGUGUCAAUUUAUAUCCAUCUAAUAAAAUAUAUUGAUUUGGAUUCCACACGCUAAAUGCAAGAAUUAUGAUGAAAUCGAGUUAAUUCAUAUUAAUUAGUGCCCUCAUAUAGGAUUUAGACAUGUCAUAUCAUGUUACAUUCAAUUUUUACUUUGUAAGUAGUAUUAAUCUCCUUUUUGAAAAUGGGUCUCCAAUAUUGCCAAUCUUACUUGGAUGCAAAUUCCUCCCUCCCCCUUUUUUCCAUUGAUAUCAUACUUAGUUAAACAAUAAAAGGAAUGUACAGAGUUCAAAGUAUCACAUUUACGAGAUGCUGCGAUUGUCGUCUUUCGGUCUCUCUCUUCCGCCAUGGAAGGAUUCCCCCUCACCCGGGUGAGCUAUUUCCCUAUCCCCAUGGUGAUAGUCAGCACACAAAAUCCCUUCCCCUAAAACCCUAACCCAAAGCUCUUCGUCACUUCGCCUCUUCCACCCACGAAUUUCAAGGCGCAUUAACCCACAUUAAAACAAACAUCUAGGUAUCUUAGGUACAAAACCCUAGAAACCCAACACCACUUCAUUACUACAUAAUGUAAUUGUCGUAGCCUCUGGUAAGAGCUCCCUUCAUUCCCAGAAACUUGAAGAUUCGAUGUUCCCCUAUCACGCCAGGUGGAAGGACCCAUAUCCCAGCAGCUCUUGGAAACCUCUCUAAUAAGAACCCCUCUCCUAGUCACAGAAGGUGGAAGGGACCCUUGGAACUUUGUUGGUAACGUUGCAAUGAAUGAGGGAGACGAGAAGGAGAGAUGGCUGGCAGCCGUCUGUAGAAGUUUGGGAGAGUUGUGGUCUGAGGAGGAUGUGCUCACAAUUAAGGGAGAUGUACCUGUAGAAAAAAAAAACGUGAGUGUGAAUUAACCCUUAUAGGCAAACUUUAUUCCAAGCCAAAUGUGAAUCUACAGGCUUUCUUCAGCACAAUGGAAAGGGCGUGGAAAACAGAAUUGGUGUCGUGUGAUCUAAUAGGACUAGGGCUAUUUUCAUUCACUUUUAUGACUAUAGCUGGUAAGAACAGAUCUCUGACUUCAGGCCCUUGGUCAUUCUCUAGUAAUUUGCUAAUUUUACAGCAAUGUGAUCUUGAUACCUCGGACCAUUCUUAUGUUUUCACACAUUGUGACUUCUGGGUACAUAUCUUGGGGCUCCCGAGAGAUAGAAUUACUAAAAAAAAAACAGUCUCUGAUAUUGCUACAAAAAUAGGAAAAGUGCAGGAAGUGAAGCUAGAAAAUAAAAGCUUUGGUAAGUCAAAUGUGGGGAAAGCAAAGGUGAACCUAGACCUAUCUAAACUCCUAAGGUUUGGGACUAUUGUUGACCUGGACAACAAGAAAAUUUGGGUGGAUUUUAAAUUUGAAAGCCUUCCACACUUUUGCUACUAUUGUGAACGUAUAGGGCACUAUACGACCUACUGCAAGAUUAUCCCUUACGAACAACAUGGGCUAGAAGAAAAUAGAGUGGGCAAGUUUGGUAGCUAGAUUAAAAUAGAAGCAAGAGAAAACAGCCCUUACUAGAAAUUUUUCAAUGGAGAGAUGACUCCAGAACUAGAAACUGAUGAAAUAAUACCAAAAACUCCAAUUCAGAGCAACAUAGAGGCCACUUUUCAGCAAACAAAAUAGGAGAACAUAAACCCACUAGCUAUGGUCAUAGUGCCGGAGAAAAAUGCCCUAAAACAGAAGAGGGUCAACAGCUUGGACCCAGAUUUUCUUGGUGUUGAACUCACACAUCAGGAGAAACAUCUUAUGUUAAAUGAGGCAUCCAUUCCCAUGGCACCUGCUACAUUUCUAAAGAAAGGAAAGAGUGGGAAGAAAGCUCACACGGCAAAGAAAUUGAAACGAUUUAGCCCCUAUGAACAGCAAGGCUCCCUCUCUCAAUCCAUCAAUGAGGGGACCCUUCUAGACACACCGAUCAAAGAAGCGAAAGAAAUGGAGGAGUGGGCUUUGGUGGCUAGCCCUAAUAAGCUACCGGGGUUUAAAUGAAAAUUUUGAGCUGGAAUUGUCAAGAUUUGGGCUCUCCUCUGACUUUCCAGAACCUUAAAGCCCUAGUGGUGCAAGAAAAGCCUAGUUUAGUAUUUCUCAUGGAAACAAAAAAUAAGGAACUCGAAGUGGAAAGGGUAAAGAAGCGCUUGCAAUUUCAGCAUUUGAUGGUAGUUGACCCAAUCAGAAUCGUUGGGGGGUUGGCUUUGAUGUGGAACAAUAUCAUGGCGGUGGAACUUGUAUCAAGCUCGGGAGAGAUGCUCGGAGUAAAAUGUAAAGAGUUGAACAGCAAUAUCAAAAUGAGGGUUUCCUUUCUACAUGCCCCUACAAACUACCAGAAAAGACUCCAAUUAUGGAAGAAACUCAUAAUGAUUCAUGCGAGAAAUGAUCUACCCUGGAUAUGCAUUGGAGACUUCAAUAAAACUUUGUAUCAUUGGGAGAAAUAUGGUAAGAGGGAGACAGACUAUUAUCGAGUGGUGGCUUUCCGGGAACUGUUAAAUGAUUGUGCACUCAUGGACGUCGAAAGCAAAUGAUGCGCCUUUACUUGGGCAAAUAACCGAGAUGGGAAGAAGUUGGUUAAAAAGAGGUUAGAUCAGGUUCUCUGUAACAUAGAGUGGCGAGUUAGGUUCUUACAUGCAGAAGCCUAUGCUUUACCGGCCAUUGGCUCAAACCAUAGUCCCAUAUUAUUGUCAUUACUUCCGCCAUUGAUGAAAAGGAAAAAAGAAUUCAGAUUUGAAGCUUACUGGAUGGAGGAUGCUGAAUGUCGAGAGAUAGUACAGUCCGUGUGGAAAGAUCAAAGAAAUUCACUGUUGAAUUUGCCUAACAAACUAAAAGAAGUUGCUGCAACUUUAGCCAAGUGGAGCAAGGAGAAUUUUCUAAUGCAUUUAGAAGGAUAGAGGACCUCAAAAAAGAGAUAACCAGGAUAACUAAUGAAAAGGAAAGGGGAUUGAGAAAGGAAGAAACUCAGCAAAUAAAGAUGCAAAGUGAACAACUAUGGAGACAGGAAAAGAUGUAUUGGGGAAUGAGAUCGAGGAUUGAGUGGCUAAAAUAGGGAGAUAAAAACAUGAAGUUUUUUCACACUACAAAGGUGCAAAGAAGGCAACGAAAUAGAAUAACCAUGCUGAAACUUGAAGACCAAAACUAGUGCAGGGACCUAGAGCUAAUUAAAGAACACAUUGUGAACUUUUAUCAAGAUCUUAAUGGCACGGUUGGCCCAAGGAAUUUUCAGCCGGUGCUAGAUCAAUGCUCUUGCAUAGUAGGAGAUGAAAUGAAUGAAUCUUUAACAAGGCAAAUCACAAUGGAGGAAGUGAAGGCAAUAGUGUUUCAAUUGGGGGCCACUAAGGGCGCGCGUGAUAAAAUUUCUACUUCUCUAUUUCUCUAUUUCUUUGUUCCCUACAACAGGUUUGGAACAGAAAUUCAUUUGGUAACGCAAUUUGAUUUUUCUAUUUCUGAAACAAAUUUCUAUUCCAUAAAUAGAUUUGAAGAAGAAAUCAAAAGCUAAAAUUUUUAACUUCUCAAUUUCUGGCCAUAAAUCAAUUUAUGUUCCAAAAAUUUUGUCAUGCGCACCCUAAGGCCCCAAGUCCAAAUGGGUUUAAUUGAAAGUUUUUUCAAAAUCACUGGGAGAUAGUUCAAAGAGAAGUGCACAAAAUGGUUGAAGACUUCUUUGUGUCAGGUACUCUAGACCCCUCCAUUAACAAUACUCAUAUCACCCUUAUUCCAAAAGUGGUUAUCCCUAAAUCUAUAGCACAAUAUAGGCCCAUCAAUUUAUGUAAUUACAGCUAUAAGAUUAUCUCCAAAGUAAUGGCAAACAUGUUGAAACCAUGGUUGUCCGAUCUGAUUGAAAUGGAGCAAAGCGCCUUUAUCGGUGGACGACAAAUUCAAGAUAACAUAUUAAUUGUCCAAGAAGUGUUGCACCAACUCAAAAUCAGGGAAAGAAAAAGGAAGUUUUAGGCGUACUCAAAAUCAAUAUGCAAAAAGCAUACAAUUGUGUGGAAUGGGAUUUCUUGUGCGAGUGCAUGACUAAGAUGGGCUUCAGUGAUUGCUGGGUUUCUUUGGUCAAAACAUACAUUUCGACUGUCACAUUCAACAUCAAAGUCAAUGGACAACCUCUCUAACCUUUCAGACCGACUAGAGGCUUAAGGCAAGGGGACCCCCUCUCUCCCUACUUAUUCAUUAUUAUGACUAAUGUGCUAUCUCCGCUUAUACAUAGAGCACUAAGGGAUGGAAGUGUGAAAGGAAUUAAACUAAACAGAAGCUGUCCAACACUAACGCACCUAUUACUUGUGGAUGAUGCGAUAUUCUUUUUGGAUGGAAUAGUUAAGGAAUGCCAAAACUUGGCAAACCUUUUGAACCAAUAUUGUUACGCAUCAGGUCAAGCAAUCAACCUCAACAUUUCCGGCAUUUUUUUCAGCAAAAGCAACCCACAAUGAUUAAGGAGGAAUAUGGCACAAGAACUUAGAGUGCCUAUCAUAAAAAAAAACAGGGAAAUAUCUUGACAUUCCAUCGGAUUGGGGACAAACAAAGAAAGAAAUUUUUGCGUGGAUUCUAGCGAGGGUCAACAUGAAAUUAAAGGGAUUGAAGGAAAACAUUAUAUCUAAAGCAAUGAAGGAAAUCCUCAUUAAAAUAGUUGUACAAGCAUUGCCGCAAUAUGCUAUGUCCAUUUUCAAAAUCCCAAUAUCCAUUUGUAAAGCAAUUGAACAAAAGAUUGCUACUUUCUAGUGGAAAAAGAACAAUGCAAAAAAGGUAUACAUUGGAAGAAAUGGGAGGUGCUAAAAACUUGAAAAGACUGUGGGGGCUUGGGUUUCAAAGACCUUAUUGCUUUUAAUAAGGUCAUGCUGGGAAAAUAGGCUUGGAGACUUAUACAAACCUCUUCAACCUUAUGGAGUCAAUUGUUAAAAGGCCUAUACUUCUCAUUGGGAGAUUUCUUGAGGGAAAAUAAGGGAGCUAGAUCAUCAUGGGGAUGGCAAAGCUUAAUGCAAGGAAGAGAGGUAUUAGGAGGGCAAAUUAGAUGGAUAGUCGGGGACGGAUCGCAGAUCAGGGUGAAAGAAGAUAGAUGGUUAGCUCAUGGAUGCAUUGGAGGACCUACAAACCAAGGUGAACCCCAAUGUGUGGUUGAGCUAAUUGACCAAGGGUCCAAGCAGUGGGAUGAGCAUAAACUAAAGAAAUUAUUUGAUGAAGAUUUAGUUAAGGAAAUCCUUGCAACCCCACUAAGUCUUACUAUGGAGAAAGACAAAAUCGUAUGGAUGAAAAACAGUUCCAGCACCUACUCAGUCAAGAGCGGAUACAACAGUAUACAAACAGUUGCCAACCACAACAAUUCUCAGGCAUCCUCAUCUUAUUAGCCCCCCAAAAAACUAUGGAACUUGAUCUGGGAUCUCGUGGAACUUAAUCUGGGAUCUCCACACCCAUCCAAAAAUCAAGUUUUUUAUAUAGAGUAUAUGUGCUAAUGCGCUACCAAUGAAGGAAAACCUCUUUAGGAGAGAAAUGAUACCUGAUCAAAGUUUCCCGGUCUGCCAUCAAAUGCCAGAGACACCAGAACACAUUUUCCUCCUCUAUCCAUGGACGAAUGAAAUUUGGUCAAACCCAAAAUUGAGACUACAUCUUUCCCCAAAAUGUAUCACAAGAAUAGAUAAACGGUUUUUCGAAACCCUUACCUCUUGUAACAGGCCUCUGUCGAAGGAGUUAGUAGCUAGUGUCCUUUGGCAGAUCUGGAAAAGAAGAAACUCCAUGGUCUUCAAAGGCGAACCUCCGAACCCAAGCGAAGCUGUGAACCAAGCAACCAUAGAUCUAUAACUUUAUAACCAGUGGAACCCAAGAAAUCGAAACCGACACCAAGAUCCCACAGACUCACCUACGGAGUGGGUCUCUCAUUGAAGGGUUCUCUAAAAUAUAAUGUUGACGGCUCAUGGAAGGAAGAGCGGUGAGAAGGAGUGAUGGUCAAGAUUUGUAGGAAUGAACAAGGGAUCCUCAUAGACGGUUUUGCAGAGAAAAUCGAUGUCGAUUCAGCCCUAAAAACGGAGGCUUUGGCCCUUCGUGCGGCUUUGUUGAAGUUAGUGGAGGCAAGAAAGAGAAAUGAGUCUUUAGCAGGAAUAGGGAAAAGUCUUCAACUUUGCCUGAACUAACCUACAAGUGUGAAGUACACUCUGAUAGCAAAGUUGCAAUGGAAAGUUUAAUGGCCUUAAUUCCGAGCCCAUGGACGGUGCAAGCAAUUAUAGAAGAUACCAAAGUGUUGCUGGCCCAACUUCAAGGAGUCCAAGUAUCUUAUGUGCCAAGAGAAGCUAACAAGCUUGCCAACUGGGUAGCAAAAGCAUAUCGAGACAACCGUCUUCCUCAGAAUUGGGUUUUAUAUCCCCCCUAUCCACUUUCAGUUUUAUUAUGUAACGAUCUUGAACUUAGUUGCAGUUCAACAACAAAUUAGUAAUGGUAAGUGCUUAAUCGACCCAAAAAAAAAAAACACAAUAAAAGGAAUAGCAUAAAAAGAUUCUCGAGAAUUUCUAUGCUCCAGCAUCCAAUCCUGAAGCCAAUAUGACCAUUGGAUAAAAAAAGAAUAAAUUCAAAAUGGUAACAACUCGCCAGAGUAUAAGGAAAUUCAAUGACUAUAAAAUUGUCAAAGCUAUAAUUGAGGUACAAAAAUUACGACGUACAAGAACAAUUACUUGUUGAUAAGUUCUUUAGAUUCGAUGGACUGUAGAAGGAGUUUUACAAUCAUUAGGGAAAUUCAAUAAGAACAUGAAAAAGAGAGAGAGAUUUCAAUAAGUACCAACAAUUCUCAUGUCAAUGAACUCAAAAAUCAAAUUAUUGCCAAGGGAAAUACGUUAGUAAUUGUAGAUGCAAUUGAGAUUUCGACAGCUUCAAAUAAAUUACCAAAAAUUGAAGAGUUCCAAAGGGAAAAAGCUAUUAAAAAAAACCAAUAUAUACCUUGAACUUUAUAUUUAUUGCAAUACAUUUAUCCUAAACUUUUUCUUGUGACAACAAAAAAAAUUCCAAACUUAUACCAACAUAAUACUUUUACCUACUUCAAGGUUCCGUUAGAUAAUUUUCAGCUAAAAUAACGUUGUUUUUAUUUCACUUAAGUCACAUGGACGCCAUGUCAACGUUGUUCUCUUUUUUACAUCCAUUUAGAUAGAUUUUUAACGGUUCUAAUUAACAGAACUUUAAUAUAGAGUAAAUAUAUUAUACAAGUAAAAAUUUGAGAUUUUUUCUAUAUAGAAAAAAAAAUAGAUAAAUGCGUUGAAAUGAAUAUAAUUUAGAGUUUGUGGUGACUUUGGUAUUUUUCCAAAUGGGAUGAACGGGAUCAACCCUGCACAAUUUUGAAUUUUCGACACCGGCCUGGAAAAGCUUCUCCGGAAAGACACAGAAAAAGCAUGCGAGGUUUGCGUGAUUCAGGACCUUUGUCACUGAAAAACGACUCCUUUUCUUGGAAUUGUUAUGGACAAAAUGUUUAGGGAAUGCUGAUCUAUGAAACCACGUGCCGACGUUCCUUUUGUUUAUUCCGACGUUGAUUUGAAAAAAAGGAGCUCACCUCAGUACUUUCCAGGCAAUGAAGGCCGAAACUUUGCUCCUCUCUGUCCUUUUUAUAUUAUAUUCUUGUCCGCCUCUCCUUCAAUGGCCAACCAAAAAUGGUGGCUGUCUCCGUCUGCUAGGCUUGCGCCCCACGUUAACCCUUGCCCAAGGCAAAACCCCAUUUUUGACCACUUUUCAACACGCGAGUGCAUGAAUGGCGACACAUCGGUAGUGAGUCGGAGCUUCGAGUGAAAAUUUCGAGACCUCGGAGGUAUAGAAAUUGAGACUAUAAGUAAGGCCGUAGUUCCUAAAAUCGGUGACUUGUGAAGUGGAUUCUUAGAUAUCUAAAGGGGACAACUUUGUAGUGUAUCGAAUGAAUAGCAAUAGCAAUAAGACCGCUGGCUAUGUUGAUUCAAAUUGCACUAGUGACUUGGAUGAGUGCAGGUCUUUUGUAAGAUACAUAAGUGGUGGUGUUAAUUGGAAAGCCUAGGUUGUCUUCGAUUGAACUCGGUCCUUGCGCGAUGUGUCGACAAAACCGAGGACGUCACGCACGUUGAAUCCCACCCUUGCGCAUUGCAUCAUGAUCGUUUUGGAUGGUGUUCUGGUUAAAGUAACGCCAGAAAGGGGUUGGCUUUUCACUUGCUUCUGCUGCCAACUCGUGUUCGAGCCCUACUUGAACGAUCGUUUUAUCAGCUAAUUCGCGUAAUGUUCUCGUGUUUACAAUAUCCGGUGACGUGUGUUCGUUUGGUUUGUGGAUAACAAAAAGACGGGAAAGAAUGUUAGUAGGGGAAAAUCCCGAAAAAUAUGAUCUUUUUCGAAAUCGUGCAUGCAGUUUUGAACCUCUACAGUCAAAUGUGUUGAGGGGGUGAUGGUUUCCUCUGCUUUCUUUUACUCGUGCUUUUUCAACCCGUGUGAUCUUUGUUACCGCUCUUCUUUGCAUGACAGGUUUCGGGCUGGCUAAGGAUGGAGCUAAGCUUGACUUGCGGGAGCAUCAGGAAGAGGCCUGCAGAUCAGGCGAUGAAUGAUGGUGAUAUCGACAGGAUAUAUAGAUUCGCCAUAUUGUUGCCUAAUGGGACUACCGUGGGAAUCGCAUUAAGGGAACCCAACCCGACCAUGGCCUUCCGAGGUUUCAUGCUAAUGGCCAAAGAAAGGUACAAUCGAGCCAAAGCGCAAGAUCCAUCACUAAGUUCGAAGCGUCCCAUCGCAUGGGAGAGUAAUGAGUUGCAUCUCGAAGAUGCAAAUGGCAACUGGAUUAAAAGUCGAAUUAUUUUCGACAACUUUAAGCCUCACAAGCGCCACAUCUUGCGUCUUUGCAUGAGUAUUGGGCAAAAGUCAUAUGUUGUUCGCUUGUUGUGUCUUUUUUAAUUUACUGAGAGUGUGCAUAUUCACUUUAAUGGCUGUACUUAUUUUACUGUUUGUUUGUAUGUAAUAUCUUUUUCCAAUUAGGAUGGCUCUGGCAACACAACUGAUACUUUUGAGGUUAGUAUUUUAUUCCUUUUCGCACCGUACCCAGCUGUCGAUAUAUUCUCAAGAAUGAGUGUCACUUGCCUUUUAGGAGUUCUCUUGAUGUCCUCACCAACCGACUCCAGCUCCGACGAGGGCAGGUCUUUUGGAUUGAACACCAUCCAAAACAACCACCCCUUUAUGGUUAUGUUGAUUUGAAUUGCUGAUUAAACUCAGUCCUUCAAUUGGCAUAUGUAAAGAGUGAGUGUUCAUUGGGAUAUUGAGAGAAUAAUAUAGAUGAUGAGCAUUGUGACCUAACUUUAAAAUUCGAGUCAAGGUCAAUUGUUAAAUUACAUCUCGAAUUUGGCUUGGUUUACGGAACCCGAUUAGAUUAAACUGAAAGGGAAGAACUCUCGGUCACUACAUGGCAAAAUAAGGGGCUCAUAUAUUUAUGAAAAUUUAUUUAUUUAUGGGGUAGGAAAGAAGUCUUUGUCUAGGAGGAAAUAAAGAAGCGGACGUCGCUUCUUUCUUGAGUAGUGAUCGGUCAAUAAGGGUUUGAGGAGAGGGACCCACAUACAUAUAUUAUAUAUAUGGCCUGCGGUGGCAGCAUACGUUGUUUUCCUUAAUCGAAGAGCUGCGCGGUGAAAACGUUAGAGCCGCUGUACGAAAAACGAAAAACAACGUUCAGGAGUCCUUGUUUAUCCGCCGUACGUAAAGCUGUUUCUAUAAGCUUGAAAACCGGAGAUUUUGUUUGGUAAGUUUACACCUAAUUAAAUUAGUUAUUUGUAAAUAUUUUGGAUUUAAACUUAUUAGGUGGGUGAAAUAUUCGAACAUAUCCAAAAUUAUAAUUCUGAUUUUUUUUAUUGUAAUGAAUUAUUUAUUGCCGACCCUCCUCUUAACUACAUAAAUCUCUAAUGUCAUUUAUUUCUUUGGUUCUCUCGGAUUAACUUAACAAGAAAAGUGAGUAUAAACUAGAUAUAUGGUUCUCAAUCAACUAAAGUGGCUUGUUGAUAAAGCAUAAAUAUCAACACUUUAAUUCAUACAUAGUUUCUACUUAAUUAGUUGAAAUUUGAAUAAUUUUUUUAGAAACUUUUACGUAAAUGUAAAAAGUUGCUUUUUGUUUUCCUAUUUUAAAUAAAAACCAAUCAUUUUAUAUAUGUAUGACAAUUGUCUGCCAAUGUAUGUUACAAUGACCCUUCGAAUGCAAGAGAGCAAAGGAAAGGUACACCAUAAACUUUUUGGGCCUUGGACUCAAUUAGACCUUCGGCGAACGGGAAUGAUGAAUCUCGGGUCAAAAUUGCUCAAAUAAUUUAAUUUGUUAAAGAUAUCUCAUAAUUCUGUUGGUUCUGGAUGUAUAUUUUUUUUUAUUGUGUAUAUAUUAAUUGAUAAAUAUUACGUUAGAUUGCCAUAUCAUAUGGCAGUGUACUUCUAUUGUUACAUGUCGAAAUAUUCUGAAAUUUUUCAAUUAUGUUUUAACCCUGUUCAUGGGCAUUUUUAGCUGACCUUUCCCACUAUGUCCGUUCUUCGCCACUCCCGUACUCCCGUAUUAUAUAGCCUCCCUUCUCUCCUUCAUGGAAGAAGGCGCAUGAAAACACAGAACGUAGACAUCCAGUGAUUCCCCCGAAAAAAUAUGGAUCCUUUCGAUUCAUCAAAGCAGGUGCUUCAAAACUUCCUCUCGCACUCCUCCACUCUGAUGUAUACAGGGGGCGAUUUUCUGCUCAACACCACGUUUUUACGUGGCUUCUCUGGUUCUCUUCAUUUGGUUUUGUUACUUGGACUCCUGGUUUCAUGGACGGGCAAGAAAAUAUGGGCACAACGAAAUGGUGUAGGCUCCGAACAAAGCCGCAGAAGAAGCAGAAUUUGGUACUAUAAGCCCACUCUGUUUUGCUGUUUAGGCUUAUCUCUGUUUAAUCUGGUUUUGUGUGCGGCGAACUACUUUUAUUGGUAUGCAAAUGAUUGGUCGGAAGAGAAACUGGUUUCUCUUUUGGAUUUAGCACUGAAGUCUCUCGCUUGGGGAGCUCUAGGUGUUCGUUUGUACGGCCAAAGCUCCGAUUUUGGAGUAUCAAAGCUCCCUCUUUUUUUGAGAGUCUGGUGGGGUUCCUACUUGUCCAUUGCAUGUUAUUGCCUCGUCAUUGACGUUGUUCUGUAUGGAAAGUGUGUUCCGGUGCGAACCCAGUAUUCCAUUUCUGACGUCGUCUCUGUUGUCACCGGUUUCUUCUGCUGUUAUGUGGGGUUCUUUGGUAAGAUUGAGAUUGAUGAUUGUCUGCUCGAAGCGCUUUUAAAUGGUAACUCGGUUACAAGCAAUGCCAAAUUAAACAGAAGUCCAGGAAGUGAAACUGUGACCCCGUAUUCUAAAGCGGGAUUACUGAGUAUAAUUAGUUUCUCGUGGCUGAGUCCUUUAAUGGCUGUCGGGAAUGAGAAAACACUGGACCUAGAGGAUGUCCCUCAACUUGCUCCACGGGAUAGGAUAGCAGGGGCACUUCCAGGUUUCAAGGAAAAGCUCAAGUCAGAUGCUGGUUCCAGUAAUGGAGUGACAGCGUUUAGGCUGGCGAAGGCUCUGAUCAUGUCCAAAUGGAAAGAAGUAAUUUCCACUGCUGUGUUUGAGCUUCUUAUAACCCUAGCUUCUUACGUUGGUCCAUACCUUAUGGAAACUUUUGUUCAAUUCCUAAACGGGCAACGCAAAUUUGAAAGUAAAGGCUACCUUCUUGUUUCAGCGUUUUUGGUUGCACAGCUUGUCGAGUGCCUUUCCUCUCGGCAGAUGAUAUUUAGGCUAGAUCUUGUUGGGAUUAGGACUCGCUCAUUGCUGGUUGCACUAAUAUAUGACAAGGGAUUAAACCUUUCAUGCCAGUCUAAACAGGGGCAUACUAGUGGGGAAAUCAUUAAUAUCAUGUCUGUAGAUGCCGAGAGAAUUGGUGAUUCUUGCUGGUGCAUGCACGAUCCUUGGCUAGUACUUGUACAAGUUGGGUUAGCCUUAGCGAUUCUGUAUAAAAAUCUUGGGCUUGCGGCUAUUGCAGCUUUUGUGGCCUCUGUGCUUGUUAUGUUAGCUAAUAUUCCUUUGAGCAAGCUCCAGGAGAAAAUUGAUGAAAAGUUUAUGGAAUCAAAGGACAAAAGGAUGAAGGCAACUUCCGAGAUCUUGCGAAACAUGAAGAUUUUAAAGCUUCAGGCAUGGGAGAUGACGUUUUUGUCCAAGAUUAAUGAACUGAGGAAUAUUGAGACGGGGUGGUUGAAAUUUAAUUUUUACACUGAAGCAAUGACCUCUUUUGUCUUCUGGGGUGCCCCGACAUUUGUUUCCGUGACUACAUUUGGUACAUGCAUGUUAUUGGGGAUCCCACUAUCGUCAGGGAAGAUCUUAUCUGCGAUCGCAACAUUCAGCGUCCUCCAAGAUCCCAUCUAUGAAUUACCAGUUGUAUUAUCCGUGAUAGCUCAGACUAAGGUCUCACUUGACAGAGUAGCAUCAUUCCUGCGCCUUGAGGAUCUCCAGAAUGACGUCAUUGAAAAGCUUCCUCAGGGCACAAGUGAUAUGGCAGUCGAGAUCAAUGAGGGGAAUUUCACGUGGGACUUGUCUUCCUCUGAACCCACAUUAAAGGACAUAAACUUGAAGGUCAUCAAUGGCAUGAAAGUUGCAGUCUGCGGUACUGUGGGUUCAGGAAAAUCGAGCUUACUUUCUUGCCUCCUGGGAGAAUUGUCGAAGAUAUCGGGAGCCCUCAAAUUAUGUGGCAGUAAGGCUUAUGUUGCUCAGUCUCCGUGGAUACAGAGUGGCAAGAUUGUGGACAACAUUUUAUUCGGCAAGGAGAUGAACCGUGAGAGAUAUGAAAGUAUCCUCGAAGCCUGCUGUCUGAUGAAGGAAUUGGAGAUUCUCCCAUUUGGCGAUCAAACAAUUAUAGGCGAGAGAGGGAUAAAUCUGAGUGGUGGACAGAAGCAAAGAGUGCAGAUUGCCCGUGCAAUUUAUCGAGAUGCAGACAUUUAUCUACUUGAUGACCCUUUUAGUGCUGUCGAUGCGCAUACAGGAUCUCAUCUGUUUAAGGUUAAUUGCUUUUUCCUACGUUUCUGAUUAUGCACUUACCGCCCCUUAUUUUCUUUACAUUGCCAAUUAUGAAGCGCAGGCUUCUUGAUGGAAAAACAAGUUUGAAAUAAAUAAUUUUAGAUGCUAACAUUUUCUGUGCAAGUCUUGGAUUUGAGUUAUUUUCUCGAUUUCAUUCUUCCUCUCAUGAAGAUUACUAACUGAGUCUUUAAUGUGAUAGGAAUGUUUGCUAGGACUUUUAAGUUUGAAAACAGUGAUCUACGUUACUCAUCAAGUAGAGUUUCUACAGACAGCUGAUCUAAUCGUGGUGAGUAAUUACUGACCUAUGAAUUGGUUUUCCUUGGAGUCACUCGUUAAGUGGUAAUACGUAUGUUUGCUAGGUCAUGAGAGAUGGAAAGAUCACAGAAUCUGGAACAUACAGCGAGAUUCUUCACCUCGGAGCAGAUUUCACAGAGCUAGUUGGUGCACAUGAGGAAGCUUUAGCCAGGCUUGGUUCCCACCAAGCUGGGCCAGAUUCUGAAGCAUCUGGUAUCAACAAUGAAGAAAGUCGAACGGAAAAUACUGUGGAGAAGGAAGAAAACAGAAAUGUUCAAGAUGGUGAAGUAAGGGUAAAAGGGCAGCUUGUUCAAGAAGAAGAGAGGGAGAAAGGUAGAGUCGGUUUUCUGGUGCACUGGAAGUACCUGACGGCGGCAUAUGGAGGAGCUCUCGUGCCUUUCAUAUUACUGGCCCAGUUUCUAUUCAUGCUCCUUCAGAUGGGAAGCAAUUACUGGAUGGCAUGGGCGACCCCAGUGUCGGAGGACGUGGAACCUGCUGUCCCGGGAUCAACACUGAUACUUGUUUACGUGGCUUUGGCUGUUGGAAGCGCCUUAUGUAUUCUUUUCAGGUCUUCACUUUUGGCAACUGCUGGCUACAAGACAGCUACGAUACUCUUUAAUAAGUUGCAUCUCGCAAUAUUUCGGGCCCCCAUGUCAUUCUUUGAUGCCACUCCAAGUGGACGAAUCCUAAGUAGGGUGAGUCCUAAUAUGGAACAUCACUCGAAUAGUUCAAAGAGAUUUAUCUCUGAACACAUAGUGAAGACAGAUUAUGCUUUUGUCGAUUCAUGUCUUGUUUAUUACAAUUACAAUUUCUUUCCUGUACGAGUCAUGGAUUGCAUUGUGACACGAUGCUUCCUUUCAGGUCUCAAAAGACCAGAGUGCUGUGGAUUUGGACAUUCCAUUUAUAGUCGCAGAAUUUGCCUUCUCAAUGAUCCGGCUACUGGGAAUUAUCAUUUUGAUAACUCAGGUUGCAUGGCAAGUUCUUAUAAUUUUCAUCCCUGUGAUUGCAACCUGUGUCUGGUAUCAGCAAUAUUACAUGCCAUCUGCUAGAGAACUGGCACGGUUGAUGAGUGUGAGCGAAGCUCCAGUGAUCCAGCACUUUGCUGAAACAAUUUCAGGAUCGACCACUAUUCGUGGCUUUGAUCAAGAAUCAAGAUUUCGGGACACAAUUAUGGAGCUUUCCGAUGCAUAUUCUCGGUACAUGUUCCAUGUUGAUGGGGCAAUGGAAUGGCUUCGCUUUCGCUUGGAUAUGCUAUCCACGGUCACAUUUGGAAUCUCUUUGAUCUUCUUGACCUCUAUUCCUGAGGGAUUCAUCGACCCAGGUAACAACGUCCUGCCUGAGAUCUUCUAAAUGGUGCCCUCUCUGUAUCGAUGAAUAUGUUAGUCAUCUAACCUCCUGUUCUUCUCUCUGAAGCAAUCGCGGGCUUAGCUGUGACGUACGUACUUAAUUUGAACACGAUACAAGAAAUAGUUAUUUUUAGUUUGUGUAAUAUGGAGAACAUAAUUAUAUCGGUUGAAAGGAUAAUUCAAUACGCUGGCAUCUCAAGUGAGCCCCCUCUUACAAUAGAGGAUGAUUGCCCCUGUCCUUCAUGGCCAACAUGUGGAGAGAUCGCCAUUUCCGAUCUGCAGGUGCUAGGAAAACUUUAUGUUAUGCCAAAACAAUGUGUCAGCAUGUUUUGUCCAGUCAUUAGGACAUAAUUGACCUUUCUGACAAUUUGGGCGGAAUGCCAGGUCCAGUAUGCUCCACACUUGCCGCUUGUUCUGCGAGGCAUCACGUGCACUUUUCCUGGAGGGAUGAAAACGGGCAUCGUGGGGAGAACGGGCAGUGGCAAAUCGACUCUCAUGCAAGCACUUUUCCGCAUAGUAGAACCUUGUGCAGGUCAAAUCCUGAUAGAUGGCAUUAAUAUCUCCUCAAUUGGGCUGCACGAUCUGAGGUCGAGAUUAAGCAUCAUCCCUCAAGAUCCAACCAUGUUUGAGGGUACCGUGCGAAGCAAUCUAGACCCUCUUGAGGAGUACUCUGAUGAGCAGAUUUGGGAGGUGCAUUCAUUUCUUUUCACGAUUGAAGUUCCUUUUCUAGCUUAUAUAAUGUGGAACUAUAAUCAGCUGAUCCAUCCUGCAAUUGUAGGCAUUGGAUGAGUGCCAACUGGGGGAUGAAGUCAGGAAGAAAGAAGGGAAACUGGAUGCAGCAGGUUAUCUUCUGUACCCUUUCACUUGACCAUCCAAGAAGUGUUUUAACACAUUCUAGGACGGAAUUUGUCUCAUCUCUUGCUCUAUUAUCUUUGACCUGCAGUUACUGAGAAUGGUGAGAACUGGAGCAUGGGACAGAGGCAGCUUGUGUGCCUCGGUCGUGUGCUGCUCAAGAAAAGCAAGAUCUUGGUACUUGACGAAGCUACUGCGUCCGUUGACACAGCCACUGAUAAUCUGAUUCAGCAAACGCUGAGGCAUCACCUCUCGGACUGUACUGUUAUGACCAUUGCACAUCGGAUCACCUCAGUUCUUGAUAGCAACAUGGUUCUUCUUCUAGAUCACGGUAUGUAGUUUUCAACACGAUCUCAUCUCAGCCUUCUCAUUCAGCUUAUGCUUCAUCAUUCUCUUCUUCUUCUUUUUUUUCACCACUCUCUCUCUCUCUCUCUCUCUCUCUCUCUCAAAUCAUGUCCAGGCCUUGUUGCUGAAUGUGAUUCUCCAAGAAGAUUGCUGGACAACAAAUCCUCAUCGUUCACGCAGCUUGUAGCAGAGUAUGCAACGAGGUCUAAGUACGGUUUUGGAAAUUGAUGAACCACCUACUUCAAGUUGAUCAAGAACUGCUACUUCUAAAGAUGAGAGGAGGUGUCAGAGUAAUUCGUCCAGCCACGUCAUUGCCAGUAGCUCCAUAUUGGCUUAAACAUAAUCUGAUGCAAUUAAACAUGGACCACAAAGUUGAUAACUCUUUCUUCAGAAAACGAGACGUAUUGUUGCAAUACUUAUCAUCCAAAUGCUGGAAAAUUCUCAUCUAUAGGAAUAAACAUGCUUUGCGCAUUCUGUUUGCAUCAUUCUACUUUGAACAUCAUAUGGCAUAUGCGGCGCAUAACAUCGUCAUCCCUCACUUCCACCCAAAUUGCCUUCAAUCGGCCUUAUCCAGAUUCAUGUAAUUCAAUCCUACAGAACACAUAUGUCCAUUAGGUCCCCCAAACUCCCCAUAACUACCAACCCUUCCAUGAUCACCCACUAUAGUUUUGCAAGAAUAUAAUGUUAGUGAAAAGCUCAAGGUUAAGAUUCUAAAAAUUGUUUUAUUCUGACAGAGAAGCAGUUGUUUGUUAAAAAAAAAAAAACAAACUCACUCCCUUAAACUGCUCCGCAUUCACCGUUAUCAUUUAUUGGGCCGCCAUCAUCGAUUGGAGAUCGCUCAUUGAUCAACAGUAGUGCAGCUGGUCACUGAAGCUGCCCAUGGCCGCCGCCCAACGCAGCGCCUCGAAACACCUGUUGCUAGACUCGAAAAACAUCCCACCUACCGCCUGCCGAUUACCGCCGCGCUUGAAGACAACCAUUAUGGAAUCAAGCACCACCUUCACCACAAUCAGAUUCGGCCCCCACAGCCAACUUCACAGUUGACUGCCACCGAACUCAUCCUACCACCACAGCUAGCACCAUAAGACGCGGCCGCCAUCGCCAAACUCCCCCACCACCAUCACCAGAUCGGGUCGCCACCGCCACCACCAUGCUCGCGGCCACGGCAGCUGGAGCUUCGUUGAGCUAGUGGCCACGGCUGCUCAAGCUUCGUCGAGCUUGGGACCAGGGUCGCUUGAACUUCGUCGAAUUCGAUAAAUCACGAACCAAGCAAUGGCCAGUAUCAGAAAAUCGAGCGCAUCUUCUCCUACAUAUAUCACAUAUCUAUCCAGUAAUGGAAGAAUCAACAAAUAACAGGUUAGAGAAAGUUACUGGAGACGGACGCAAGCAAGAUUUGUUCCCCCUGUUCUUCGUGUCCCUUUCUCUUCCCAUUUUCUUUUUUUUCUUAUUUUCUUUUUUCAGUUUUCAGCUUCCUAUUUUUUAAAUUUUUGAGCUAUUUUUUAAUGCAAUGCCUCGUGGGCGCCAUGUGUCUCCAAAUUAUAAUAAAUUCUGGGUCAUCUUUUUUCUGUCCAUCAAUUUUGCCGGAGUUAAAAGAGGAACUCAAUUGCCUUUUUUUUCAAAAUAUACUACUUAAUUGCACUUUCACUACAAAUUAAAUGUAUUAAAGAAAUCUCGCAUUGAAUAGUUGGUGUGGUUUGAAGCCGCUAAUGUGUAUUAGUUGAUCCAUAAGUCAUUGGCUUUAGUGUUGAAGUAAAGAUUAGUCCAAUUGAAUAUGUAUGUAUUUUUUUUUAUUGAUAAUUGGAUAUGUUUGUUGAUUGGUUCAGAUUUUGACUCUCUCUUGAAUAUCUCCCCAACUAAAGAUACUGGACUUCUAAUUAUCGACCCAACAUUUUCCUUGCGCAUGCUUUAUCAAACUCAUAGAACAUUGAUCAGCUUGCCUAUACUUAUAGGAAAACUCUUGUACAAUCACAAGGCACCUUUCCCUAUGGACGGUUAAGAGAAGGAAAUUGUCUUAUGGGCAAUUUAGCAGGACCCUGAACUCCCAAUUCACCACUUAUUCCCACCGAUCAUAUAGUUAUCGGUCAACUCAAGAAACCUCCUUUCUCUCAUCCAUGGGAGGCGUAUAGCUCCCACUUACUUGACAGAAAUCCCAAGGAGCUUACCGAGAAUGGAGCUUUUCGAUUCACCAAAGCAGGUUCUAGAAAUCUUUUUCUCGAACUUCUCCACUCUGAUGUCUUCAGGUGGCGGUCUUCUGCUCAAGACCACGUUUGAAGGGGGUUCUCUGGUUCUUUGCACUUGAUUUUGUUGCUUGGGCUCUUGAUUUUAUGGGCGUGCAAGAGGCUUGUCCGUAUUUAGUCUGAUCUUGUGUGUGACAAAUUACUUUUACCGGUAUAGAAAUGAUUGGUUGGAAGAGAAAUUGGUGUGUCUGUUGGAUUUAGCGCUGAAAACUAUUGCUUGGGGAGCUCGGGUGUUUAUUUAUAUGGCCAAAGCUCCAAUUUUGGACAAGUUUCCGUCUUCUAUUGAGAGUUUGGUGGGGUUUCUACUUAUCUAUCUCGUGUUAUAUCCUAGUCAUAGACAUUGUUCUGUCUGCCAAGCAUGCUCCAGUGCAAACUUGGUAUAUUAUUUCUGAUAUAGUCACUGUUGUCACCAGUUUAUUCUGUUGUUAUGUGGGGUUCUUCGGUAAAAUUGAGAUCGAUGACAAUCUCCUCAAAGAACCUCCUUUAAAUGGUGAUCCAGUUACAGUUGGUGCAGAACUGAAUAAGCGCCGAGGAGGUGAAAUUGCGAGCCCUUACUCAAAAGCGGGUUUAUUUAACUUUAUAACCUUCUCGUGGCCGAGUCGUCUAAUUGCUUUAGGGAAUAAGAAAGCAUUGGACCUGCAGGAUAUUUCUCAACUUUAUUCUCGAGAUAGUUUAGUUGGCACGCUACCUGAUUUCAAGAAAAGGCUUCAGUCGGCUGUUGGUUCAAGCACUGGAAUGACUUCAUUUGGGCUGGCGAAGGCUUUGAUUUUUUCUGGAUCCAACCAUGUUUGAGGGCACCGUGCAAAGCAACCUUGACCCUCUUGAGGAAUACACCGAAGAUCAGAUUUGGGAGGUCGGUUCAUUUUCUUCCCCAGUUUGAUUACAAAAUUUCUGUGAAUAGAAGUUCUUUUGUAGCUCAUGCAACAUAAACCAUAGUCAGCAAAAGCUAAUCCAUCCUGAAAUUCUAGGCAUUGGAUCAGUGCCAACUCGGCGAGGAAGUGAGGAAGAAAGAAGGGAAACUGGAUUCGCCAGGUUUUUUCAGGACCUUUUCUUCAACUGUACUUGUUUGUGCUUCUAUUACCGGCAGAAAUUCUGCAGCAAUCCAGAAUUCAAAUUGUAGAAAAUUAAAAUUGAAAUUUCUUUUCUGCCAUAUUCCAGAAUUGUACUUGUUUUUGGCUCGCUCAUGAGACGCUUGACCUACAGUUGCAGAGAAUGGAGAGAACUGGAGCAUAGGACAGAGGCAGCUCGUGUGUCUCGGUCGUGUCCUGCUCAAGAAAAGCAAGAUUUUGGUACUAGAUGAAGCCACUGCUUCCAUCGAUACAGCCACCAAUAAUGUGAUUCAGCAAACUUUGAGGCAUCACUUCGCCGACUGUACUGUUAAUACCAUUGCACAUUGGAUCACUUCUGUUCUCGACAGCGACAUCAUUCUUCUUCUAGACCAUGGUUAGUAUUUCAUGACACGAUCUCAUCUCGGCCUUGCAUGUUUGGCUCAUGCUUCAUCAAUAUCUCUCUCUCACUUUGAAUCUGUGUCCAGGCCUUGUUGCUGAAUAUGACUCUCUGAAAAGAUUGCUAGACAAGGAAUCCUCGUUCGCGCAGCUCGCAGCAGAGCACGCAACGAGGUGGCGUUCAGUUUCAGCAGCUAAAACGAUGUGAAUUUUGUAUUUCUCCAGACAAAGAUGAGAUUUCAAAAAACUAAGUUGUAUUGAAUAGACAUUUCGAUAUCUGUAAGUAUGUUUCUUUUGAUUAACUAAUUAAAAGUUUCACUACAACAAACUGAAUCAACUGAAUAUUUCCAAUUAAGUCAUACUAGUUAUUGCUCCAAAAUAAGUAUAUGUCUUGCAUCACGAAAGAUAAAAUGAGUGCAUCUUAAAAGCAGAAAAUUAGAUUAAAUGAAUAUAAAUACUUUAUGUUUUGAAUAAGGUAUUAUCUUAAAUUUUUAUAUGAAGGUAUACUGCAAGUUUAAGAUAAAUAUUAACUCCUUCAGCUAAAAAAUACAGCAGUCUAAAUUAACUAAAAAGAAUUCAAUUUAUAAAUCAUCUUAAUUAUUGAUCCAAAGUAAGUGGAUUUGUUGCAUCACAAUAGAUAUACUUAAAAUAAGUGCAUUUGAAAAGCAGAAAAUUAAACUAAAUAAAAUGUAAGUAUGUUAUUUUUUCAAUAAAGUAUUACCUUAAUUUUCGUUAUUUUAAAGAUGUAAUGCCAGUUUAAGAUACAUAGCGUUUCGAUUGUAAGCUUGAGGUAACGGGGUUCUUGUUCUGUUUAAUUGAUAAAGUAUAUCUCAAUAAGCUAUCCUUUAUUAAAAUUUUAUUAUUUUUUAUUCAAGUAGCAAUAAAAAUAAUUUAUGUGUCAACUUAUAAAAUUUAACUACUCGAAUAAAGUAACUAUAUUUGUGACAUCCUGAUUUUCAACCCUGUCAUGAUAAUGUGAAUUGAGAUUUUCAUCGACGCACUUAUAGUCUUUUUCUCUGAACUAAUCACUCACGAGAUAAUUAAUCUAUUAGAUGAAGCUAUUAAGGAAUAUAAAGGCGAUUGACUUGAAAAUUCGAUUAGAAAUCAACUGCUCAACCGUGCUAAUUUGCAAGGGUCAAUACGUCAUCGUUAAAAUCAAUUAGAAACCGUAAAUAGGUCGAUUCGAUAGAGGCAUAUAAUUAAAUUGUGGGUGAUUUCACCUGAUUACAAAAUUCAUGUCGAACAGCAUUAAAUCGAUUUUUCUGUCGAUUUUGUAUCCUAUGCCCGUAAUUGAAAUUUUGAGAUUUUUACGACAACUAAGAGUUGCCUAUGAGUCAGAGAUGCACAAUGUGGAUUGAAAAUAAUCGACCAUGGGUCAAACGCGUUAAAAAUUCCUAAAAGCUACCUGGUAGGUUAGGUCACGCUAAAAUCACGUCCGUUUAAAAUUAACCACGAAAUCAAACUUGAUUUCAGGAAUCGAAAGUUCUGGCAUGUCACGAUUUAUUUUUAGGACGUCGACUCAUCAUUCGAAGAAUUUUCGGCAAGCCCGGGAUAUUUGGCGAAAAAUCAAAAUUCGACAAAAUUGAUUCAAGAAAUUCGGAGGGCCACCUUGGUGUGAAUUUUUGGCCUUCAAGUUGGAUUGUUUGGUGAUGGAAAAGGUGGAAAUUCAUUUGGGAUUCGUCCUCAACAAUUUGGCCAUCAAUUGGAGGUUAUUUGGAGUGAAAUUGAGUUGAAUUGGUGAGGGAAAUACUUGAAAUUCAUAGGCUAGGGGGGCUGCAACAUUUGGCCAUCACCUUGGCUUGUUGGAGAAGUUUGGGAAGGGAAAUGGUUGCUGGAUAGGGGCCGAAGACUUUAGGGGUUGAUACUCAAGUGUUUUGGGAUAUUUUGGGUGGACUUUGGAAGCCCUUUGUCCCCUCCUUCCCCAACAGUAGCUUCUUCUUCUUAUUCCUCAGUAUCUUCUUCAUUUCCUCUAGCUGAAACCUUCAUUUCCAGAGUAGCAAGACAAACCACCAGCCCCUCCAUCCUUACUGCUUCGUCCACUAGCCCUGCAUCGCCGUCCGAGCCUACCGUUGCCCUGGUAGCCGUUCGCCAAUCAUCCCGAGCCCAUGCGUCCAAAAGGCCAGUGAUGUCAUCCAACUCGCCAGCCGUCUAUGCAUCGUCCCUAUCAUUCUAUCGACUAGGCUACCCGUGCGCUUGCAAGUCGCUGGCGUCGCUCCAACUCAUUCCCGUUGCCGCCUAGUCCUGCCUUACCCGUCCCCGCUAGCCAAGCCCCUCAACUAGCCUUCGGUUCAACCCCAUAGAACCAAAGGCCAGCUCCAAGCCGUGGGCCUUGUGGCCUUUUCUAGCCCUUUCCUGGCCUCCUUUGGUGUUGCCGUAGGCCCAAGUCUUGCUUGCGCUCGCGUUGCCGUAGCCGUGAAUUGAUUUUCGCGCUAAACCAAUGAGUUUACCUCCCAAUCUCUAAUUAUGGUGCUAAUUAUGCUUAAGGGUGGAUUAGUGGCUAAUUAUGGGAUUAGUUAGGCUUAAGUGAGGUUAGAGUAAAUUAGUGAGUUUAGUUAGUUAAUUAGAUUUUUUAAUUAAGUUAAUUUAGCAAUUAGGUGGUUAGUGACUUUAGUUAGUUAGACUAGUAGGUUAGAUUAAUUUAAUUAAGUCCAAUUAGGUGGUUAGAUUAGCUUAGGUAGAUUAAUUAGUGAUUUAUUUAAUUAUUUUGCAAUUUAUUUAAUUGAAUGUAAUUUACUUAAUUAUUUAUUAAUUAGUGGAAAUUAUACCAAGAUAGUCGGUUGUUAGAAUUUUGUACUGAUCGUCAUGGUGCAAUUGGUUUGUGCAAUUGAGUGCUAAUUUAAGCAAUUGAUUGAUGAUUGAUAAUUUUUUAUUUAUUAUUUCAAAAAUAUGGAAUUUUGAUAUUUAAUUAGAAUAAUACCAGGUAUUGGUUUUUUAUGCCAAAAAUGUUUUUAAGUAUUAUAUAAAAUCGUGGAAUUUUUAAAAGUGAGGAUAUCACAUUUUAUGGUUCAAUCUGAUCAUGUGCCAAUGCAUAAUUAUUUUACUAAGUGUUUUUAAUAUGAAGAAAAUAAGUCAAGUACAUUAUUUAAAAUUGAGGCAUUAGAGUGCAAAGCGCGAUGUCCUUAGCCAGGAUUGGAUAUGCAUGUGAUCGUUAUGAGAACUCGUCACAAGCUUUUACGUUGGACGAUACUCCUUCAGGAAUGCCCCACGUUAACGGAUGUUGGUUGCAGUGGAGGCUGGGCCGAUGCUCCUUCGAAAUGUCAUCUAAAUGUAGACGUUGCUGUACUCGAUGGGAUGAGAUGACGCCCGGUUAUGCCGAAUGACCACUAACUGUUGAGUCGGCCGUGGCCGUUGGGUCGUAACUAAUUGAAACGUUUGACUGAGUGAUUUGACCUUGCCUGAUUAUUGGAUAAAAUUGUGUGGCACGGAAUGGGACGUGUCAUAACGAUUUGACCUUAUAAUCGGGAUCCCUGUGAUUGAUUGAUAUGUGGAAAGUGAAGUGUUUCAAUUAUUGAAUACAUUUACUAUAUGCAUAUGUUAUAUGAAUUGUACUAAUGUGCAAGAAGGUGCUGAGGCGAAGUAAGUCUUAUAUGUUGUGUGUUUAGGCUACCUCUAGGUAUAUUACCUUCCUAAUCAAGGGGUGUAGACUCGUUGAGACGUUGUUUCACCUCAUUGUGGUUUACAAUUUUCAAGUCCUUAGAUGGAGGUGCAGUCAGUUUGUUUUGGGUGGCCGCGAGAAGCCGAUACCGAGCGUACCAUCUUCCCUAUCCCUGGGAACCCUUAGACCUACAAGCUCAUUGUGACCACGAUCUAGGUCGAUGAGGGCCAACCUCAGUUGGUACCGCAUCGAUUCAAAGCGUGGUUUCAUCACAGGCCUGACGGGAUCCAGGAAGGUCCCGUGAAUGGUUUCAAUGGACUUGCCAUCGAGAGUGAGGGUGAGGUGGUACUCAACCCUAUCGUGGACGCCAAUAUUAUUGCAAAUAUCACGGAGAACCAGUUGCCCGAGGAUGAGCAGCAGCCCGUAGUAGAGGAGGUAGCUGACCCGCUAGACCUCAACAUCCCUGAUGGUGUCAUAGUGGACUCGGAUCCUAAGUAGGAGGAUCCAAGGUAGGGUUAACUUAGUAACCUUUUUGGAUCUUGACCUCAUGUAAAUAACUUUAUAGGGCUGACCUGGUUUAUUUAUAAAAUAUGUUUUGUUGAAAUUAAUUGUCUUGUUUUUUUAUCCCAUGUUUAUUUAUUGUCUGGAGAUUGUUAAUUCGCUUCUACUUGUGUUUAAAAUGAAUGGGUCGGCGACGAGUUCUAGGAACGUCGCAAUUUAAUCGACCACCAAGAGAUGUACGCGCGCUUGAAGUUUGAGAUGUGACAAUAUCUGAACAAUUUUCUUCUCGCUAAAACAUAUCCGUAAUGUGUUCUUUAUUUGUUUAAAUUUAAAUUGAGUGAGUUUCUCCCUUUGAUGAUUUUUUUUUCACCCACCAAAUUCGAACAAGAUAAACUAAACCUUAAAUUGACAAAGAUUUAUCUAUAAAUGACGUAAGUUUUUAGAGUGCAACUUGUACACUAAAUGAAAUCGGCGCCUUUACUACUUGUACUUAGACGUUGUGAUGAUAAUAUAUGCUCUUAAAUCUUUUUUAGUUUACUAUUAUAAUUUUAUGGGGAUCUGUCGAUAAACUUAUUUUAUCAUUUGCUUAAUUCAAUAAUCCGUGUAUAUCUAAACUUAUUCCGAAAAGAACCUCGGUCUCCCAGAGAAUUGCACGAAUACCCCCUCACAAAAUUUCUAUCUGCUUACAAAAAAGAAAGGCUCUUCAGACUAUUUCUUACUUCGGUUAUUUGUCAUCUCUCUUUCAAUUUUCAUUUUACGUUUCAUGAAUCUGAACCCAACUCAUUAAGUUGUUGCUGAAAUUGAUCUUUACUUGCUUAAAUAAUGAGCAGGUUGGUUCGAUCGACAAAACAUGAAUAGAGCUUGAGGGCAGAUCAAUAGAACCCGAUGCUCCCGCAUCAUGUGAUGAAGGCUCCAAAGAAAUCGCUGAAGAAGCAGACUUUGUCACUGCAAGCCAACUUGGAUUUGCUGCUUCGGCAUAUCCGUGUCCAAUCUGGUCUUGUGUGUGACGAACUACUUUUAUUGGUAUGCAGAUACUGGUUUCUCCUUUGGAUUGAGCACUUAUGACUCUCGCUUGGGGAUAUGCUAGUCGUCCAAUUCAUGUUAUUGCCUCGUCAUAGACAUCGUUCUGUCUGUAAAGCAUGUUCCGGUGGUAUUCCGUCUCUGAUGUAGUCUCUGUUAUCACUGGUUUAUUCGACUGUUAUGUCGGGUUCUUCAGUAACUUGGUUACAGGUGAUCCAGUUCUAAGUGAGCGUCACGGGACCGGAUCUUAACCACAUGCUCAAAUGCGAGUAUACCGAGUACAGUUAGUUUCUCGUUGUCGAGACUUCUAGUUGCUGUUGGUGCAUGCAAUAGAGCCACUCCAUAUAGGCAGGUGAAGGGUUUGGCUUUGUCGGAACGGAGAGAAAUUAUUUCCGCUGCAUUAUUUCUAAUUCAUUUCACGGAAACUUCUUCUGUUCAACUCUUUAAUGGGCAACGUGAGUUUAACAGUUCAGGCUGCCAUCUAGUUUUGGGCCUUACUAGUGGCAAAUCUUGUUCGAGUGCGUUCCCCAUAGGCAGUUGAUGUUCAGGCUACACAGCUUGUCCGGACUAGGGCUCGCUCGUUGGGCCUAGGGCUCGCUUGUUGCUGGCUGCAAACGGGAGAAGAACGAUGGAAAUGCAAAAUGCUAUGUACAUCACUCACUUUAAUAUGAAAAGUCCCUUUUAGAUUACUUUCUUUUUUUUGGUCAGUCCUACUCUAUUCCUACUCUACACUCACUCGCAGACUUGUGCCCUGCCGCUUGCAGGGCGUGGGAGUCGCAACCCACUUUCAAACUUACGCGUCCCUACUCUCAUCCCCCCUGAGAAUGUGGGGAUUUGAACUCCUCACCUCCGCCUUCCAUGUUGGAAGAGUGACCACUGGGGCGAACCCCCAGUGGUUCCUUUUAGAUUACUUUAAAAGAUAAUUUUUCAAGUGCUAACUCUCAUUUGCUUGGCCGGAAAUCCGACAUGACCCUUUUUCUAUUAACUUCUUAAGCCGACAUGGUUUAUCAAAGAUCCAAUUAGCAUUUAAAGCCAUAAAUGACAUUGUAUAGUAUUUUUUCCCCCAAAUGAAAACCCUAAAGCGCCAAAUUGAAAGAGAACCCCAAUUUCAAACCCUAACCAGUCAAUGAAUUGAAAUUCACACUUUAUUUCGAUUGGGUCACAAACCAGAUUUUCCCCUCACGAGCCCUAAUUUUUUCUUACGAACCCUAAUUUUUCCCUUUAAUUAAGCAACGCAAAGAGAAACGCACGUUCUUGCCAUGGACGACAAGCAAGGGCAAGAGUGCUAUAGCAAGUAAGUAAUGGCGAAUGAGUGAUAGGGAGAGAUGCAAUGAGGCCAACAUUUUUAGUCAAGUUCAAAGACAUCGCUUUUGCCAUGGAUGGCGCGCGACAUCGUCUUUUUCGUUACCUAGCCACAUUGGACUGAGCCGCAUCAUUUCACAUGUCCACAUGGAUAAGGAUUUUAAAAUUUAUGACAUAUCACUUAAAAAUUUUAUUAACAAAUGCCAUAUAAUCAAUUUGACCAAAAUUUCUCAUCGUUAAUGCUUAAAUAAUUAUUUUUCUCCAAUUUGGUACUUAGUGAGCUAGCGAAAAAAUUUUGAACUUAAAAUAAGCACCGUAAUGACAUUUGACAAUUCCAAUGUCCUUCCGAUUGCAAAUACAUAUGACAAGGGAUUAAGUUGCAAAGACUGUGUCCCCAGAUUUUUAUAGCUAGAAUGUAGAACACAAUAAUGGAGAAAUAAAUAUUUACGCAUCUAAUUUGGAAUCCAUCAUUCUUGAUCGUAGUAACAACAAUCCAGAGCUCAAGUGUUUUUCCUCCAUUACCUUCUAUAUCACUAGUUCAAUUAAACAACCCCUCAUGAAUUACGUUAUGUAACCACUUCUUAUGUGAUAUCUAUGCAUCCAGGUUGAAUAAGAGAGUUGAACACUAUUUAUAAAAAUUUUAACCAGAGAUCCUCUCAGUACAGUCAAGCUUUACUCAAUUCACACAAGCCAACUCCAUAUUAGCCUAAUUAAGAAUCUUUAUAUGUUACCUUAUUAAAUCAAUUAGGGCGCGUUUGGCAACAAUUCUGUUCCCGGGAGCUAAUUUUGACUAUAAAUGAUUAUUUUUUAUUCUGUUCCUGGAAACUAAUUCUAAGUAAAAAAGCGCGUUUGGUAAUUGUCCAAAUUUUUUUAUUCUGGAAUAGAAUUGCGUUUGAUACGUAAUAAUUGAUUCUAUUCCAAAUUAAUUUCUUUUGAUUUUUAAAUAAUUUUUUUGCUCUUUUCCUUUUUUUCUUUUCUUUUUUCCUUUUUUUUUCCCUUUUUUUUUCCCCCUUUUUUCCUAUUAUUCUUCUUCUUCAUCUGGCCGGCGACGCUCACUGGAGCGUCACCGGCCCUCAACGAGGUUGGCCUUCAUCGGUCGAGCCUCGCUGGCAGCUGGGCGAGGCUCGCCCAGCCCCGCCGAGGCUCGGCCUCGCUAGAUCCGCCGAGGCCGAGCCUCACCGGUGGCCAGGCUAGCCUCACCCAGCCUCGACGAGUGGCUAGGCGAGGCUCGCCCAGCCCCGCUGGUGGCCAGGCCAGCCUCGCCAAGGCUGGGCGAGGCCGGCCUAGCCACCAACGAGGCUAGGCCUCGCCAGUGGCUGAGCUUGCCUCUGGCGAGCUCGCCGGACCUCGCCCUGGCUUGGCGAGCCUCCGGCGACCGGCGGCGGAUGGCGAGCAGCGGCGGGUGGCAGCGGGCGGCGGCGGACGGCGGCGGGCAGUGGCGAACGGUAACCGGGAUGACAAAAGGGAAGAGCGAGGUUUCACCGUUUUGAUUCUUUUUCUGAUUCUCGGACAGAGAAUCAAAUUUUUUUUUUUUAUUCUCAAAUCUUGUCCAAAAUUGUUCUCGGGAACAAAAAUUUUACCAAACGCGAUUCUCGUUCCAAAUUAAUUCAGGGAACAAAAAAUCAGAAUCUGGCACUGUUUGGCACGUUGCCAAACAAGCCCUUAAUGUAGCUCUCAUCAUAAAAACUCUUAUAACUAACCCUUCCAUGCCGGUCUAAGCAAGGACAUGCUGGUGGAGAUGGAGAGAUCGCUCACUCUUAUGUCCAUGGAUACAAAGAGAAUUGAUGAUUUCAGGUGGUCCAUGCACGACCCUUGGCAAACAAAAUUCUAAUAAUUUUAGGCAUACUAAAAUCGAUCAAAUAAUGUGAUAAGGCUCUUCUUAGAUGCUUUCUCCAUCUACAACUCCAUGAACCCGGGAACUUGAAACUCCAAAUCUCGCAUCGAGAAUCCAUCCGAUAAUCAUGGGUUUUAUAAUCCCAAUUCUACGAAGCGCCUGUACUUUUGGAAUUCUAGUGGAGUAAAUUUAAUAUCUAAUUACUGUUUUCAUAAUCUGUCUUACCACAUCCAUCCAAUGAAAGUGAGUUAAUUCAUUAAGAUUUGCUUUUUAUGUAGCCCAUGCACGAGUGGCUAAUGAAGAGUACCGACAGUUGGAUAUUUUCACAUGGGAACCGAGGCCUCUUCAAAGGGAUCGAAAUUAGUCAAGACACGUGCAUGGAAAAUUCCGGCCUGUAGUUUCUUUUCUUUAUUUGCCGAGAUUGAGAUUGAGAGAGACCUUGCAUAAUUGAUUGAAGGAAAUAUCUCUUUUUUUUUUUUUUUUGGAUACGCCAUUUUUUGCGUGGUUACCAUUUCAAAGAAAUUUGCCCAAUAAAGCUUCUAAUUGGCGAGUGUCAUUUAUAGAUAUUGUUCACACUUAAACUCCAUUUGUUUCGCAGAAAAUAUAACAUUUUUAUAAAAUAUUUUCUAGAAACCAUUUUCCCUAAAAACGACAAUAUUUUUUAAUAUGUGACUGAAACCUGAAAAUGAACUAAAAUUUUCCUCCGUAAGGUAUGGAAAAUUUGAUCUGAUUUUCAUCUGUGCACUCCUUUUAAUAUUUUUAUUUCUUUUUCUUUAUUUAUUUAUUUUAAUUAAUUUUUUAAUUUUUUUCUUUUUGCAUUUUAAUUUUUUCCACUUUUUUCUUUUCCUCCUCCUUCUUCUUUAGUCAGUCGCCAACCCCAAUGAACAACCAAGGGCAAACUCAAGCCUAUGGUGAGGCUUGUGCUCACCAAUCUGGCAAGUGGCCAGAUUGAGCUCACCAAUCUAGCAAGCGGCGAGCUUGAACUCACUAGAGGCUAACAAGGCCUCAAGCCUCACUUGUGGCUGGCCAAGAAGAAAUGAAAAACAAAGAACGAAAAAAGGAGAAAGAAAAAAGAAAGAAGAGUGGACUAGCAAGGUUGCGUGAGAGUGUUCGAUAAGAGAGAGUGAGGGAGAAAAAUGAUUUCCUCUACUUGAAAAGCCAAAAACAUUUUCUCCUAUUUUAGAAAAAAAUUUCCGUUGACGGAAAAUAUUUUUCCUAACUAAUUCAUUUUCUAUAAAAUAAACGCUGAAAAAUUCAAAAAAAAAUAUUUUUUUUAAAGUUAUUUUCUAUAAACCGAACGAAACCUAGUUUAAAUUAAGUUUUUUAUGCAAGUGAUAUCCAUGCUCUUACUUAAAUCUAGUCACUGGCAAGGCUCUGGCCUAACCGUGGUAAAGUGCUUCGCCCCGCCAAAGUUCGAGCCCCUGAAAGCAACCCGUUAACAGGACCUUUUUAUAUUACCAUAAUUGCAAUGGCUCAAAUAGCCAAAUGUCACAUUCCCAUAUCCACAAAAGUUGUUAUUUCUCAAAUUGAAAGCAAAUCGUUGACUUGAUUACCUCAUAUAUCCUAUUUGAAAGCAUUAUUAUUGCAGAUUUAGCUUUUAAAUUUGCUUUUUUCCACAAAUUUCUAAAAAUACUUCCCUAAACUUUGAAACUUCAAAAAAGUUGAGAAAAAUUGGGAGGGUGCGACAAAAUUAAGGAUGCUCUAGUAAUUUAUUUAGAUAAAAUAUUAUAUCUAUCUAUACUGCUAUGAUAUGAGAGAUUUGCGAAACAAGCUCUCACAAAAAUGUUGACUUCUUUAAAUUCUCCUUCCUUCUUAUCUUCCACAUUUUGGUCCGUGCACGUAUUCAUUUACAAUUUUUUUUUUCUCUUCUUAUCUUCCACGUCUUGUUUUGUGCAAUUAUUCUUUUUAUACCUUUAAGCUCUGAUACAUGCAAGUUUCAUAAAUUAUUAUCGAUAGUAAAAAUAAUUUUUAAUGACUAAUUAUUUUAAGUGAUAUAAAUAAUCAUUUUUAAAAAAAUUCAAAAAAUUCAUUUUCCACGAAACACAUGAAGUCUUAGGAGAAACGCCAAAUUAUCUCACUUUUUCUGUUUUUUAUUAUAGCCGUUUAUUUUAUUAACUAUAGAUCAAAGAGGAAAACAAGGGAAAAUUGACCAAUAAAAAGGACAAGAAGGCGAAAGUACACAGAAGUUAACUACCCAAUUUCUUUAUAAAAAAAAAAAAAGGUGAACUUGGUAACAUUACUUAAUUGUCCUUAUUGUGAAAUCAGCCUCAUCCUUAUACUGUUGGAAAUUUCCUAUAAUAUAAGCUUACAUUAAUUAAUUGAUUUUCUAUUUUAAAUAAUUAGGUUAAUGGAUAUUUCAAUAUUUGUUGAAUCCUAUAGUGAUCUGAUUGAAUUUGGUAUUGGCAUGUAUUAAUAACGGGCUUAGUUGAGCAGUCAAGUGUAGGCAAUUGUGUUUAACUAAAGCCUGUAAUGGGAAGGGCCCAGUUGAUAUGAUGUUGAUUAGGGUUUGCUAGGUCCCCUCUCUAAUCUAUAAAAGGAUAGAUUAUACCUAUCAGUUGCUUUAAAUCCCAUUGAAAGCUGUUAUACUGAAACAAGUCAUAGAGAGAAAGAUCUGGCAUUCCGAUAGAUCACUGGUUAUCAGAUUAAUCUAUUUUCUUCAAGUGAAGCAGUGGCUUAAAUAGGUACGCUUUAAUUCCAUUGUAUUUAUUGAUCUCAGUGUUUUACAAUCAUAUAUGGAUUCAUUUUUUCUUGAUUGAUUAGUUGUUUAUGUGAAUAAAUUGUUUACAUGUGGUAUCAGAGCCUAUCAUAUAUAUCAUUGUAGAACCCAAAUUUUUUUAUGGAAAAAUUCGAAAUUUUCCUCUUUGAGCCGAAUAUGGGCAUUAUUUUAUCGUGUGGAUUUUUUGCUCGAUUGAUCUCGAAACCAUAGGGCUUUUGUUCUACAUGUCGAGAUCUUUCCAAUCAUAUAUAAUUUGUAUAAUUUCGUUGAGAAUUGAUAGAGAAUUUAAAAUUUAAAAUUCUAGGGUUUAUACAUGAAAAGUUCUAGAAUUUUCAAAUUACUUGCAAUUGAUUGAUGUUCAUUGUAAAUCGUUGCAUGGAUAUUGUUAUAUAUGUGUUUUAGCAUCUUUUUGUUGCAUUAAAGUAACCCCUAUCUUCCUCUCCGUUCUCUAGAUUUCGAAAUCCUAAUUUGGAAAACCAUUGCUUCAUGUUUGUUACAUGAUUGUUUUGGCAUGAGCGGUAGGAUACUUAUAGUUUCGACCGGUUGGCAUCAUGCUCUAGUUCUUUUAGAUACUGAUGCGAUAUCAGUUGCUUGGAGUAAUUAUGUGCAUAGUAGCAAUAAUUUGUCUAAAGUAUGUUUUAACCUUUUGUGUACAGCUACUAUGUUCACAAUGAAUUUAUCUCCGGAACUAGUGGCUGCCUAGCAUGUGUGGGUAUUGCUAGGAUUUAUGUACAAAAGUUGUCAACUAACUUGACAUGUGCAUUACACAAGCUGAGCAACGUUAGACGCACCUCUUUUUCUCUCGCUUAUGUUAGAGUUUUCUCUCGCGUGAUGUUCGAGCUCUUCACCAUGUCUUCGAUUUCCUCAGUUCCUUCUCUGAACUUUGCGGUCUUUAUGCACCGUCGUCGUUCUCCGCCCAUUUCCCCUUAGCUGUUUCUCCUCGUCCUUCCUCCUUCUGCAUGUGCAAAUUCUUCUAUUCCCUUCUUCUAUCACAGUUCCAUGGGUCCGUGGUUUUGUUCUCCUGCAAUCCGCUCUGCAUGUUGCCGAUCUGUAACAUGCAAUCUUGGCAACUUUUCGAUUUAGUCAUCUGUUCUUUCAAUUCUCCAUAUUAACGUAUUUCUAUUCCCUUUCCUAAUGGAAGACAGUGAUACUACCUCACGAAUUGCUUCCCUCUGUAAUCGCCUGGGCCGUUUAUGCUCAGAACAGCCGUUGGAGGUUUGGGAUAACAUCCCUGCGUCGGCCAAACUAACGGAUUGUCGUCUCAUUCUGGUAGGCAACAUCUUUACCAAUCCUUCUGUCAAUUUAUCUGCCUUUCAAGUUGCUAUGAAGAAAGCCUGGAGAAUGGAUCAUGUAGACAUCACUUCGGCAGAUACAGGGUUAUAUAUCAUCAAAUUUAGAACAGCAGUGGAGAAGCGUCGUAUUCUGGAUGGUAGCCCUUGGUUAUUUUCUGGUCACUUAGUUAACCUACGCCCAUGGCAACCUAAUACUCCAUUGCAACAGUAUGAUUUCAGAAAAUGUAGGUUUUUGGUGCAUGUUAUUGGCUUACCUUUGGAGUGGACUACUCCACCUAUUUUGCGUCGAGCUGCAUCCCAGAUAGGUAACGUACUGGAGGUGAAAACAGAUAUUUCUGCAAGAAUACGGAUUGAGUUAGAUUUGAAAGAUCCUCUGAAAAAUGGUAAACUUAUCAGUAUUGAAGGUAAAACCGUAUGGCUUGAUUUUCGGUAUGAGAGACUGUCUCAUUAUUGCUACUCCUGUGGCCGACUUGGUCACUAUGCAACUUCCUGUCCCGAGUUCCCAUAUGUUGAAACACAAUUUGAUGGUCGUGACACGAUGGUUUAUGGACCUUGGCUCAGAGCAGAGCUUAAGCAAUUUAGCCCUUACUGGGAUGCCUUUUACAAUCCUAAAAUACAAGGUGAGUCCAUGGAAGAGACAGUACCUGAAACUCCUCCUCAAAUGCAGCUUGCUCUUCCAGCUCUCCCUCCUAUCCCUGCUACAGAGGUUGUUACUUCGAACCCUGAAUUACCUCAAGGGGCUUCCAAACAAUGGCAUCCGGUUACCUCCACGGCUCUCACUACUGAUUUAGUACCUGCAGCAGCAAAGAUGAAAAACACUCAGACUUUUCCAGUGGAAACUCAACAGCAGAAGAGGCCGAAGAUUCCUCGGCCAAUGCCACAUGGGGGUUCCAGUAAGAAAACAAAAAGAUACACACCAUAUGAACUUAAAGUUCCAAACUCAACAGCUCUUGAUGAGUCCCUCCUUCUUGAUACUCCGGUUGUGGAGGCAGAUAUCCCUGAUCCUUGGGCUUUGGCGGCUGGCCCUCAACAACCACCGUGUUCCAAAUGAAGCUCCUCAGUUGGAAUUGUCAGGGGUUGGGCAAUCCCCUGACAAUUCAAGCCCUAAAGGCGAUGGUAACCUGUGAUAAGCCUGAUUUUGUGUUUUUAAUGGAAACGAAGAAGGAUAAACACUUCGUAUCUAAGAUUCAGCGUAAGUUAAAAUUUUCUAACUCUUUUGUGAAGGAUCCUGAUGGUUUAAAGGGUGGUCUGGCUCUGUUAUGGAAUGAUAAUUUCGAAGUUACCUUGGUCUAUUCGGAUGAUCAGUUUGUUGAUUUUGUUGCACUUGAUCCUAGGACAAACUCUUCCAUGCAUAUCACUUGCCUACACGCACCUCCAAUAUAUCAGCUACGUCAGGAAUUCUGGAAUACUAUUCGAGUUAUUCAUGCUGCAAAUCACUUACCGUGGCUGUGUAUAGGUGAUUUCAAUGACUUCCUUUCUCCUUGGGAAAAAAUGGGCAAGCGACCACCAAUUACUUCGUGUAUGACUUCCUUUCGGAAUGUGAUCAAUGAUUGCGCAUUACUCGAAAUACAAAGUAAAGGUUGUGAAUUUACCUGGUCCAAUAAUCGCGAAGGGGAUGCUCUAGUAAAGGAGAAGUUGGAUCGUGUAUUUUGUUCACUGGAAUGGUUGAUGGUUUACCCCUCUGCAGAAGCAUUUGCCCUUCCGUCUGUUGGUUCUGAUCAUUGUCCUAUCUUGCUGCAAGCUCGGCCAUCAUCUGUCAAACGCGCAAAGACUUUUCAAUAUGAAGCUUUCUGGAACCAAGACACAGAGUGUAAAGACAUGGUUCAACAGGCUUGGAACAAUAAUAGUACCUCAUUGAUAUCCAAAUUACAGGCAGUUGCAACGCGGUUAACAAGAUGGAGUAAAGCUCGGUUCAGUAAUUGUCAUCAACGCAUCCAUCACUUGCAAUCUCAACUGCAGAUGAUUAUAAAUAGAACAUCCUAUCAGGAAGGGGAUAAGGAGUAUGCCAAUGCAAUACGAUUUGAAAUUCAGAAACUAUGGACUCAAGAUGAACAGUUCUGGGCUAUGCGUUCUCGUAUUCAAUGGUUGAAGUGGGGCGAUCAUAACUCAAAGUUCUUCCAUGCACAUACUAUGCAACGAAGACAACGAAAUCGAAUUACUAUGUUAAUGGAUACUCACCAGCAAUGGAUCAGAGAACCAGAACAGCUAAAAGAACUCACCGAGGGCUUCUUCUCUCAGCUUUACCGAUCUGUAGGCCACAGGGCUUUUAGGCCUUUCCUAGAUCAAUGUCCACCAGUGGUAACUCCUGAAAUGAAUACACAGUUGAUGAGCAGGGUCACAGAGGAGGAGAUUUACCAGGCUACCUUCCAGUUGGGAGCGUCAAAGGCUCCUGGUCCUGAUGGUCUUCCAGGCCUCUUCUAUCGGCAUCACUGGCACGUUAUCAAAGCAACUGUAAUUAAAACAGUACAUGAGUUCUUUACCACAGGUUAUAUGCCCCCUACUCUAAAUAGAACAAUCAUUGCUCUAGUCCCUAAAGUCCAGCAUCCAGAAAGUAUAGAACAAUACCGUCCCAUCAGUCUUUGCAACUUUGCUUAUAAGAUCAUAUCUAAAAUUAUGGCCAACAGACUUAAACCUUUACUGUCUAUUUUGAUUUCCAAAGAGCAAGCAGCAUUUAUUAGCAAUAGACAGAUUUAGGACAAUAUUAUGGUGGUUCAAGAAGUCAUGCAUCAAUUUAAAGUGCGAGCAUGCAAGAAACGCUUCAAUCUUAUUCUCAAAACAGACAUGCAGAAAGCUUACGAUAGGGUUGAAUGGGACUUUUUAGAAGCCUAUUUGAAGCAAUUGGGAUUCCAUGACAGCUGGGUUACUCAGGUAAUGGCUUGUGUUACUACAGUCUCGUUUAGUGUUCGAUUUAAUGGUGAACAGCUCCCUUAUUUUAAACCUACUCGAGGGAUUCGCCAGGGAGAUCCCCUCUCUCCAUAUCUCUUCAUUUUAAUUGCAAAUGCCCUAUCCACUACUCUUACUCAAGCUGUUGCUAUUGGCCAUAUAAAGGGGAUUCAAUUCAAUCGAGACUGUCCUAAAUUAUCUCACCUCUUUUUUGCUGAUGAUUCAGUAUUUUUCCUCAAAGCCACUCUCUCUGAAUGCCAUAACCUUGCCAAUCUCCUAAACCAAUAUUGUGUUGCUACAGGACAGCUUAUUAAUAGAAACAAAUCUGGUGUGUUUUUCAGCAAAUACUGUCCUAUUUCAUUACAACAAAAUCUUGCACAAGAAUUAAGGGUCCCUAUUCUCAGUAAGUAUGGUAAAUACCUGGGCAUUCCCUCGGAUUGGGGCCGUUCCAAAAAGGAGAUGUUUUCCUGGAUCCUGGCACGAGUAAAUGCUAAGUUAGCAGGUUGGCAGGAAAAAUUUUUAUCGAAAGGAGGCAAGGAAAUCUUAUUGAAAUCAGUAAUUCAAGCCUUACCACAGUAUGCCAUGUCUAUCUUCAAGCUUCCGCUGUCUCUCUGCAGAUUGAUUGAACGAAAGAUCUCAGCAUUCUGGUGGAGUAAACAAAAUAGCCAAUCUGGAAUUCACUGGAAACAAUGGUCAGAAUUAAAGCUCUCAAAAGUUGCAGGGGGGAUGGGAUUUAGAGAUUUAAUCAACUUUAACAAUGCAAUGCUUGGAAAGCAAGCAUGGCGUUUAUUUCAGCAACCUCAAGCUAUCUGGAGUCAGCUCUUUAAGGGUUUAUAUUUUCGCUAUUCCUCUUUUCAAUAUGCUCCCUCAGGACAUCGUCCUUCUUGGGGAUGGCAGAGUUUAUUAAGGGGUCGUCAAGCAAUUACUCCUAAACUACGGUGGUUAGUAGGAGAUGGCACGAAGAUACAUAUCAGACAAGAUAAUUGGUUACCAUUAGGCCCGAUAGGAGGCUUACCAGAGAUAGGGGAACUUGAUCGAGUGGCUGACCUCAUUGAUUUUCCGCAUUCCGAAUGGAAGUCCACGCUUGUUACUGCAUUCUUUGAUGAUCAGGUAAGUAAGGCAAUUCUCAAUACCCCCAUCAAUCCGUCUCUCCUUCAGGAUCAACUAGUUUGGACAGAAACUCCUUCUGGUACCUACACAGUAAAGAGUUGUUAUCAUUCUCUUUCUACACAAUCUCAGCCACCACUAAACCAGCCCUCAUCCUCGUAUACUAACCCACCCAUGUUAUGGAGGAAAAUUUGGCACAUGUGUACAGCCCCAAAGCUUAAGGUUUUUCUCUGGUUAGCUUGCAAAAAUGCCAUUGCUACAAAACUUAAUCUUUAUCAACGCCAUAUCACCCCUCACCCCUUUUGUUCUCUAUGCAAUAAUUCUGUCCCGGAAUCAGUAGAGCAUAUCUUUUUUUUCUGUCCAUGGACAACUGAAAUUUGGACUCACGAAGACAUUAGUGUCAAAAUUUUACCUACCUCAGUGAGCCGAUUUGAUGCAUGGUUAGUAGAAAGAGCUUCCCUCCCACACGCAUCUCCUGAGUUUGCUGUGAUCGCUCAUCUUCUGUGGGAGAUCUGGAGACAACGGAAUAAUGCUAUCUUUCGCCAGAUCCCUCUUGAUCCCCGCCAGGCCGUCAAUGAUGCCCUAGCCCAAAACACCAUCUUCAAGUUUUUACAGUCCUCGCCACAGAAGAUGGAAAAGACGAUGGUCAGUUCUGAAUAUAGAUGGCAACCACCAGCGGAUGGGUAUAUUAAGUGUAAUAUUGAUGGGGCUUUUCGCCAAGAAUCGGAGAAAGGAUCAAUCGCUUGUGUUUUCAGAGAUAGUAGAGGCAUUUUAACAGAUAUGCUUACCCAAUCUGUGCCUGCACAAUCGGCGUUCCAAGCGGAGAUUUACGCCCUCAUAUUUGCUAUUCAACGGCUGCUCCACAAGAAUCUCCAUCCUCAGCAUGUUGUGAUCAAAUCGGACUGCUCAACACUGGUGGAGAUCAUUCGGAUGAACCAGACGCCGCCAUGGAAGGAACGUCCUCUAUUUGCGACUCUCAGCGCUCUUCUUCAGCGAUGCCCUAGCAUUUCGCUUCAACACGUUCGUCGACAGGCAAAUGGUGCAGCGGACUGGGCCGCUAAGGCCCACAGGGAUCAUGGCCCUCCAACAAACUGGCUUCUUUUCCCGCCUUCUAAUUUCCUCAAUAUUAUCUCUUCGGAUGCUUCGGCUCUUAUGUGUAAUGUUACCUAAUAUAUUACAAGUUAUCCUUUUACCAAAAAAAAAAAAACUUGACAUGUGCAUCAUUUAUCUAUAGAACUGCGUUUUUUUUUUUUUUUUUACAAUUCUGUCGAUUGAAGUGUUGAACAGUAAUGGGUUGACUAUCGAUAGUUGAUUUCUCGAUAGACAUUUAUGCAACUCCCAGUAAAAGAACUCAAAUCUAUAUUUUUAGCGUGAUUUGUGCUUUGUGGUUAAUCAUCUUCUUGUUUGAAAGUGGCGGUGAGAUCCCAAGGGAGGUUACAAUCACAGUAACUGGUUGUCUGAAAUUUGUCAAAUUUUUGGGUUUUGUCAGUUUUUGAAUCGGUUUGUGAGAUGGAUUUCGAUGUUGGAGCAUGGCGGGUUUAGGUAUUGGGAAAUCCCAUGAUGCGGUCUUCUUGAACGUUGUGCUUAAAGUAGCAUAAAUUAAAGUAAAUUUUAGAUUGUUUAAAAUUGGGAGGAUCUGAUUCUUUAGUAUAUAAAUCUUUGUACUAAAGAUAUGAUUAUUUAUUUAAUUAUUCUUUGUUCUUCCUCUUUGGGUGAUCAAGUUAGAGAAUGAUCUUGAAUUUGCAUCAUGUACAUGUUGUGCGGGAUCAUCAGCUGUGGGAGGAUCUGAUUCUUUAGUAUAUAAAUCUUUGUACUAAGGAUAUGAUUAUUUAUUUAAUUGUUCUUUGUUCUUCCUCUUUGGGUGAUCAAGUUAGAGAAUGAUCUUGAAUUUGCAUCACAUACGUGUUGUGCGGGAUCAUCAGCCGUGGGAUUGAUUUAUGUAUCGUUGGUCGGUUGUUGAUGACUUUCUCUUCUGUCCUUAGUGUUGAGUGGCGUGCCCUUGUUCUGAUUAUUUAUAUGUUACUAAUUUGAAAAAUAUAUGGCACUGCUUCUUGUCGCCCAUUGUCAAAAAGCUUCGCAUACGAGUAGUUUGAAUCUCGGGCGGUUUUACUCGAACCUUUUAACUUCUCUUGACUUGGCUCAAAUCAUCUUUCCUGAAGAACCAUUGAUUGAAACUUCUUUAAAUAUGAUUUUAGAGUUUGAUAGUUCUGACUAGAUUGCACUGUUAAACUGGGGAAUUGACAUGGGAGAUCUUUUGGAUUGUUCCCUCUUAGAACAAGAAAAAGAAGAAAAAAAUCAUAUAGAAUAUAGAGCAUUAUGUUAUCUUGCCAAAUGUGUUUUGUUCAUUGCUACUGAUUUCGGGCCAAAUGUUCACCCUUACUUUGAUGCACACAAGGAAGGGGUGGUAACAGAGGAGCAGGAGAAUAUAUGUGCUGAUGUAUUUAAAGGGUAGUGCACGAUUUUUUUUUUUUUCAUAGUGCCUUUACUCAUAAGACCAAAGCAACACCUUUUAACUGGUAUUCAUGGUUUAGGGUGAACCCUAGUUGUUGGAUUGAUUGGAGGCAGCAAAACAGGUUUUGUGGGAAAGGAUCAUGGCAUUGUGCCACAGUUGUGGUUUUUCUAAAUUUUGCUUUGCAGUACCUUAAAUAGGAAAGAAGCUUCAAUGCCUCAUCAGGCCUAUUCCGACCACGGGGAAAAGUCUGUUUGGCUUAUUAAGUUCUUUAGCCUCCAAAACUUUGUACAUGAGAAAUGAAAUUAUUCUUAUUGUUAAGACAUUCCGAAAAGAUUCUAGAUGACUAUACGUCUCAAUACUUGUAUAUUUAAAGGGUUUCAGGUAUUUGACUGUGAAUCAAAGUCCAGUUUCAAACUCUACAAGAAAAGUAAGAAGGGAAAAGUAAAAAGUGAAGCCAGUCCCUAUUCUGGAAAUCAAUUUUCUAAUUGAUGAUUAUUUACCCUGGAAGAAAAUAGAAAUCGUAACAAUUCAUUUGUUCAUUGUUGGUAAACUAGUCAUGGAAAUUAGUGUAUGUGCCUUUCUUUUGUCCAAAAAUUUAGUAUUUACUAUUACUGGCACUUAUUUUGUUGUAAGUGCUCAAUUGGGUGAAGCAUUCUACUAUCUUAUCUAGUGAAGGUUCUUAGAUGGUAAUAUUCACAUAAGUUGGUGAUUAUCAUGGUCUUUCUGGUGACUUUCCAACUAGUCUUAGAAAUAAGGAGAAUAACUAUUUCAUGCUGAAAAUUACUGCCCAUUGACUGCAACAUAGAAAUCUAUUAAUUCAAAAGAAACUUGGCUAGCUGGAUGAUACACUAUUUAUGAUAUAGCUCUUGGAAAUUUGUUUUUUUUUUUUUUAAAUGAACCUCAUUGGAACCUCUAUUAUGCUAUUACAUAGUGGUUCAUUCUCUACAAACUAAUUCGAAAUUAAUGAUGGAAGUUGAAAUUCGGCAUUUGAUUGAUCAGAGAAUUUGAUCGAUAUCCCAAGCUUUCAUGGUUUACUAUUUUGCUCGAGUAUCUUGUUAAACAAAUGCACACAAUAUCAUUGGUGUACCAGUGGCGGUCUUGAACAGGGGAACGAGUUCUUUGGAUUAUUUGCCACAAGAAAGCAUUGGUAUAUUCAUAAUGGUGCAUAGGUUUUAUCAUUAAUAAUAAUAAUAAUAAUAAUAAUAAUAAUAAUAAUAAUUAUUAUUAUUAUUAUUAUUAUUAUAAUAAUAAUAAUAAUAAUAAUAAUAAUAAUAAUUAUUAUUAUUAUUAUUAUUAUUAUUAUUAUUAUUAUUAUUAUUAUUAUUAUUAUUAUUAUUAUUAUUAUUAUUAUUAUCUUUAUUUUUAUUAUUAUUUUAUUUGAGGAUGUACCUAUCUAAUGCGUAAAAUUACAGUCGCCAAAAAUCGUAGUUGAUGUGAUCAUAUUUCUUGAUGGGGUCAAAGAAUGAAUCUUGUAAAAUUGCCUAGAUUAUGUUGACCUUCUCAAGUUGGUUGUCAUUUGGUUAUGAAGAGUUUUUAAGAACUCUUCUCUGCCUUCAAAUGUAAGUGAGUGUUUCUUCCCACUCAAAGUACAAAUUAGAGUAGUGAGUUAAAAUAAAAUAAAUAAAAAAAAUCGUGGCAAAAAUUGUUGCUUGAUAAAUGCAAUAUGAUCUUGGAAAGCACAUGUUGUAAAAUGCUUCAUAUUGUUUGAUAAAUUUUGGGCAUAAAUUAUUGGAGUUCCCUAUUGAUAAAAAAAUUAGUAUAUACAAUUACUCGUCCAAUGGGAGUUAUUGUGUAUAUUAAUUUAGAAUAUACCAUGAAGUUUAAUUCCCAUAUUUAAAAGAUGCGGAUGUAUAAUUGAAAAAUAUUUAUCUGCCCAAAAGGGAUAAAUGUUUUGAAAAUUAUAUGUAAUUCCCCUCUAUAUUGAUAUUAUUGAGAUAUAUAAUUUAAAGGAUUUGUCUGCCCAAUGGAGAUGGAUCCUUGACAAUUAUAUGUAAUUCUCCUUGUUGUUGCUUUAUAAACUUCAUGCUGUGAAAAAUAAUUGUGCAUUAUACACUUUGCCCAAAGGGGAGUUUAUAAUGUACUGAUUAUUUUUCUUGAAAUACUUAUUGCCCAUAAUUGAUCUUAUUGCAUUAUGUGUGAUAAAUAGUUACUUUUGCUAUAAAUAACAACAAUGCCACGGUUGAAAUGUUAAUUGGAUCAAAUAUUAUACUGUUAAGGACUUAGUCAAAAAGGGAGACAUUGUGAUUCGGAAUAUUAGAAGUGAGUCCAUGUUGGUUGAUCCUCUAACAAAAAGGCUUACGACCCAUUUUGUUUAAAGAACACGUAAAGAAUAUGGGUGUCUUAGGUUCUUUUGAUUUCUUUUGUUAAUGGGAGUUAUAUAAUUUGUAUUUCUGGAUAUUAUAGUUAUAUGCAGAUUGAUAAUGCUUUUAUGAUGUUUAUCAAAACAUUUAUUUUCAAUGAUUGUUGUUAUUGAUUCUAUUAUUAUCCUUUCUCCUGUCGACUGAGAAAUAGAAGUAUAAACAAUAUCUUUAAACAAAUUUUAGUUUUAAGAUAACUGGAUGUCAUUGACUAUGAGAUCUUAUAUUGGGUUGUGACAUAGUUGUGCAAUUUCAUAUUUAGAAAUUGCAUUGAGGACUGAUAAGAAAUAAUGUAUAUUUUGAUCACAUGUUGGCACUAUUUCUUAUUACACUACUAGGCCCAUGAUACAUGAAAAUAUAAUGCUUAUUAUAUGUGAUUAUGGAAUGUCAUGUGUUGUGGUAUUUUAUUAACACAUUGAUUUCCAUAGUCCUAUACUGAGGUUAUAUAGGAUUGGAUUGGUUUUGAGAUGCUGUUAAUGGAAUAUUAUUUUUAAAGGCGUGGCCACAUAAAACAAAACUUUCAGUUAUUAACCCAAUAGUGUAGUUUUCAAUAUAAAAUAUUUUUCAAAAUAAAAUAAGUUAAUUAAUAUAGCCCAAGUGGGAGAAUGUUAGAAAUUUCCUAUAAUAUGGGCUUACAUUAAUUAAUUGAUUUUCUAUUUUAAAUAAUUGGGUUAAUGGACAUUCCAAUAUUUGUUGAACCCUACAGUGAUCUGAUUGAAUUUGGUAUUGACAUCUAUUAAUAACGGGCUUAGUUGAGCAGCAAAGUGUAGGCAAUUGUAUUUAACUAAAGCCCAUAAUGAAAAGGGCCCGGUUGACACGCUGUUGAUUAGAGUUUGCUAAGUCCCUCUCUAGGUUAUACCUAUCAGUUGCUUUAAAUCCCAUUAAAAGCUGCUAUACUGAAAUAGAUCAUAGAGAGGAAGAUCUGAUAUUCCGAUAGAUCAUUGGUCAUCAUAUUGAUCUAUUUUCUUCAAGUGAAGCAAUAACUCAAACAUGUACGCUUUAAUUUCGUCGUGUUUAUUGAUCUCAGUGUUUACAAUCAUAUAUGGAUCCGUUUUUUCUUGAUUGAUUAGUUGUUUAUGUGAAUAAAUUUUCUACAUGCACUCUAUGUGAUAAAUUUAAGAAUGCUUCUCUAUUUUCUUAUAUAUUCAGAAAAAUUUGCAGAAUAAAAUGUCCAGUUCUUUUUUUUUUUUAAUUUCUUCAUGCAAAUAAAUUUUAACAUCUAUUAUUAGUUUACAAGCCGCACAAGAAAUGAAAAUUAAUUGCGCAUCACGUAUCGCGUGCUUGAAACUAGUUAGUGUAGUAAAUCAUUGACUCCCCAAACCCAAAACCCUUUGAGUUGAGAUAUUUAAAGAAAAUAUCAAAAUUUAUUUCCUUAACGAUUAGCAACUGACCUGGACUCAUGGUUUUCACCCGAGGUGGAUUGGUGGUUUCGUGAUUACCUUUUCAAAUGUCACAACGACUCUUGGUACAAUGAAUCCGUGAGAUAUUUUCCCAAAGAACUCCAAGGACUAUCGCUCCAUGAGUGGCCCAAAGAUAGAAAAAAAAAAUGUGAGUGCUUUGAGUUUGAGGUAUCUGUUUAGAUUCCUAACUUUCGGAAUCGGACAAGAUUUUGAUGAUCAAUGUUGAAAAGAAUUGCUCUUGCAAAAGUAGACUUUUCAGUACUAUUACAUUCCUUAGAACCAUAGGCACCAAAGAAAUCUUAAUCAUAUCACAUUGAUACAGAUUCAGUUCUAAACCUUUUAAUUUGACUAAUUUAAUACUAAAUCUUUUGUAUUUUUGUUAAUUGAGUCUAUCCAGUCGAUUUUUCUAAGAAAUCGCUAACAUGAAUGACAACCGCCUUACGUGAUACGAUCAACACUGACAUUGACAAUUUUACAAUCUUUUAAUAUUUUCUAAACUUUAUUUUAUUUUUUUUCUUCAUUACGGCUGGCAAGGGUCACUAGCAACUCAAGGGCCUACGAGCCCUCACCGACCACUAGUGAGUGUCAUGACCAUUGCCCAGGUCACAAGUUGAGUCCUCGCUAAAUCCCAUUCGAUUCAAUGAACAUUGUCACUCACUUGAUUGUGUUGUUAGUUUCAUCUCCGCACCUAUGACCCAAAGAAGAAAUCGUUUUGAUUUAUAGGUGAGAAAAAAUAAUAGAGGGAAUUUGAAGCAAAGCAGCAAUCUUGUACCAGCACAAACAGGCCCGGUUCAUAGUCGGCAAGAGUCGCUCUCACUGAAUUUGGCGAGGGCUCAACCCUCUCGGCUUGGGCAAGGGCUUGUAGGAUGGCUAGUAUCCAUGUCAAUAAUUUUCCAGUCACAAUUUGCUAGAUGGACUCAUUAUGUAAAGAUGCAAAAUGUUUAAAAUUGACUUUGUUCAAUUGAAAGGUUUGAGUACCAAUUUAAUAAGUUUUUGAUUUUUUUUUAUACUUAGAUCUCAAAGGCGGUAAAGAAAUUUGAGAUUUUUUCUUUUUUUUUUGGAUUUGAUCUCGUAUUUAUAGAAGACUAGAGGGCAUCAGAAUUAUGUGUUUUCGGAUCACAACAUAUUCAUUAUUAACUUAAUCUAACUUGAUUAACAUCAAUGCUGAAGCGAUCCUAUAAUCAUUUCCAUGGAGAAAUUGUUAAUGGUGAUCGAACUUAAAACAUAGGAAGUAAGAACAGUCCUCGUUCUUGCACAACCAAGAGAAAGAUGGACAGGAAAAAGACCUUUGAUUUUGAUUGUUGGUCUUGUUGAAUGGCAGAGGCAUGUUAAUGUCUUGAAUGUUAGGAAAAACUUUCGCAGUCUUCUUCAAGGUGUUCAGCCGACGAGAGAACUUUCCAUCCAAUUACAUCAUGGCCUUUCCCACUUUGUUUCGCUUUCCUUUCGUGGAAAAAUGGGUAUAAAUCUUCGGAUCAUUUAUGGUCCACGUGGAGGUUGACCAUCGCUUAAUGUUCACGUACCGUUUUAUAGUUCAUGUCAAUUCAUAUCCAUUUAUAAAAUAUCUUGGUUUUGAUUCUACACGCUGAACGUGGGAAUUAUGAUGAAAUCAAGUUAAUUCGUAUUAAUUAGUGUCCUCAUAUAGAAUUUAGACAUAUCAUGUCGUCCUAUAUUCGAUUUUUUCUUUGUAAGUUGUGUUUAAUCUCGUUUCUGAAAAUGGGUCUCCAAUGUUUGCCGAUCUAACUUGUAGGCAAAUCCCCCCCCCCCCCCUCUUUUCCUUUGGUCGAUAUCAUACUCAAGUCGAACAAUAAAAGGAAUAGCAUAAAAAGAUUCUCGAGAAAUUCUAUGUUCCAGCAUCCAGUCAUGAGGCCAAUAUAACCAUUGGAUAAAAAAGGAAUAAAUUGAAAAUAAUGGCAAUUCACUGGAGUAUAAGGAAAGUCGACGACUAUAGGAGUGUCAAAGUUAUAAUUGAGUUAAAAAAAAUUACGACAACUAGAACAAUUACUCAUUAAUAAGCUCUUUACAUUGGAUGGAUUGUAAAAGGUUUUACAAUCGUUGAGGAAAGUUUAUAAGAACAGGAAAAGAGAGAGAGAUAUAUCAAUAAGUAUCAACAGUUCUCAUGCUAACAAACUCUAUAAUCAAAUUAUUGCUUAGGGAAACACGUUAGUCAUUGUUGAUGCAAUCAAGGUUAGGACGACUUCACCUAAAUUAUCAAAAAUUGAGGAAAUCUUAAGUGAUAAUUUCUUUAUUCCAAAGGGAAAAAGUCACAAAAAAAAAAAAAAUCAAACUAUACCUACCAUAAUACAUUUAUCCCGAAUUUUAUGCCCACUGCAACCCCGUUAUCCUAAAUUUUUUCUUUUAACAUAAAAAACCCAAACUUAGGGUGCGUUUGGCACCAGCUUUGCCAAGUACCUUUGGGUACCCAAAGCCCAUUUGCCCAAAUAUUUGGUGUUUGGGAAAAAAAUUUAGACCUACCUUGAAGAAAUGCUGGCCUUCCAAAGGCUAAAAGCCCAAGGCAGGUCCUAGGCUGCCUUGGGCUUUUAGCAUUUUCGGAAGGCCCGAUGCGCUGUUCAUCUUCCUCUUCGUCGAAUUCUCAGAUGUUGGCAGGCGAGGUGGCGACUCGGCCGGCAAGGUGGCGAUGGGUCGGCGACGGGUUGGAGAGAGGCCAACAACCGUCGCUGACCAGUUGCGCGACCCAGAUCUAGGUCGCAUCGGUUGCCUAGGUCGCGGCGACCCAGAUCUGGGUCGCAGAGGUCGCCGGAGGUCGUGGCAACCCAGAUCUGGGUCGCGGAGGUCGCCGGAGGUCGCGGCGACCCAGAUCUGGGUCGCGGAGGUCGCCGGAGGUCACGGCGAUCCAGGCGACCCAGGGCCUCGCCGCAACCUAGAUCCUCAGCGACCUCAUGGUGACCUUCGCGGCGCAGUGGGUUGCACGACGGCGCGGCGAGGGUCGCCGCGACCCUCGCCAGAUCGCCUACCCUUCGUUGGCACGAAGCCUUGGCCGACGGUCACCGGCGAAGCCUUGGUCGGCCAACUUUCCUUUUUUUUUUAAAUAAUAAAAGUAUUUUGCAAAUUUAAUUUACCCAAACACUAUUUUGCACAAGUAUACUUCGCAAUGGACUUUCACAAAUAAAUUUACCAAACACACUUUGCAUUUUGAAAAACACCCUUGACUCAAAGGCUUUUACAUUUUCUCAAGAACUUUCCCCAAAAGUCUUCCCAAACGCACCAUUAUGCUCUGAUAUCAUGAAUGGACCUAAACUUAGAACCAUGGAAGGAGAGUAAAUUUUCUGCAGGUAUGCAUCCCACAUUGGGCGAACAACUCCCGUUCAAGCCCUUCAAGGACAGCCUGUUAACAGAAAACCACUCGCCCUUUAGUUUAGAGCUUAGAGACACUCAGAGAUGCCAGGAUGGAAGCAUUUCUAACCUACCCAAGCUGCAUUUCUUGGAGGAUCCUACCAGGCUGGAGAAGAAGAGGAGUUUAGAAAGCCAACAGGUUGUCCCUAAAGGGCUUGAACGGGAGUUGUUCACCCAUUGUGGGAUGCAUACCUGCAGAAAAUUUACUCUCCUUCCCUGGUUCUAAGUUUAGGUCCAUUCAUGGUAUCAGAGCCAUGGUUUUGUUUUUGAUAUUAUCCAUUCCAUGUUGACAGGUGAAUCCAGUGCUGAGAAGAUCUUUUCUCAUCAUGUCCAUAGAACCAGAAAUUCUUGAGGCACCAGUUUCUCUUGCUCCUUCUUCUUCAUCUUCAACACCUCCAGAAUUUCGUGUUUCUAAUGCUUCUAAGAUAGAUUAUCUCUAUGAAGUCUCUCUUAGCGAUGAAACCAAGAUUUCUGAAACCCAACUUCCUCUCAUGAAUCCUUACUCCGCCUUUGCCAAACCAAACUCGUCAUUUUCACCCAUCCGGUCCAUUUGCCAGCUCAUUCAUCAAACCCCAAAGCAAGUAAAGGAGUACGUCCAGUCCUCCAAAUUCGACCAACAUCCUAUUCCUGCUACUGAAAAUGAGUACUUUGUUACUCUCCAGAUCCCUCCAGAAUUUCCCAGACAAUAGGUUCAACAGGAAUAUUCUCAUGUCCAUUAUGGAGCUGUUCGUCUUGCUCUUACCUUUCAUGGCCGUAAAGGUUUGCCAGUUGUGGAAAGAAUAGCAUUGUUGGAUACCAGGUUUUUACAAUACCAGCAUGCUUGCAUCGGUACUGUACAAACAACUUUGAAUACUAGAAUAGUCUUUGUAACUCUAUAUCCAAACUUCAACAUCGCCCUUUCAAACCCCCAGUUACUUUCAUUUCUGAAAGUCCAAGUCCAGCUCACUAGAGCUCCUCAAACUGCUAACUCUGUAGCUGCAACUCUACAUUAUCAGAUGGUUUAUCGAGUGUAGAACCAUGCACUUGACCUCAACUUCAACAAUGGUAAUGAAGAUGCUUUGUUUAUCUCUAUGCAGAAUGACCAGGCAUCAUGUAUCCAUGUUCCCAGACAAAUCCCGAAGGAUACACUGGCCAAGCUCCUUCCAGAGACCUAGAUCACCAACUAUGAAAAGCUACACCAGCAUAACAAGCCUUUCCAGUCUACGAACUCAGAGUUCGUACGAAAAAAAAUAUGGAACUGUUUCCAUCAAAUUUGGCAAGGAAAAUGAAAAAAGCCCUUCUAUCUUACAGACCCUCUUCAUGAUUGAACCAUGUGUUCCUCAAUCUAUUUCCGAGCCAGACCCAAAAAAGCUUGUUAGACACUUUAACGGUGAUGGACAUCCUGUCCAUUACUACAAAGACAACUAUGGUCAUUGUUUUUGAGAUCCCUUUUGUCAAUGUUCUAUUGUACAAAUUCUCCUGACGAGGUAGACCCUUUUGCAAGACCUCCACCUCGACGGAAAAGGCCAAAGGAUAAGGUGUACCAAAGGUACUUAGACGGAGAUUCCUCCGUUGAUACUCUCGGUGAAUGUGACAAAUAUCAGUUCAUGGUUUCUUAUGCACCACCUCCACCGCCAGAGGUCAGUACUACAUCCCAAGCCUUACCAGAUCCACCAAAAACACCUCCACCAUCUCCUCCCAAAAAAAAGCAAGCUCUCUCUCUCCAUUUUAUAAGCCAAUCCUCAAAUGGGCUAAGAAGCACUCUUACCCCCUUGAAGUUCCAGCAGAAGCACCACCCACUUCUUCUAUCGCCAUGUUCCAGGAUACAGAUUUUCCUCCUCUUGUCAAGGAAAGUUCUAAACUCCCGUUCCCUGCUGCAUAAGAGUUUAUUGAUCCCCAUGGCAGAUACCGCCAUGUUCCUAAAAUCCCUACUCCCACUGAUGUGGAUGAACAUGGAAGACAGAAAAAAAAACCCCUGCGGCUGAAGCCGUUCUAAAUUGGCAAUCAGAGACUUUGUUGGCACAAAACAAUCCUUUAAGGCAAUGGAUUCCAAAAUUGGAAAUGUGCAACAAGAUCUCCGAAGGUAUGAUGAAAGUACCAAAAAGAUACUUUCUGAAUUACAGAAAAGGCUUCAUGCCUUGGAAUCAGGACAACAUCUUGGGUAUCAUUAUCUUGAAAGUCCAAAGCCAGAAAUAGAGAAGCUCAAGAAGCAAAUCCAACUUCUUGAAGAAGGAAUGUUCAGACCAUUUGAUCCAUUGGCACCUCCUGUCAAAACCGGGUAUUUACGUCCACUGCCACAAACAUCUAUUUUUGCCACUAUUCCAGAAGAUCCCUAUAGAAGAGAACCAAAUAUGGCAGAAAUACGAAAUCACCUCAAGGCCUUGCAAAAGGAAAAGGGGAAAGAAAAAAUACCACCUACAGAAUCAAGUUCUAUUGUUAUAAGAGAAAGGUCAGAUAAGAUGAUGCUAUCAAAUCCAUUAGAAUCUUUUCUAAAGGAUUUGGUACUCAGGAACCUGACCCUAUUAUCCAACAGCCUGAUCCUGUCAUUCCAGAAAAAACAGAUUAUGCUCCCAAUUGAGCAAACUUCUCCUAAUACUGAAUCAGAUUCAGUAUCCCUCUCCUCCUCUUCAUCCUUCUCAAUUCCUACAGUUGAUUCCCUCCCCCAUUGCUCCAGUAACUUCAUCAAUAUUCAUGGCUGACCCCCCAGAUGAUGAAAUGGAAUCAAACUAUUCUGACCUAGAAAUUGGUCAGACAAGCAAUUCUGCCCAGUAUGUGUCAAUAGCAUCAAAACAAUUAUUCACCAUUGAUGAUAUUCCUUAUCACAAAUGGCCACAAAGGCUUGAAGAAUUUCAUACUUGGUUGAAUACUCAGUCCAUCACCAACCAUGAUAUGAAUGAUGUCCUUUACAACUUUAUUACGAGGUUCACAGGCAGCCUCAAACUUUGGUGGCAAUUAAUCUCUGAACAAGACCAGAUUCAUUUUCUGAUGUCACCAAAUUUCGGCCAUGCCAUCACUCUCUUAUAUCAUGUCUUUGUGGGAAAACCCACUAAUCUCAUAAAGAUGAAAAGAAGAGAAUUUUUCGAAAGAAUAUGCUGCUCCCUCUAGAGGAAACAUCUUGAUAUGCAUUACCGAAUAAUGCUUCAACUCUUUUAUCAAGUUGGAGCAGAUCCAAAUCUGAAGCAUGUUUUCCUUACUUCCAUCCUAAAAGAACUAUCCCAGAUGGUUGAAAGAUCGUUCUUUGGAAAACAAAGGAGAGUACAAGAUAUUCCCUUAGGGGAAAUACAGCAAGAAGUCCAUCUAUACCUACAAGAAUUAUACUUAAAACGCCAAAUGGUCCGUACAUACAUCACAGAUGACAAACGCCUUGAAUCAGCUUGCUCUCGUCAGAAGCUGAAAAUCAAAUGCUCCAAGCAAGACUGCGAUGGUACUUGUGGUAAGUACUCUCGGAAAAAGAAACAUUACAAGAAGCUUUGGAUAAAUAAAUCCAAACAUGGUUCCAAGCAUUUCCGGAAGAAGAAGAAAUGGCGAUACCUACGCAAAAGGAAGGAUCGCAUAGGCCACAAAAAAUCAAACCGUUGCUACAUUUGCAACCAAAAAUGACAUUUUGCCAAAAAUUGUCCUCAAGCAAGAAAAUGUCAAAAUCAUCUAAUUCAUCACAUUGAGAAGGAAACUGGUGUUUCUCUUGAAAAUGAUGAUAUUGAAUCCUUAUUCUCUGCUGAUGAAGAACCAUCUGAACAAACUCUUUGUGUCAUUCCCUCUUACCAAACUUCCAGUGAGACUGAGUCAGACUCAGAGUCUGAAGACAUAUUUCACAUAUCCCUUACAUUUUCGGAACCAAACCUUGACAUCUUCUCAACUCAAACUCAUUGUCCCCAUUUCCCAGUGAAAAUUCUCACCUCAAAGUUUGCCAAACCAAUUACUGUUAUCGCUCUCAUUGAUACUAGAGCAAGUUGCUCCAUUUUAGAUACUAAAGUAUUACCUGAAGAAUACUGGACACCUUAUGUCCAAUAUUUCAAUUCCGCCUCUGGAGAUACUUUCUCCACAAAUGUCAGGACCACUCCUGUAACUGUCCAGUUCUUUCCUCAGUGUUCCAUAAAUACAAAAAUCUUUGGAUCAAACCUCCCCAAUAAAGAUCUGAUAAUUGGGUGGGACAUCAUGACUCAAAUCUCUCAGUUUCGCAUCAUUCCUGGAAAAGGUCUUAGAUAUAAAGAUCAAUUCUCUGAGUUCGUCAAUAUUCAGAGACUCUUUUCCAUUCAGAUGAGUCUAUUAGAUCCAAUCACGCAAAAGUUGUUAGAAUCUUGUUCGGAAUCCCAUUCAGAAUUCGCUCAGAAAUGUUCCCAUCCCCUAUGGGAAAAUCCAGAGUUCUUUGUUCAUCUUCCUUUUAAGAAAAAUGAGGAUAUAAAUCCAACAAAGGCGAGUCACAUGAGAAUGAAGCCAGAACAUCUAGCUUUAGCUCAAAGGGAAUGCUCGAAACUAUUGCAACAAGGCCUUAUUGAAAUCUCCGAUUCACAAUGGGCUUGUGAAGCCUUUUAUGUCAAUAAGCGCGCCGAGCAAAAUAGAGGAAAAAUUAGACUAGUAAUCAACUAUCAACCUAUCAAUCUUUUUCUCCAGCAUGAUAAGUUCCCUUUACCAUCAAGAGAUUCUCUCUUCAUUGGUCUAACCAAGGCUCACAUCUAUUCCAAAUUCGACCUCAAAGCCAGAUUUUGGCAACUGGGCAUCCAUCCUGAAGACAGAUCCAAAACAGGAUUCUGUAUCCCUAACCAACACUUCCAGUGGAAAGUUCUUCCUUUUGGAUUAAAGGUAGCACCAUCCCUUUUCCAAAAGGCCAUGUGUCGCAUUUUCCAACCAAUCCUAUCAAGUGCAGCAGUAUACAUUGACGACAUUCUGCUCUACAGUCCUGAUGAGCAGUCACACUGUCAACUCCUUGAGCAAUUUGCAGAAAUCGUGAAGAAACAUGGUAUCAUGCUUUCCCAAAGAAAGAUGAAUAUUGCCCAGACAGAAAUGGAAUUUCUUGGUAUGCACCUUAACAAAAGUACAUACUAUCCAGGGCCACAUAUCGCUCAAGAAUUAUUGAAAUUUCCUCAAGAUAACUUCACAACAAAGCAAGUUCAGCAAUUUCUUGGGAUAAUUAAUUAUCUUAGGGUUUUUGUCCCAAACAUUGCAAAGCUUCUGAUUCCUUUGCAAUCGCUGAACUUAAGAAGAUUAUGCAGAAUCUCUCACCAUUGCAAAUACCAUCAACAUGCAAAAGGAUUCUUCAAAUUGACGCCAGUGACGAAUACUGGGCAGCCAUUCUCUUUGAAGAAAUUGAUGGUAAGAGACACUUCUGUGCUCAUAAAAGUGGAAAGUUUUCUCAAGAUGAAAUGUAUUACCAUUCCACUUUCAAAGAAAUAUUAGCAGUAAAAAAUGGAAUAAAAAAAUUUGAGUUUCAUCUCAUCGACCACCACUUCCUGGUAGGAAUUAGACAUGACAUCUUUCUCUCAGAUAACCAAGUUUAAAUAGAAACAGAUUCCAAUUUCCCAACUACUUCGAUGGGCUGAAUGGUUCUCAAAAUACUCCUUUGAAACCAAACAUAUUCCUGGAAGGAAGAAUGUACUUGCUGAUUUCUUAUCAAGACCAAAGGCACCAGCCAAAAUCAACAUAUACAUCAAGAGGCCUGCUUUCCAUAUGCUCAAUCAUGGAGUGAAAUACAAGAUUGAGAAGAUCAAAGAUUUGCAAAGCUGGAAAUAUCCCCAGAAGAUUAUUCAGCAAAUCAAGAAUGACACCCUUACCGAGAACUUGGAGAAUCUCAUGUGGCAAACCCACACGAACCUAUUUAGAUUCAAUGGAGGUUCGAUUAUUUAUCCUUUUGGGUUAAAUAUGAAUUAUCCAUUCAUUCAUCCUCUUAUUUGGAAGGAAGAUGAUUUCCCUGAACAGCUCAAGACGUUAUUAUGGUACUUAACCAAUAAGUACCUGAUAGCCAUUGAAAUUCCAACCAGGAGGUUCAUUGCCAACCUCACCAGGAUAUUCUUACUUGGAAGAAAUGUUGAAAAAGAAAGUGAUAAGAAUCUCUUAGACUUUCUUAACUGGUUCUAUCAUCCUACUUAUUGGAAACAACUCUUGGAAAAGGAACUGAGAACCAUGACACUAAAUCCCGAAGUCCAUACCAUUCUGUUUUUCCGACGUCCAUGGCAUUUUUUCACAAAUAAUGGAAGAAUCAUUAAUGCCCCACAGGAAAUAGGAACCACAUCCUAUAAACCUUACUUGGACAGCCGAGAAGCACAGAUUCACAAAUCUUAUUCAAGAUCUGUUAGACUUUGUGAACACGAAUACCGAGAACUCUAGAGAAUCAUGUGCCAGGAAAACAAAACCAUUCCCGAAAAUGUUUGGAAUAAUGUACCCACUAUGUGGGAUCAUUAUGACCUAGCACUAGAAGCUAAGGAAGCACUCGGACAAUACAGACAAGCCACAUCGUCCCAAGAGCCUGAAAUGACAAGCGAAUAUGACAUUGUCCAAUCCACCUAGGACCCUUAUGUGCGCUUUGGAGGCCCUCUGUCCCAAGAUCCCUACGAACAAUUUCAAAGCAUGGACACAUCUUUCUAUGCACAACCAUCCAACUGGCCUCAGCUAAGAAUUCCUGCCAACACUCAAGAAAAUGAAAACACAAACUGGGCUGAAGAAGAAGAAUCACAUUGGGCUCAUGAAGAAGCAUCCUCAUCACGAAGGCUGAAUCAAAUCCUUUCACUUAAAGACCUUGAAGCCCUUGAACAAAAGUACGAGGCACAUCUCCUAGAAAACAGCUCAGAUGACUCGGUUUGUAGCUACAAUGCUCGUGACGGACGAGACCGUUGAGUCCGUACAAUUUCACUGUAGCAAGUCAUUGUUCACUUUUACUAUAGCACUAGACUAGGGAAAGUAUUGUUCACAGUACAAUUACUGUUCAUAGUGUGCGAAUAAUUUCCUCCCAGAAGUUUUCGGUGCCUCUGUUUGUUUCUAGACUCGUGAGCUUGGUCCUUGUUUGUUGCCUUGUGACCUCCGUUGUCUAUAUAAGACAUGGAGGGUGUAAUGUGUUGGGCAUAGUCCCUUGAAGUAAAGUGAGUGUUUUAUGAAAACUCUCUCUAUGGCUUUCUAAACUCCUCUUCUUCUCCAGCCUGGUAGGAUCCUCCAAAAAAUGCAGCUUGGGUAGGUUAGAAACGCUUCCAUCCUGACAUCUCUAAGUGUCUCUAAGCUCUGACCUAAAGGGCAAGUGGUUUUCUGCUAACAGGCUGUCCCUAAAGGGCUUGAACGGGAGUUGUUCACCCAUUGUGGGAUGCAUACUUGCAGAAAAUUUACUCUCCUUCCCUGAUUUUAAGUUUAGGUCCAUUCAUGGUUUCACUUAAAUCGGAACUUGAAUGGAGGGUAAAUAUCUCACAUAAAUACAAAUUUGAAAUAUUUUGUAUCACCAAAAAAAAAAAAAAAUAGGUAUGUGUCAAAAUGAAUAAAAUUCAAAAUUUUUUUAUUUUUGUGGCUUUUGUAAUUUUCCAAAUGGGAUACAUCCCGUCUUAGGCAAAACGGGGUCAACCCUGCACAUCUUCGAAUUUUCAACAUCGGCCUAGCAAAAGCUUCUCCGGAAAGACAGCACAAGCACGGGAGGUUAUCGUGAUUGGUGAACUUCGUCGCUGAUCUAUGUAACCGCGUGACACGUGCCAACGUUAGUUUUGUUUAUUCCGACGUUGAUUUAAAAAAGACGAGCUCAGCUCAGUACUUUCCAGGAAAUGAAGGUCUCCCGGUCUCCGUCUUUUUGUUUUAUGUCGUUGUCCGCCUCUGCUUCAAUGGCAAACCAAGAAUGGUGGCUAUCUCCGUGUGCUGCGGCUUGCGCACCACGUUAUCCCUUUCCCAAGGCAAAACCCCACUUUUGACCUCCUCUUGCGUUAGUGGACCAGCAGGCGCGUGCGCAAAUGGCGACGAAUGACGCACAAAUUUCCGCUGAGUCACGAGUGUAUAUAAGGACAACGCCACCCCUCUUUGUUUCUCCCGCACAACAUUAUUGUUUCAGAGACUCUUCUCCCGAAGCACCAGGGCACCCCCGCACUCCCAGGUUGCAGAAAUCCCCCACCAACCCCCCGAAAUAAUGGGACCUUUUGAUUCACGAGAGCAGGUCACCCUGACCCUCUUCUCUCCCUCCUCUGCUCUCAUGUCCUCAGGUAGCGAUUUCCUCGUCCAACCCAUCUUUGUUCGUGGCUUUUCUGGUUCUCUGCACCUGGUGUUGUUGCUUGCCCUACUCGUCUCGUGGGUUUACAAGAAAAUAAGGGCAGGGCAUGGUGAGGGUCCAAAGGGGAGUCGCGGGAGGGGGAGAGGUGUCUUGUAUAAGCUGACUCUUUGUUGGGCCCUGGGCGUGUCUCUGUUCAAUCUCGCCUUGUGUGUGCUGAACUAUUUUUAUUGGUAUAGAAAUGGCUGGUCGGACGUGAGACUGGUCUCCCUUGUGGAUUCAGCUCUCACGACUCUUGCUUGGGGGGUAAUGUGUGUUUACCUGCAUGGUCGCAACUCUGAUUCUGGGGAAUCCAAGUUCCCUUUCCUGUUAAGAGUUUGGUGGGGCUUCUACUUCUCUAUUUCCUGUUAUUCCCUUGUUUUAGACGUCAUUCGAUAUGAGAAACAUGUUGGCUUGUUGCCGGUUCGGGAUUUUGUAUCCGACGUAAUCUCUGUCUUGACCGGUUCGUACUUCUGUUAUGUGGGGUUCUUCGGGAAAAAUGAGGUUGAAGAGAACCUCCUUGAAGAGCCCCUUUUAAAUGGGAAUAAUUUGAUUUCAAGUAAUAGGGAUUGUGUGGGGUUGAAUAAGUUUAGAGGGAGCGAUGUGGUAACCCCUUAUUCUAGAGCUGGUAUACUUAGCAUAGUUACUUUCUCUUGGAUGAGUCCUCUUAUUUCCAUUGGGAAUAAGAAAACCUUGGACCUUGAGGAUGUUCCUCAACUUGAUUCCGGCGAUAGUGUGGUAGGGGCUUCUCAAAACUUCAGAAGUAAGCUUCGGUUCAAUGGUGAGGCUAGCGAUAAAGUGACUACGUGGAGGCUGGUGAAGGCAUUGUUCUUGUCU
rnacentral:lncRNA from 1 species